rnacentral:lncRNA from 1 species
UGUCAUGUCCUCCAUUAGAUCUAAGUACUCUAAGUUUUUUCUUAGGUUCUCUUCCAAAGUUAUCCUAGGUCUUCCUCUACCCCUUCGGCCCUGAACCUUUGUCCUGUAGUCACAUCUUUGAACCGGAGCGUAACUGAUUUUCUCUCAUCUUUUCUUCAAUUUCGGCUACUCCUACUUUACCUCGGAUAUCCUCAUUCCUAAUCUUUUCCUUUCUCAUGUGCCCACACAUCCAAUGAAGCAUCCUCAUCUCCGCUACACCCAUUUUAUGUAUGUGUUGAUGCUUCAACACCCAACAUUCUGUGCCAUACAGCAUCGCCGGCCUUAUUGUUGUCCUAUAAAAUUUUCCCUUGAGCUUCAGUGGCAUAUGACGGUCACACAACACGCCGGAUGCACUCUUCCACUUCAUCCAUCUAGCUUGUAUUCUAUGGUUAAGGUCUCCAUCUAAUUCUCCGUUCUUUUGUGAGAUAGAUCCUAGGUAGCGAAAGCGAUCGCUCUUUGGUAUUUCCUGAUCUCCGAUCCUCACCCCUAACUCAUUUUGGCCUCCAUUUGCACUGAACUUCCACUCCAUAUAUUAUGUCUUUGAUCGGCUUAGGCGAAGACCUUUAGAUUCCAACACUUUCCUCCAAAGGUUAAGCUUUGUAUUUACCCCUUUCUGAGUUUCAUCUAUCAACACUAUAUCAUCUGCGAAAAGCAUACACCAAGGAGUAUCAUCUUGAAUAUGUCCAGUUAACACAUCCAUUACCAAUGCAAAAAGGUAAGGACUUAAGGAUGAGCCUUGAUGUAAUCCUACAAUUAUGGGGAAGCUUUCAGGUUGUCUUUCAUAAGUUCUUACGACAGUCCUUGCUCCAUCAUACAUAUCCUUUAUAGCUUGGAUAUAUGUUACUCGUACUCAUUUCUUCUCUAAAAUCCUCUAAAGAAUGUCUCUUGGGACCCUAUCAUACACUUUUUCCAAAUCUAUAAAGACCAUGUGUAAAUCCUUUUUUCCAUCUCUAUAUCUUUCCAUCAAUCUUCGUAAGAGAUAGAUUGCCUCCAUGGUUAAGCGCCCUUGCAUGAACCCAAAUUGGUUGUCCAAAACCCGUGUCUCUUUCCUCAAUCUAUGCUCAAUGACUAUCUCUCAGAGCUUUAUUGUAUGACUCAUUAGCUUAAUACCCUUAUAAUUCAUGCAAUUUUGUACAUCACCCUUAUUCUUGUAGAUAGGUACCAAAGUGCUCUUUCGCCACUCAUUUGGCAUCUUCUUUGUUUUCAAAAUCUUAUUGAAAAGGUCAGUGAGCCAUGCUAUACCCGUCUCUCCCAAGACCUUCCACACUUCGAUCAGUAUAUCAUUAAGGCCCACUGCUUUUCUAUGCUUCAUCUUUUUCAAAGCUACAACCACUUAUUCCUUCUUGAUUCGACGGUAAAAUAAGUAGUUUCUACACUCUUCCGAGUUACUUAACUCCCCCAAAGAAGUACUCCUUUCAUGUCUUUGAUUGAAAAGAUUAUGAAAAUAACCUCUCCAUUUGUCUUUGACCGCGUUCUCUGUAGCAAGAACCUUUCCAUCCUCAUCUUUGAUGCACCUCACUUGGUUUAGGUCCCUAGUCUUCUUUUCCCUUGCUUUAGCUAGUUUAUAGAUAUCCAACUCUCCUUCUUUGGUAUCUAGUCGCUUAUACAUAUCGUCAUAAGCCGCUAGCUUAGCUUCUCUCACAACUUUCUUCGCCUCUUGCUUUGGUCUUCUAUACCUUUCACCAUUUUCAUCGAUCUUAUCCUUGUAUAAGGCUUUACAACAUACAUUCCUUCUUAGCCUUCACCUUUGUUUGUACCUCCUUAUUCCACCACCAAGAUUCCUUUUGGUGUGGAGCAAAAGCCUUGGACUCUCCUAAUACCUCUUUUGCUACUAUUCGGAUACAACUGGCAAUGGAAUCCCACCUUUGGCUAGCUUCCCCCUCUCUAUCCCACACGCAUUGGGUGAUUACUUUCUCUUUGAAAAUGGCUUGUUUUUCUCCUUUUAGAUUCCACCAUCUAGUCCUUGGGCACUUCUAUGUCUUGUUCUUUUUUCUCUCUUUUGAUAUGUACAUCCAUCACCAACAAGCGAUCCCUUGCAUGAACCCAAAUUGGUUGUCCGAAACCCGUGUCUCUUUCCUCAAUCUAUGCUCAAUGACUAUCUCUCAGAGCUUUAUUGUAUGACUCAUUAGCUUAAUACCCUUAUAGUUCAUGUAAUUUUGUACAUCGCCCUUAUUCUUGUAGAUAGGCACCAAAGUGCUCUUUCGCCACUCAUUUGGCAUCUUCUUCGUUUUCAAAAUCUUAUUGAAAAGGUCAGUGAGCCAUGCUAUACCCGUCUCUCCCAAGACCUUCCACACUUCGAUCAGUAUAUCAUCAAGGCCCACUGCUUUUCUAUGCUUCAUCUUUUUCAAAGCUACAACCACUUAUUCCUUCUUGAUUCGACGGUAAAAUGAGUAGUUUCUACACUCUUUCGAGUUACUUAACUCCCCCAAAGAAGUACUCCUUUCAUGUCCUUGAUUGAAAAGAUUAUGAAAAUAACCUCUCCAUCUGUCUUUGACCGCUUUCUCUGUAGCAAGAACCUUUCCAUCCUCAUCCUUGAUGCACCUCACUUGGUUUAGGUCCCUAGUCUUCUUUUCCCUUGCUUUAGCUAGUUUAUAGAUAUCCAACUCUCAUUCUUUGGUAUCUAGUUGCUUAUACAUAUCGUCAUAAGUCGCUAGCUUAGCUUCUCUCACAAAUUUCUUCGCCUCUUGCUUUGGUCUUCUAUACCUUUCACCAUUUUCAUCGGUCUUAUCCUUGUAUAAGGCUUUACAACAUACAUUCCUUCUUAGCCUUCACCUUUGUUUGUACCUCCUUAUUCCACCACCAAGAUUCCUUUUGGUGUGGAGCAAAACCCUUGGACUCUCCUAAUACCUCGUUUGCUACUAUUCGGAUACAACUAGCCAUGGAAUCCCACCUUUGGCUAGCUUCCCCCUCUCUAUCCCACACGCAUUGGGUGAUUACUUUAUCUUUGAAAAUGGCUUGUUUUUCUCCUUUUAGAUUCCACCAUCUAGUCCUUGGGCACUUCCAAGUCUUGUUCUUUUUUCUCUCUUUUGAUAUGUACAUCCAUCACCAACAAGCGAUGUUGAUUAGUCAAGCUCUCUCCCAGUAUAACUUUGCAAUCCUUACAAGUUAUACGGUCCCCUUUCCUCAUUAGAAGAAAAUCUAUUUGUGUUUUUUACGACCCACUCUUGUAGGUGAUCACAUGUUCUUCUCUCUUCUUAAAGAAGGUGUUGGCUAAGAAGAGAUCAUAUGCCAUUGCAAAAUCCAAGAUAGCUUCCCUAUCCUCAUUUCUCUCCCCAAAACCAUGGCCACCAUGAAAAACUCCAUAGUUGCUUGUUUCCUUGCCCAUGUAUCCAUUUAAAUCUCCUCCUAUAAAUACCUUCUCCGUCUGAGCAAUUACUUGCACCAAGUCUCCAAGGUCUUCCCAAAAUUUCUCCUUCAAACUCAUAUCUAACCCUACUUGAGGUGCGUACACACUAAUCACAUUGAUGAGUUUUUGUCAUAUUACAAUCUUGAUUGCCAUGAUUCUAUCUCCUACCCUCUUGACAUCUACAACAUCUUGUGUCAAGGUCUUGUCCACGAUGAUGCCAACACCAUUUCUCGUUCUAUUUGUGCCUUAAUACCAAAGUUUAAAACCUGAGUUUUCUAGAUCCUUUGCCUUAAGACCAACCCAUUUAAUUUCUUGUAGGCACAUAAUAUUUAUCCUUCUCCUCACCAUGACUUCCACAACUUCCAUAGAUUUUCCCAUUAAGGUUCCUAGAUUCAACGUUCCUAAACGUAUUCUACUCUCUUGAACUUUAAGCUUUUGUCCGAGCUUCUUCACCCUUCCCCGUCUAAUAGGAUCAAAGUACAUCUUUUGUGUGUCUUGUGUAAAGUUGAUGGGAGCAUAUGCUCCCAAACAACUUUGAGGGGAGUCGUUCAAAAAGAAGUUUCUAUGACCUCCUUGCUCAUUUAACACUGCAUCUGGGUGCCGAUGGAGAUACAGCAACCCUUGCUCAUUUAUCACUGUGCUCGAGCCACACAGCGCACCACUUACGGGUGACGUCCUAGCUUUAGCGCGAAUUCGUUCUAGAUUCAUUUUAACAAGGAUUCGACAUAACCUAGGAGUGCCGGCUGCCGACUACCUGACGCCCUCCUUCUCUUCCUUUAUCAGGGCUUGGGACCGGCAAUGUAAGAUAAACUUACAAAGGCGGAGUUAGUAUAUUUCUUUAUGAUCACACAUUUUAAUUUGCAUGCUUGUUAAAAUGGCUUCGUCACCCUCAGAUGUCGACUAACACAUGUUUAUCCUGGUAUUUGGAGAUAUCGGGAUCGGGGCAUGUCAAUGAAAUUCAAAUUUUUGUAUCAUCAAAUAAUCAGUGAGUUCCAAACACACAGUUUGUGACAUCCCACAUCACCUAGGGGAGUGAUCCUUAAAUGUAUAUUCAUAUCCCUACCUAGCACGAGGCCUUUUGGGAGCUGACUGGCUUCGGGUUCCAUAGGAACUCUGAAGUUAAGCGAGUUCGCGCGAGAGCAAUCCCAUUAUGGGUGACCUACUAGGAAGUUCUCGUGUAAGUUCCCAGAAACAAAACCGUGAGGGCAUAUCGGGGCCCAAAGCGGACAAUAUCGUACUACGGUGGUGGAGCGGGCCCGGGAUGUGGUGGAUCCCGGGCGGGGAUGUGACAAUUUGGUAUCAGAGCCAAUCCCUGGUCGGAAGUGUGCCAACGAGGACGUCGGGCCCCUAAAGGGGGUGGAUUGUAACAUCACACAUUACCCAUGGGAGUGAUCCUUAAAUGUAUAUUCCCAUCUUUACCUAGCACGAGGCUUUUUGGGAGCUCACUGGCUACGGGUUCCGUAGGAACUCCGAAGUUAAGCGAGAAGGAGGCCAGAGCACUCCCAGGAUGGGUGACCCACUGGGAAGUUGCUCGUGAGUUCCGAAAAACAAAACCGUAAGGGAAUGGUAAGCCCAAAACGGACAAUAUCGCGCUACGGUAGUGGAACGGCCCGGGAUGUGGUGGACCCAGGCCGGGAUAUGAGAAAUGGUAUCAGAGCCAAUCCCUGGCCGGAAGUGUGCUGACAAGGACGUCGGGCCCCUAAGGGGGUGGAUUGUGACAUCCCAUAUCGCCUAGGGGAGUGAUCCUUAAAUAUAUAUUCCCAUCCCUACCUAGCACGAGGCUUUUUGGGAACUCACUGGUUUUGGGUUCUGUAGGAACUCCGAAGUUAAGCGAGAUGGAGGCUAGAGCACUCCCAGGAUGGGUGACCCACUAGGAAGUUGCUCGUGAGUUCCCAAAAACAAAACUGUGAGGGAAUGGUAAGCCCAAAGCGGACAAUAUCGUGCUAUGGUGGUGGAGCGAGCCUGUGAUGUGGUGGAACCUGGGCCGGGAUGUGACAAAUUGGUAUCAGAGCAUAUCCCUGGUCAUAAGUGUGCCGACGAGGACGUCGGGCCCCUAAGGGGGGUGGAUUGUGACAUCCCACAUCGCCCAGGGGAGUGAUCCUUAAAUGUAUAUUCACAUCCUUACCUAGCACGAGGCCUUUUGGGAGCUCACUGGCUUCGGAUUCCGUAGGAACUCCGAAGUUAAGUGAGUUCGUGCAAGAGCAAUCCCAUGAUGGGUGACCCACUAGGAAGUUCUCGUGUGAGUUCCUAGAAACAAAACCGUAAAGGCGUAGUCGGGGCCCAAAGCUGACAAUAUCAUGCUAUGGUGGUGGAGCGGGCCUGGAUGUGGUGGACCCCGGACCGGGAUGUGACACAGUUGAUUUCUCUUUCAUACAAGCUUUCCCUCUUUUCCUGAAACUACUUACAAUAAAAACUUUUACAACGUACUAGAGAACAACUCCGAUUAUGUAGCUGGGCCUUGUCAAGCUGAUCACGAUGCCGACUAGUGACAAUGACAAUAAGAUAAUGUACAUAUGAAUUUGUUUCCCUGUGAAUGAGGAAUGCUUUGUCAACUUGAGAACUCCAUCUUUCCAGGAAAUGAUGAUGUGCUUGAACGGCUCCUUGAGCUUUCACUUCCAGAUUUUUGACUUAUCACAUCCUUAAACACAAGUGAAGGAAUGAAUAAACAAAUAAACUGGAAGAAAACAUAGAAAUAGAAAACCACAAACACAAGCGUUAUGGCAUGUAUGCAGUUCAGGUUUUAUGUUAUGCAACUCACUUGUAUCGAAGGAUUCGAGCGUUGUCUCAGUGAGAAUACUCCAGUAGCACCAAGCAUGACACAAUUCAAGCUCUCAUCGGCAAGUGCUCUCAAUCUGUUAAGUUCAGGCAGCACAACCUUGCCAAGAUCUGGCCUGUCCUUUCGCUUCAUUUCAGCACACUGUAAACAGAGCUUGGCAAACUUCAAGGCUUCCUCAACUGGCCAAUCAGGAACAGCAGGGUCAAGCAUCUCAACAAAAGUCCCCGUCUCAAUAGCCUGUUCAACGUGAUGAGUCAACCCCAUUGGUGGCUUGGCUGUUAUAAGUUGUAAAAACAUGACACCAAGUGAGUAGAUAUCAGAUUUUGUCCCAAGCAAGCCAAUUUGCUGAUACUCUGGGUUGAUGUAGCAAAAUGUUCCGGCUGUUGAUGUCAUGUGAUAUUGAGUGACGGCGUUGGCUACAGAUGGAGGGACAAGCCUAGCUAAACCUACAUCACCGAUCUUGCUCACAUAGUUAUGGUCUAGCAAGAUGUUGCCGGGUUUUAGGUCACGAUGUACGAGGGGUUCUGGCUUGGUCUGAUGAAGGAACAAAAGUCCUGUCCCAAUUUCUGCAGCAAUUCGGAACCUUACCUGCCAAGGAAUAACUGGGGUGUUACCUCUGCUGAAGAGGCGAUCUUCCAAGGUCCCAUUACCCAUGUACUCAUAUACCAAGCAACCAUAAUCUGGGCAAGCUCCAAGGAGUAGAACCGUAUUUGGAUGUCGUAUACAGCUUAAUACCUCAACCUGAACAACUUAGGUCAGUCAGAUAAAUAUCCACACUAAUACAUGAUCAACAAAUUGAAUCCCCAUUUAGAUUAAUGAGUAUCAAUAAUCCUAGAAUUCAUGAUUAAAUAAUGAGACCUAAGAGGAUCACUGCAUCAGAAACUACUCGCAUGAGUGAAGUUCAUAUUAUAUUCUUUCUCAUUUUACUUUCGUAAUAUUUUUCUGACAUUAUCUAUGUUUUCUUUUACUUCUACCACAGGAAAACCACUCGAUCAGUUUUAUUUUCGAACAAUAUGGUCCCAUUCUGGAAACAAAUAUGAAGUUCACUCUUUAAUUAAUUCAUGAUCAGAUUUAACAAGUAAUUACUUAAUGGUUAUCAUUGUUUAUGAUAGGAAGAGAGUGUUGUAUAUUUGAAGAUAUAUGGUAGUUAAAAAUUGAUCAUGUUCCAUGUCACAAACCUCCUGCUUGAACUGCGACUGUCCUUGAGCUGCUGUAGACAUCGAAAUUGCGGUGAAAUAAAUGUUCACCAACACAUUAAAAUUUUGACGUGUCAGGGCAUACAUGGCAUAUGCCACGUGUCAUACAAAUUGUACACAUGGUGUGUGACUCAACAAAAUAAGAAGAAAUACCCUUGGAGGAUUACACAAGUUUUUCUUCUCAUUUUGGGCAAUGACAAGGCAAGCACAUUUCAAUCCAUUGAAGAUCAAAACAAGGUUUUCUUCUCAUUUUGGGCAAUGACAAAGCAUGCACAUAUCAAGUUUAAAAUGAUAUUAAGUGGAAAAUUAGGCCAUAAAAUUACCACUUCAAGUUUAAAAUUGUAUUAAGUGGGAAAUUAGGCAAUGGUGCUUGGAAAAGAAAAAAAUAUUUUGUGGUGGUGAUUCAUUCUCAAAGCCUAUAAAUAGGCUUCUACAUCAAGGUAUCAUCAACCAAUUCACAAAUACAUUUCUCUACUCCCAAAUUGGAAGAGAAUCCCCCAAAUCUUUGAAGCUUUGAAACUCUAAAGCUCUCAAGCAAAUCCCGAAGGAUCAAUAAAGCCCUCUUCGUUCUUCAUCAAAUCCUCCUUCAAGAUCAAGCCCCAACGGCCCUUGAAGAACUUCCACCAAUUCAAGAUCAAGUCUCGACGGUCCUUGAAGAAAGUGUUCAUCGUCCACACAUCCGUUCAUCCUAAGAUCAAGCCCCAACGGCCCUUUGGAUCAACAACAUCAACAAAUCCACACAACUGUUCAUCCUAAGAUCAAGCCCCAACGGCCCUUUGGAUCAACAACAUCAACAAAUCCACACAUCCGUUCAUCCUAAGAUCAAGCCCCAACGGCCCUUUGGAUCAACAGCAUCAACAAAUCCACACAACUGUUCAUCCUAAGAUCAAGCCCCAACGGCCCUUUGGAUCAACAAUAUCAACAAAUCUACACAACAUUUCUUCAAGAUCAAGCCCCGACGGCCCUUGAAGAAGCUCCCAACCGUUCAUCCAAAAUUAAGCCUCAACGGCCCUUGGAUCAACAACAUCCAUAAAUCAACAUCUUACGGAGAUCGAAUCAGAGGAUCAAGUUAAAAGAGAUCGUAACCCUACAAAUCCAUUAACACCAAAAUCUUUCUUUGUACACGUUGUUCUUGUCUCUUUCGUUUCAGGAAAAUUUCGUGUUCACAGCUGCAUCUGGACGUAGAAUUUUUAUCGCCACUGGUGUGUGGUCUAGUUCACCUCUGUAUACUGGCCCAUAGCCUCCUUCACCAAUAUUUCGAUCUUGUGAGAAAUCAUUCGUUGCCUUUUCAAUCUCCUGAAUUGUGUAUUUCCUGUACCUAAGAUCAUAUGACCUUGCUUGAAGUGCCUUAUUCUUCUCUUCGGAUUCUUUAAGAGCUUUCAUUUCUGCAACCCUUCUUUUUUGUGCUUCCAAUUCAGCAAUCCUUUGAGCUGCUUCAGCUGCCUCAAUGGCUGCCUUACAUUUUGCUUUCUCCUUCUCCACGAGUGCCAAUGCAACUUCCUCAGCAUGUCAAGCCGCUUUUAGCCUUUGUUCAUCUUCCAUUUUCCACUGGUUAAUUUCUUUUUCCUGUGAUGAUUUUUUGGUUAGAACAUAUGUUAAACAAAUUCUAUGCUCGAUUAAGGUAUCGUAUAGUAUAGACCUUGUGUUUUUCUAUCAGAGCUUCCUUGCAUGCUGUACUGUACAUUUCCAUUGUUUGUUUCAGCUCUAGCUUGAGCCUCCUCAUCUCAGAUUCCACAUCGUCCUGUUAUUGUCGAGGAGAAUGGUAUUAGAUUUUGACGAAAGGUUUAUAUAGUAGGAGGCCUUGCAGAUUCCAAUGUUUACAAUAUAUGCUGGCAAUUAUCUUAAGUACCAUAUUUUGUGAUGAUGACGAUGAUUUUCCACUGUCAAUUGAACAUGAUGACAUUUCACAUUGCAAAGAGCCCAUAUCUAAAAACUUGUGUCUUGAGUAAGAUGAUGUAGGGCUUCUGUUGUCCCCGUCCGAGCCGAUUGAAAGUCGAGAGUUCAUUCCUGAUUCUACUCCAAAGUCGCAGCGAGGUGACAUACGAUCAAUGCUUGGCCUUCCACUACUUACAAAUGAUAUAUCAGUUUCUGGUGAAAGCUCAUAUGAUUUGUCCAUUGAGGGUCUUCCUCUUGCGAACGGUGACCUGUAAAUCAUUUUUGUUGGGUUAGCCCCUCUCAUUGAUCAGGUAUUCCCUUUUUCAUAGUUGUUCACACAAACAUAUCGGCUUUUAGAACUCCGACCGAAAAAGGCAUAGCAUUUGUGUAUCUACAGCGUACCCUAAAAGAAGUCAUCCGCGCAUUGUAUUCAGAGAAUAAAAGCAUCCAAAUCCAAAACCAAUUAGUUGCCAAUGAUGGAUAAACUCUCAACAUAUAUACAUAUAUGCAUUUCUAGAACAUAGAUAUGCCUAUGCACUCAAAUGCGAUAGGACUAGGAGAUUAGGGCUUACUUGAUUUGAAUGUCACCAUCUGGCUGGUUACGAGUAGAACAGUACUGCAUCCUAUCCGAUGCUGCAUUAAUAAAAAAACUUCAGUCAAUUAGCAACUAAUGAAAAACACGAUAUAUGAUUAUCGUGAGGUGGAAAUAAACCUGAAGAUCUGGCUUCAGAAACAGUGCUUGGUUGGUGUUGAACUUGACUACGUUGGGCAAAAUUUUGGGGUGUGGAAGUAGCACAUCGCAUAUACGACACCUUUCCUUUGCCAAUCACAUAAACAGAGCAAAAAUCCGGUGCCCUUUUCGCCACUGUGCUUGGAACGUCAGUGAGCUUAAAUCUUUUGUGGAACAGAAAGUAUAAAAAAAAAAAACAGUUUAUGCAAUUAGGUUUCUAAUAUUAGAACUGAUAUUGCCCAAAAAGAAUAUUAGAAUUGAUUAAGGUGUAUAUGUUAUAUACAAAAGAAGAAUCUCAAACAGAUGUAUAAGAAAAUGAUGAGGAAAUAGUUAAUGAUCACCUGAAAAUUCCGCUUUUGGACGGUGUGCCAAGUACCAAAAUCUCGAUAGUGUUAACCAUAACAUAAUCGAUGAUUGCGUUCGGAAUGUCAGUGUCCUUGAUUACCACUUCAUUGCAUUUUAUCUGUUUCAAACAUGACAAGGAAGUUGUUACUGACAUUCCGAAAAAGUCAUCCUGGUAUCUUGUCUCUCAGUCUUGGAUGAGAUACUAAUUCCAAAUUCUUUCUCGCCUACUGACCUAUUCUCAUUCCAGGUGAGUAAACAUAUCGGGUGCAUGAUUAUGACGUAGGAGAAAGAAAUAGAAACUAAUGAAGAAGCAUAAAUAUAGUGGGAAAGGACUCACAUUCUAUUUGGAGCAGAAGGAACGGAAAGAAAGAAAGAGCCCUUGGGUUUGUUGGGGGUCGGAGCCUUAAGGGGAGGAUGUUUGAUCAACAUGGAGCAAUGUGAGAGGCUGGCCUCUGGCGAGAAGAUGAUCAACGGCCCAUUUGAUUGCAUGUUCACUUCCUUUGUCCUUGUCGAUGGCCACCGCCACCGACUCCUCUCUCUUUUCUCCUUGCCCUCUAACAAUCCUCGACAUUACCUUUAGUUAAUUUUUUUUCUCGCUUAAUUUAUUUCUAUAAAAAAAUUAAUUCAUUCAAAGCUCUCCAAUUAACAAUUCACCAGCUGCUGACCUAGGUUUAAGAAACUCAGAAAUUAAGCAAUUAAGCUUCUUAUUAAAUUUAGAGAUCAGUUUCUAGUAUACUUAAUUCGUGCUGGCAUCAGUUGGCAUUGCCUUGGAAGAAAAACAUACAUGCUCAAACCAAUUAACUACAUCUGCUAACAUCCUUAAUACGAAUUAGUAUCUUCUAUUUAAAGUUGAUUUUCUUGAAUUUGUAUAACAAAGUCUCGUUGGUUAAAUUUAUUUUUACCGACUAUCAUGGUGACUUCUGAUUAAUAAACAUAUAUCAACUGUCGUAUAAUGUGUUCAACUAACAUGAUGACCAGCAACUAUAAUCUCUUCUCAUCCUUUAGGGACUGUUUUGAGUCGUUGUAACUAUUGUCUUGUCUUGCCAAAUUUUGUGACUUGCUUAACAAGAAAAUCUAUAAGUUGGUAAGUUAAAAAAUAGCUACGUUGCCAUUGCAUUUGCAUGGUUCUAGAGCUUUUUUUUUUUUUUUUUUUUUUUCGGUAGCAAGUUCUAGAGUUCUUGAUAGAAUAUAUAUAUAUUAAUUAAUUUUGCUUCAGAGAAAAUACUUUCUUUUGUAAUUAGAUGUGGUAUUUUUUUGGGUUUUUAUUUCAAAUGAUCUUUGAAAUUGACUCACAUGAUGCGCAAGCAGCUUAUCGUCUUGAAGGCCAAGUCUAAGGAAGAAGGGAGAACAAUCAACUAUAGCACAUAUGAGAUGUUGGCAGGCCAGAAUGCACGUAAUCUUCUAUAGCACAAGCGCAUGAUCAACUAUGUGCAUAUUACGGUGGAUGGACGGUCCAGAAUGCAACCUCCACUCCCACUUGGUUUCUUUGGCAUUGUGAUUUUCGCAAGCGCACCAUUUGCUACAGCGGAGGAUCUCAAAUCAAAACCAACAUCGUAUGCUGCAAAUCGUAUACAUGAUGUUGUAGUGCGCAUGAAAAGAACGAUUACCUUAGGUCAGCUCUUGACUAUCUUGACGAUUACCUUGGGAUAAUUUGUUGGGAGAGGCUGCCGAUAUAUGAUGCAGAUUUUGGUUGGGGUCGACCUAUGUUCAUGGGACCUGGUGGAAUUGGAUACGAGGGUUUGGCGUUUGUGUUACCAAGUCCAACAAGUGAUGGGAGUUUAUCAGUGGCCAUUUCCCUGCAGUCUGACCAUAUGAAAUCAUUUGCCAAAGUUGUUGUAUGACAUCAUGAGGAAAUCAAAUGCGUGAAAAGUUUGUUCAUCAGCCUAAAAAUAAAAUAUGUGUCUUUGUUGGUAAUUAAUGUACUCUUGUGACGAACUUCUUGUCUGAGUUGUCUUUAUUUUCUCCUGAAAUAAAAGAUGAGCACAUUAGAAUUCCCCACUCUUUUUUUACAAAUUUUUUUUAUUAAACAUUUGUGUCUUUUAAAGAUUUGAUUAAGACGCUUUAUUUAAUGUUCACCUAAGUAUUUUUAAAUUUAUUUUAUUACAUGUCAUUAGUUUAUUUAUUUUUAAAUGAAAAUACUAUAUGUUAAUUCCCAACUUUAUCCUUUUAGUUGAUAAAGGGAAUUUUUUUAUGGCUUGUCUGGAUUUAUAUCUUUUUACAGGGAUAUUAUUAAGGGAAAUUGCAAAAAUGACCCAUUUUCUUAAUCUUGGGACUAAAAUAGGACAAACCGGGCAUGCACAAGCCAUGCAAACGCAAUACACAAUAAUAGGACAAAAAUUCAAACCCUCAUUUCUCAUUUUUUAGAGAGAAGAGAGAAAAAACCUAUCUUGCCUCCACCAAAUGUGUCGGCGACUUGCACAACGCCACAUGUAAAACCCAUCUUUUAUUUUUCCCUGGUUUUGGUUCUUAGCAUCUUUAUCACUCUUCCUUUCUGCAUCUCCCUUUUAUGUUCGACUUCAAUUCAGCAAAUUGUUGUAUUUGUAAUGAAAUUUGAUGCUUUGAAUUGUAACAAUGGGGUUGAGUUUAUGGUGAUUUCUUGUUUGGUUGCACUCUUCAAGAAGUGACUUUGUUAGAGGGAAGCUGAUUUUAGUUGAUAUGUGGAAUUGAAUUCUGGGUCAUUAGAAUUAGGGAAGAAUUUUGGUAUCUUUCGUUUAGGGUUGUGUGAAUUGGAACUUGUUUAUAUAGGUUGUUAUGAUUUGGAACUUAUUUAGGGUUAUGUGAAUUACAUAUUGGUUUGUUAUGCUUUUAUCAACUAUAGCGUCCUCUCUCUUGUCGAUUUGGUAGUGUUUCUUUUUAUUCUAUGUAAUGCACCAAAACUUGGUAGUGUGAUUUUCCAACUUGGUUUCGAUAUUUCAAAUGAAUUUAGGUAGACAUGGCACCAAGUGAAAUUGCCUUUGUCAGACUAGGAAACUAUGUGCAAAUGUGCUUAUGGAUUACUAUUUUCUUGUUAGUGAGUUGACGGGUAAUGUCUCAUAUGCAAGGGGUUUUCUUGAUACGAGCUACUAUGCUAGCUACAAGAGACUAGCUAAAGUUCUUCCAUUUCUCCCGAAAACAAUGUGAAUUGUGAAAUGAUCAUAAUCACUUAGUUAAGUUCAUCAUGCACGUUGUCUAUUGCGUGAGGUGCAUUGACUCACCAAUUUGUAAAUCCAAUAACGUACCUCAGUUGAUAGUACGAUUCUUCAGUAUUAUUUCUUUUGUUUGCGUUGUACAAAUGGUAAUUGUGUGUUUAUGGAUAAAGAACUGAGGAGAUUUAUAUUUAUGAAUUGGUUUUUGGGAAGUGGGUGGUGUUUUAAUUUGAUUACUUACAUUGCUUUACUUGAUGCUUAGGUAAGACAAAUUUCUAUUGGUGACGCUUAAGCGCUAUGAGGUCAUUUAAGAGGGAUGGUUAUGCCCAUGGACUCAAUGCUUAGGUAAGACAAUGUGAAUGUUGUAGCCUCUGUUGAAGGCUCUUGUAAAAGCCAAACUGAAGAAACUUUGAAAAGUUUGUAUUCAAAUGAAUGUUUUCAUUUAUUUUCUUGUAUCUUUUGUAAAUUCGCUACUCGAUUCUUUUAUGGGGUGUUCUUAUCCAUUUUAGUUUGUUUUGUAUCUUUUGUAGCGCCCAUAAUUGAUUUACCAUGAGGAAUGGUGGCAGGAUUACUGAGAUUUCAAAGUGUUAUUUUCUGUACAUUUCAAAUGUGCAUAUUGUGCGCAUAAUGUGAGCAUGGUGUGUACAUGCUAUGUGCAUAGCUUGAUCGUGUUCUACGCAUUAAAGGAGCUCAAAUUUGGGUUCUGCUCAUUUAUUUUAAUCUAAUUUUGAACUAAUGUGAUUAACAAGAACAUAGAAUCAUGUAGGAUUUGAACCUACGACAUCAGGUUUUGGAGAAAGGAAACAUUGUUAAUGUUACCAAAAAGUUGUCCUUUUUCUAUUCACUAACAAAAAGUACAUCAAAGCUAAAUUUGAAGAAAAGUAAAGGAAAACAAGAAAAUUUAGUCCCUAUUAUAUCCGUUUAACAUAUCACAAAAAAUGUUCAUUUCCUGUUGCCAGUUGCACAAAUUGCAGGUACUGAAUUUGUCAUAGUGCCAUUAAUCCCAAUGGGAUCGGAGUGUGAAUGGCCCUAGUGCACUUCCAUAGUUGGUGCAUGCUUUGACGACAUCAUUGUCCUCGUGCAGUUUUAUUAUUCUUUCUCUAACUUCUCUGUUCACGCAAAUUAACGAUAAAGAUCGUUGAGCUCUUUCCCUAGACUGCAUUUUGAUCACCAAUUUCUGAUGGUUCAGAGAAUGCAAAAGCUCGCCCUUCUCUUUUUCAUCCCCAUGUGGCAAAUCAUGAGUACACCGUAGACAUACGUUGAUGCUUAAUGACCAUUGGAGAUCGCCAUCUUGAAAUACUCAAUUCCGAGUACGAAAUUAUUGUCUUCAAAGUAGCAUUCCAUGGUGUAGGUGUAAAGGCCUCAUAAUUGUUCUACUCCUUGCACCGUUUGAAGAACUUGGACACUUGUUCAUCUGUGGUCCAUGAAGUCAGCGGGUUUACGCUUUCAAAAGUCCAAAUGUUGAUUUCUUCGAAGAUGCGAUCGUGUUGGCCCAGUUGGUUGAACUUCUUGCAUACCAAUUUGGCUGAAUAUAGGUCAUGAAAAGACCGAGAAGAAACCUUCAUUAGUAUUUCCAAAAGAAGGUCAUCUGGAAGAGCUUCUAUGAAACUUGGGGUGGUUUUGCCUUGAUGAAUCGCUCUGGGUUUCUUUAUACUUCUUCCUUUCUUCAUACUUCUCCCUCUUUUCAUCAUUCUACAACUCGAUGGGGGUGGUUUGUGCUUUGAGAAGCAUGAACAAAUACACCACCUCUCAUGCAACCCAAAAGUCAUCGUUGCACAAAAACCAAAUCAGCUAAUUAAAACUUACCCAAGCAUGCAUGGAACUAUCAUAAAUUAUAAUUAGCACAACCCUAGAGAAAACAACCUAACCAUCAAACCUAUCACACCCAUCCUUGACUAUUAUUUCUGACAAGUGCAUACUAUGUACAAGUCUUGUGCAUGACCUAAGCAUGUCCCAAAAGUCCCUUUUCAAAUUACUAUAUGCACAUACAUGCACACAAUAUGCACAUUGUGCACGUUAUAUGCACAUUAUAUAUACAUUAUGCACACUAUAUGCGCAUUUUAUGUACACCAUGCACAUGGCAUGCUCAUAAUAUGUACAUUUUGUCCAGAAAUUUGUAAUCAAUUAAUUAUCGGGAAAUUAGGACUUCAAAUUGGAGUAAGUACAUAUAUGUGAAAUUAGGGCCUUCAAAUUAAGGCUUUUAGAUGGCCAGUCCUGUCACAUAAAAGAGUGCAUGUACAUCAAUGUACAUGCAUAACUACUAAACUCAUCAUGACCACAAAGUGGCACAAUGGCCACCAAACCCUACCAUUGGGUUUACCCAAAUCGGACAUGCACAUUAUAUGCACAUCAUUUUGUCAUAGUAAUAUAGUUUUGAGUUGACUUUAAUUUUUUAUUCAAAUUCAAUGCAGUACUUUAUUUUUAUUUUUCUUAAAGCUCAUAAAGAAGUUUUGUUCUUAUGAUAUAAUCGACUUAAUACUAAUUUUUCAUAUACACUUUAAAAUUCCAUCUUUUAUGUUUGAGUAAAAUACACCAUCCCAAUGUGUCUUAGAAAUCCCCUAAACAGCUCUCUUAACACACCCCAACCCAGAAGGUCCACUAGGACUUCGAAUCGAACUGUGCUGGCUGACACCUGGAAGGUGACGAAGCCAUAAAGCAUAAUGAUGUGGAAAAUGUGAAUAAAUUUAAAUCUAAAAUUACCUAAAGACGAGUGCGCUGUGAGCAAGGAUGAACCCAUUUCAAACGUCAGAGCAUAAGUAAAGUACAGUAGUGUAGAUAAGGAUCAUACCCUCGAAGGUAGCGACCUUUACUGAGAUUUGCCAAGAAUCCUCCUCGAUACGAACUUUCAGCAGCUAAAACCUGGAGGGGCGCAACAAUAAGGGUGAGUGAGCCUGAAAAUAAAGUUUUUAAUAAAAACCUUUUGAAAACAUUAUAACCCCUCAUUGUAAAACCCGUAUAAUUUCCCAAAAAAUAAUAAUACAUAUGUAUAUAGAAAUCAUGCUCGAGCGUAGUGAAAACCUAGUAUAUGCCAUGUCAAGUAUCUCAGCAAUGAAAUAAUAAGUCGAGUGAAAUAAAUCAAUGUAAAAUGAUAUGCCAGCCGGAGUCACCUAACAUGGCCUGUAUGGCUGAACCUAUAGCUCAUUAACCAAUUCCUGCACAUGAGUCGGAACCACCUAUUGUGGUUUGUAUGACAAGGCUAGGUGUAAAUAAGUAUGCUCAAGUGCUACGAUCACGUGAAGGCUGUGCGAUAAAUCGCGGGUCACUUACGAAUCGGAACCACCUAAUGUGGUAUGUACGACAGGGCUGUGCACCAAACUUGGAUCCAAGGUGAGCAUGCCUUACGUGACACAACACGGUAGUCAACAUAAGUCAACACUUUGUCUCGAAGGGCAUUUUCAUAAAUUCACUUUUUUAAAUUAUAACACUCACAAUAAUUGGGGACGGGUCCUUACAUCCACGGCCAAGGAUUUUUUUUUACAUAUCAUGUGCAUAUAGUGUGCAUAUCAUGUGCAUAUAUUGUGCAUAACAUGUGCAAAUAGUAUGCAUACUAUGUGGAUAAAAGUGUGCAUAUAAUGUAAAUAUAAUUCAUGUAUUUGUGUUCGAAUAUGAUUAUGAUAACAUGACUUUCACAAUAUGUGUAAUCAUGUGUGAAGGUACACCGUGACUUUGGUGUACUAACAUACAUAUUAUUGUAGUGAAAUAGAUUAAUUAAUUAAUAAAGAAAAUAAAUAAAUUUUUUUAAUUAAUUGUAAAAAGAUACGAUUGCUGGGUAUUUGAACGGCAAAAGUUGUAACUUCACCAAAAGAAGGUUUCUAUCAGAACAAUUUUUUCCAAGGUGAAAUUGUUGCAAACCAUCAUAUCUAUUCCCCUUAUUGCCCAAAAGAUACAAACCAUCUAUUUAAGUUGUCUUCUUAAGAGUUUGUGUUUUAUUUGAAAACCACUACUUCUUGAAACCAAAACCACCUCUACGCUUAUACAAAAUCAAAACCACAACUUCUUCAAACCAAAACAAAAAACACAAGUUCUUGUCCAAAAGAUGAAUAAAGCCAAAACCACCUUAACGCCCAUACAAUCUCUUCCCGACGAACUUCUUUUCCAAAAACUGACUAAGGUUGCUUCCUAAUCUUUUAAAGACAUGUUUUCAGCAAAGAUGGUGUGCAAAAAGUUCAACUAAAUGCGUUAAGACAAUCAUAUAUUCAAACACAUCAACAUUAGGGAAUUUGAAGGCUUCAACCCCUUUACUUCAUAGACUAAUAAGGAAGAUUUCUCCAAGUUCUUGAAAUGGUGCAGGCAGUGUGGCAAUUUUGACACCUUGUACAUGCUAGGGAUGACAUACUUCUUCCAAGACAAUAAGAAAGAAGCCGGAAUUGAGCCUAUGAAGAUGGUGAUCUCAAAGGUUCAUGAAGUAGCAACAUAUGUCUACAAUGUCAUCUUGGUGUGCUACGGGGGGAUUCGAAGCAUGAAGGCCUCAAGCUUCUGUAUUCUCUCAGGACGGUUGAGUGUAAUGGAAUGACAAGAAAUGGAUCUAGUCUUUGUUGGGUCUUCGGGUGAUUUCAUGAUAGUAACUAUGGAAGUCCACAGGGUCAUUUCACAAUCAGUCACAUUGGGGUUUCUUUAACCAUGAAAAAUUCAGCAACUGUAAUUCCUGCAGAUGGCAUCAGGAAGUUAAUAUUUUUUGUGAUAAAAUGUGUGGUAAAGAUAGGUAGAUUUUAUUUUGGUUUCGUUUUGUUGUAAUAGUUGUGUUUAAAUUGCAACACAACGUUUUUGUUUCCUUUGCUUUUCUAAUGUACUUAUUUACUUCCUAAUUAUAUGACCUCUCUAUUUUUUCAUUUGUUGCAAAAAGUCAUCAAGGACCCUAAAAAAAGUAGCCAUAAUUACAAAAAACCAUCAAUUUAUGAUAGUAAUGGACAACAUCCAAUGUGUCAUCAUUACCAUGAAAGUGUGGAAAUCAAAUCAUCCUCUUGUUAAGACCCUAUAUCUACCUUGUCUUAUCACUAGUCUUAUGGAAUCAUUUUGGCAUCAAGUGUUUAAGAGAGUCCCUAGGUGGAAAUUGUGGAGAAAUUGUACAUAUCAUGUGCAUGCCAUGAAUGACGUGCAUAUAACGUGCAUGGACAUAAUUAGAUCUAGGGAUCCAUUAGAUCUUCCUCUAAAUUGUAUAGAACUAAAAAGGAAUUGAAAGUUAUAUGGUAAAACAUAAGGUUGGGUUUAGGGAAAAAAAAAAAAAGAUGUAAAAACCAUCAAGUUUCAAACCUAUGUCUUGUUGAAACUAUCAAACUAUACUCACCAACUAAAAUGAAAUUUAAUAUUGUUUAUACUUGCACAUAAUUGAUAUAUAGUACAAAAAUUGUAGGACAAGCCUAGACCAACCCUCCCAUCCAUGUGGCUCCACCACUAAUCAAUUUCCCUAACUUAUAUUAUUAUAUUAUAUGUUGAAAAUGAAGUGGCCGGAGUUGAUAGCUAUAUGUUGAAAAUGAAGUAGGGGUGUAGAUUUGACAACACACAAACCUAUAUGUUGGAAAUGAAGUAGCAAGAGGGACAAAAAAGGAAUGCUGAGAUUCCUACAACUACUGUAGGUCAAAUGCAACAAAUCCUCACCACACAAACACUUUCAACAUAAUCCCUCUUUUACCCAAUGGGUUUUCUUCCACAUCAAUAAUACAUUUGUAUAAAUAGGCUUCUCACACUUAUUUUCCAUAACCUUUAUCCCCAUACCAAAAAGGCCAUUCCAAUUCUCAGAUAACCAAAACAAUUCACAACACCAAGAUGUCCAUGUUUAGACAUGAAACUGAGGGUUUUAAUGCUAAGUUCCACGAGUGGUACAACAUGGAACCUCUUCCACUUCCAGGGUCACCCAAGGCCCUACGUCAUCGUUUAGCUCUGUCGACUUGGAGAUCCCGCUAAGGAAAUAUAGAUUAGGCUCGUGGGACACUCGAUUAUUAGAUGGGCGUUGACGAGUAUUGGAACCACAAGCUAAUGGAGGUAGAAAAGAGCUUGUGACUUCAACGGUAAAGCCAAUGAAGCGCUUUACUAUGCAAGCAAGCAUAAAGCGAAGGCUGGCACAUCUCAAGAAAUUAUCCCAACCAUAAAUAUUGAAUUAUGGCAUAAGUGUUGCAGCCAUAUUAAGUCAUGUGUGUGUUCCCGGGAGGGAAAGAUCGAAAUAGGGGAGGAAUGCAACAAGGGGUUUGAAGAUUUUCAUUAGGUAUCGAAUCAUUUAAUAAAAUUUGGUAUCGGUGAUCGUUCGGUGAGGGUUAUGCUUAAUAGCUAUGGUAGACUUAAUUUGAAGGCUUAGAUAUUAAGCACUGUAAUGUAGUUGUGCAAUGUAUUUGCUAACUAUUAUAUGAUAAUAAACAUUAGGAUUAUGUAUCCUUGUUAUCUUCAGAGCCUACCAUGUCCUAAACUACGUUAAUGCGAAGAGUAUCAAAUAUGUAAUUACACACUAUAUACACUAUAUGCGCAUGGGAUGCACAUCAUAUGUACACUUUAAGCACAUGGUAUGUAUAUAAUAGGAGAUCGAGCAACGAGUUGCUUUUUGCAUUUAUAAGAAACUUUAAUGGCAACCUAUUGGUAUAGUGGGUACAAUUAAAAUAUAACUAUUACGUAUAUAAGGUUACAGUGACAGUUUGCAAAGUCUUGUUAAGUAUAUCAGCCACCGCUUAACCGUACGCUUGGAAAACAUAAUACUAGUUGUCAUUAUUUCAUGGACAUGCACGACCCUUAACGUCCUCUAAGUUUUUUCUUAAUUUUGUUUUUUGUUGAGGCCAACUUGGUUGUAGUCAUACUCGCUAAAUUCCAGGGCACAAAAUACGUACAUCAUAACUAAUGAACAUUCUCGCUUCUCAUAUUAAGUUGUAGCUAGGCACACCAUGCACACCAUAUGCAAACCACAUGCACAUUACAGAAAAAAAAUUCAUAAAUUUCUGCAAUCCAACACUUAAAGUUUUGUAGCAUGUCAAAAAUUAAAGUUUAUUCCACAACUCAUAGGCCCCAAAAUGAAACAAACCCUAAUUUAACUUCUAAGUAUUAUUUCACCUUAAAAACAACCCAUUUAUUCCAUAAAUAAUUGAUGUAGAAACUUGGAACUAAACACCCUACCUUACUAUGCCUGCUGAAGCUUCAGUCGUAGGGAAAAUGGAAUUUUCCAGCCAAAACAAAAAAUAUGGUACAAACCUCCUAUUUUAAGGAUAGAACAAUUUUGUUAUGUUUGGUUAUGGAAAAAUAACACACAUAGCUCACAGAUCUGAGCUCAAACCCAAAAACUCUGGCCUCAUUCUUCUCACCUCUCUCUCGACAUCCCUAUAGAGCCUAAAACGAUCCCAAAAAUUCUAGCGGCGACAUGUGGACUUUUCUCAAGAAAGACAAGAUUGCCCUCAUUAAAUGGGCAGGCUCCUCAGAUACUCCACGCGCAGCUCACACCCUUGAAGGUCCGAGCAGCUAAAUAUGAUUGCCCACAGCUCACCUGCCUUUGGCAAGGAAAAGUCAAGGCAUUAAAGAUAAGGAUUAAUUACCCAAAUCCUACCUUUAAUACAUUCCCAAUUGAAGAUUGACUCCAUUCAGGUAAGUAAUCCUUAUUUAAAUCAAUUAGGGAUAAUUACUCCAUUAUCUCAAGAUAUUAUUUCCUAUUUAAUAUCUUGAGAAUAUUUCUCCAUAAAACCUUGGCCAAUAGGAUGUUGCCAUGUGUAGGGUAAAACCCUAACACCAUGCUCAACCCUCUCUCCUAUAUAUACCCCUAAUUCUACCAAUUUUUGGUAAGCAUUUACAACCCAAAAAAGCCCUAAACACUUACUCUUCUCAGAGAAACUAACUUAGGCAUCGAAGAUCAAUUGGCCUAACCAACCAUUCCCCACCUCGUGGGCGCGAGGCUUAGGUCCUUGAUCAAAGGUGUUGAUUAUUUUGCAGGUGCAUUUCCAUCAAAGUUAGAGAUGGCGGAAAUUUGCAUCAACAAUCCCUAUGUUCGAAAUCAGAGCUAUGGGGUCAACCCAAAACCCAGCUCACUUUUCUAACCUCUCUCUGCAUUUCCCUCUUUUUGAAAUCAAGGCUCACACAUUUCAGCUCAACCAAAAAACCCAGAGCUCACUGCUCUCUCUCUCUCUCGACAUCCCUCUCAUCCAACGCAGACAAAUGACGUCAUCACCUGUGAAUUUUUACUAUUUAUUUAUGGGUAUUUUCGUCAUUUCAGUUUUGUGUAUGGUGUGCAUGGCUGGUUUGUCCUAUUUCAAUCCUAAUAUUAAGAAAAUGGGUCAUUUUUGGCAAUUUUCUAUUAUUAAUGGCUAUUAACUAAAUCAUCAUUAUUAUCUCUAAAUUUUGAAUUUUUAAAAUAUUUUUUGGUGUGUUUGGGUUUAUACCCCUUUGUUGGCACGUUAACAUAAAAAAAAUUACCAUUGAAAUAUAAAAGUUGUUGACAUAAAGGAUGAGUUUGAAGUGUUUGGACUAAGACUGGUGCUCUUCGGUAUGAGAUAUAUGAAUGUGAAUUUUAAAUUGAACCAAAUUAAAAUGUACCUAUGUCAAUUUGAAACGUACUAAUAAUAACUUGAAAUGUAUCGAUGUUAAAUUGAAAUGUAUACAUUCCAACUCGAAAUGUACAAUAACAACUUCAAAGUAUCGAUGCUAAAUUGAAAAAUAUCCAUUCCAACUUGAAACAUAGCAACAUAUUUGCUUGAAACGUAUACCAAUGCUAAAUUGAAACGCACCCAAUAUCAACCAUCUUAAAAGGAAAUGUACCACUAAAUUCUAUUUCCCAAAUGUACAUGGUACGUGAAAAAGAUAGAAAGAUGAGUAAAAAGUUUGAUAAAACAAAAAGCAUACCCCUUGAUAUGGAUACGAAGAUCAAGAGGUGUGCAUAAAAUGAAAUAUGAAGGUAAUGAAUAUGACUGACAAGGGAGAACGGGAUGGUUGAUUAAGAAGAUAGCACGAUAGUUACUUGUAUGGUGUGGAGUUAGGAAGAAAAUGUAUGUCAUAAGCGUAUGAAGGGUCGAUCUUCGUCUCUACUCUCAUCUCUCAAACCCUAUCAAAGCGAAGAAGAAUAGUAAAACGACAAGGGUGAAGGAUCUGACAUACAAUUUGGAUGGCCCGUCCAUGGUGGUUGUCGUCUGGAUCAAGACUUGAUUAGGCAAACAGAGGGCUUAGUAAUUAUCGACAGGGUGGUAUUAGGUGAUCAUCGAAAGAAUUUAUAUCUCACUUGAGAUUGUGUGUAUGUAGUUAACUCUCAAGGAUUGGAUCUUGUGAACUAGACGCUGCAUAAAAAAUUACACCGAAAUUUCCUUACAAUUGAGAUUUUCAUUAAUGUAGAGAAAAUGGCAGUACAACCAUGGAGAAACACUACAAAAAAGUGGUCUACGAACACAAUUGAUUUAUGCCAUUUUCACUUUCAUUGAGCACAUAUAUAUAUAUAUAUAUAUAUUUGUCGUUUUUAAUGUCAAUGAGCACAAAAAUAUCUCAAAUGUGCUUUCUUAAACAAAAAGGCACAUUAGUUUGUGUCUUCAGUAAAGUAUAUUGUGCCUAUUGAAAUUUGAGCACCAAAUAUUGUGCCCCUAUUUAUAGAUAUUAGUAAACAUAAUUUUUUUAUUAAUUUAUAAAAACACAAAAAACAUUUUUGUGCUCUUGGAUUUAAUAUAUUUAAAUCAAAUGAUUUUAUAGACACAAUGUUCGAGUCUUCCUUCAGCAGUCUGGUCACAAAAUCAUAUUUUAAUAUUAGUUUUUAUUGAUCAAGGCCCAUUGCACCCCACACCAGACAAUGGUGAGCAGUAGCAUUAAAUGAGUUUUUCAAAUACUCCAAUCAUGCCUUCCUUUCCUUUUUCUUAUUACCUACUUUUAAAAAAAAUAGACUCAAAUAUAUCAUUGGUGUCGUCAAAAGACUCAAUUAUAUAUUCUUUAUUAUUAUUUCAAAGACUUAUGACCCACUCAUUCCUUACUCUCUCUCCCCCCCCUAACCCCAAUUUUUCUCUCUCCCCUUCCACUCUCUCGCUUUGUUCCCUUUGACUUAACACAACCACACCAAAAGAUGGUAGAGGAAUCCAGUAAUCCCAAAUAUAUAUAUAUAUAUAUAUAUUAUAAUUUUAAAUUAAAAUGGAGAACUUAUGUGGAUCGUUGGAUUGGCUGAGAUUAAAUCUCGACCGUUCAUGUAUAAUUAACCCUAAAAUAAUCUCUAUCUUGACCUCACUUCACUCUCAAUCUCGCGUCUCCCCCACCGAAACCAAAUUGAGCUCUCCUCCUUCCUUAGUCCUCCCACAUCAAUGACAUCACCCAAAUUUGUCACCUAAAUCACGAAUCCACCCACACCAGUCCUUAGUCCUCACUCAUGGAUCAGUCCCCUGAAUCGCGACUUCACCUACUGGCCACACCACCUCGCCUGAAUCGCAUGAAUUGAGCUCUCGAUCUCAGUCCUCACUCUUCUUCACUGCACAAGGUAAGAAAUUUAUGCAGUAAACUCAACCAAAGUUCAUGGAGAUUGUUAGAUUUCGAAUUCAAUUAGUGAUUUUGAAUAUAAGUUUCUGAAUUAGGGUUUUGAAAUUAGGGAUUUUGAAUAUUUUUUUUUUUACAUUUUCUUUUUUUAUACUUGUCCCUGCGUGCAAUUUUGGAUAUGAAUAUGAUGGGUGUUUUGUUACUUAAUACAGGCCACCACCUUGGUUUCUUGGUGAUUGGUUGGUCGACUUUAUGUUCAAGGUUACUAGUUUGUAGCUUAUACUAAUGUGACCCCGUAAAUCAUAUCAAAUCUUCUUAUAUAUGCAUUAAGAAAAUUGAAUUGAAAUAUUCUAUUCAUUUUAACCAUGCAAAUAUGUACUCUGAGUCUUUGGCUAUGAGUCUAUCUUUCCCAUAUCACUUUGUACAUUGUUUUUCUUUUUGUUUGGGAUACAAACAUGAGUACUGCAUAGCAUAAGCUUCAAGGUUACAUACCAAUUUCCUGGCUCCACUAAUCUAUUUUAUCUGGUUUGAUCUCUCGUUAUGACUUUAUAUUAUUUGUAAACAUCAAUUUAAGUUUGUACUCAGCUCUGAUUAGCAUACUGUAACGACAAAGAAGGAUAAUAUGUUUUCAAGAUCUUAGAGAAUAAUUUGUUUACUGGAACUAUUCCCCCUGAGCUUGGGAAAUUGGUUAACUUGAAUAAUCUUUAAGCACAUUCUUUUUUCUUUCACCGUCAGUUUGUUUUUACUUACUUUUAAUUUUUAUAUAACUUGAAUAAUUUGUAAGCACAUUAGUUUUUCUUUCAGCCUUUGUUUGCUUUUACUUAAUUUUUAAUUUUCAUAUAACUUGUGUUUGUACCAUACUUGAUCAAUCCUAAAACUACUGAGCACCGGUCAACAUUAUACCGUCAAGGACCCAGAAGAGUUUCCCUCCAACCAGGAGGCCAAUCAUAGCGCGACACGUGUCGACAUCAGAAGCCAAUCAUAGCGUGACACAUGUCAACAUCAGAAGCCAAUCAUAACAUGACACGUGUCAAUGUUAGAAUGAAACUAGAAAGUCUCUUCUAUAAAUAGAGAUCAUUCUCUCACAAUAUUUCCUAAUGUCAUUUGUACUAAAUCAUUCACUAGUACUCACAAAAGGAGAGCUUGAACUUAUGUACUUGUUUAAACCCUUCAUAAUUAAUGAGAACUCCUCUACUUCAUGGACGUAGCCAAUCUGGGUGAACCAUGUACAUCUUGUGUUUGCUUCCCUGUCUCUAUCUAUUUACAUACUUAUCCACACUAGUGACCGGAGCAAUCUAGCGAAGGUCACAAACUUAACACUUUCUGUUGUACCAAAGUCUUCAUUGAUUUUGUGCUUCAACAUUUGGCGCCGUCUGUGGGAACGACACUUAUUCCCACUCUCUUUAGCUUUGCUAAGCUGGUUUCCACCAUUCGUACACUCUCUUUUGACCAGGCAUCCAUCUCCAACAUGGGGAGCGAAGGAAGCCACAACACAUAGAAUGACACCCCUCUUGCACCUAGUGCGAAGCAACAAAAGAAAGAAGGAAAAAGGGUUUCUCUUCAAGCUAAAGUCGAUGAGCUAGAAGCUCAGAACAACAAGAUAGCAAUGAAGAAUGAGGUCCUCCAGGAGCAAUAUGAGAAGCUCUUUGAGACGCUCCAAGAAACUAGGCGUACUCAAACACGCGAGCUCGUUGCCCCUGUGGACAUUAACCAUCAUCUGGGUGAUCCCCAACACGAAGGGUCACCUCCCUUCGACAUGGGUAUCCCUGAUGAUGAGCGAGCUAAUCAUCAAAACAUUGAUCAAUAUGAGACUUCUUUCAACCCAGAUGCUUUGACCCGAAGUAGAAGAAGUGGAGGAAGACACUUCCUUGCAGAAGGGUUGGAAGGAUCAAAAGCCGUUUAUCGUGACUGCCGAGACUUCCUAAAGCAGUGUCGAGAGAAUCCCUUCCAUAUAUGCUUGAAGAUCAAUGACCCAAGGGUUUCUGAAAGACUCGGUCCCCUCCCAUGACCCAGGCCAGUUGCCAAUCUAGGGAAGGAAUGACAGGUCCCAGAGGAACAUGCAGGUACGGGGAACUUUGAGGUAUUUUGACAGACUCACCCUAUAAGUCAGUACGGCAAGUCCAAGAAAAAACCACACGCCCUUGUUCAAACUUUCUUACUUCCAAGAGGCGAUGAAGAUUUGAGAAAGAAAAUUCCAGUGGUACAUGACUCCACUCAGGACCCCCUUGUCCUACAACUCCUUGAGGAAGUAAACAAGUUGAAGGCCGAACGUCAGGCCGAGAUACAUGACUGGAACCAACCCAGGCCUGGCCCUCUCACAAGAAGGAUCAUCGACACCCCCUUCAAGCGAAGACAAAACAAAAGCUUGGUUUACAACUCUAUACUGGAAGAGAGGACCCAAUUGAACACCUUAACCUCUUUGAGUCCACCAUGGCAUAUCAGAUGCACACCGACGAAGAGCGAUGUCUUUUCUUCCCCUCCACCCUCUCUGGCGGAGCUCUAAACUGGUAUUGCCGUCUUCCACCUGAGACAGUAAACUCAUUUAAGGAAUUGAGGAAACUGUUUCUCUCUCAACACAUCUUCCAAUCACUGCAGAUGACUUGUAAACUAUUCGCCAGAAGCCGGACGAGUCACUACGAGAGUAUGCCAGUCGCUUCAGUUAUGAGUAUUCUCGCUGCACUAAGGCAGAUGACAAGACCGCCCUCAAGGCCUUCACGGCAGGGCUACGUGAUUGUUUCUUGAAGUACAUGAUCAAUGCCAACACUUGGAAGACUUACUCCGAGGUGAUGGCACAGGCUUACAAACACGCAUCCACCGAAGCAAGGAUAUACCAAGGGAACCCCCAUAUGGUUAACCCCUAUUAACAAAUGGGAAGUGGAAGUCAAGUUUUACCAAGUGAGGAGAUAUUGGCCAUUCAGACACCUAUUGCAUCAUUUCCUGCCUCAUUUAGCUACUCGCUAAGUCACCAAACGUAUCUGUCUCUGAGUAAGAGGAAUGAUUUUUACUCUCAGCAAGUCCAUUACAAUAAGAGGGAUAAAAGUUCGUAUCAAGACAACUAGGGGUGAACGUAUCGUCGACUAUUAUGACUAUGGGGCCAAGUCUCACUAUUUCAAAGUGGAUUACUAUGUAUUGAAGGAAAUGCUAUUAUAAGAAGGCAUACACAUUACAAAUGUUUUGACUCUCAACCGCUUGAGAUCUUUUGUCACACAAGCCAUUCGAUAAGUAUUUAAAGAAGAGGGAAUUCAAACAACUUCUUCUGAGUCUUUUGCGUUCCUAUCACUGGAACACUUGGUCUACGCUGACUUACCCUUAUACUCCAACUCAGAGCUUCAACAUGCGUACUUUGACACAAAGUAUGUGAUACUAAAUGUUACAACCAACAUGGUUCACAUAUCAAAAGCAUGGAUCCCUUCAUGCAUAGCAAAACAUUCAUAAGCAUCACUCAUAUCAAUCAACAUAAACAUUAUACAUUCCAACACAUUCAUACAUAAACAUCAUACAUUCCAACACAUCCAUACAUAAGCCAACUGUGCUUUGAAAGGGUUCAACAUACUUUGUGUCUUCGACACUUGCUACAAUGUGCCUCGACACCUUGCCCUUAUUCUCACAAACCAAGUGAUGAAAUGUGAAGAAGGAACUCAUCUUCAUGCCACCAACCAGGUGAUGAAAUGUACAACCCGUACUUUAAUAUCAUUUGGCAACUUGGCAUUCAUGCCACCAACCAGGUGAUGAAAUGUAUAACCCGUACUCUCCUUCAUGCCACCAACCAGGUGAAGAAGGUACUCAUCCUCGUGCCACCAACCAGGUGAUGAAAUGUACAACCCGUACUCUCCUUCAUGCCACCAACCAGGUGAUGAAAUGUACAACCUGUACUCUAAUAUGAUUUGGCAACUUGCCACUCAUGCCACCAACCAGGUGAAGAAGGAACUCAUCUUCAUGCCACCAACCAGGUGAUGAAAUGUACAACUCGUACUCUCCUUCAUGCCACUAACCAGGUGAUAAAAUGUACAACCUGUACUCUAAUAUCAUUUGGCAACUUGCCACUCAUGCACCCAACCAGGUGAUGAAAUGUACAACCCGUACUCUCCUUCAUGCCACCAACCAGGUGAUGAAAUGUAUAACUCGUACUCUAAUAUCAUUUGGCAACAUGCCAUUCAUGCCACCAACCAGGUGAAGAAGGAACUCAUCCUCAUGCCACCAAGCAGGUGAUGAAAAUUGAUGAAAGGUGAUGAAGGAACUCACCUUCGUACCACCAACCAAGUGAUGAAAGGUGAUGAAGGAACUCACCUUCGUACCACCAACCAGGUGAUGAAAAUUGAUGAAAGGUGAUGAAGGAACUCACCUUCCACCUAUCAGAAGAUGAGUGGUACAACUUGUACAUGUGAACUCCUAACAUUCACAAAUAAUCAAAACCCUCAAGCUUGACAACUCAACUAGGGGAUCACUUAUGCCCAACAAGAGUUAUAGUCACUAACAAAGUCUUGUUGCAAGCCAACAACAACUUUAGUGCAUGGCAUACGAAGAUCAAGCUAUUCAGCUCUCUUGCAUCUGCUUCAAACAUUUCUCCUCUGUAACAAUGCAAACACUACAACUAGUAGAAAGCUUCACACACUCUUGAUCAAGACAGUGUAAAGCAAAACCAAUUUAUGGUGCCAACAAGAGCUUCAUCAAUGGAAGGCAACCACAAUUCUCAAAAGCUUCACACACUUUUGAUUAAAACAGUGUGAAGCAAAACCAAUUUAUGGUGUCAACAAGAGCUUCAUCAAAGGAGUUCAACCACAAUUCUCAAAAGCUUAACACAUUUUUGCUCAAGACAAUGUGAAGCAAAACCAAUUUAUGGUGCCGACAAGAGCUUCAUCAAUGGAGGGCAACCACAAUUCUCAAAAGCUUCACACAUUCUUGAUCAACAUAAUGUGAAACAAAACCAAUUUAUGGUGGCAACAAGAGCUUCAUCAAAGGAGUACAACCACAAUUCUCAAAAACUUCACACACUCUUGAUCAAGACAAUGUGAAGCAAAACCAAUUUAUGGUGGCAACAAGAGCUUUAUCCAUGGAGUUCAACCACAAUUCUCAAAAGCUUCACACACUCUUGAUCAAGACAGUGUGAAACAAAACCAAUUUAUGGUGCUAACAAGAGCUUCAUCAAAAGAGUUCAACUACAAUUCUCAAAAGCUUCACACAUUUUUUAUCAAGACAAUGUGAAGCAAAACCAAUUUAUGGUGUCAACAAGAGCUUCAUCAAUGGAGGGCAACCCCAAUUCUUAAAAGCUUCACACACUCUUGAUCAAGACAGUGUGAAACAAAGCAAAUUUAUGGUGCUAAUAAGAGCUUCAUCAAAGAAGUUCAACCACAAUUCUCAAAGGCUUCACACACUCUUGAUCAAGACAGUGUGAAACAAAACCAAUUUAUGAUGCCAACAAGAGCUUCAUCAAUGGAGGGCAACCACAAUUCUCAAAAGCUUCAAGAGCUUCAUCAAUGGAGGGUAACCACGAUUCUCAAAAGCUUCACACACUCUUGAUCAAGACAGUGUGAAGCAAAACCAAUUUAUGGUGCCAACAAGAGCUUCAUCAAAGGAGUUCAACCACAAUUCUCAAAAGCUUCACACACUCUUGAUCAAGACAGUGUGAAUCAAAACCAAUUUAUGGUGCCAACAAGAGCUUCAUCAAUGGAGGGCAACCACAAUUCUCAAAAGCUUCACACACUCUUUAUCAAGAUAGUGUGAAGCAAAACCAAUUUAUGAUGCCAACAAAAGCUUCAUCAAAGGAGUUCAACCACAAUUCUCAAAAGCUUCACACACUCUUGAUCAAGACUGUGUGAAGCAAAACCAAUUUAUGGUGCCAACAAGAGCUUCAUCAAUUGAGGGCAACCACAAUUCUCAAAAGCUUCACACACUCUUGAUCAAGACAGUGUGAAACAAAACCAAUUUAUGGUGCCAACAAGAGCUUCAUCAAAGGACUUCAACCACAAUUCUUAAAAGCUUGACACACUCUUGAUCAAGACAUUGUGAAGCAAAACCAAUUUAUGGUGCCAACAAAAGUUUCAUCAAUGAAGGGCAACUACAACUUGUAGAAAGCUUCACACACUCUUGAUCAAGACUAUUCGGAGCAACUUCGACUUAUAUGGUGGUUCAUCCAAGCCUUCGACUACUAUAAGGUGUGGCUUGAAUCAUAAUCUCUUACUCAACAGUGUGGAAGCAAAAUUUGUAUAUGUUGUCUCUCCCACAUUUUCAAAUUUCUAGUUUCCCAAAAAAAAAAAAAAAAAAAGUGGGAAAUUGGGAAAUUCAACAAAUUUCUAGUUUUCCCGAAAAAAAAAAAUAUUUGCGAAAUUCAACAAAGUUUCAUCAAUGGAGGACAACUACAAAUUCUCAAAAGCUUCACACUAUCUUGAUCAAGAUAGUGUGAAGCAAAAUCAAUUCAUGGUACCCAACAAAGCUUCACCAACAAAAGCUUCAUCAAUGGAGGACAAUUACAAAUUCUCAAAAGCUUCACACUAUCUUGAUCAAGAUAGUGUGAAACAAAUUCAAUUCAUGGUAUCCAACAAAAGCUUCAACUCCAAAGCUUCACCUACAAAGCUUCAACUCCAAAGCUUCACCUACAAAAGCUUCAACACAAAAGCUUCACCUACAAAGCUUUAACUCCAAAGCUUCACCUAUAAAGCUUCAACACAAAAGCUUCGCCCACAAUAGCUUCACCCAUAAAAGCUUCACCAACAAAAGCUGCAACCCACAAAAGCUUCACCCACCACAAAAGAUUCACCUACAAGCUUCACCAACAAAAGCUGCAACCCACAAAAGCUUCACCCACCACAAAAGAUUCACCUACAAAAGCUUCACCUAUAAAAACUUCACCCACAAAAGCUUCACCCACCACAAAAGCUUCGCCCAUAAAAGCUUCUCCAACAAAAGCUUCACCCAUAAAAGCUUCACCCACAAAAGCUUCACCCACCACAAAAGCUUCACCCAUAAAAGUUUCACCAACAAAAGCUUUACCCAUAAAAGCUUCACCCACAAAAGCUUCACCCACCACAAAAGCUUCACCCAUAAAAGCUUCACCAACAAAAGCUUCACCAACAAAAGCUUCACCCAUAAAAGCUUCACCCAUAAAAGCUUCACCCACAAAAGCUUCACCCACCACAAAAACUUCACCUAUGAAAGCUUCACCAACAAAAGCUUCACCCACUACAAAAGCUUCACCCACAAAAACUUCACCCACAAAAACUUCACCUACAAAAGCUUCAACACAAAAGCUUCACCUACAAAAGCUUCACACUAUCUUGAUCAAGAUAGUGUGAAGCAAAAUCAAUUCAUGGUACCCAACAAAGCUUCAACCUCAAAGCUUCACCUACAAAGCUUCAACACCAAAGCUUCACCUACAAAGCUUAUAUAUAUAUAUUUUUUUUCUUCAAAAAUUCGAAAAUUCGAAAAUUCGUAAAUUUGUAAAUUCGAAAAAAAAAAAAUCGAAAACAAAUUUCAAAAAAAAAAAAUGCCUAGGCCUCCUCUUAUUUGGGCCUAACAACUUUCAUAACAAAUAUAUAUGAAGGAGGAGUUUUGGGUUACCACUUAGAAAGGAAAUGCCUCAUUCGUCAACUCCCUCAACCGGAGACUUGGGGGACUCCUACUAUAUGCUACUGCACCUUGAUACUCGGAAGUCUCACGACCACUCAGUGACUUGGAUUUUUCAAGUCUCCAACCGAGAAGUUUUCCUUACUAGGGAAAUUAAGGGAGCACUACCUCAACAUACAUACUUCACUCACAAAGCUUCAACAUACAAGCUUCAACAAAAGAAAAAAUUCAAAGAACUUAGUGAAUAAGGCCUUGGUGUAUUUAACACAAUACUUUGAAAUGAAGCAAAGCUUGUUUAUUGAUAUCUCUGAUAAGUUACAAAUAUGUACAUAUACAUGAAUCAAAAUAAACAAACAAGAGGGAGCCUUCACAAAGGUUGCUCAGGAGAAGUCUCAGUAGUCGGCAGAGCCCCAGAAAGAGGAGGCAUCAGAGGGUCAUUAUUCGGAGCCUCGGUACUGGGCAGAACCCCAAAAGGAUGAGGCAUCGAAGGUUGAUCAUUUGGAGCUUCAUUACGCGGUACAACCUCAGAAGACGAAGGCAAUAAAUGCCUUUGGAACAAACCCACAAACCUCUGAUGAUCAAGUAAAAUCUGACCAUCAGAUUCCUGCAGCUGGUCAAGCUUCCUCUUCAUGUUUAUAGCAUAGUCAUGUGCAAGCCUGUGCAACUGUUUAUUCUCAUGCUUAAGCCCUCUGCUCUUCUAUUUGAGACUUAUCACUUCAGCCGCCAAUGAUUCAACUUGGUGGGUUCAAGCAAAUAGGCGUUGGGCCAUAUUAGACACAGAACCUGCAUACUGAACACUAAGAGCCAGAGAAUCCUUAACAACCAACUCAUCAGACCGUUUGGAAAGUAGUCUGUUAUCUUUGAGAGUGAGAAGGUUCUUGGCCACCACCGCAGCGGUCAUAUCAUUCUUCAUCACAGAGUCCGCAACGGUAAGAGGACCAGUAAGGGAUAAGAAGGAUGGGCACCAUAUGUUGUCUUGAGAAGCCAUGGCUGCCUCUUCACGAAAGUUCAAGUCAAAAUGAAGGAGAAAUAAGGUGCAAUAAAUCUCUGAAGUAAGGGGAAAAUUCCUACAAGCAAUAACUAUCUGAAUGUACUUCUUGCACACAAUUGGUGCCCUUAUAAAAGAAAGGGCAACAAGGUCGUUGGUUCAAAAAUCGAAGAGGCACCACUUUCCGAAUUCCGAAAAGGCACCACUUUCCACACGCAAUAUCAGCUCAUCGGGCACCACAAAUAACUUUGCCAAAGAUCUCUAACAAAGUUUAGACACAUAAAUUUUGAAGGUCCAGCCACCCUACUAUUACCCACAAGUGUAAAGGAACAACACCACUGCUUGAUAACUAGAAAUUCCCAAUAUGUGUCAACCUCCGUGCUCCAUGGCAAGGCAGACUGGCAAAAAUGCCCAACCUUUACUCACAUUCGAGAAAACACUCCCAACAAGAUUGCUUGCUCAAAAAUCGAAGAGGCACAACUCUCCGAAUAUCAAGAGCCAGACUCCCAAUAGGAUUACGUGCUCAAAAUUCGAAGAGGCACCGCCCUCCGAAUCUUGAGAGCCAUACUCCCAACAGGAUUACUUUCUUAAAAAUUGAAGAGACAUUGCUCUCCGAAUCUCAAGAGCCAGACUCCCAACAGGAUUGUUUUCUCAAAAAUCGAAGAGGCACCGCUCUCCGAAUCUCGAGAGCCAGACUCCUAAUAGGAUUACAUGCUCAAAAAUCGAAGAGGCACCGCCCUCUGAAUGUCGAGAGCCAGACUCCCAACAGGAUUACUUUCCCAAAAAUCGAAGAGACAAUUCUCUCCGAAUCUCAAGAGUCAGACUCACAACAGGAUUUUUUUUCUCAAAAAUCGAAGAGGCACCGUUCUCUGAAUCUCGAGAACCAGAUCCCCGACAGGAUUGCUUGUUCGAAAAUUGAAGAGGCACCCCUCUCCGAACUUCGAGAGCCAGAUUUCCUUGGAUGAAGCUUGUCUACAAUCUUCACACGCAACAUCAGCUUUAGCUUUCCAGAUACCACAGACCACUUUUUCAAAGUGCUCUGACAAAGUUAAAACACGUGAAGCUUGCAACUCCCACUACAUUGCUAUGACCAAGAAGGGUAAAGGAAUAACACUACUACUUGUUAUUAGAGAGACUUCUAUAUAUGUCGACCUCCAUCCUUCAUAGCCAGGCAGACCUAUAAAUAAAAAAAAUGCUCAACUUUUCUUCACAUCCGAGAGGGCACUCUCAACAGAGUCUCUCGAAAUACUCAGCUUCUUUUCUUCCCGAUAAUACCUCUGCAAACAAGCCACACUAGAGCAAGAGUAUCUCAUACCAUUAGGGUUAAAAGCAAGAGUAUCCCAUAUCAUGCUUUUUCCCUGUCUUUUCGUUUGGCCUUGUUCUUACCUACAAGACAAGGAGAAAGUGAGCAAUCAAUCAUCACUUGGAAUCAAACUUCCAAUCAGGAACUGACUGCUUGGAACCCUUUACCUCAUUACUUACCUGACAUUGCUCUCGAGUACUCAUCUUCAACAUCUUAUGCUUCUAGAGAAGAUACCACAUCUGCCUGAGGAACAGAUAAGGCAAGUGAGAAGGAUACAAGGAAGCAUGUGGAGACAAGCGUAACAGAACACGUGCUAAUACAUCCACUACUUUGUCAACAGCAAAAGUAUCCCAUAUCAUCAGGGUCGAACGUACUCUAGAUUUGAUGGACUUGUUUUGACCUUCAAAUUCUUGAGUCGACCUGAUACUCUGGAGGAAACCAGAAACCCUUCAACCCAGUUCAAGAAUAAGCAUGUGGAAAGUUACUUCUUCAAAAGCAAAAGUAUCUCAUAUCAUCUCGUCUCCAUUUGCUUCUCCUUAUCCUUGUUGCUAUUUACAACACAAGAAAAAGGAAAACAAUCAACCAGAAGCUGAAGUCGAACCUCCAAUCCAGGUUGCUUGCUUGGAAGUCUGAUUGCUUACCUUGUCUAUUACCUCCUUUGGUAAAUCUCCUAGCUUGGCGACUUGGGGGACUCCUACUAUAGGGUUUGUAUCGCACUUGACCAAGCUCGAAACUACAAGUAAGCUUCAAGUGAAAUUGAUACAUUACCUUGUGCAUCUUCAUCGAUUAAAGAUACCACCCCUGGAUGGAGGAAAAGUACUUCCAGAGAAGAUGCCACAUCUACAUAUGAGACAGAUAAGGCAAGUGAAAAUGAUAUCACACUUCAAUACUUAGAAGUUUCGCGAUUACUCAAUGACUUGGAUCUUCCAAGUCCCCAACCGAGGAGCUUCCCUCACUCAGGAACUUAGGGGAGCACUGUUUGUACCAUACUUGACCAACCCCGAAACUACUAAGCACCGGUCAACGUUAUACCAUCAAAGACCCAGAAGAGUUUCCCUCUAACCAGGAAGCCAAUCACAUGUGUCGACAUCAGAAGCCAAUCAUAGCACGACACGUGUCAACAUCAAUAGCCAAUCACAACACGACACGUGUCAAUGUCAGAAUGAAACUAGAAACUAUUUUCUAUAAAUAGAGAUCAUUCUCUCACAAUAUUUCCUAAUGUCAUUUGUACUAAAUCAUUCACUAGUACUCACUAAAGGAGAGCUUAAACCUAGGUACUUGUGUAAACCCUUCACAAUUAAUGAGAACUCCUCUACUCCAUGGACGUAGCCAAUCUGGGUGAACCACGUACAUCUUGUGUUUGCUUUCCUGUCUCUAUCCAUUUACAUACUUAUCCAUACUAGUGACCAGAGCAAUCUAGCGAAGGUCACAAACUUAACACUUUCUAUUGUACCGAAGUCCUCAUUGAUUUUGUGCAUUAACAACUUGAAUAAGCAAGUAUUAGUUGAUAAAUUAGCAUUGGUAUCUGCAGCAUUUUGAAUGCAAACAAUCACAUGGGAGAAUUGCCUGGGGCUCUCACUAGUUUGACUGAGUUAAUAAAAUUGUAAGUGUUUGCACCCUUUUUCUUUCUUACUGUAAAUCUGUUAGAAAUCUUCGAUUUAUUGUAUUCCUUAAUUGUAUUUAUGCAGGAUUAACAGUAACAACUUAACUGGAAAAGUACCUGAUUUUUUUUUUCAAAGUUGGAAGCAACGACAUAAACUUGUCAACAAUAUUUUCCUAUUCCAUAUUCUAAAUUUUUAGUAUUCAUAAACUAUGAGCAAUAUUUUCCUAUUGCGAUCUAGUGUUUCCAAAAGUUUGUUUCAAGUUUUAGGGUGUUUCAAUUUUGUUAUUUUUUUUCUUUUUGUUAUUAUUAUUUUUUUAAUAUUUAACCGAUAGGGCGCAAUUACAAAAAUUGUGCUAAUAUGAAUUUGAAAUGUCAUCUGACACAGGUGUCAGAACUGGGGCAAAAAAACCCUUAUAUGUGCUCAACUCUUUGAGCACAAAUAGCAAUAUCGUGCUCUCUAAUCAAAGGGCACGCCUAUAGAGCGCACAUAUGAUAGUUUAGUUGUUGCAUUGUUGCUAUUGCUCUAUGGGCACAUAUGUUGGUGCCCUUUGACCUCAUAGGACACAAAUAACUUAUAGUGCACACUGCCCAUAUUUUUUGUAGUGAAAAGAUUGGGAGCUUUGCUCACCUUGUUAACCAAUCCUCAGGGACAAAAGUGAAAAUUAAUGGUGCUAGGGUUUUUGAGGGUUUCAGAGAUAGUGCAAGUUUUGUAUUCAACUGGAAUGCAUAGGGAGUCAGGGACACACUUUUGAGUGUCAGGUUGGGCUUACUUCUGGAAGCCUACUAACAACAAAGUUGCUGGGAUUUUGUGGCAAUGGAGAUUGAGGCAUCAUUUAUAUUCUCCAUAUGAUAUACACAUGUUUACCAUAGAAAAUCAUAAAUAACUGUUUUCGAUUUAAUAUGGAUAAAAUUAUAUUAAAGGGGUGCAUCAUGGUGAUUUUUUGUAUCAUGAAGGUUACGCAAAUUUGCAAAAAAUAAAGCAAUAUAUAAGAAACAUAAAAAAAUCACUUAAGAAAGAGGAAAAUAUUAUAAUCAGGUUCAUGCUUUAUUGCAUGUUUAAACAUAUAAUUAGCAGUUUGGCAUGAACUUGAAAUCAUGAAACGAAAUACCUGUUCCAUGGUAGAAAAGGGCCUUACAGAUGGAGCCUGGCCACUCUCUUGGGUGUUUUGCAACAUCAAGGGUUUGAUUACUUGCCCCUAGAGUAGUGGUGGUGUCAAGGGCAGGGUUGUCCUCAACAUGUGUGGUGUUGUGGGCAAGGUCCUGUGUUGUGCAGGCCAUCGUCAAACAUCUGGUUAGACGUUGGGGGGGAUGAGGGAGGGAGAGGUGUGUGUACCAGUCAAAGACUCUCUCGACGGUCAAGUUAGUAAAUGAUAUUAAGACUCACGAAAUGGGCAAAAGAAUCAGUGUGCUGUGAUUGCGUUACCACAUGUGAACUCCUAUAAGAGUAUUUAUACCAAUUAAGGAGAUGACCAUUUAGAAUAGUAGAAUCGUCAUUAAAUCGGGAGAAUCCCAAAGGAUAUCUAGGAAGUAGAUACUGCAUCUUCUUAUAAGUGUGAUUACUUGCAGCGCAUGCCAAUCCUUCGAUUAUAAGGACUCCAAGAUUAUAAAAAACCUGUUGAUUCCUUGCUGGAUUAGGUUUUCGUAUCUUACGGAACAAACAUGACUUCACCCACAAAUCGGAACAUGGUGAUGGUAGCAUCACUGCUCUGUUUAGUCUACAGCGGAAUGUAUCAAAUAAACCAACGGUUCAUCAUGAAUAUGUUACAUGGUAAUUAAAUCGUCAAUUUGUUCCAUAUAUUUGGAUUACUAAAUGAUCUCCUAUUCUAAUAAUUUUUCGUAGGAAUGAUCAUUAAGUGAAGAUUAUGAAAUGGAACUGUUCUAAUUAUGAAAUUUGUACAAUAAAGAUCUAUUAUUCAGAAGGGUUUGAUAUUGGAUGCAAGUAUUGUCCAUAUAUUUAUUCACAUUUUGUAAUGGAAAACUAGCAUAAGAUUGCAAUUCUACACACGUAAUUAAUACCAAGGGCAGAUCUAUAUAGGGACCAGAGUGGUCUCAGGACCCUCCGGAGUUCAGGAAAAACGCUUGUGAAGUACCUUGGAGGACCACCUUAAACUAUAUAAUAAGCUUUAUGAAGUACUGGAUGGGAUAAAUAUCAUUGUGAAAGAUAAUAGUUAGUAUCCUAGUAGGUAUAAGAGCCACCGUUGGCUAGGUUUAAUCCGUCGAAGUUCGAUUUUGUAGUUGCAAAAAGCCAAAAUGAAGAAGGUGGAUUGUAUACCCUACUUUUGUCUUUUGCUAAAACGUAGCUAUUUUGGAGAAAUUUUUAGUUGUAACGGGAACACAAGUGGUACACCACGUGUUUUAAUAGGAAUGGUGGGAAAUUUUAUUUUUUAAGUUAUUAACUUUUUAGCACACAUAUCUCACUAUUUGUACAGUGACACAUGAUAUACUACCCCGUGUACCAGUCACACUGAAAAAUCUCUCACUAUUUUGCCCUUUCCUUCUUCCAUGGACAAGGAUUGUCUGCCCUCCCACUUCCGGUGCCCUCUCGUGCCCUCCUGUUUUGUGUGGUCACGGUUAAGCCACGUCAACAUUUUAUAUUGUUUUUUAUAGAGACAAUAAGACAAAAAUGAAUAGUAAUAUAAAAUGUUGACGUGGUUUAACCGUGACCACACAAACAGGAGGGCACUGGAAGUGGGAGGGCAGACAAUCCUUGCCCUUCUUCCAUCCCUUUUUUUAUUAUAGUUGGACCCAUCAUUUUCUCUCAAAACAUUGUUUUCUAUCCCCACUUUGCCUUUUGGCUCUAUUUCUGUCCCCUGCAAAAUAUUGCAUAUUAAAUAUAAUACUAGAGAGAUUAAACUUAUCGACAAAAUUUACAAAUUAAAUGAUGUGUCGCUAAUAAGAAAUGAGCAUGUUUAUUAACAGUUAAGUAAUAAUCUAAUCAUCAACUUCCAUUUCAUUUAGUUUACAAAAUUUUGUUUACAAAUUUAAUCUCCUAGCAUUAUUCAUUUUUUAACCUCUUAGAUUACUAGUAUCUCUUCACCAUAUAAUUUACUAUUCUUAAGAAAAACCUUUUCAAUUUACGAGUUGUUAAGAAAAAUUGACGUUAAAUAUUUUAGCAAGGUUUUUAAUCUCUUAAAAACAAAACAAGGCCGUCUACAUACUGGCAAAGUUUUUGACGAAAUGUUUCUCGUAAAAAAUAGAGAAAACAAUUGUGCACGGUAUUUCCGUCUAGAAAAUCGAUUCUUUUAUACUAGGAUCACCCGAAGUUGAAAUUCUUAAUGUGCGACUGAUUAACACUAGGAAUUUGUGUUUGACCUAAUAUCUUCUGCAACCAUAUGGUUCUGAAAUUGAGUCUCUUGAUAUGCAUUCAGGUCACAUACUUCAAAUGCAGCAGAGUGUCGCUUGGUGUUGGCAUGGACCACCUCAUAGCAGAUGGAGUUUCUGGUCUCUUCCUUAUAAAUACAUGGUUGUGAUAUGGCUCGUCGUCCGGCUCUUACAAUUCAACCAUUCAAAGACAAAUAAUUAUUUCGUGCCCGAGACCCACCUCAGCUUGCAUUCACCCACCUCGAAUAUCAACCUUCACCCCAAAUGAAAACCCCCAUCCGCAAAGCAUAACUGAUACUACGACCUCCAUUUUCAAAUUUACGGGGGAGCAGCUCAACAUUUUGAAGGCCAAGUCUACUGCAGAUGGUGGGAAUACAGUCAAGUAUAGCAUAUUUGAGAUGUUGGCAGAUCAUAUUUGGAGAUAUGCAUGCAAGGCGCGUCAACUUCACGAUGGCCAAGAUUGUUGAAUUAUAAGUCUAUAGCUGAUUAGUAUUAGUGAAAUAAGAUGAGUUUACUUUGUGAAUUCACUUGAGCAUAUCUACCAAGUGUGAGAUUAAAAGUUGUAAGGUUAAAAUAGCUAAGUGUAGUGAUCCUAUGAUUUAGUUAGAUGUGUGGCUGAGAUCAAAUGUGAGUAUGUGGAUCUAGCUAAGGCAAAAAAAAAACAUGUCUUGUAAUGCAUGUGUGCGCUCAUUUUCCUUCUUUAAGAAAAAUAUAUCCAUCUCUGCAACUUCUACAAAGAAAAGAGAGAACAUUCAUUCCCCUGCAUCUCUCAAUCUUCUUUCGAUCUUCAUAUCAAAUAACUCAAACAAAUCAAAUUACACUAACAUGGCCUCAGAGCCAGGUUGCGUCAUUUAAAAAUCUGGGUGUAAAUCUGUGAGGUUAUUGAGUUCAAUCGAAGCUUACGAAAGGUUUGCAAGAUGUCUGGAUUUGGAGGCUCGGAGGUGAGAACUCCAAUAUUCUCCGGCGAGAACUACGAGUUCUGGAGAAUUAAAAUGGUAAUAAUUUUCAAAUCUAUUGGGUUAUGGAAUCUGGUACAAAAGGGAUUGCCAACACCCGAUUCAAAGAAGAAGAAGAAGGAAGCUGAAGGGUCAUCGAAAGACGACGAUGAUGAAGAAAUGGUUGUUGUGCUCAUGAAGCAUGCAAAGGCUCUGGGUAUUAUACAAAAUGCUGUUUCUGAUUAGAUCUUUCCUCAGAUUGCCAACGCCGACUCAGCUAAGAUGGCAUGGGAUCUACUAUAUGGUGAAUACCAUGGUGGUGAUCAGAUCAGAUCUGUAAAAAUUCAAAAUCUUAGAAGAGAAUUUGAGUAUGCUAGAAUGCGAGAUGAUGAAUCCUUAUCUAGUUAUCUCACAAGGCUGAAUGAUUUAAUUAAUCAAAUGAGAACAUUUGGUGAAUCUCUGUCUAAUGAGAGACUUGUGCAGAAAGUUCUGAUUAGUCUAAGUAAACCUUAUGAUUCGAUUUGUUUGGUCAUUGAUGCGAAAUAUAUAAGCACACAAAUUAAACCCUCUUUUUAUCAAAUGUAGUAAAGUAUGUAAGUAGGGAUGUUCUGGACCGGGGAUUAGGAGGGAUUGCUAAACACUUGAAAACUGACUUAGAAACGUAAAAACAAAGUUUAAAACACUAAACUAGACUCAAAGAAUGUAAAACUAAAGUUUGAAACACUGAAACAAACCAAAAGACUCAAAACAGCAAACAAACACUCAAAACUGCCUUAAAAACACUUUCUGGGCAGUUUUGAACACAAACACAAAUUUGGACGAAAUUGGGUUACAACUUGAAUCAAAACACUUAAAAACACAAACUAAAUGGAUUUUUAACUAAUCUAACACAUUAAAAUAAAGGAGGAUUUGGUUUUGACGAAAUUGAAAACAAGACAAAACUUUGUAAUUAAAACAGAUUGUAGAACGAAUUUGAAUGAAAUUUAUGGAUGGAAGGCUAGCUAGGAGGUUCUUCUCCACACAUGUCACACUUGCAUACAAAACGAUCUCCAAUUGUUUUUCGAUAAACUAUGAAUACUCAACGCCCCAGAUUAACCGUGAAUUGCACUAAUUAACCCUCAGAUUUUCCUAAAGUUAUUGAAUUGGAUGAUUGCAUACGACAACCCAAAGUAUUCCCCACAAGUUCCCUACAUGAAUUGCAUAAUAGAGAUACAAGCAAGAAUCAUUAAAUUCUAUGAAAAUCAUAAGCAUUGACGAGGCACUUGUUACUAUGAAUUGCAUGAAACUUAUGCCAAGAAUUUACUUAACGCGAUUGUGAUUAACAACCUUUACUACUUGUGAAUAUAAGUUCAUAACGAUUAGGUGAAACUCCCUUAUAUCCUAGCAUUAGAUUUAUGCAUGAAAAUUAAGCGUGCACUCUCAACCAACACACAUAAAUCAGUUUUAAUUCAUAUAGAUAAGUAAAUUGAAUUCACAACUUAUGAAACACAAUUCGAAGUAAUCAAAUCAUAUUGCAGGCAUAAACAUGGUUUCAAAUUCCCUCUAGCCAAAGGGGGGUUUAGUUCCUUAUACUUACAAAACAAAGAGUAUUGAAUUUAAACAUUGAAAACAAAAGAAAGAAAACACCUAAAGCGUUCCAGCAAUCCUAACUUGAAUGGCAUGCACGUCCAAGGCUUCUCCUCCUUCCUCUUUGCUGCGGCACAAGGUUUUGGGGACAGGUUUGGAUGGUAUUUGUAUGGAGGAAUGGAUGGGAGAUGGUAUAGUGGUGUUGAGGAUGGAUGGGGGGUGUGGCAAAAGAGAGAAAGAUGGCUGAAAAUGUGUUUGUGAUGUAGUGUAUGAAUGUGUAGAUGGGUUUGGCUAAAAGAAUGGAUGGAGAAUGGGUGGUGUGGCUGAUUGUGUUUUUGAUGUAGUGUAUGAAUGUGUAGAUGGGUUUGGCUAAAAGAAUGGAUGGAGAAUGGGUGGUGUGGUUGAUUGUGUUUUUUUGAUGUAGUAUAGUGUUCUUCCCUUCACUCCCUAUUUAUAAAAGCUCCAAAGCAAAGAAUGGCUUCAAUAAACAAUACAAACAAAGACCAAAAUGAUGCAAAAACAGCUAGUUUACAUGCUCUUUUAUCAUUGUGUCUUGCCUUUAACAAAAGGCAAUCAUUCCUCUCUUGCUAAUUCAACUCCUUUGUAGCUGUCCAUGUGCCUUCAUUUUUCAAUUUCUGAUGCAUUUGCCUUGUAUUCCAUCCCUUUUCCACAUGUACUAGCUGUUAGACAACUUUCACACACAUCUUGUGCAUCAUUUCAUCUUGCAAACAUCAACUUUCGGCCACUUUACACCUCUACACACAUGCUAUGCAUCAUUUCAGCUUGCAAUUAUGUUUGUAGUUGCUGAAAAUGUGAAUACAACUUGUAAAGCAAUCCAACAAAUGGCAUCUUUCACUUCUUUUCCUUUCAAAUUGUUCCUUAAGUGUAUGUAUCUGCACACUUCCACACUUCAACUUCAUUAUCCAGAUUUUUGCAUGUGUUGAAAUCCUUUUUAAAACACCAAAAACGCCCAUCCCACUUGCUCCAUAUGCAUGCAAUCCAUUUUGGCCCAAAAUUGCUCCAAAAUGCACCAAAAUGCACUUUCUUUCCAACUUUGUUAUUAGGACCUACAAAUACACGAAAAUAGCUUAAAACACUCUUAUAAGCAAUAACUAACUAAGUAAAUGCAAGAAAACAUGUUAACUAAGUCGCAUAAAUAUGCUCCUAUCAGUCAUAGAAAAUACAAAGUGCCUAGAGACUGUAGAAUUGCAGGAAGUUGUUGCAAUCUUGAAGAGUCAAGAACAACGGUUUGAUUUGCAUAAUGUUGAUACCACUGAGAAGGCAUUUGCAUCAUUCUUAGUGAGUCCCAAAGGGCAAAAUAGAAGUGGAGUUCAAUCUGGUUCAUCAAAAUUCCAGAAGAAUUGGAACUCUAAGGGAAAGAAAUGGGAUCAAAACCUAGAUUCCAACAGAAACCUUUCAAUAGUCCUGCAUCAAAUUCAUAUCAGUCAUAGUCAUUAGGUCAAGAGAGUAUCAAACCACAGUGUAGAGUGUGUUCUAAGUUCCAUUUGGAGAAUGUAGAUAUAAGGAGAAGCCCAAAUGUUAUACAUGCGAUAAGUUUGGUCAUUGGGCUAGAGAAUGCAUUGUAAGGAAGAAUGUGCAAAAGGCAAACUCUGCAAAUCAGGUGGAAGUGACAGGGAAUUUUUUCUAUGCUAAUAGUGCAAUCUCAGAGACAAAUGUCAAUGUAAAUUGGUAUGUUGACAGUGGUUGUAGUAACCACAUGACAGGGAAUGCUGAUCUUCUUGUUGACAUAAAAAUAAAUGUUGCUGGAAAAGUGCAAAUGCCUACUGGUGUGUUAGUGAAUGUUGCUAGAAUGGGUUCAUUGCAGAUAAACACUAAUAGAGGUAAAAAGUAUAUCAAAGAAGUCAUGCAUCUGCCAGGGUUAAAAGAGAACUUACUGAGUGUUGGACAAAUGGAUGAACAUGGAUAUUAUCUAGUGUUUGGAGGAGGCUUGUGUAGUAUAUUUGAUGGACUUUCACUUGACAAUUUUGUCAUCAAGGUUAAGAAGAAGGAAAAUAGAUGCUACCCUCUUUCUUUGUUGCAAAAUAAUCAGUUGGUUCUGAAGGCUAGCAUAGAGCACUCUACUCAGAUUUGGUACAGAAGACUAGGUCACUUGAACUUCAGGGGGCUUCAGCAACUCAAUGAGAAGAAUAUGGUACAUGGUCUUCCAUAUCUAGAAGCAAUCAAAGAUGUAUGUCAAGGAUGUCAAUUUGGAAAACAACAUAGAGACUAGUUUCCAAAAGAACAAGCCUGGAGAGCAAACUGUCCUCUGGAACUUAUUCAUGUUGAUCUGUGUGGUCCUAUGCAGAAUGCAUCCUUGGCUGAAAACAAGUAUUUCAUGCUAUUCAUUGAUGAAGGAUGAUUUGGGUGUAUUUCCUCAGACACAAAUCUGAUGCAUUCAAUUACUUCAAAAAGUUUAAGUCAAUGGUGGAGUUGUAGAGUGGUUUCAAACUUAAAUGCCUAAGGAGCAAUAGAGGUGGAGAAUUCUUAUCAUCUGUGUUCACUAAGUUCUGUGAUACUGAAGGCAUUCAAAGACAACUUACAAUGGCUACUCCUCAACAGAAUGGAGUAGUGGAAAGAAAAAUCUGAACUGCGGUUGAAAUGGCAAAAGCUAUGCUUCAUGAUAGAGAUAUGCCAUACUUUCUUUGGGUCGAAGUUGCACACACAGCUGUGUAUAUUCUAAAUAGGUGUCCUACAAAGGCACUUGGAAAUACAACUCCUUUUGAAGCCUAUAGUGGUAGAAAACCAGGUAUAGCAUAUCUCAAGAUUUUUGGUUCCCUGUGCUAUGUACAUGUGCCUACUGAGACAAGACAGAAGCUAGAUGCUAAGAGUGUCAAAGGUGUGUUUGUGGGAUAUGCUACAUGUGAGAAAGGAUACAGAAUAUUUGAUCCAUGCACUAAGAAUCUAAUCUUGUCAAGAGAUGUAGUUUUUGAUGAAUCUAUGACUUGGAAUUGGAAAGAAAAUUCACAAAAUUCAGUUGCUGCAACCUACAUUCAGGAUCAACCUGAAAAUGUAGUUGGUGUGAAUUCAUAUGAGUUGAGUGAAACUGAAGAAAGCUUCCUUAGUUCUAGUUCUCCCUCUUAUACAGAAGAACAAGAAAUCUGUACCCCUGAAUCUGCAAAGAUUUCAGAGACUUAUGAUCACUCACCUCUGAAAUGGAGAAAUUUGAAUGAUGUUCUUGCCCAAUGCAACUCAUGCAUUCUGGAACCAGAAAGAUAUGCAGAUGUAGCUCAAGAUGAAUGAUGGUUAAAGGCAAUGGAAGAUGAAUUAGCUAUGAUUGAGAAGAAUGGCACCUGGAAGCUUGUGGAUAGACCAACCGAAAAGCCUGUUAUUGGAGUUAAAUGGGUCUAUAAAACCAAGUUGAAUCUUGAUGGAUUAGCUUUAAAAAACAAAGCUAGACUGGUUGCAAAGGGUUAUGCUCAAAAGCCAGGACUAGACUACAGUGAAACGUAUGCUCCGGUGGUGAGAUUGGAUACUAUCAGGACUCUUGUAGCCUUGACAGUACAUAAGAGCUGGAAAUUAUAUCAGCUUGAUGUAAAAUCAGCUUUUCUGAAUGGUGUAUUGGAAGAAGAAGUUUAUGCAGAUCAACCCGAAGGAUAUGUAGUCAAGGGAAAGGAAAAUAAAGUCUACAAACUGCAUAAAGCUCUGUACGGGUUAAAACAGGCUCCAAGGGCCUGGUAUGGAGAAAUUGAUACAUACGUCUCUCAGUGUGGUUUUGAGAAAAGUUUGAGUGAACCAACACUGUACACUAAAGCAAGGGGGCAAGACAUUCUGAUUGUUUCUAUCUACGUGGAUGACAUAGUCUAUACUGGUAGUAAUAGACAGAUGCUUGAAGAAUUCAAAGAAGACAUGAAAAGAAAAUAUGAAAUGACAAAUUUGGGUCUUCUCCAUCAUUUUCUUGGAAUGGGGAUAAUUCAGACCAAUUUUAGCAUUUUCAUUCACCAGAAGAAAUAUGCAAGUUCUUUACUAAACAAGUUCGGUCUAAAUGAGUGCAAAUCUGUGAUCAUACCACUUGUGGCAACUGAUAAGUUAACCAAAGAUGAUGGAAGUGGAGCAGUAAGUGAAGAACUAUACAUAAGCAUUGUGGGGAGUCUUCUAUAUCUCACAACUACUAGGCCGGACAUAAUGUAUGCAUCUAGUCUACUUGCUAGAUGUAUGCAUCUAGUCUACUUGCUAGAUUUAUGCAUUGUCCUACUAGCAAGCAUUUUGGAACUGCCAAACGUGUGCUCAGAUACAUUAAAGGGACUCUUGACUAUGGUUUGGAAUACACAAAAGGCAAGAAGGCAAUAUUGAUUGGCUAUUGUUAUUGGCUAUUGUGACAGUGACUGGGGUGGAUCACUAGAUGAAAGCAAAAGUACAUCUGGAUAUGCAUUUUCUUUUGGAAGUGGCGUUUUUUCUUGGGCUUCAGUUAAGCAAAAUUGCGUGGCAUUAUCUAUUGCAGAAGCAGAGUACAUAAGUGCAUCUGAUGCCACUGCACAAGCAAUCUGGCUCAGGUUUGUAUUGGAAGAUUUUGGAGAGCUUCAAACUGAAGAAACUUCUUUACAGUGUGAUAACACUUCGGCAAUUGCAAUCACCAAAAAUUCUGUGUUUCACCAGAAGACUAAACAUAUAAACAGAAGGUACCACUUUAUUAAGGAUGCACUGUAAGAAGGAAUCAUUGACCUGGUAUAUUGUCCCACUGAAGAGCAGCUAGCAGAUAUCUUCACAAAACCUUUGGCCAAGGAUCGUUUCAACUAUCUCAGGAGUAUGCUCGAAGUGAAAUUAGCUCAAGACUUAAAGGGGAGUGUUGAAUUAUAAGUCUAUAGUUGAUUAGUUUUAGUGAAAUAAGAUGAGUUUACUUUGUGAAUUCACUUGAGCAUAUCUGCCAAGUGUGAGAUUAAAAGUUGUAAGGUUAAAAUAGCUAAGUGUAGUGAUCCUAUGAUUUAGUUAGAUGUGUGGCUGAGAUCAAAUGUGAGUAUGUGGAUCCAACUAAGGCAAAAAAAAACAUGUCUUGUAAUGCACGUGUGUGUGCUCAUUUUCCUUCUUUAAGAAAAAUAUAUCCAUCUCUGCAACUUCUACAGAGAAAAGAGAGAACAUUCAUUCCCCUGCAUCUCUAAAUCUUCUUUCUAUCUUCAUAUCGAAUAACUCAAACAAAUCAAAUUACACUAACAAAGAUACCAAACUUCUUAUUGCAACUGAUGGAAAUUGGAAGGCCUAGAUUGCAACCCCCGGUCCCACCUCCUUACUUUGGCGAUGCUGUUUUCAGAACCACACCAACUGCUGCAGCAGCGUAUCUCCAAUCCAAACCGACAUGGUAUGCUGCAAGCCGUAUUCAUGAUGCUUUGGCGCGCGCGGACAACUAUUAUCUAAGAUCAUUUCUCAUCUACCUUGAGCUUAAUCAUCCUCGUCUGCUGCAAGCCGUAUUCAUGAUGCUUUGGCGCGCGCGGACAACUAUUAUCUAAGAUCAUUUCUCAUCUACCUUGAGCUUAAUCAUCCUCGUCUUUGCGAACUUGACACUGGAGUUUCGUCUAUGCGGUGCCCGAUUCUUUGGAUAAACAGUUGGAUUAUGCUGCCGAUUCACGAUGCUGAUUUUGGUACCAAUUUACAUGGGACCUUGUGCAAUGCCAGUUGACGGAAUUUUUUUCAUACUACCAAGUGCAAGAAAUGAUCAGAGUUUGUCGCUGGUUAUUUCCCUGCAAUCUGAGCACAUGAAUUCGUUGUCCAAGAUGUUGUAUGACAUAUGAAGCAAAUGAAACGCUAAAGAUUGAAUUCCCGCCAUGCACUGCUGGCGGCCUAAGGUCAUCCUUAAGCUGCAUGUUCAAGGCUUAAAUCCCCUUUUCUUCCCCUUUAAUUAAAUAAAAAAGCGACAGUUUUCUAUGCUGUGUUGAUUGUGCAUGUGGACUUCUGCUCCACACCACUGGCUGUAGCUUGUUGUCAUUCUCAAUGUUUAUCUUUUCCCACAUUUUUACGUGAAACCUAAGAAAAAUAUUAUUCUAAAUAUGAGGUUAAGGUUCUUUAAUACACCAUAGACUUAAAACUCAUAUAUAAGUCUCAUGAAAAGUUGAAAUCCAAAUUUUGGAUAACUCCUCACUUUGGUCCUCAUUUUGGUCCCUGAGAUUUGAAAUCAAUAGAAUUGGUCUCUGAGUUUGUCCACCGUCAAUCAUUUUGGUUAUUCCUUGAAAAAUCUCCAUUAAAUAAGAAUAGAAUGACCAAAAUACCCUUAAUUUUUGUCAAAUUAUGACCCAUUAUUUAUUAAAUUGAGGGUAUAUUUGUCAUUUUGAUCCUUAUUUAACAUAAUUUUGCAUGGAAUGACCAAUAUGAUUGAUGGUGGACAAUCUCAGGGACCACUUCCAUUGAUUUCAAAUUUUAGGGACCAAAGUGAUGUGUUAUGCAAAUCUCAGGGAAUAUUUUCGCUAAAAAGCCUAUUUAGUUUAAGGUGAAGCUCAUAUUAUCUAGAAAAAUGUUAUUCAACCAACAAAAAUGAGAUUUGAGUUUUGAGUCUAACCAUUUCCAAUGCACAUAACUAAAUUGUUAAAACUCUAUGAAUUUUGAGUCCAAUGUUUCUCUUCCAAUGCACAGACUCAAGUCUUAAAAAUUAAAGCUUGUAUGAGUCUUAAGAUGUGAGUCUUUAUAUCAUAGAUGAAAACCAAAAUACGUAAAUUAAUCCACCACCUUUUUGGGACUCAAAUAUAAGAAUAUAAGUCUAGAAUUUGAGUCUUUGCAUUGGAGAUGCUCUAAGAGCAUUUCUACCAACGUGGACUUUCCUAGGCAUUUGUAACACCCCAGACCUAAGGUUGAUUCAGUUUGGUUUCAAACAAUUUCAUUUUUUAUUUGAGCCUAACUAGUAGGCCCAUUAAAAAAAUUGGCAUUAAUACAAGUAUUCAACUUUCAACAAACUCAAAAGUUCAAAACCUAGUUAUUUGCAAACUAAAAUGCAUUAUGGCAUUAAUUCAAUGCAAUUGGAAAAAAAUUCAUGAUCACUAUAUUAAAAUUCGACUUGAAACAAAGUUCAACAUCAAAAUGCCUUAUUGCAUUAGUACAACCCAAUUGAACAAGUUAAGUUUACCAUACUAAAUUGAAGUAGUCCAAACAAAGUUCUAUGUCAAAAUGCCUUAUGGCGUUAGUACAAACCGAAUAAUAAAUUGUUUAUGCAAUUAAACACAAAAAAUUUGGUGUUUCCAUUCCCGACUUUGAAUCAUUCAACCCCUUCAAUUUGCUCUCUAAUAUUAUUCCGUUCAUACAAAAGAAAAACAAGAAAAUAAAAGAAAUUGCAUAAGGCAUGAAUCGUCUAUUAUAUGGGCAGGAGGGUUCAUGUUGUUCUACUACUACAAUAACAACAACUACUAGUAGUAGUAAAAUUGGUGCAGCAACAAGGGUGAAGAUCAAGAUCACAAAGAUCCCCUUUUAUUACUUGAUUCAAAUGAACCCUAACCCUAGCCCUAAUUCUAAAAUUAAUCAGAAAUACCCAAAAGUUAUGAGUAUUUUAUUAGCACCCCACAUAUUGUUGGAUGAACUCCACAUAAAUAUUUAUUAUUAAAUGACUCAUGUAUCUUAAUAUGAAAUUACUAUUUAACCCCAAAAAAUGUAAAAGAAAUUAAAUACACCCACAUAAAAAAAUUAUGUACUAAUAUGAAAAUUUUCCUCUUUUUGUUCUUACAUAGUUGUCUAAACCCUAACCCUAAAAUCUUAAAACCCCUAAUUCACAGAAACUCCCAAAUUGAUAGACACCUAAAACCUAAAAACCAAAAAAUGUUACGAGAUCGUAACACGUACCUCCAUUAUAGAUUUGUAAACUACGGCAUAAUGAGGGAAUGUUGAAAGUUGGAGGCGUGGUGAGAAUGAAUAAUGAGGGAAUGUUGAAUGUAUGUGAAGAAUGUGGGGGUGUAUGUAGAAAGUGUGGGGUGUGAGGGUAAUAUAGGAAUUUAAGUGGGGUGUAUUAAGAUAAAUUAUGAAUGAAAAAGUAAAUGUGGGAUGUAUUUAAUAGUAUGUAAGGUGUUAAUAAAACAAUCCAAUUAUUCACAAUUAUUUUUUGUUUUUAUAAUACAUCGAUAUCUUUACAUGAAGGAGAUGGAGAGUUCGGUAAAGCCACACAAUGGGCAACCUAGUUUGGUAUCGAAUUCGCCAUCCACAAAAUUCAAACAUAAGACCUCUCACUUCCAAAUGAAAAUGAAUACCAUCAGAACGUAUUAUUGAGUAACUUCACAAUUAUAUAUUUAUAUAACUAAAUUGACUAAUAAAAGUUCUAAGUUUAGAGUUACCAUAUUAGCACGCUGGAGCUAGAAAGAAGCGGAGGAGUCUCGACUUGAUCGCAAUUUGCAGUGUAAAAGAGGACGGUAGGAGUUCGGUUUUCGAAUUGGGAGGACGACUUGAGUCCAUACAUUUUAGUAUGAACUCGACCAAAUAACCAAUUCCAACACCCAAUUGAUUAUUAAAUUAAAUAAUUUUUAUGUCAUGCGAUUCAGGUCGGUUCGGUUUCGAUUCCAGAUAUUAGGAAACAAAACGAAACCACUUUUUAGCUUGUGAUUCGAUUUCAAACUCAAAUCAUCUCAAAAUCAUAACAACCAAACUCUUCAUUGCAGUCUGACUUGAUCCAUAUUCUGAUUACCGUUUUCGAUUCCAAAUGCGCACCCUCAGCGUCCACUCUAUGACAUUUUCCUAAACACAUCAUCAAUAAAAUAAAUUAAUUAUUUAAAAUAAUAUGCAAAAAGUGAUAGUGGCAGUGACAGUGGUAGGGCAAUUCAGUCCCAAUGAAUUAUUUAAAAUCUAAAGCCCCUCAUUUCUUACCAAAUCGACCCAAAAAAAACCCAUCUUUGUUGAUCGGAUCCUUAUUCAGAAAUAAAAUAUGCAGUCACGCUGAUGGUAGCCAAACUAACAGAGCCACCUGCCGCCAUAAUAACGUCGCAACCCGAACUGUUCCCGUUCCCGUUUCCGCAUUUCUCCUGCUCCCACGCCAUCCAAACAUGCCGUCACAAUUAACACCGAAGUGUCAUCUCCCACCGGAAUCCAGUUCCAGUCCACCAACCAACCCCCUAUGGAAAGCGGCGGGUUCUGCAAGUGCACGGCACAAAAAUCCAGUUCCGUCCCAAAUUUUAGUAUUUUAUUUCAUUUUGAAGUAUUUCGGAGAUUUAAUUGAAGAUAGUUCGUUAAACCUUUUCAAUGUUGAGAAAAAUGAAGAGAGGGUAUUUUCAUCAUUUCCAAUUUUACUAAACCUUCUUGGAUCAACUCUUGAGUUGAUUAGGUAGAGCUCGAUCCCACGUACGUGUAGGAGCAAAUAGAUCUAAAUUCCAAGUUAAAAUGAAGAAGUUAGAAGUGUUUUAUAUUGGAGGGCAUUUUGGUCAUUUGACCAAAAUGCUAUAAGUGAGAAUCAAUCGGCUUUUGAGGCAGGGAGACAAAUUCAAGACAAUAUUUUAGUGGUGCAUGAGAUUCUUCAUUCUCUUAAACAACAAGAUGACGGUAACAGGCUUGUUUGGCAAUGAAACUAGAUACGGCAAAGGCGUAUGAUCGCGUUGAAUGAAGUUUUCUUUUGGCUAUGAUGAGAAAGCUUGGUUUUUCAAUGGAAUUUUUUCAAAGAAUUGAUUAGUGUAUAUCUACGGUGUCAUAUAGCAUUUUGAUUAAUGGUGCUUCUAUGGGCUAUAUUCAACCACAACGGGGGUUGCGGCAGGGGGACCAAUUGUCUCCAUUUUUAUUCUUUCUGUGUGCGGAGGGGUUAUCAGCUUUGCUUCGUCGACAGGAGGAGUUGGAGGCUAUUCACAGCAUGAGAGUGGUGGAGGGGGUUUUUUCUCUCUCACACUUGUUCUUUGCAGAUGAUGCCAUUAUAUUUUAAAGCUACAAAGGAUGAAACAAUGGAGGUAAUAGGGGUCUUACAAUGCUAUGCGAAAGGCUUAGGGCAAAUUAUUAAUAGGAACAAGAGUUAAAUUUUCUUUGGUGCAAAAUGUUCGAGGAACCGGACAAAGGAAAUUGUUAAUUGUACAAACAAUAAUGGACAUGAAGACUUUGGAAAGUAUUUGGGGUUAGCUUCUGAUUUUGGUUAUUCUAAAAAGGUGAUUUUUGAGGAGGUGCAUGAAGCAUUGAAUGUGCAAAUUAAUGGGUGGGAUGAGUAGUUAGAGAGGUAUUAAUUAAAGCGGUGGCUAUGCAAAUUAAUGGGUGGGAUGAGUAGUUAGAGAGGUAUUAAUUAAAGCGGUGGCUAUGACAUUAUUGAACUAUGCGAUGUCUUGCUUUAAAUUACUGGUGGGGUUGUGCAAGGAGGUGGAGAGUUUAAUUACAAGGUUCUGGUGCCCCAGGGGGGGUGCAUUGUUUUCUUAGGGGAAAAUGAAGAAGGUGGGUGGGUUAGGGUUCAGGGACCUUAUCCUUAUGAGCUUGUUUUCUUUGGAUUCGAAACAAGGGAGGCAGUCUUCAUGGGGGUGGAAGGGGAUUAUUCAAGGAAGGAAGUUGUUAGAGAGGGGAUUAAGAUGGAGAAUUGGUGAUAGGAGAAGUAUUAAAGUUAAAACCGAGCCUUGGAUUAUUCAAAGUCCGAUCUCCGCAUGUGAAUAUGCCAGAGACGGUGGGGAAAAUAAUUGAUCAUUCAGUUGGCUCAUGGAAUAAGGAUUUGGUUCAUACUUAUUUCGAGGAAGAUGUAGCGAAUCUAAUUUUGGGGUUGCCUAUAAGUUUUAUGAGGUGUAAGGACAAAGUAAUAUGGCACUAUUCAAGGAAUGGGGAUUAUACGGUCAGGACUGGGUAUGGGGUGGCACUGGAACUACAAGCGAAUGGGGAAUUAGGAAAGAAAGGGACAGGAAUGGGGAGUGGUGGUCCGAUGACUGAUCAUGUAUGGCAGGAUGUGUGGAGAUUACAGGUGCCAAAUAAAAUACAGUUUUUUAUUUGGAGGUGUGUUGUAACAACUCUCUGGCUGUUCGGUGUAAUCUAAUUCGUAGGACGAUGAGAGUGGACAGUUCGUGUGUUAUGUGUGGGUGUGUUAUGAGAGUGGGCCGGUGCAAUCCUAUUACAUCCACUCAUUACCACAACAUACACCACUACCACCUUAAUUAGAUGGUGAUCCUCUCCCUAGCCUAUAAAUACAUCCACCCUUCACCAUAACAAAGGGGGAGAUCCAUCCUAGCCGUGAGCACCUUACAUUCAUCCAUAUAUUCCCACAUCCCACAAACACAUACAAUUCCAUUCCCUUGCCGUGGCAUUCAUCCAACCAAAAAUCAAACACAAAUCCAUACAUUCCCUUCCCCUUGCCGUGGCAUCCAUCCAACCUAAAUACAUUCAUAACCUUUCCAUAAAUCCAUACACAUCCUUAGAUACUUGUGCUGCAACAAGGUGGUGAAAACAAAGGUCCUUGGCGUUUCAAGCUUGAAACUUUAGAGCGUUUUAGGUGUACUUCGCUCUUGCUUUGAAUAUCUACUUUGUUAUUUUCUGAUUUUGUUGCAAUUAUGAGUAACUAAACCCCCCUUAGCUAGGGGGAAAUUCAAAGCAAUGAACAUACUUGCAAUAUGAAUUGAUUACCUUCAAUUGUGAUUUCAUAAGUUGUGAAAUCAAUUUGUUUAGCUGCUUGAUUGUUAACUUAUUCGUGUAUGUUUAUUAAGAGUGCACACUUAGUUUGCAUGCAUGAAUAUGAUGAUAGAGUAUAAGGGAGUUUCACCUAAUAGUUACAAACUUAUAUUCACAAGUAGUGGAGGUCGCAUAUAAACGAUCGCGUUAAAUGAAUUCUUGGCAGGAGUUUCAUGCUCAUCAUAGUAACGAAUGCCUCGUCAAUACUUAUAGUUUUCAUAAUGCUUAAUGAUCUUUGAUUAUAUCUUUAUUGUGUUGUUCACGUAAAGGACUUUUGAAGAAUGCUUGAAUUGUUGUAUGCGCUUUCCCAUCCAAUUCAAUAACUUAAGGAGAACUUGAAGGUUAAUUUAAGCAGACUUAAUUAACCUGGGGUGUUGAGUUUCAUGAUUUAUCGAAAGAACAACUGAAAAUUGGUUUAUGUGCAAGUGUGUCAUGUGUGGAGAAGAACCCUCUAGCUAGCCCAUCAUCCAUAAUUUACCCAAAUUCAUCCAAAAAACUGUUUUAGUUUACAAUCUGUUUGUUUUGUUUUCAAAUUUGUCAAAAUCAAAUCCCCCUUUACUUUAAAGUGUUUUAUUAGUCAAAAUCUGUUUGAUUUGUGUUUUUAAGUGUCUUGAGUCAAGUUAGAACCUAAUUUCGUCCAAAACCAUCCCUAGAGUCAGUUUAGAGUCUAAUUCAUUGUUUUAAGCUGUUUCGAGUCUUUUAAACUAGUUUUGAGUCUUUUUAGUUUGUAUUGCAUCUUUUGAGUCUAGUUUGGUGUUUUAAACAUAAUUUUACGUUUUUAAGUCAGUUUCAGGUGUUUUAGCAAUCCCUCCUAAUCCCCGGCCUAGAACGAUCCCUACUUACAUUCUUUACUACAAUUGACAACAAGAAGGUUUAAUUUUUGUGUUAAGUAAUUUUCGCAUCAGUGAAAAAUCCAAAAGAUGCACUUGAUCUAAUACGAAAUCACAUUUAGGAGUUUAGACGUGCCUAGCUGAAGAAACUGAAGAAGGAUAUGGGUGAUGGUGCUGUUACCCAUUUGUUUUGCGGGGAAAUAGGUGAGGUGGAAACGUCCAAACUAUGGGACGAUGAAGUUCAAUUGUGAUGGGAUGUGGGCAAACAAUAAAAAGUGGUUACGUAUGGGUAUUGAGAGACUUUGCAGGUUUGUUGAAGAUGACUGAAGGGGAAGAGGGGGUUUCUUUCAUAGUGAAGCCAUGAUAGAAGCUGUUGUUGUCCGUGCGACGCUGGUGGUAGGAAGGGAAUUGGGGUGUGUGAAGGUGGAGAUUGAAUCAGAUGCUCUUACUCUUAUUCAAAUGAUUCAAGGAGUUUGUUCGGUGGAUGCAACUUUGGAUUGUUUCAUUCAUGAUAUUAAGUCAUUGGCAUCUCAAAUAGGGGAGGUGAAGUUCUUGUUUGUUAAGCAGAGUGGUAAUCUUGCUGCUUACGCUGUGGGUUCAUAUGUCAUCGUACAUAGUGGCUCUUUCCUUUGGGAUGCCCUAGGCUCUGAAUUUCUUUUUAACAUUAUUGCUGAAGAUGUAAACGUUUCAAUUAUAAUCUAAUAAAGUUUACCCUUUGAUAAAAAAUAAAAAAUAAAUCAUCCAAAUCUGGAAAGUCGGCCAAAAACCCUAAUCCAAAUCUGCAAACGUUUCCAACGCUAAUUCCAGCUAACUUCGACAGAUUUUUCGACACCGCCGCCACCACCAUUUUGAAGCUCUCACUCCCCCAAGUGAUAGGAACAUAUUUAUGUGACUUUGUUAUCUUAUUUCAUUGCAUUUACUUAGUUAAUUUCCAUUUAUUAUAGUAAUUUAAGUUAUUUUCGUAUUAUUGUAAGUCCAGUUGGUAAAGAGGUCAAUAAAUAGUCAAAUGGAGUAAUUUGGAGCAGUUUUGGACUUGGAAUGGACAGCAGGCGUGGAUAGCAUAUGGGCUGGACGUUUUGGUGUUUAAAAGGUGUUAAACAUGUGCUAAAAUCUAGAGAAAUUAAAGUUGAGGCUUGGAAGGCAACGAAUUACACAAGAAAGAGGAAUCCUAGUUCGAGAGAAGUUUGGUGACUUGUUUUGAAGUCCAAAUAAAGAGUCAAAGAUGAAUAUGGCUUGUUAGAUGACCAUGAACACAAUGGGAAAGGAAUUAGGAUAUAGCCUGAUUUGAAGGUGCAAAAUAAGGCAAAAACGUGCAAAAUAAAGGCUAAGUUGCUGGGAUCACUUUGGAAUAUCUUGCAACCUCUUUUACUUGCAACCUCUUUUACCCCAUAAAAACUUACCUUUUAGCCACUUUUACUUGCCCUUUUUAUUCUGGACGAAUUACACAAUUCUAAUUACCUAUUUUUCCUCUCUUUUCAUUCACUCUAAAGAAAACCCUAGCCGUGCCCUAUAUAUAUAUAUAUGAAGUGUUCUGCAACGUUGAAAGUGGUGUCGCGCCUACCAUUCAUCCAUUGAAGUUGCUGGAAUUUUCAGAGUUAUUUCUCUCUUUGUUUUAAGUUUCAAUGUUUAUUUUAGAUUGCUUUUCAAUUAUGAUGAACAUGUGUACUUUUUUAGCGAGAGGUGAAUUCGAAGCCAUGAUCAUAUGUUUUAUAUAACUUGAUUACAUCCAGUUAUUGUUUCACAAAACAUGAAUGGGAUUUACUUAUCUGCUUUAUAGAAAACUUAUUCUUGUAUGUUUAUUAAGGAUGCAUACUUAGUUUGCAUGCAGGGAUUUGAUGCUAAAAUAUAAGGGAAUUUCACCUAAUCGUUAUGAACUUAUAUUUGCAAGUAGUGAAAGUCACUAGUCAUGAUUGCGUUAAGUAAAUCCUUGGCAGGAGUAUCAUACUUUUCAUAGUUACAAAUGCUUUGUCAAUGCUUAUGAUUUUCACAGAACUUAAUGAUCUUUGAGAUGUAUAUCUAUCAUGCUUCUCAUAGUUAGGGAAAUUGAGAAGAAUAAUUUGGUUGUGUCGAUGAGUCCAAUUCAAUGAACUUAGGAAAAUCUUAGAGUUAAUUAGUGUUGUACACAGUUAAUUUGGGGUAUUUUCAUUCAUGGUUUAUAGGAAGAAUAACUAGAAAUCAAUUUGUAUGCAUAUGAUUCAUGUGUGGAGAAGAAUCAUUUAGCUAUCCUUUCAUCCAUAUUUUAUUCACAACUUAAUUUACUUGCUGCCAUUUACUUUUGUUUUUAUUAAAUUCGUCCAAAAUCCCCCAGUCAUUGUUUUGUUGUUAGUUUAACUUAGUUUUCAAUUUUAUAAGUUUAAUUUGUGUUGAUUAGCAUCCCUUCUAAUCUCUGGAAUAGAAUGAUCCCUACUUACUCGUACUACGAUUGCAUAAUUUAUAGGGUUUAAUUUGUGUGUUAGUUUCUACCACAUCACUAAGAACCAACCUGUUUAACCAACACAUGUGGUGGAGCAUGGCCAAGGAAUCCGGUGAUUCCAAAAGGAGUCUGGCCACCUUUUUCAUUUCCAGCAAAUUGGUGAAGCGAUGACCGACACCACCACUGGGCUUUGUAGCCUUUCAUUCCAAGAGUAAAACUCGACCAACCUUGACCAUUUUGGACCACCAUAGACGGCGAAUCGACGUUGGGAAGUUUUAGGCACCCGCUGACUUUACCCGAGGAAUUCACCAUCUUUCGUCUACUUUUGGACUUCAUUGUAGAUAUAAAAAUUGAUCCUUGUGUUGAGAUCUACCUUUCCGUAAAAUUUGGGUAGAAUUUGUAGUAUGUUGGAAAACUGGGUCACUAAAAACCACUACGCGCGGUGACACAUGUGGCGGCAUGUGGGAAAACUAAGUUUCAUGGAUUUUGGACAGCAGGAAGUUCUUAAUGUUCUGAGCCCAUAUCUAGGGCCCAUUUGUUGAAAUUCAAUACGAUGGUUUGAUUAUUCGAUUUUGGGAUAAUUGUAUCUCCGUAUGAUUUUCGUAAUUAACAAAUAUGCGAUAACAUGUCAUUCCCGGUUAACGUGCAUCUUGAUUUAUGUGCAAGUAGCACUGUGCCUAGUUUUGCAUGUUGGUUUUACUAAGUUUCGUAAAUGAGGUUUUAUGUAUUGUAUUAGGUUCUUUGGAGCAAUGACGGUGAAUCUAGAAAUGCGAAGGACCUAGGUGAGUGACUUUAAUAUAAUGUGAUACGAUUAUUACCCAUAAGAACUUCCUUGUUAUAUACUAUGUGGAUAUAACAUGGAUUUGUAAAUGUUUUAUGGAAAUGUGUGCCACUAUAAUAUGUUUACUUGAUGUUGUCAUCAGAAAUAUAUCUAUGUUAUGCUUGAAAUAAUUGUGAAAUAUGAAAGCUAGUAGAUGACCACUAACCAAGAACAUGGAGUGAUGUGGCAUCAAAUCAGAAUCACAUGGAUGGUCCCACAUGGUUAAUUCACCUUAGUGGACCAUAUCAUUUGAAGGUUGCACUUGGUUAAUCCGCAUUGGGCAACCCUAGGAUCGCGCCUGGUUAAUUUGCAUUGGGCGAUCUUCAUUACCUAGGUAUGGACAUACGUAGUUUAGGGGUGGCCAUGCCUAGUUAAUUCGCAUUGGGUAAUCACUACCUAUCAAUGUUCGUAGAAGUAAUCACUACCUAUCAAUGUUGGGGGUCAUAUAGUAUUCAGUUACCUUUGUAAGCUUCGGCGGAAUUAUGUCUCUCUAUUUUCCUAGACUUAGCAUGUUGUUACACAUAGAAAGAAAAGAUUGAAGGCAUGUGUGGCUCAAUCUAGCUAGAAGUAAAGAAUGAAUCAAAUAAUAUAUAUGUGGUGUUGCCUAAAAAAAGAAGAAUCAGAUGUAACUCAUUCCUACUCGAUACAAAAAGAGAUGCAAUGUUGAAAAAGAUGCCAAACUCAUUCCUACACAUGAAUGUAUUUACAAUGGUAUGUCAUUCCUACACAACUUCAAGUUGUGCGAUGACUAAUAAUUAUCUUGAAAGACGUGUGGUGAGUUUCAAAAUUAAGAACCACUCCUAUACGUAUUUAAUGAGGGGUAUAGUGGUUAAGUUAUAAAAUAUUUGGUAAUCAGAUCUUUGUGAUCAUUCAAAAACUAAUGAAAGGUGAGUGGUGAGUCAUAGUCCGAAGAGAAUGAUGAAAUGAUAAUGACGGUAAUCAGAUUGACGGAUUGAUCUAGUAUUCAGAGGAAAGUCUUGUGUAGACAUAGCACUACUUUUACAUUAAUCAUUUGAUCUUACUUAUAUGCACAUAUGUUUUAUUAUCGUCACUUACACAAGCUUCACAACUUAUCCGGGUUUGACUUUUCCCUAUGCGCCAUUUCCACGACAUAGGGUUGUUUUGCAGAGUAUGGGGUAGCAGUUAGAGGAUAAGAUUUCAGGUGGUGUAUGUAGUUGUGUGGGCAAUGCACUCGAGAGUAGGUACUGUCACCCUUUAUUGUAAGUUAUUUUUGUUGAAGCUUUGAUGUAUAUUGUAUGCACGAGUUUUAGUGACUCUAGGUAUUUUGUAUUGUACCACUAUAGUUUUAUCGUUAUGUAUCGAUUUCGAGCUUAUCUGAUCAAGAUCGAGGCAUGACACAUUGAGUGAGCGUAGUUCUAGACCGUUGAAUAAGUGAGGUGUUAAGAUAAUUUUUUAUAAUUGUUGAAGGAUAAUUUUGUGGUUUUUAAUCAUAAUAAUUAUCUCUCAAGAUGGAUUAAAUUAUGUACUUGUGCAAGUGUUUGGACCCGAUUUUACAUCAUCGGCCCAAGCGAUCGAGGUCGUUGAGUGGGCAUGAUUCUCGACCGCCAGAUGAGAAAGUGGAGAUAAUUUGAUUAUUAAAGGAUAAUAUUAUAAUUAUCCCAAUGGAGAGACAGAUUAUAUCCCAACGGAGAGACAGGUGGAACAGUUCGAUUUAAUUCGGAUUUGUUAGCAGUGUACCGUGUGGGUUAGAGCAAUUCGGUUUGGAUGCCUAUUAUAUAAUUAUAUAUAUAUGUAUAUGCCGUUGGCAUCAACAGCACUGUGAAAGCAACCGGUGAUAUCUUAAGUUGGCAUAGAUAGCUCUGUCACCGUAGAAUCAGCCGAUCUCGCAGCAUCUUCUGUUGACAUCAACAGCACUGCGGCGAAAAUGGUUGAUUACCUAUCCAAGUCUCGGUCGAGAAGGAUUUCUGAAUCCUUAUUGGUCGAGGUCAUCUCAUUAGCCUUCUCGGCGAAGUGAGGUGUUACAAGUUAUUGCAUUCAGCACAUUGAAAGCCGAAUUUGAUAUUGAAUUUCGUAAGAAUAGUAACCUUGUCUUCAGGUUUGAGAGCCCAAGAAGCCGAGACGUGUUCCUUUCUCGGCCGCAUUCGUAAAACACAGAAUUCAGCCGCGCACCUAACAUCAACAAAUUUACUCCUCGGCCGAGCUCGGCCGACGAGUUGGCAGGCCUUGCAUUCACCGAAGGACGUAGUUAGCUUAUAGAUUACUCGGCCUGCGCGCCAUGUAGGCUUGGUAGUUUUUAUGGUCAACAUUUUGGCACGCCCAGUGGGACUCAGUGCUAAAACUACGAAGUUUACAUAAUAUAUCAAGAUCACGAUCAUGAUGAGAUUUGGCGCCUACUCAAGGACGUUGUCCUACAACAAAAAUACCUUGACCGGAUCGUUGAAGCAAAUAAAGAAAGGCAAAAAUCUUUCUCUCAAAUGAUAAGGGUGAAGGUUCAUUACAGCUUACAAGAUCAAUGGUUAAAUGAAGAUAGAGUUCGAUAUUAUGAGUGGCUCGAUAAAAUGGGUUCAAAUCAAUUCCAUUUGAAGAAUGGUUGGCUCAAAAGACUGGGGAGCAAUUUUUCGCUCCAGCCACAAUUAAAAUUCAGCCUAAGAAGAUUGUCGAGACAGCCGAAAAAAUACCUAGGCCACCUGUUGUUUCAGUCGAGACUGAAAUUGUGGUAGGCCUAGAAGUAAAAGUUCAAGUUUCUGAGUCACAAAUCAACUUAGAAAAUUAUUCGUCAGGGGAGUGCUCCAAUGACGAACAUGGCCGAGAGCAAGGUCUAGCUGGAAAAAUCAUGCCAAUCGACAUGAUUAUUGGCGAUAAAGCCGAUAUAGAGAAAUCUCAUUCAACUAAGUUGCUUGAGUUAAAAGCCGAAAUUGGUGAAAUAAAUGCCCGGGGGGCAUAAUAAUUGUUCAAUACAUUCGGCGGCUGAAAAUAAAAAAUAUUUCGUCAAGUUAAAAAUGUUUGAAGAAAAUUCUGUAUUCGGCUUAGGAUCUCGGCUUGGGAUAAAACAUCGUUGGCCUCCUCCUUCUCAUGGAUCGGCCACUUAUAUUCCCGUAUGUUAGAUUUUCGUUUUCUUUUUAUAUAUUCUUAUCCAUCUGGCUGUUUGAGCCGAUGAUGCAUAAGAAAAUAAGGGGGGCCAACAAGUCUAUUUCGGCAAUGGAAACAGAUGUGCAUGGCAGCCUUAUGCAAUCACAUUGGAAUCUCGGCAUAAUUGCGAAUUCGAAUCUCGGCCAGAUCGUCGACCUUGGCCCAAUUUCAAUUCGUCGACCUCGGCCCAAUUUCAAUUUUUCUCGAUAUUGGUGGCAGGCCGAGCUCUAGGAACAAUUUCAAUUUCAUUUAUAUAUAUACAUAUAGAUAUAUACAUAUAUAUAUAUAUGUAUAUAUAUAUAUAUAUAUAUAUAUAUCAGAGCCAAGUGAGUGGUAAUUGCAUUAGCAUCUUUAUAAUCUUCAUUAUAAUUCUCACUUUCAAGCUUCCAUUUUACAGUUUAUCUUAUCUCUCAAUCCUCAUAGUCGUUUGUCCAAACUCCCAAACCAAACAGUAGGGCGUGUUCCAAACAAUAAGACCCAGGAGAGGCAUGAGCGAAUCGCAUGAGUAGGGAGGGGGUUUAACUAGCGCACGAGGAAGGUGAAUGAGUAUAAGUUUUCUGUAUUUUGUUUGUUUGAACUGUGAUUAUUAUGAUUAGAUUAUUUAGAUCUAAUUCAAUGGCCAGCACUAGCUCUAGAACUAGUUUGGGUACUAUACCAGAUAUUGUUAAUGAAGAACAAAAACUUGAUUUUCAAACUGAUGAUAGCAUAGACUUUGGAGAUUGGAAUAUCCCCAAGGUUUCUAGUAAAAACAUUUAUAAAAAGAAAUGGUCAAUGACCUCAUUUAGAAGUGAACAUCAUGUAAAGAUAGUUGAAAAGGCUUAUGCUCUUAGUAAAGAACAUGAGACUUGUCAAUUGUUUUCUCCAGAACAAGUUAAAUCCCAUAGGAAAAAUGGUCAUAAUUAUAUCCAUAUAGGUUUAGUUCAAAUAGCUGUUAAACCAUUAACACGAAAAGGUCUUAAUACCUUAAUUUUAUUAUGUCUCCGAGAUGCUAGAUUUACUAAUUUUAGUGAUAGUAUACUUGGAAUGAUCGAGUCAAGCUUAUAUAAUGGACCUAUCCAUUUUGAUUGCUUUCCAGAUCUCACCAUAAGUCUUUCAGAUCCACAUAUGUUGAAAGCACUCACCCUAAACAUUAAAACUUCAGGAUACCAAGUUCUUGAAGGAACACAGCCCAUGGCAUUAAUUUAUAGAGUUUACUACAAAGUCACUGGCACAAAUAUGAACUUUCAGGCUUUAACCAAAAGUCCGAGAGAUCAUACACUUUUAAUUCAAACUAACCAAGAAAAUGCAAAUAUUAAAGUCCCUAGAACUAUUAGAUGGUCAGACAUUAGUUUACCCUAAGAUUGGUGUUUAAUAAAUGAAAGUAAGCCAGUAGCUAUUCAGAACAGUCUAGUUAAUUUAGACAACAUAGAACAGUAUUUUGACGGGACUGUCAAAAUUAAUUUUGAUCGUCCAGCCAGAAGAUCUUGUGAAUCAGUUCAUUCACAAAGAUCAUUUACUCCUAGCAGAAAUUCUUUUUCUGGAUCCAUACCAACCGAGAGGAUUGGUCAAGAUCAAGAGUUAAUCAAUUCAUUAGCUAAUAGGAAAUUAAAAUUUGUAGACACUAGCUCAUCUGUUACCCAAUAGGAAUUAGUCAAUGACUUAAUUAACAUGAAGUUAAAAUCAUUAGAAACAGCUUCUCAGGUUACUCAUCCGGCAUAUCAACCACAAACCCAAGAUCAAGGAGGACAAACUUCUCCCAUUGAAUCUGACUUCGAAGCAAGUCAUGUUCACCAUCAACUUUUAGUUUUAAAUAAACCAUUUAAAAAGAAUAGUAAAAGGCUCAAUGCUGACAUUGAGGUUGAAGAGAAUAUUCCAAGAAGGAAUAUUUUCAGAAACAAAUAUACACAAGAGGAAAAAUUAAUAAUUCUAAAGAAGUGGAAUGAAUUCCUGGAAAAACAUAGAUUUGAAGUAUUUUUCUUCGAUUAUGUUGAAAAAUAUUACGAGUCUGACAAAAACUUGAGGUAAUAACCAAAGAAAAUUGGCUUAAGCAAGAUAAGACUAUCGUCUCGUCUAGUCAUCCUCCCCAAGAAACUAUUUUAAUCCAAAUUCCAGCAACUCCUUUUAAGAUCCCUAAAGAAGAUUUAGGAAUUGCAAAACCAGUUGUUGAACAAAAUAAUUUUACCAAUUAGAGUCUGCAUACUAUUGGUAAACAACUUGAUAAAAUUGAAACUAAGAUUGAUAAGAUUUCUCAAUCAAAAUUUCUAGCAAAAGAAAAACCUUUAAUUAAUUUCCCAGAAUCCUCUUCAAAUGCAGUAGCUUUAAAAACAACCUUUGCCUCCACAAAUAAAAAAAUUGAACAAAUGUUAUUAGAAUUGAAGAAAGAAAAAAUUGUCCAAACCAUAAAGCAUCAUGAGGAUUCCAAUCUGGAAAACUCUACAUCAUCCUCUGAAUCAUUCCAAAGAGUUGAACAGGCUUUUCAACAUCUUGAACUAAAACGUAUUAACAACAGAAGAGUCAAUCCUACAUCUCUUACAAAAAACUGGUAUCCCAGAUCAACUCCUCCUGAUAUUCAAUUUGAAGAAAGGAAUAUUCAGAACCAAUUCUCAGUCUCUUCUGACAAACUCUAUGAAUGGAAUAUAGAUGGAUUAUCAGAACAAGAGCUUCUUAAUAAGCUCCAACAUAUCUCCAUGGUUGCUAAUAGUUAUAUUACCAAUCAUAAUCUUCCUCAAACCACCAUCAUGGAUCUAUUGGUCACUGGAUUCACUGAAAUGCUUCAUUCCUGGUGGGAGAAACAUCUCACUGAAGAAUCCAGAAAUGAAAUAAAAUUUGCUCUUAAAAAAGAUGAAGAAGGAAUACCUAUCUUUGAUGAACAAAUAGGACAAGGCGUCCCUGAUGCAAUUAACACAUUACUUUUUACAAUUAUAGAACAUUUCAUAGGAACACCUAGUAAUGUCACUUCUAGGAUCCAUGAUCAACUCAGCAAUCUGAGAUGUCCAACUCUAAGCGACUUUAGAUGGUACAAAGGUGUAUUCAUGUCUAGAGUCAUGCUCAGAGAAGACAGUAAUCGACCUUUUUGGAAAGAGAAAUUUAUAAAUGGAUUACCAAAUUUAUUUGCUCAUAAAAUCCGAAGUGUUUUGGUUAAUGAAGAAGGUAUCAUACCAUAUCAAACUCUCACUUACGGAAAUAUAAUUAAUAUUAUCCAGAAGGAAGGUUUGAAAAUGUGUAUAGACAUGAAAAUUUCAAAACAAGUUAACAAAGAUAAAUCUAUCGCUAAGUAUGAAUUAGGAACGUUCUGUGAACAAUAUGGAUUACCUCCUAUUGCUCCUUCUAACAAAAAGAAAAGGGCAGAUACCCACAAUAGGUAUCCGAGAAAAUAUUCUGGUAGAAAGUACUUUAAGGAUAAGCAAAAGAAUUUUAAUAAAAAUGAAUUUUAUGAAAAACCCACACAUUCCAAAUGGAAGAAGAAAUCUUCCAAGAAAUUCCAAUCCAAUGAUCAAAGCCAGAAAGGUAAAUGCUACAAAUGUGGCAAAUUUGGCCAUUAUGCUAAUAAAUGUCGUGUAAAGAAAACCAUUAACCAGUUGAAGAUUUCUGACAAAGAAAAGCUUCAAUUAAUCCGAGUUUUGAAACUCAAAGACACAGACCAUAGUCAGUCAGAAGAUGAUUUGGAACUAUCCUCUUCUGAUUAUCAGUCAAUGAGCAAUAGCUCAUCACCAGACAUAAAAAUUGGUUGUACUGAUGCUUGUUGCAAAAACAAGAUUUCAGUUUUUAACAAACAAGAAGAACAAGAAGAUUUUCUACUUGAAUUAAUUAGUAAGGUUGAUGACCCUGAACUUAAAACUUUUUAUCUUAAGAAACUAAAGAAAUUAGUUUCUCCAGAAGAACCAGGUACUAGCCAUACUCCAGUAACUCCAAAAAUCUCUCUUAGCACAACCUUGGAAAGGUUUAAUAAGUCUAAGAAAGAAAUCAUAGUUAAAGAUCUUCAAGUUGAAGUAAAUAAAAUAAAAGAUGAAAUUAAGUUUUUAAAGUCAGAAAAUUUAGAAGUCCGAACUCGCCUUAGCGAAAUCCAAACUCAUUCGUUAAUAAACCCUCAUAAAGAAGAACUUGCUAGUUCUUCUUCUGGUUCUGAGUUAGGAUCUCAAUCAACUGAGAACCUAGUUUUAAGUCUCUUACAUAAGAUUAGAAUUCAGAAAUGGUAUUCUAAAAUUACAAUAGUAAUAGAAGAUUUUCAUUUAGAAACAAUUGCUUUGAUUGAUUCAGGCGCAGAUUUGAAUUGUAUUCAAGAAGGAUUAAUACCUACUAAAGACUUUCAUAAAUCGACAGAAAUACUCAGUGCUACUAAUCAAUCACCAAUGCAUUUGAAAUAUGAAAUACCCAAAGCGCAUGUUUGCCAAAAUAAUGUUUGUUUUAAAACCCCAUUUGUUUAGAUCAAAAAUAUUUCUGAUUCAAUUAUAUUAGGGCUUCCCUUUUUAGCACUUAUAUAUCCUUUUAAGGUUUAUCAUAAUAAGAUUACUACUAGAGUCUUAGGACAAAAGGUCAUGUUUGAAUUCUGCCUGGAAACAGACCUCAAAAAACUUAGACAUCUACAGAAAAACAAUAUUUCAAAAACUAUUAGUAUUAUCACUAAUAAGUCACAGCACAUUAAUUUCUUAAAAGAAUAGAUUAAUCACAAAAGAAUUGAAGAACAGCUAACAAAUAAGUCUUUGUUAGAAACUAUUAAUAAUUUCCAAAAGAAACUUAUUAAUGAAGUCUGUUCUGAUAUUCCCAAUGAGUCUAAAAUACUUACUUAUUGUUAAACUUCCUUAUAUAAAGGAAUUUAAUGAGUCUAAAAUACCUACUAAGGCCAGACCAAUCCAAAUGAGUCAAGAAGUUAUGGAGUUCUGUAAAACAGAAAUUCAAGAACUUCUUAAUAAAGGUAUUAUUAGGAAGAGUAAGUCUCCAUGAUCAUGCCCUGCAUUUUAUGUUCAGAAGAACGCAGAAUUAGAAAGAGGAACUUCCAGAUUAGUUAUUAACUAUAAACCUUUGAAUAAAGUUUUGGAAUGGAUCAGGUAUCCAAUUCCCAACAAAAGAGAUUUAAUCAAAAGGCUUUCUCAAGCAGUUAUUUUUUCAAAAUUUGAUAUGAAAUCAGGCUUUUGGCAAAUUCAAAUACAUGAAUCUGAUAAAUACAAAACAGCUUUUGUAACUCCUUUUGGACAUUAUGAAUGGAACGUAAUGCCUUUCGGCUUAAAAAAUGCCUCAAGUGAAUUUCAAAAUAUUAUGAAUGAAAUUUUUAAUCAGUACAGUCAUUUUAAGAUUGUUUACAUUGAUGAUGCGCUUAUUUACUCUAAGUCUAUAGACGAACAUUGGAAACAUUUACAUUCGUUUGCUAGAAUAAUUAAGUCCAAUGGAUUAGUUGUUUCUGCUUCUAAGAUUAAACUGUUUCAGACAAAUGUUAGAUUUUUAGGAUACAAUAUCCACCAAUCUACCAUCCAACCCAUCGAUAGAGUCAUCCAGUUUGCAGAUAAAUUCCCAUAUCAGAUUACUGAUAGAACCCAACUUCAAAGAUUCCUUGGAUCAUUAAAUUAUGUAUCAGAAUUUUAUCCUCAUCUUCGUCAGCAGUGUAAACCAUUGUUUGAUCGUCUUAAAGAUAAUCCUCCAUCUUGGUCUCCAAAUCACACCUCCAUUGUUAAACAGAUUAAAACACAUGUUAAGACAUUGCCCUGUCUUGGCAUUCCAACUCCCAACUCUUUUAAAAUAGUUGAAACUGAUGCUUCUGAUAUCAGUUGUGGAGGUAUCCUUAAACAGAAAACUUCUCCCGAUGCUCCUGAACAAAUUGUUCGUUUCCAUUCAGGAGUAUGGAAUUCUGCACAAACUAAUUAUAGUACUAUUAAGAAAGAGAUAUUAUCUAUUGUUUUAUGCAUUAGUAAAUUUCAAGAUGAUUUAUUAAAUAAAAAAUUUCGUGUUAGAGUUGAUUGCAAAUCUGCAAAACAUGUUUUACAAAAAGAUGUUCAAAACAUUGCAUCAAAACAGAUUUUUGCACGAUGGCAGGCCAUAUUAAGCAUUUUUGAUUUUGAGAUAGAAUACAUUAAAGGCGGCCAUAACAGCAUUCCAGAUUUUUUAACAAGAGAAUUUUUGCAGGGGAAGAAUGUCAGGAAAGAACAACAAUAGUAGCCAGAUGAGGCUUCCUGCCACUCUGCCACCACCACCACCAAAACAGGAAUCUAUUCCCGAUUCCUCAUCAUCGGCCCUAGCCAUAACCAACAGAUUUGUUCCCUUAGGAUCUCCUUUAGGAUCAACCGUUGGCCAAUUCAGACCAAACUACCAAACGGCAUUAGCCAGCCCUUAUGACCCCUAUUCAUCAAUGCCAUCACCUUCAACCCCAAAAACACCUAGCUAUGCUAAAACAUCCCCAUACAUCAAGAAUCAUCCUAUGGAACAACUUUUUUCUAGCCCUCAUCAUAUCAAUAAAAAGCAAUCGCCAGACAAAAUAGCCAAAAUCAUAUUCCCCCCCAAUCUUCAUUUCAUCCCAACUGAUUCUCACAAAUCACUUCAAUAUUAUCAGGCCAUUCUCUCUGAGACAGCAGGAGUUUCCAUCAAACCUAUCUACAGCACCACUCAUCAAACCCCUAAACUUCUUUACCAUUCACUCUACAUUGGCAAAUUCAUCACUGAACAAGAAUAGGGAAUCCCCCUCUUUCAUACCAAACAACUCCUCACAAAACAUGAACUCAUCCUAAAUAAUAGAUAUAACUAUUUUGAUUACAUCCAAGCCUGUACCAAUAUUUUCUUUCAUCAAACACACGAUUUUUCUCUUUCAUGGUUUGUAACCUUUGAUAAAAGUUUCAGGUUAAAUUUCCCAGCUUGGUUUCCAAAUUGGUGGUCAACUCACGGUCCAACCGCUAGUUUAUUACCAAAGACCUAAUGAAAUUCCUUUCAACUGGUUUACAGAAGCAUUUUGACAGAAGUCGUUUCGACUCCAGAAUCACCCUCAUUUCCUUGUUCAUGGCCAAAUACAAAGUCCCUUGGAUAUUUAAAUGGAAUUAUAAGUAUGAAACAUGUGAAAUUUACAGAGCCCGGUGGGUCAAGUGGUGGGAUAAAUUCGACUGCGGAAGAAUUAUCAGCCUAGUCUCAUCGGAAUUUCCAAGUUCUUCUACUCCAGCAUUAGCUCCACCAGCAACAUCUUCACAGGCAUUGCCUUCGGCAACACCAUCAUCUACUCAAGCAUUGCCAGAAAUCCCAGAAAACACUCAGUCAUUAUCGGACAUUAGUCCUUCAUCCUCCCUCAAAGGCAACUAUCCCAAGACAGCAAAAUCCUCCAAAUCUUCCAGCAAGAAGAAAAAAGGAAAAUCAUCCUAACUCCUGAAGAUGGCCGAUAAGCUCAUAGCAAAAGCAGCUUUGCUCCAAAGUUCCAGCGAAGAAGAAGACAUUUCCAGUUCAGAUUCAUCAGACGCUUCGUCUCAACAGAAGAAAUGGGCGGAUCAAGUAAGGGAUUACCCGGCUCAAGAUCCGUAUAUGGAUGCCCAAGACCCAUAUGAUUUGUAAAUCGCACAGUAGAAGUGAAUUCCACAGUAACAAGCAGCAAUCAGCAGUAGCAGCAAUCAUUCAGCCGACAAGUUACUAUUCAUAAAUAGUAAAAUUCACUUUUUACUAUUCAUUUUCCACUCCGGACAUCAUCAUCGUGUUUACACAGUGAAAGCCUCAUCAUUUCUUUGCCUUUACAGCCUUUGGCACAGGCAUUUGGGAGGAAAUCAACGGGUUUUUCGAAUCUCGGUCUUCGGCCCCCUCAUAUAUCUUCCAAGCUCUUUCACAGAAGGGGGGACUUUAGUCAUUCAGCUGAGACUCUCUGCGAAUUCGAAAGAACAGAAGUCAUAGUUCAGCUCCAUCCUUUCUCCACUCAAAAAUCAUACACUUGUAUUUUAUUUUUCAAUCAAGGAUACCUGCGAGCUCCAUUGUUUUCUCAUUCAAUCGUCAGUAGACGACCUGUAAGUUGGUUUCCAAUUUGAAAUAAAAUUACUUCAAAUUUAUACCGGCAUCAUUAAUUUUAAUUCAUUAUCUUAUCAUGAAUACUACAUCUACUUUCAACCUAGUUUUAUUUGUUUAUGUUCUUUUAAUUGAUUCAAUUCGCGUCCAGUUUCCUAUUAAUCACAAUCUGAUAUUAAUUAAAUAUUUUGAGUUUUUAGUCUCCAUCUACAUGUUUGGCUUCUACACCCAUCUGCAUGAAUAGUAACUUGUCGGCUGAAUGAUUGCUGCUACUGCUGAUUGCUGCUUGUUACUGUGGAAUUCACUUCUACUGUGCGAUUUACAAAUCAUAUGGGUCUUGGGCAUCCAUAUACGGAUCUUGAGCCGGGUAAUCCCUUACUUGAUCCGCCCAUUUCUUCUGUUGAGACGAAGCGUCUGAUGAAUCUGAACUGGAAAUGUCUUUUUCUUCGCUGGAACUUUGGAGCAAAGCUGCUUUUGCUAUGAGCUUAUCGGCCAUCUUUAGGAGUUGGGAAGAUUUUCCUUUUUUCUUCGUGCUGGAAGAUUUGGAGGAUUUUGCUGUCUUGGGCUGGUUGCCUUUGAGAGAGGAUGAGGGACUAAUGUCCAAUAAUGACUGAGUGUUUCUGGGAUUUCUGGCAAUGCUUGAGUAGAUGAUGGUGUUGCCGAAGGCAAUGCCUGUGAAGAUGUUGCUGGUGGAGCUAAUGCUGGAGUAGAAGAACUUGGAAAUUCCGAUGAGACUAGGCUGAUAAUUCUUCCGCAGUCGAAUUUAUCCCACCACUUAACCCACCGUGCUCUAUAAAUUUCACCUGUUUCAUAUUCAUAGUUCCAUUUAAAUAUCCAGGGGACUUUGUAUUUGGCCAUAAAUAAUGAAAGGAGGGUGAUUCUGGAGUCGAAACGACUUCUGUCAAAAUGCUGCUGGAAACCAGUUGAAAGGAAUUUCAUUAGGUCUUCUGGUAAUAAACUAGCGGUUGGACUGUGAGUUGACCACCAGUUUGGAAACCAAGCUGGGAAAUUUAACCUGAAACUUUUAUCAAAGGUUACAAACCAUGAAUGAGAAAAAUCGGGUGUUUGAUGAAGGAAAAUAUUGGUCCAGGCUUGGAUGUAAUCAAAAUAGUUAUAUCUAUUAUUUAGGAUGAGUUCAUGUUUUGUGAGGAGUUGUUUGGUAUGAAAGAGGGGGAUUCCCCAUCUUGUUCAGUGAUGAAUUUGCCAAUGUAGAGUGAAUGGUUAAGAAGUUUAGGGGUUUGAUGAGUGGUGCUGUAGAUGGGUUUGAUGGAAACUCCUGCUGUCUCAGAGAGAAUGGCCUGAUAAUAUUGAAGUGAUUUGUGAGAAUCAGUUGGGAUGAAAUGAAGAUUGGGGGGGAAUAUGAUUUUGGCUAUUUUGUCUGGCGAUUGCUUUUUAUUGAUAUGAUGAGGGAUAGAAAAAAGUUGUUCCAUAGGAUGUUUCUUGAUGUAUGGGGAUGUUUUAGCAUAGCUAGGUGUUUUUGGGGUUGAAGGUGAUGGCAUUGAUGAAUAGGGGUCAUAAGGGCUGGCUAAUGCCGUUUGGUAGUUUGGUCUGAAUUGGCCAACGGUUGAUCCUAAAGGAGAUCCUAAGGGAACAAAUCUGUUCGUUAUGGCUAGGGCCGAUGAUGAGGAAUCGGGAAUAGAUUCCUGUUUUGGUGGUGGUGGUGGCAGAGUGGCAGGAAACCUCCUUUGGCUACUAUUGUUGUUCUUUCCUGACAUUCUUCCCUUGCAAAAAUUCUCUUGUUAAAAAAUAUGGAAUGCAGUUAUGGCUGCCUUUAAUGCAUUCUAUCUCAAAAUCAAAAAUGCUUAAUAUGGCCUACCAUCGUGCAAAAAUCUGUUUUGAUGCAAUGUUUUGAACAUCUUUUUGUAAAAUAUGUUUUGCAGAUUUGCUAUCGACUCUAACAAGAAAUUUUUGAUUUAAUAAAUCAUCUUGAAAUUUACUAAUGCAUAAAACAAUAGAUAAUAUCUCUUUCUUAAUAGUACUAUAAUUAGUUUGUGCAGAAUUCCAUACUCCUGAAUGGAAACGAACAAUUUGUUCAGGAGCAUCAGGAGAAGUUUUCUGUUUGAGGAUACCUCCAUAACCGAUAUCAGAAGCAUCAGUUUCAACUAUUUUAAAAGAGUUGGGAGUUGGAAUGCCAAGACAGGGCAAUGUCUUGACAUGUGUUUUAAUCUGUUUGACAAUGGAGGUGUGAUUUGGAGACCAAGAUGGAAGAUUAUCUUUAAGAUGAUCAAACAAUGGUUUACACUGCUGAUGAAGAUGAGGAUAAAAUUCUGAUACAUAAUUUAAUGAUCCAAGGAAUCUUUGAAGUUGGUUUCUAUCAGUAAUCUGAUCUGGGAAUUUAUCUGCAAACUGGAUGACUCUAUCGAUGGGUUGGAUGGUAGAUUGGUGGAUAUUGUAUCCUAAAAAUCUAAUAUUUGUUUGAAACAAUUUAAUCUUAGAAGUAGAAACAACUUUUAUAUAUAUAUAUAUAUAUAUAUAUAUAGGCAGGACUAGCCCUCGCCGAGAAAAGUGGAUUGAAACCACUUUCCCUGACAUGAUUCCACCCUUCCUUUAUUUUAUAAUAGUUGAAUGGUGGGCAGUGGUUUGGUGAAGCAGAAAAAUCAGAUGUGACUCAAAUAUGGUUCUGUCGUGAGUCGUGACCCAUAUAUAUAUGUAUAAAGGCAAGCCGACGUCAUAGACUUUCCUCGGCCACUUUACAAAACUGCAUAUAUAAGCCUUGGCCAAAACUAUAUAUAUAUAUAUAUAUGUAUGUAUGUAUAUAUAUAUAUGUAUGUAUAUAUAUAUAUGUAUGUAUAUAUAUAUAUAUGUAUGUAUAUGUAUAUCUAAAGCUUGGACGUGAAGUUUUUGAGUUUUUCAAGGAACUAAGCGGUCGAGGGAUUAGAUGGUAAACAUGUGGAUGCGACUACAAAAAGUCUAGGCAGGUGCAUUCUUUCUGCUUACCUUCGUUCCGAGCUUCUCGACCUCGACUUAGUGUAUAUAAAUACCUAGGCAGGACAAGCUGCUAAGAAAAAUUCUUCUCGACCCUCUGGCAAAAUUGCCGAGCUUGGUAUGGAGUUGUGGCAGACGAGGGAGGCCGCAACGUUGGCAAAACAUACAUGUUAUUGCCGAGGAACAAAGUUUAUUUCGGCGAUACGACGGGAUGUUGUUGGCUACGAGCAAUUAAUUUCCUUAACCAUUCGGCUUGCAAGCCGAAGUUCAAGGAAAUUGGGGGGCAAUGUUUGGACCCGAUUUUACAUCAUCGGCCCAAGCGAUUGAGGCCGUUGAGUGGGCAUGAUUCUCGAUCGCCAGAUGAGAAAGUGGAGAUUAUUUGAUUAUUAAAGGAUAAUAUUAUAAUUAUCUUUUAAUACGAAUUAUCUGCAUCUUCUUAAGCCAGAUAAAUAAGACAGAAUUAUAUCCCAACGGAGAGACAGGUGGAACAGUCCGAUUUAAUUCAGAUUUGUUAGCAGUGUAUCGUGUGGGUUAGAGCAAUUCGGUUUGGAUGCCUAUUAUAUAAUUUUAUAUAUAUAUAUAUAUAUAUAUAUAUGUAUAUGUCGUAACCUGCAUAUGACAAGAAAAGAAAGCCUAGCUAGGCUAGGCUUUUAAUUAUGAUGGGAUUAUAUUUAAUUUUAUUAUGCAUGCAUGGGAUAAAGGCUAUGUUGAAGUUAUCAAGACAAGAAGCCUAGGUGGGCUAGACUUCCAAUGUGAUGUGAUAAGACUAGAUGGGUUUUUAUCCUAUUUGAAAAGUCACAAACAACAAUUUGAAGGAUGUGCAUUGGCUUCUGAUACGGAUCAAGUUUAGUUCCACAAUUAGAGUUGCAGUUGGACUUUACGAAAUUAUCUGGCCGCGCCAUACAACAUUUGCUCACUAUAAAUACAAGAGGUCGUGGAACACAAAAAUGAUCUCCAAUUCAACACACAACUGCCCUGCGCAAACUCUCUCAACAACUUUGAGAUUUUUUAUUUUCUCUUUUCGCUGACACAUCUUCCGUUGGCAUCAACAGCACUGUGAAAGCAACCGGUGAUAUCUUAAGUCGGCAUAGAUAGCUCUGUCACCGUAGAAUCAGCCGAUCUCGCAACAUCUUCCGUUGGCAUCAACAGCAUUGCGGCGAGGACGGUUGAUUACCUAUCCAAGUCUCGAUCGAGAAGGAUUUUUGAAUCCUUAUUGGUCGAGGUCAUCUCAUCAGCCUUCUCGACGAAGUGAAGUGUUACAAGUUAUUGCAUUCGGCACAUUGAAAGCCGAAUUUGAUAUUGAACUUCGUAAGAAUAGUAACCUUGUCUUCAGGUUCGAAAGCCCAAGAGGCCAAGACGUGUUCCUUUCUCGGCCGCAAUCGCAAGACGCAGAAGUCAGCCGCGCACCCAACAUCAACAAAUUUACUCCUCGACCGAGCUCGGCCGACGAGCUGGCACGCCUCGCAUUCACCGAAGGACGUAGUUAGCUUAUAGAUUACUCGGCAUGUGCGCCACAUAGGCUUGGUAGUUUUUAGGGUCAACAACAAGAUAAAUGGAAUUCAACAUAUCUCUCUAAUCUAUAAGGAGUUUGGAAAUGCAUGUGCAUUUGUUUGGGCUUGAACUAAUAGCUUGGGCCGAAAUGGGUUGACCUGGAGACCACAUUUCUCACCCCAGUAAAUAUCGUUUAGGCUAGUGGGUUUUUAGCCCACAAAUAAGAUCAGUUCGAGUGAGUCCUCGUAGAGGUAGGACUAUGAAAAGAUUAAGUGUAACUUAAUCAAGUCCUACACAAACUGAAAUUGCCAAGGAUAAGGAUAAGUUUUGGAUAAAUAUGAAUUAUGCUAGAGAUCAGAAUGCAUACAUGAUCAAAUAAAGAUGAAUAAAUCUCAUAAUGGAACUGGGUUUAGAGUCCUGGUGAAAAUCAAAGAGGCCGCGAGACUAGAUGGAGAUGAAGUUUCAGCUAAGAAUGGAUAAAAGGAAUAUUAAAGCAAAAGACAAGCAAACACAGUCUCAUGAGGACUCUGCUUCGGCAGGAUUGUUUAUCAUGGAAGUCUCACCUAUAAAUAGAACUAUAAAAGAGGCUCUGCAACAUUAAAGCCCAUUUCAACUCAACAAACAAACAAUCUAAACGCUCUACGUGAAAACUCUUGCUAUACGCGAAACCAUUCCCACACGUUUGGAAAAAAAAAACAUUAUCUUAACCCUCCCACCAACACAUUUUCAGUUGGGAUAAGUAUAUAGCAUUGUGUUGGCAACCGACAACAUCUUCAGUUCGGAUAAGUGAGCAACACUAAAGCCGUAAAACCAGGCGAUUUAGGAGCAUUUUCAGUUCGAACAAGUGAACAACACUGCCUCUGGUUGGUUGGUUGUUUAUCCAAGUCUCGGGCCAGUGAAGAGUUUCCAACUUUUUCACCUACAGAGGUCACUUUAUUAGCCUCCCAGGGAAGUGAAGUGUUCUAUGAUUGGUUACUCUUACGUGCAUUUCGUAAUUCGGCAUUCAGGACAACCAAACCGAGUUCACCAUAAAAAUGCUCAUAUUCUUUGAGUACCUAUGCCGUUAAAGCCUCAUACCGAUUUAGCGCACCUAUAUUUCCACGAAUAUAGUCGAGGAAAACGAACCUGGUGCAGGAAGUCCUGAACUUCGCGGUAUCAUGUAUCAAAAUGUUACGAAACAUUAUAAAGGCUUAUAAAAAGUUAGAUCACUAUCAAUUGCUAAUGAAUUUAGAGUGAAAAUUCAAUUUCCAUUCAUAUAGCGGUAUACAAUAUAGAUAAAACACAUUACCUUGAGUGAUGUUAAAUCCUAUCCCCGAAUUUAUUUGUAAUUUUAUAAUUUCCCAAAGUUUUAUUUAAAAUUUCAUUUUGGUCACCUCGCUUGACUAAAUCUGGACCCUUUAUCUAGAUUCCUAAACCCCUUUAAACUACCACGUGGCAGCACCCUAACAAAACUCAUUUCUCUCUCUCUGUCCCCUCUUCCCCCGUGACUCCUUCUUCUUCUUUCUGUUUCUGCUUAUUUCCCUUCUCUCUCUCUUUUUUCCCUCUUUCACCGAGACACAUACACACACCUAAUUGCUUACCUCUAUGAGGAAGACAAUCAUCAUCACCAUAAAAAAACUCAUCUUUCUCUCUCUUCCUCUCAUCUCUGCGAGAUCGGUGAACCCAAGAACCUCCGGCGAGCUUCUUCAUUUUCUUCGGUUAGGUAAGCUUCGGGUUUAUCUAUUUUCGUUCUAGUUGAAGCUUGGGUGCGAUUUAUUAAAUGUUAUACUCGUGAUUUCCAAGGUUUUGGAACGAGACUGACCCGGUGGAAAGCACACCCAAUUCUGGCGAAACAGUGGGUGUCGAGGAGCUUUCCGUUCACCUCCGGCCGUUUCACGGCUAAUAAAAGGUAUAAAUCUCUUACCAUUGUCUCACUCUUCAAUUUGAUACCUAGAACGGAGUCUAGGGUCGUGGUUUGCAGUCGGCCGGAGCUGGGAAGGCUCCGAAGUUCUUCUUCAUUAUUUUCGGCGACACCAGGCCUUUUAGGCCGUUUCUUAAACCCUCGAGCUCUAGGCCCGUUUUAGCCAGCCCAGCUUCCCUUUUUGGGUAUAUGGCCUGCGGGCCGUGUCAUUGAUGGGCUUCGUGCGUGUGUGUGUAGUAUGUGUGUGUGUGUUGGGCUGUGCGUGUGUGUGUGGUGUAUGUGUGUGUGUCCAUGCGUGUGUGUGUGGUGUGUGAGUGUGUGGUGCACGUGUGUGUGUGUAGUGUUGUGCAUGCGUGUGUGUAUGUGUGCUAACGUGUGUGUGAAUAUUGUAUGGGUUUGGGCUCAAGCCCAAACCACCACCAUUUUUAUUCCUAAGCCCUAAUCCAGAUCCAAGUUCAAACCCGCUGACCUAGUCUGACCCAAUUGACUGACCAGUUGUCUUUGACUUUCAGUUUUCAUCCGAGACCCCCUAGGCUAAUUUCGACGUCCUAAAUCCGUUUUCAAUGUCCAUUUUCCCAAAUUAAAUCAUUUGAGUAGAGUUCGACUAAAUGUACUAUUUAUGUGCUUAGGGGCAAUUAUUGUGACGUUUCCAUCUUCGCUAGCAACGCAGUUUCUGGCGGCUAAGUACUGUGUGUGGACCCCUUCUAAAAUUACAUGAUUUUAUAGUUUAUUUGCAUAAAUGAAACGCAUGCCUUACGAGUUUAUGAACUAAUUUUAUGUUAAGCAUGUUUAUUGAAAUGUUGAUUAUCGUCUCAUCAUCAUUUUUUAGUGAGGAAAUAAUUGUUCGCCUUUGUUGAACUAUAUUUUGAUAUAUCAUAUUUUUAUAAAAACCAUGAACUGGUAGACUAUCUGAUGGGUGACGAUAGGAUGCUAGAACAUGUUUUAGAAACCCCUCUUUAUAGUAUAGAUGAUGCAUGACUUUAUACUAUGAAGUGGUUAUUUUGAGAGGCGUAACUAUUUGUGCGUACUUAGUGGACACUAUGCCACCUAGGGCGAGGAUCUGGUGUUGACAGUUAGGCCGGGAGAAAUAAUCCCUAGCGAAAGGCUGAGGGACACGGAGACAGGCGUUGGGUCAGGAUGGAGUUAUCUCUGGCUACGGGCACAGAGACUUAUAUUGGAAAUGUGCCCUAAAACCAAUCAUAUGAUGAUACUUUACGGACAUUUCACAUGGUAAACUAAUCUAGUUUAAUAUCAAGGGCAUAGAUUAUUCUUUUAAGCCGUCUCAUAUAAAUGUUAUAUGCUUAAACGAUAAGUCCAAGGAAUGUGUAAUUAGGAGAAUGUAAUUUAAACAAGUUAGAUUUAUGAGACCAUUCUCUUUCGUAUACAUAUCCUAAACGUUCCUGAUCAUAGGAUUGCCAAUUGGGCAUUAACAGUCCGUUAGGAUCAGUAUGUGCUAUGUCUUUUCUUAGUGAGAGUGACUGGUCUCGAGUCAUUGGUGUGAUUGACACCAAGAUAAGCAUGUAGGUGCUUAAUAACGAAUGAGUCCACUGAACACGAUCAACGAGGAGUUCUCAUACUCAUGUCACAUGAGAACUCAUGGUUGGGAUAAUGUAAAGUAGUCCUUUGACCUGAGGCAUCAUAGUUGUCUUGUGGUUAAGUCCUUGAUCUUUGACUAUGUCAAAGUCACUCAAUUCGAGGGUGUCCACGGCAUAGUUGGGGUUAAGCCACUUAGCCAUGGAGGUAAGUGAAUGCGCAACAAGGGAUCUCUAACCUUCAAACCGUUUGAGGGAGAAUACUCAAUGAUAUGAUUGAGAAUCUCUGGCCAGAGUAUGAAUGAGAUUUAGGAAGUCAUUCCAAAUCACAUUCAAGGUAAUCAUAUAAGUAAAUGAAUCACAUUGGAUAAUAGACAUGAAUAAACUAUCAAACCAAACAAUGUGGUCAAGAGUAUUGUAUUAGAGAAAGACCGUAUUGCAUUGUAAUCUUAAACUGAAUAGGUUCUCCACCUCUUCUGAUUAGCUUGGGUAACCAUCACAUACUGCUAGGUGUCACUCAUGGUUUGUGGAAGCCCUAAACGUGUAUAAUCACUAAAGGGAGAAUUGAAAGUAAGUUUCAAUUCAUAAUCGAUUUGAAAGAGUUCUAAUCGCCUACUGCCUCGCUAAAAGGAACCUAAUGGAUCGUACACCGUGUAAGGUAGAGAUUGAAGAAACCACGGAAAUGAGUAAGGAUAAUUAAAUGGUUUAAUUAUUUAUUUAUGGAAAGGAUUAAUUAAUAUGUUAAUUAAUCAAACGAAUAAACUUCGUUAAAAGACCACGGGUUAGUUUUGGGCCUCAAGGCCCAAUGGGCUUCGAACGUCAAGCCCAUUGACUUAAGUUGUAUGACAACUUAAUGACAAAUAAUUCAUAAAGGCCUAAAAGCCCAAUGAAGCCCUAUGGCCGGCCAUUUAGAGGAAGGGUAGUGAACUUGCUUUAAUUACAAGUUUGCCACUCCAAUGAAUAAAGGUAUAAAUAUGACUUUAUAGUCAAAAUUCAUUUAGGGUUUUUUGAGGAAAUUGGAGAGAACACAAAGCUCUCGUUUCUCUCUAAAGAGGCUGGCCACCCUUGAAGGGAAAACCAUGAGAUUUCAUGUGGGAUUUCUAGUGACUAGCAUGGAUAGACAAUUCAAAAUUUAUAUACGAAAGCAACGGAAGCAUGUUAUCAAAUAAUAUCAAAGCAAUAGUCAUGCAAAUCCCCUUCAAGAUGCAUAGGUUUAUGUAAGAUGCAUCAAAAACAAAUUUAUAUAUAAGAACAAAGUUUAGGAGUAGUUUUAUACCUUAUGAUCUAGAUCUUAGACCAAUGAUGGACCACCUCCAAGCCCUUUGUUCCUUGAACUCCUUGAGCCUAGCCUCCUUCCUUGCCUCCUCCACUUUGUUUAGAAUGAGUGCUCCUAGGUUCUCUUCAAGUUUCCAAAAUUGAAAACCUCUAAAGAUCCUCACCCACUAGUGUAGUGAGAAGGAUGAAGGAAUAACCAAAUGGGUGAAAAGAUGAUUAGCUAAAUCCCCCUAUGGUGGCCGGCCCUUUGAGUGUUAGAGAGAUAUUUUUCCUUUUUCUCUUUUGUUCUUUUAACACUUCAAAAAACCCUAAUGAAACAUUUGCUAUAAAGUUCCUUUUAUAGCCAAAAAGAAACAAGUCAACAUUUGACCUUUCUCUCCCUCCUUUGGCCGGCCGCUUUGUGUUGUUUGGGCUUUGGGCUUUUAUUUAUUUCAAGUCAUCCAAUGCUUGAAUAAAAGCCCAAUGGGUUUAGGCCCAAUGGGCCCAAUUAAAUCCGAACGUUUCUUUAAGCCCAAAACGAUCUAAUAUCGCUUUUAUGAUUUCUUUAGACUUUCUAAUUAAUCACAACACUUAAUUAAUCCAAUUAAUUAUUUCCAUCAUCCAUUAAUUACUCACUACAAGAGUGUAUUGGUGAACAAUCGUUUUAGGUUAAUUAGCAAGGCAGUGAGGUGAUUGGCACCAAUCCAAUUGAUUAUAUUUAAUCCAAUCACUUAGUGAAUUAAAACUUACUUUUAAUUCACCUUCUUCUUUGACGACUACAUUUAAUCAUCUAGAAGAACUCACAAGCCAUGAGUGACAUCUAACCAUAUAUCAUGGCUACCCAAGCUAAUGUAAAAGUUGUUCGGAGAACCUAUUCAGUUGGAAUUACAAUGUAAUUCGAUCCUUCUCUAAAACAAUACUCUCAAUCACAUCACUAGGGUAUGGAUAUAUUAUGUCAAACCCCUAAUGUGAUUAUUCCUUCUUAUAUGAUUCAAUUGAGUCGUAUAGGAACGCUUUCCUUUAUUACGCUCGAUACUUCGACCGAAGAUUCCAGAAUCAUAUCUUAGAGUAUUCAUCCUCUCUUAACGAGGAUUGGAGAUUCCUUGUUGCGCAUUCACUUGCCUUCAUGACUAAGUGGCUUAACCCCGACUAUGCCGUGGACACCCGCGGAUGGAGUGACUUUGACAUAAUCAAAGAUCAAGUACUUAACCAUAAGACAACGAUGAUGCCUCAGGUCAAAUUACUACUUACAUUAUUCCAACCAUUAGAGUUACUUGCUUGACAUGUGAGUAGAGCUCCAUGCAAGUACUCUUGUUCGAUUGUGUUCAGUGAACUCAUUCCCUUAAUGAGCACCUACAUACUUGUCUUAGUGUCACUAAUGGGAUGAGACCUUCCAUCCUUCUAAUUGAAGCGGACAUAGUAUGUACCGGUCUAUGUAUUGUCAGUAUCCCUCCGACAAUCCUAUGACCAGGAACCUUUUGGACAUGAUGGUUAUGUGAAGAAGGUCUCUGUAGUCUAACUUCAUUAGAUUACUUCUUCAAUCGAUCCAGUGUCCAUGGAUUCACUAUUUAGGACAUAUAUCGUUUAUAGAGAUAGUCCUAAAUAGUAUCUUUGCCAUUUGAUGUAUAAGAAUCAUCUAUACAUCCAUUUAUUGUCCUGAAAGGUUUCUUCCAAAGAUUGACUUUCAGGGCAUAUUUCCAACAACACUUGGAGGGAUUAGCUAGUAAUCUUUCUCCUCCAAGGUCACUCAUCUCUUAUUCACAUCUUACCUUGGUGUGGAGACUUAGAGGUUCUCAAUUUUGGGAACUUGGAGAAACCUAUUCUUCCAUCCAAAUCCAUGGAUCUAAGAAGCAAGGAAUGAAGGCCCUAUCUAUUGGGUGAUUAUCCUUUGCUUAUGCAAAGAGGAAUCAACAAAGGUAUAAUUUCUCAACUCACUUUGUUUUGAGUUGAGUCUUGGUUCACCAAACUACUAGGCUUUGAAUUUAAUGGGUAAUGUUUUGUUUUGAGUGCAUGCAAGCAUGAUUCCCCCUUUAAUUUGUUAAUUGCAUGCUAUAGAUGUUGCUCAAAUGAACAUGUUUUCACAAAAUUUUCCUUCAAGUGGUAUCAAAGCCUAGGUCUAGUAGUUGGUGAAUCCUUUUGGGUUUUGUAGUUCAUAGUAUUUGAUUUAAAUGUUGUAAUAUGUUACAAGCUUUAUUCUUGUUUCUUUGAAUGUAAAUUUUGUUGGAAAAUUUGCCAUCUCAAAUGUUGUAGAUGUAGUUCAUAUGAGCAUGAAUAUUGGAGCUAAAAUUUGGUGCCAUGUUUUUGGGAAAAUUCGGCCAAAUCCAAAGGGUGGAUUUUUGGGUUCAUGUUUGACUUGUUAAAAGUGUUUUCAAGUAACUUUUUGAGUUUUUCAUGAAUGUUCUUCAUUGUUCUUGAUAUUUUAGCCAAGAACAAAAAGUUUGGUGUUUUGAUUCAAAGUUUUGAUUUAUUUCAUAAAGUUUUUGUUUUGUGCUUUUCAAAUGUUUAAAUGUGUUAGAUAUUUAUUUAGAAAGGUGAUAGAAAUAUUGAUGGGUGUGUAAGGAUUAAUUCCCUUUCACACACCACUUGCAUGACUUUUGUGUCAUGCACCUCUUACAUGACUUUAUGUCAAAACUACAAAUCAACACACACAUCACUCCCUUUAAUAUCUAAAACCGGCCACCCUAUUAAAAUAGGGUACUUUUGUGUAUUUGCACUUUGGCCCAAAAGUUUACAUUUUUACAUAAAGGCCCAAAAUCAUUAAAGGACAAAUUGUUUUGUUCCUUUAAUGAAGUUUUUGAAUUUGUUGAAAUUUUUGGGUUCUAGUUGUAAUUACAUGAAGUAGUGAACUUUUGUGUUUUUACAAAGUGAGCUCAAAAGUUUAAGUUUUGCAACAUAGCCCAAAAGUUGAGGUUAUUGCAUUUUGGCCCAAAUUAGGUUGAGAACAAAAUGGUUUUGUCUCUUAAAAUGAGAAUUGGAUUUUCAUUUCAUUUAGCUCCAUUUAAAUCAAUUCUAUGGAAACAAAAACCAAAUGAAAAAAAAUUGUUGCAUUCAAGUUUAAUUAGUUAAAGCGUUAAUUAAUUAAAGGGUGAUUAUGAACCUAAGCCUACGAUAAUUGAGCUAUGUGAAAGGCCGUUUCAAAUUUGUUUGAACCAUGGGAAUGUGUAGAUUAGAUUUUGGUUGUAAUUUGAUUUGAUCAAAUGUUGUAAAAGAGCAUAAGCUCUUCUUUACUUUAAAGUAAUUUGUAUUAUUCAAAUGUUGUAAAGAGCAUAAGCUCAUCUUUACUUUGAAGUACUCAUUUCUUGUUUUAUUUGAUAUGCAUGAAAAUUGGUAGCGGGUCCAACGCCCAAUAAGACAACACGCCUUAAUGUGAUUAAACGCGUAACUAAAAUCAAUCACCAUCCCUAGACCGAGAUUCAACACUAGGCUCGUGUUGGAUCUAAUCAAAGGUUCAUAAUCAUCUUAAGGCCCUAAGACAACUAUAUAGUCCAUCAAUGAAUGCAAACCUUAUGUUAGUAGUACCAUAUACUCUUGCUUUAAAAACCAUUUUACAAGCUUAGUGGGAGUAUUAUAUACUACUAAAUCAAUCACAUGGACCAAUAGUUGUAAUAGAACCAAAUUGUUUUAAUAAGAUUAAAAUGAAUGUUUAUAUAUGAUGAGACCUAAAACCCUCAACCAAACCAUUAUUAAGUUGAUAAGCGUGAGAGUGCUUUUGAACACUCUUUCGUGGCCUUCCACUGUGGUAGGCUCCAAUCGUUUGUGACUCGUACACCUACUUCACCCUAUUAUGGGGGAGUACAAAGUGCGUGCUUACACUCAGGAUGGAUCCUGUAUGCAUACAGGAUGUAUCCUAUAUGUAUACAGGAUGUUGUGAAGGUAGGCAACGAGAAUGAUCAACAUCAUAUCAUUGUCAGGUUGUUCUUGAACCCCUACCCGAACUUGCAUGGUGGGAAUGACUUAACUAAGUGCAAUGGAGCCAACAUCAUAUCAUUGUGAGGCUUCAUUCUCUAGAGGCCAAAUAAGAUGGGUACUUGCAAGAGAUGCAAAUGAGUAAGUGUACUCUCUCAUUAUUAUUUAUGCUAGCCAACAUCAUAUCAUUGUGAGGUGGGCUUGGUAAUGAUGAGUCUCCCAUACUCUACUAAGAGUUUCCUCCAAAACUCUCGAAUUCCGAUGAGGGAUAUGGAAUUUGCCAAAAAUAGUGGGUGGUGCUAUUUGAUUUAAAGACCCGAAUCAAAUGGCUUAAAAUCAAUCAAUUUAUAUUCGUUAUAUAUUUGUUUACCAAUAUAUUUGCAAACGCUAUCCAAAACUUGACUAAGAAAAGCCGAAUGCUUAAGUUUCCGGACUUGGUACCACAAUCCCAAAGAUUGUCUUAAAUGGAUUGUAUAUGUACCUAAGUAGUCUAAUCCUCACAAUCUUCCUAUUGAUAAUGUAUCAUUGGAAGAACAUGUUAGAUAAGUCUAUCAUAAAGAGGACAACACUUUUAAUGUCAUAGUUCUUCACUUACAAAUCGUUGUAUGAAGAAAUAAGAGUUGCUUUGAACAACCCUUAGCUAAUGCAAACACUAGUGCUUGUUUCUUUGUUAAUUGAACAAAGAACUUGAGAAGAAAGCACAAGGGCAUGGACACUUUAUGUGCCAUGAUUCUUCACUUAUAAAUUGUUGUAUGAAGAAAUGAGAGUUGCCUUGAACAACUCUUGAAAGUUUGUAAUUAUGUUUAGAACAUAAUGGUUGGUUGACAAAAAUAGUCCAUCAACAUGGACUUAUGAUGAUUUUGAAUCAUUGAGUGUUGAAGUGUUAAACCACUUUUAGAAACGGAAACUAGGCAAGGACUUCACCUUUGUGUCCCUAUCCAAAUGGUUCACUAAGUUUAUUGUAAACUAUAUAGUGAACAAUAACCACAGACUCUCCAAAUCGUUUGAUGUGUAUAACACAGUUGAAAUAAGUUUCAAGAGAGAUAGUGGGAGUUUAGGGACCAUGACUAUUGUAGUCAAAAGGAGAAGUCAAAUGAAGAAAGCGAAAUAAACUCCAAGGGAACAAACUUUCUUUAUGAAAGGAUGGACAUUGGAAGGGGUAUUUGCAAGAAAUGUCUUGCAAGUGUCAAGAACACACCUUUCGAAGGUGUUGUAAAUUGUUCUUGAAAAGUUCAAAACAGUUGGUUCUUCUACUUGAAUGCUUGAUUCCGUAUUAGUAACUAUGUUUUACAAACGUUGUAAAAGUGUGGCUAAUAAAAGGUAAAAGAUUAAUGAGAGAAGAGAAAGUACUUCACAUUCGGAACGUGAAUCAAAUGUAGAUCUCUGCGAAAGCAGAUGGUACUUACUUCCUCAUAUGAACUACCAAAGAAAUUGGAAAAACCAAAGAUUGUCUUUACAUUCCAAUUUUAAGGAACUUAAUUCCAUCACUAUAAGGGAUGGAUGAAUGUUUUGUUUAACAAAACAUUGUUCUUUAUUAAUGAAUGAUAGAUUAUUGUAAUCUAAUUGAUUGUCUCUAUAGUAGAGAUGAUAUGGUAGUGUUAACUGUUUAGAAUAUAACGAUGCUUAAAACCCAAAAGGUUGCAAGGUAGUGACUAAUCCCAACUGAGUUGUGAUACCUCUAAAACAUAAAUUAUGAGUUGGUCAUAGAUGGAUGCUUUGGAUCGUUAGAUCCGGAUCCAAUACCUUCUUAUUAAAAUUGUAUGGAGGCGAAAUGUUCGAAUCUUUAUUCUUUUGGAAAGAAGAAAGAAUCACAAAGUUGUUGAGGUUAAUUCACUUAGAUGUUAGUGGCACUUGUCCACAACAUAAUACUACUCAUGUUGUAUGACAUUCACCGAAGAUCACUCUCGGUUGGACUAUAGUUUAUUUUGAAUAAACACAAGUCCGAAUAAUUUGCAAAAGGUUUCAAAGAAUUCAAGAAAUAUAAGUUGAUGAGUAAGACGUCUAAUGUAUUUACCUCCUUAGAUUUGAUCCAAGGAAAGGUAACACUUUAGAAUAGUUUCCUUGAAAGAUAUCAAGGAAAGAAGCAUCAUAUGAUAAUGCAUUUCUCCAUUAGGAGAAGAACGAACUUGAAUAAGAUUUAGUUCGUUGGAUGUUAUCAAUUACCCAUAUAUAGGAUAUAUGCUUCUAAGACAAUAUGAUUGUCAAUUAGAAGAUCUUCCAAAAUUUUCAUGACUCCAUAAGAUGUAGUUGGAAAGAAAGACAAAUCUUAAUCAUGUUAAGAUUUGGGGUUGUGUGCUAAUAAGCAAUAUUUGUUUGAGAAUUAUCUUGUGGAUAUCCUUAAAUUAACCUUUGGAUAUCACUUCUAUAAACCAACUAACAAAUGUUGUUUUUUAGGUAGUUCAUUGUAAUCCUACACUAGGAUUUGCCUAAGAUAGAGCAAAUGAACGAGGGAUAGAACUCAAAGAAUGGGUUCUUUGAGAAACAAGAUAGUGAUCAACAAAUAUAACAACCUAGUUCCUAUACCACAAGCUCCAAGGUAGUCGAGAAGGAUUUAUAAACCGUCUCAGUUGAAUGGUUUGAACUUUAUGACUAUGUCAUAGAGUUGCACCUCUUAAUUCGAAAGAAAUAAGAAUGAAAAUCCUUAUGACUACAUUGAGUGUAUAUACAAUAUAUACUCAAGGAAAUGGUAAAGUACCAUUUGAUCCGAAAUAAUGAAACCUCCAUAGCUAAUUGGUAGCUUAAGGUGACUACAAUUAAAGAGAUUGGUUGACUUGGAAGAAACCAUCUUUGACGUAGUCUUGGUUUCAAUUAAUUCGAAGAUUGCUAGCUAUAACUAAAUGGUGAUUCAAUGUUUGGACAUAAUAUGGGUUUCCGAAACCAUUAUUAAGAUAGUCUUGAUAAUAUAUGUCUAAAACUAUGAAUCACAAGACAUGUAAGUUGUAGAGAUCCAACCAUCAUGGAUCUUAGCAAGCUAGUGGGAGUUAUAAGCGUCUUAUGAGAGAAAGAUCAAAUCAAUUGAUUUCUCAUAAAGAUGUAAAUUAAUCUUUUGUUUACUAAGUUUACAAAAGAUUAGUGGGAGUUAAUCAUAUUCCUAAAAUUGAAUAUAUAUGAUGUAUUAAUUUUGGAAAUGAAAAGAAUACUUCUUCGUUAAAGUUAUGACUUUAAACAUUCUAUAACGAUAGAAUGUAUAUGGGAGAUAUAGUCUAAAUACAUGGGAUAGAAAUCUAUAAUGAUAUAUUUCAAGAUAUAAUUGGAUUAUAUCAAUCCCUAAUAAUAGACAAAAGAUGCUAGGAAGUUUCUCAUAUGAUGAUAAACUUCAAUUAGAAUGACGACUCUAGUGAGACUAGCAAGUUGCCCUUCUCAAAGGGAACGUACCCUUUGACUCCCAAAGAAAUAAUGCGUAAAUAGAAUCCUUUAUGCAUACGCAGAAAGGUGAUUUAUGUAUUUCAUAUUGUAUGAAAAACAUUGAUAUGAGUUCUACCUAGAAAGGUACAAGACGAUAUCAGUGCAAGCCCAGGAUCAGAACCAUGGCAACUGUCAAGUGAGUCCUUGAGUAUUUAAGAAAUACUAAAGGAUAGAUUCCUCAAAGAAUGAGGAAGAAUUAGAGUAACGUAAUGGAAGCGUAAAUGUAUUAGAUUAUGAAUCUAAUCCAUCAUUGGAUGUUUCUUCAUUAUGAAUGAAGAGAUAAUCAAAUAUCUCUUUAUUAUAACUAAAAGAGAUAUUUGGAUGGAAACAUUAAAAGUAAUGACUUUAGUGUGUUCCAUUGUGAAUGCAAAAUAUAUUGCCAUAUAGAAGCUUACAACAAUGUUGUUUGGAUGGGAAAGUUCAUUUAUGAACUCUCUAUUCGGUUCCAACCAGAAAGUGUCUCUAGUGUACUUACACUACGACACUAAUGGGGAGAUAGCUCAAGCCAGGGAAUCAAGGUCUCAUCACGAUCCGAACUCAAAUGAGAGACUGAACCACAUGAUUGAGAAUCAUGUAUAAUGGUGACGUCGUUAUUCUCAAGGUUGCUUCUAUGGAUAACAUAUAGAUAUCCAUUGUCUAGGCCUACUACUCAACCAUUUUUGAAAUGACUACAGAAGAGGUAUCAUCACUGAUGACCAAGCUGAUUGGCUCUAGUGCAAGUGGGAGAUUGUUGGAAAUGUGCCCUAAAACCAAUCAUAUGAUGAUACUUUACGGACAUUUCACAUGUUAAACUAAUCUAGUUUAAAAUCAAGGGCAUAGAUUAUUGUUUUAAGCCGUCUCAUAUAAAUGUUAUAUGCUUAAACGAUAAGUCCAAGGAAUAUGUAAUUAGGAGAAUGUAAUUUAAACAAGUUAGAUUUAUGAGACCAUUCUCUUUCGUAUACAUAUCCUAAACGUUCCUGAUCAUAGGAUUGCCAAUUGGGCAUUAACAGUCCGUUAAGAUCAGUAUAUGCUAUGUCUUCUCUUAGUGAGAGUGACUGGUCUCGAGUCAUUGGUGUGAUUGACACCAAGAUAAGCAUGUAGGUGCUCAAUAACGAAUGAGUCCACUGAACACGAUCAACGAGGAGUUCUCAUACUCAUGUCACAUGAGAACUCAUGGUUGGGAUAAUGCAAAGUAGUCAUUUGACCUGAGACAUCAUAGUUGUCUUGUGGUUAAGUCCUUGAUCUUUGACUAUGUCAAAGUCACUCCAUUCGAGGGUGUCCACGGCAUAGUUGGGGUUAAGCCACUUAGCCAUGCAGGCAAGUGAAUACGCAACAAAGGAUCUCUAACCUUCAAACCGUUUGAGGGAGAAUACUCAAUGAUAUGAUUAAGAAUCUCUAGCCAGAGUAUGAAUGAGAUUUAGGAAGUCAUUCCAAAUCACAUUCAAGGUAAUUAUAUAAGUAAAGGAAUCACAUUGGAUAAUAGACAUGAAUAAACUAUCAAACCAAACAAUGUGGUCAAGACUAUUGUAUUAGAGAAAGACCGUAUUGCAUUGUAAUCCUAAACUGAAUGGGUUAUCCACCUCUUCUUAUUAGCUUGGGUAACCAUGACAUACUGCUAGGUGUCACUCAUGGUUUGUGGAAGCCCUAAACGUGUAUAAUCACUAAAGGGAGAAUUGAAAGUAAGUUUCAAUUCACAAUCGAUUUGAAAGAGUUCUAAUCGCCCACUGCCUUGCUAAAAGGAACCUAAUGGAUCAUACACCGUGUAAGGUAGACAUUGAAGAAAGAACGGAGAUGAGUAAGGAUAAUUAAAUGGUUUAAUUAUUUAUUUAUGGCAAGGAUUAAUUAAUAUGUUAAUUAAUCAAACGAAUAAACUUCGUUAAAAGACCACGGGUUAGUUUUGGGCCUCAAGGCCCAAUGGGCUUCGAACGUCAAGCCCAUUGACUUAAGUUGUAUGACAACUUAAUGACAAAUAAUUCACAAAGGCCUAAAAGCCCAAUGAAACCCUAUGGCCGGCCAUUUAGAGGAAGGGUAGUGAACUUGCUUUAAUUACAGGUUUGCCACUCCAAUGAAUAAAGGUAUAAAUAUGACUUUAUAGCCAAAAUUCAUUUUGGGUUUUUUUGAGGAAAUUGGAGAGAACACAAAGCUCUCCUUUCUCUCUAAAGAGGCCGGCCACCCUUGGAGGGAUUAGCUAGUAAUCUUUCUCCUCCAAGGUCACUCAUCUCUUCUUCACAUCUUACCUUGGUGUGGAGACUUAGAGGUUCUCAAUUUUGGGAACAUGGAGAAACCUAUUCUCCAUCCAAAUCCAUGGAUCUAAGAAGCAAGGAAUGAAGGCCCUAUCUCUUGGGUGAUUAUCCUUUGCUUAUACAAAGAGGAAUCAACAAAGGUAUAAUUUCUCAACUCACUUUGUUUUGAGUUGAGUCUUGGUUCACCAAACUACUAGGCUUUGAAUUUAAUGGGUAAUGUUUUGUUUUGAGUGCAUGCAAGCAUGAUUCCGCCUUUAAUUUGUUAAUUGCAUGCUAUAGAUGUUGCUCAAAUGAACAUGUUUUUCACAAAAUUUUCCUUCAACUUCGGCGCAGGCAUUGGGCCGGGAGUAUUAUUAUUCAUUGAUCCUAGCAGCAGCACACCGCGCUUAUGAGACGAUCUAUGAGACAAUACACGCGAUGAUUUAUAUGAUGUUUUUCCGCAUUAUACCUGUUGAGAUGUUUUAUGGCAUGCUAGAGUUUCAGAAAAACUAUCAUUUAUUAUGCUAGUAAUUUUCAUUAUUUAUAAACCUAGGGGUUAGUAUGUUCAUAACUGUUUUCGUAUUAUGUGUGUAUAUAUAUGAACUUGGUCCACUCACCCUUGUUUUGUGCCCCCUUUCAGGAUUUAGAAUCGAGGCAUACGACCCUGACAUCAACGCCUUCGCAAUGGCAUAUUCGAGUCCUCUCGAUGUAGACCCACAUCCUUUUAUUUAUUCAAUUUUAUAUUAAUUGUUUUAGAGCUCUAGUUAGUUGUAUGCUUUGAAAACGUUCCUAAAAAUUUAAUUCAUUGUAUUUUAAAUUCAAAACCCUUAUUUAUUUCUUAUUCUUAGCUUUUGUAUCAAUUAAUGACUUUCGUCACCCUCGGGUGUCGGCCAGCAUGUGUCUAUCCUGGUAUUCGGGGAAUAUUAGGGUCGGGGCGUGUCAGAAUGGUAUCAGAGCAUGGUUGGUUCAGAGCAUACUUAGGAUUCUCUUCUAUUCUCGUAAAGUGUCGAUUUUAACAUCAUUUGGAUGUUAGAACUUUUGGACUUAGUGUCAUUCGGCGCAGUUGUGCAAACCUUUCUCUGUUUGAAUCGUCACCUUCUUGUUGAAAUUCAAGAACUUGUGUUGGGAUUGUGCCUCAUUGGCGACGUUUUUUAUUUAUUGGACAACUAUCAACGUAGGACGAUACUCUGCGGCGUGCAUACCCUGGGAAUGGCGGGCAGAGUCAUAUCUUCGUAGCAACUACUCAAAGCUUUCGAAGUGCGUGCUAAAGAAGCGAGUAAGUGAUAGUGGUGACAACAGUUAGUAUGUGGUAGUUGGUGGGAGCAAAUCAAUGUUCUCGGAUUUAUUACCACUGAAGAAGUUCGUGUAAAUCUUUAGAACAAGUCUUCCGCGAUUGUUCUAUUGAUAACUUUCUUGCUUAUUCCAACGACGAAGUCAAGUUCAUUAACCUUUGUCCAUCAGCUUCACACCAAUUUCCAAAUGGAGUUGCAAUUCUUGUUGUGGUUGUAGUUGAACUUCGAUAAUGAAGAUUCAAUCUUGUUUGGAUGAACAGACUCCUUGAACUUCACCUAAGCCUGGUACUCGGUGUUAGCACGUUGUCCUCGUACUUUUCAAUGAAGGAGAAUUUAGCCUCUUGUUUAUAGCCUAACUGUUUAGCCUUGUAAUUUUCGGUGUGAUGAUUUGAGACUCUACUAUAUUCAUCAUUAUACGAAGAUCAAGCUUUACUCUGAACUUUUCUGGACUCAUUGAGCUUUGGUUUGCUCAAGAGCAUCACUUUAAGGUAGCCAAUCGUGUCACUGCAUGUAUACGCAGGCUGCUUCGUAUCUUUCUUCUUCGUCAUUAUAUUGAUUCAGAGGUUAUAUAUUUAAUUUUUGAACUUUGAAACAGCUCUCACAAAGUAUUGAGAAUUUCAAAUUGCCUUUGGCCUCGUCAAAUCUUAUUAUCAGUUCUUAACUAUUCCUAAGCUUGGACCUAUUUCCUUUUUGGCUAAGAAACCAAUUGACCAUACUCUGAUGAUUUGCAAAAUAAUCAUAAACAGUGACUUCUAUUUCUGCAUCUUCACCUUCCUUUGCUUAUUCGUCUCUCAAUGUGAAAUUGGAUCAUGUCGAAACACUACACAAGGAUAAAAAUAAAAAAUAAAACAAAUAAAAAAACUUUGUUCUCGGCACGGUUUCUAGUUCAAAUCUCGAUAUCUUGUACUCUGGAUUGUAAUGGACUUGUUUUGACCCUCAAAUUCUUGAGUGAUCUUUCAGCCUUCUCGACAUGGUUUCUCGCUCAAUCAGUGAGGAAUUCACGAUCGAUCGAUUUGACAGAAGUGUGCGCCCAAUUCUAUCGUUUUAGACAGAAACGUUAAGAGCAUAAUCUUUUCACAAGCUUACCAGACUUACCAGAAAGAGUUACGUGGGUGUGAGAUUUGAGUUGUCUCGUGGUAAGAGUUAGUUGAAGGUUUUAGUACAGAAGGUCAGCAGAUUAUAUCACCAUCUUGUUGCAAUUCAUAAGCAUCAUAUCGUUUCUUUUACAAUGUUAUGUGUUCGUCUCAAUGCAUCUUUUCACUACUUCACUCCAAGACUCUUUUGUUUGGGAGUACGUUGUUGUCGAAACACUUCUAGUAGUUCUACUUGGUGGUGAUAGAGUUUUACGAUGACAGUUUCUAUUUUGUUCGGUUUGGAGUAUGGCACUUUUUGUAACAUGGUACGAAAGUUGUUGCAUGCAACACUAGUUGACAAAGGAGUUUUGCAAAUUGGUAUUCGGAGGAUCGAAUAUACAACGUGUGAGAUUGUGCAUUUUCAGGAAAUCACUAUUUGCUUAACUAGACAACAAAUGGGUGGUCGAUAUCGCGAGCGGCCGACUGUGAUAUCGAUGGCUUAUUUGUUGGGUUCGUAAAGCAAGUGGGGAGGAAGACACAUCUGUUCUCGGAGUACGUGAGGUUACGAAUUUUUGGGUGAUACCUACUCUCAUUUUCAGUUUUGGUUUUCAGUACAAGUAUUUUAACUUCCUUUAAUUUAGUUAUUUGUUUUUGUCGUAACAAAUGUUUUGAGGAAAGUGUUUUCUGUUUUCAAUUUUGAGUUCAGCACGAGUUUUCGACCUAUAUGUUAGUACAUAUUUAUUUUGAUGCUAUCGUAUUUUACGUAUGUACUUUUGACCCUACAUCAAUAUAUGUUUUCAACUUUAUAUCUUUAUAAGUAUGUUUCAACUUUUACACUGAUGGGGAAGAAAGUAAGAGCUUGGAGGCAUGAUAAAGGAUUUUGCAACCCGCUCGCGACGGUGUGGCAUAUGAAGUAAUAUUUUGUGAAAACAUGUUCAUUUGAAUAACAUCUAUAGCAUGCAUUUAACAAUUAAAAGGCGGAAUCAUGCUUGCAUGCAUUCAAAAACAAAACAUUAACCAUGAAAUUCAAAGCCUAGUAGAUUGGUGAACCAAGACUCAACUCAAAUCAAAGUGAGUUGAGAAAUAUACCUUUGUAGAUUCCUCUUUGCAUAAGCAAAGGCUAAUCACCCAAAGAGAGGGCCUUCAUUCCUUGCAUCUAAAAUCUAUGGAUUUGGAUGGAUGAAAAGGUUUCUCCAAGUUCCCAAAAUGAGAACCUCUAAGUCUCCACACCAAGGUAAGAUUGGAGAAGAAAUGAGUGACCUUGGAGUAGUGGGAUUGCUAGAUGCACCCUCCAAGGGGGGCCGGCCUCCUAGAGAGAAAAGGAGAGACAAGUUCUCACCAAUUUUCUCUAAAAGAAACCCUUAAUGAAUUUAGGCUAUAAAGUCCUUUAUAUAGUCACUUCAAAUAAGUGACCUAAAGAACCAAAAGGCCAUUCUCUCUAACAUGGCCGGCCAUAAGGGUUUUAUUGGGCUUUUGGGCCUUUGUGAAUUAAGUUGUCAUACAACUUAAGUCAAUGGGCUUGACGUUCGAAGCCCAUUGGGCCUUGAGGCCCAAAACUAACCCGUGGUCUUUUAACGAACUUUAUUCGUUUGAUUAAUUAACAUAUUAAUUAAUCCUUGCCAUAAAUAAUUAAACCAUUUAAUUAUUCUUACUCAUCUCCAUUGUUUCUUCAAUCUCCACCUUACACGGUGUACGAUCCAUUAGGUUCCUUUUAGCGAGGCAGUGGGCGAUUAAAACUCUUUAAAAUCGAUUGUGAAUUGAAACUUACUUUCAAUUCUCCCUUUAGUGUUUAUACACGUUUAGGGCUUCCACAAACCAAGAGUGACACCUAGCAGCAUAUCAUGGUUACCCAAGCUAAUCAGAAGAGGUAGAGAACCUAUUCAGUUUAGGAUUACAAAUGCAAUACGGUCUUUCUCUAAUACAAUACUCUUGACCACAUUGUUUGGUUUGAUAGUUUAUUUAUUCAUGUCUACUAUCCAAUGUGAUUCGUGUGCUUAUAUGAUUACCUUGAAUGUGAUUUAGAACGACUUUUCUAAAUCUUAUUCAUACUCUGGCCAGAGAUUCUUAAUCAUAUCAUAGAGUAUUCUCCCUCAAACGGUUUGAAGGUUAGAGAUCCCUUGUUGCGCAUUCACUUGCCUCCAUAGCUAAGUGGCUUAACCCCAACUAUGCCGUGGACACCCUCCUUUUGGAGUGACUUUUGACAUAAUCAAAGAUCAAGGACUUAACCACAAGACAACUAUGAUGCCUCAAGUCAAAGGACUACUUUGCAUUAUCCCAACCAUGAGUUCUCAUGUGACAUGAAUAUGAGAACUCUUCGUUGAUCGUGUUCAGUGGACUCAUUCUCUAUUGAGCACCUACGUACUUGUCUUGAUGUCACACACACCAAUGACUCGAGACUAGUCACUCUCCCUGAGAGAAGACACAGUACGUACUGAUCUUAACGGACUGUCAAUGCCCAAUUGGCAAUCCUAUGAUCAGGAACAUUUAGGAUGUGUCUACGAAAGAAUGGUCUCAUGAAUUUAACUUCUUUAGAUCGUAUUCUCCCAAUCACAUAUUCCUUGGACUUUAUCGUUUAAGCAUAUAACAUUUAUAUGAGACGGCUCAAACAAUAAUUUUUGCCCUUUAUAGUUAAACUAGAUUAGUUUAACAUGUGAAAUGUCCGUAAAGUAUCAUCAUAUGAUUGGCUUUAGGGCACAUUUCCAACAGCAUAUUCUCUUUGAUGCACCCAGUCUGACUUGAUUUCUCUUUAUACAUAUACAUAUAUUCUUCUUUCUAUUUUCGAGUAUCUCGGUUUAGUAAGUGAUUUUAAAUUUUCGGGACAAAAUUCUUUUAAGGGGGGGUAGAUUGUUAAAUCCCACCCCCGAAUUUAUUUGUAAUUUUAUAAUUUCCCAAAGUUUUAUUUAAAAUUUCAUUUUGGUCACCUAGCUUGACUAAAUCUGGACCCUUUAUCUAGAUUCCUAAACCCCCUUAAACUGCCACGUGGCAGCACCCUAUCUCUCUCUGUCCCCCCUUCCCCCGUGACUCCUUCUUCUACUUCUUUUUGUUUCUGCUUCUCUCCCUUCUCUCUCUCUCUCUUCUUUCCCUAUUUCACCGAGACACAUACACACACCCAAUUGCUUACCUGCAUGAGGAAGACAAUCAUCAUCACCAUAAAAAACUCAUUUUUCUCUCUCUUCCUCUCAUCUUUGCGAGAUCGGUGAACCCAAGAACCUCCGACGAGUUUCUUCAUUUUCUCCGGUUAGGUAAGCUUUGGGUUUAUCUAUUUUUCUCCAUUAUUUCCGGUGACACCAAGCCUUUUAGGCCAUUUCUCAAACCCUCGGGCUCUAGGCCAGUUUUAGCCAGCCCAGCUUCCCUUUUUCAGUAUUUGGCCUAUGGGCCGUGUCAUUCAUGGGCUCCGUGCAUGUGGCUGUAAUGUGUGUGUGUGUGUUAGGUUGUGUGUGUGUGUGUGUGUGUGUGUGUGUGUGUGUGUGUGUGUGUGUGUGUGUGUGUGUGUGUGUCUGUGCGUGUGUGUGUGGUGUAUGAGUGUAUGAGUGUGUGGUGCACGUGUGUGCGUGUAGUGUUGUGCAUGCAUGUGUGUAUGUGUUCUGGCGUGUGUGUGAAUAUUGUGUGGGUUUGGGCUCAAGCCCAAACCACCACCCUUUUUAUUCCUCAACCUAUCCUAACCCAAAACCCAUUUUCUUUUAUUUAAAUUGUUUUAAAUCAAAGAGGGCCCCUUGGGCCAUUUUCUAAUAAGGGCUUUAAGGCCAAUCUCUAAACCCUUGGGCUUUUGGACCUAAGCCCUAAUCCGUAUCCAAGUUCAAAACCCGUUGACCUAGUCUGACCCAAUUGACUGACCCAUUGACUUUGACUUUUGGGUUGACUUUCAGUUUCGUCCAAGACCCCCUAGGCUAAUUUCGACGUCCUGAAUCCGUUUCCGAUGUCCGUUUUCCCAAAUUAAAUUGUUUGAGUAGAGUUUGACUAAAUGUGCUAUUUAUGUGCUUAGGGGCAAUUAUUGUGACGUUUCCGUCUUCGCUAGUGGCGCAGUUUCUGGCAGCUAAGUACUGUGAGUGGACCCCUACUAAAAUUACAUGAGUUUAUAGUUUAUUUGCAUAAAUGAAAUGCAUGCCUGAUGAGUUUAUGAAUUGAUUUUAUGUUAAGCAUGUUUAUUGAAAUGUUGAUUAUCGUCUCAUCAUCAUUUUUUGUGAGGAAAUAAUUGUUAGCCUAUAUUGAGCUUUUUUUUUAUAUAUCAUAUUUUUAUAAAAACCAUGAACUAGUAGACUAUCUGAUGGAUGACGAUAGGAUGCUAGAACAUGUUUUAGAAACCCCUCUUUAUAGUAUAGAUGAUGGAUGACUUUAUACUAUGAAGUGGUUAUUUUGAGAGACGUAACUUUUUGUGCGUACCUAGUGGACACUAUGCCGCCUGAGGCGAGGAUCUGAUGUUGGCAGUUAGGCCGGGAGAAAUAAUCUCUAGCGAAAGGCCGAGGGACACGGAGACAGGCAUUAGGCCGGGAAGGAGUUAUCUCUGGCUACAAGCACAGAGACUUAGGCGCAGACAUUGGGCUGAGAGUAUUAUUAUUCAGUGAUCCUACCUGCAGCACACCGCGCUUAUGAGACGAUUUACGAGACGAUACACACGAUGAUUUAUAUGAUAUUUUUCCGCGUUAUACCUGUUGAGAUGUUUUAGGGCAUGCUAAAGUUUCAGAAAACCUAUCACUUAUUAUGCUAGUAAUUUUGAUUAUUUAUAAACCUGGGGAUUAAUAUGUUCAUAACUGUUUUCGUAUUAUGUGUAUAUAUAUAUGAACUUGGUCCACUCACCCUUGUUUUGCGCCUCCUUUUAGGAUUUAGAAUCGAGGUAUACUAUCCAGACGUCAACGCUUUCGCAAUGGCAUAUUCGAGUCCUCUCGAUGUAGGACCCACAUUCUUUUAUUUAUUCAAUUUUAUAUUAAUUCUUUUAGAGCUCUAGUUAGUUGUAUGCUCUGAACACGUUCUUAAAAAUUUAAUUCAUUGUAUUUUAAUUUCAUAACCCUUAUUUAUUUCUUAUUCUUAGCUUUUGUAUCAAUUAAUGUCUUUCGUCACCCUCAGGUGUCGGCCAGCAUGUGUCCAUCCUAGUAUUCGGGGAAAAUCAGGGUCGGGGCGUGUCAAAUGAUAUGGUUUUUUAUAAGGAGAAUAUCAAGUAGUUUUUUUAUCCAUAAUUUAACUUGUAAGUAAGGGUAUAAUUGAAGAUUCUCUAAAGUCCUUCACCGUUUACCAGGUAUUAGAAAGUUGGUGGAGAAUAGGAGUUGAAGCUAGAAGAAAGACCUUUGUUAGGUUUUUUUGGUUUUGUUUUUCUUUUCGCUCUUCACAUAUAUUUUAAAACAAAAAUAAAGAAAUAAAAAGGAAAGUGUUUGUUUCUUAGUACUAUACGUCACCAUCUCACCAACUCUACUGAUUCUUGCAUUAUUUUCAACCAAAGGAGACAAACCCAAAGCAAGAGGGAGGUCUCCACCAACUCCUAUCCAUCACUUCCAUUCUAUCUAAAGCAAACUAAACCCAUAUUACUUUUCUUCUUCUCUUUUUUUUUUUUCCUUUUUUUUUCAGAAAAUGUAACAAAAACAAAAAUGGGAAAAUUGUUGGCGGUGGUCAAGGAUUGCAGUUUGACGUGGUAUGUUGUGAGUGGGCACGGUAGGUGAGCGACAGAUGCUCUGCUCCUCCGCGCUGCUCCAGAUACAUGUACUUAGUUGGAAGGUCUCAUCAUCGAAAAACUUUUAGUUGUGACGGGAACACAGAUGAUACACCACGUGUUUUUAUAUAAGUAGUUAAAAAUUUUAAUUUUUAAGUUAUUAACAUUUAACAUACAUAAUUCACCAUUUAUAUAGAAACAUAUGGUGUACCAUUUAGUGUGACGGUCACAUUUAAAAACCUCUCCUCAACAACACCCUCCCUCCCUCCUAAAUAAGCACUCUUCCUCUCUCCUUUCAUUCUCCCUCCCAUUUCCCAAUUUCCGCCAUCUCUGUAAAUUCUUCCCCUUUCCCUUGCCUCCAUCUCUCUCUACUCUCUCUCUCUCUUAGCCCUCCCUCUGCUAAAGUACGCUGGUAGCUCGCAACACCCACAUUUCCAGGUAAUCAUAUCGGUCCUUCUUUUCUUUUGGUUUAAUUUUCAUCUUUUAGCAUUCACCGACGGCGCAUGUUAGCAACGACGUAGGACAUUUGUUUUGACAAAUGACGGCAUACGUUACAAGAAAACGCGAGAAAGGAAUGAGAAUGAUUUUUAGUUAAAUUAAAUACCACCAAGGACGGCGCACGUUAACAGUGUUUUGUUGGGUGCAGCGCAGGUGUGCCAGGAGGGGCCAACGAAGCACAAACAUGGUGGUCAACGUUAUCAUGAGGGAGUCAACGAUGGUAAAGCCGGCGGAGGAGACGCCGAAGAAGACGUUGUGGAAUUCGAACGUGGACCUGGUGAUUCCGAGCAUCCACACGGCUAGCGUCUAUUUCUACAGGCCGAAUCAAAACGGUGGGUCCAACUUCUUCGACCCGGUGGUGCUCAAGCACGCUCUCUCCAAGGCCCUUGUGCUGUUCUACCCCAUGGCGAGGCGGCUGAAGCGCAAUGACGACGGUCGUAUCCAGAUAGAUUACGGCGGCCAGGGUGCUCUGUUUGUUGAGGCGGAGACGGGCUCCAUUCUCGAUGAUUUCGGGGAUUUCGCUCCAACCCUGGAGCUCCGGAGGCUCAUCCUGGCUGUUGAUUACUUUGCUGGCAUAUCGACUUAUGCGCUCUUGGUGUUACAGGUAAAAUUAGUUUUUCGGAUGGUCGUUUUCCGUGUUGUCGUGUAAGCUAUAGGACACGUUUUUUUAUUAGAGGCAGAUUGUCUGCCCUCCCAUUAGCAUGCCCUUCACAUCCCCUCCUACGUUAUGCGGUCACGGUUAAGCUACGUUAACAUUUUAUAUUGAUUUUUUUUAUAGAAAUAAUAAGACAUGUUGACGUGGCUUAAUCAUGACCGCACAAAUAGGAGGAGAUGGGAAGGGCAUGGUAAAAGGAGGGUAGACAAUCUGCCUUCUUUUUUAUUUGGUCAAACACAUUUUAUUUGAAUUGGUCAAGUAAUUAAUGAUCAUAUUUCUUGUCCUCAUAUAAGCAUAGGACAAUGCUCCAUCUUGGUAGGGGUGUCCUCCUAAAUUCAGCCUAUGUCAUGUUGGGAUUAGUAAAUUUAUUAGUUAAUUCUCUAUGGAUUCUCUUUGCGGAAAUUUAAUAUCAGUUUAUUACUGUGAAGUUUUGUGGUUUUCAACAUUUGGUACAUGAAGUUUUUUUUAUCCCAGAGUCAUACCUCAAGUCAUAAUUUUGGGACAGUUUUAUACAUCCGUUGUUUUCCGUUAGAUCUUUUGUUAACCGAUGACGUGGCACCCACGUGGACAAUAACUGAGCGCCACAUGUCAAUAUGGGCCCACUUCAAUAUUAAAAAAUUUUAAAAAUACAAAAAAAGGUCCCACCCGCCUUCUACCUCACCCAACCCCUACAACCCGCAACCAACCCCUUCCUUUCCGUCUUCUAUGCAGUCGUUUCGAUCGCCGGCCCCCUUAACAAGAAGCAGAAGCCCAAAAUCCUUGUCGUGAAGCCCCCCCCCCACCUUUCUUCCUUCACUCCUGCGACAUGCAUCUACGCCUCCCCAGCUUCGAUCUUUGAUUCCUCUGCAACCCCGAUUCUUCUCGUCCCUUCGCCAAUGGAAAUUAGGUUUUUUUUUUUUUUUUUUUUUUUCUGGAGCAGUGGAGAGAGAGAAAUGGAUAGAAAUUAAGCUUUUACAAAUUAUAAUUUGAGUGUGUUAGAGGAGAUGGCAGGUUGCAGGUUGCAGAGAGAGAUUUUAGAGAGAGAGAGGGGAAUUCGGAAGAAAUUGUGGUAGGAGGAGAAAUAUCCACAUGGGUUAGGCUUGUAGGGAUUUUAGAGAGAGAGAAAGGGGGAUGGGGAAGAAAUUACAAUGGGAAGAAGGAAGGUUGGGGGAGACUGGUGGUGAAGGAAGGCUGGGGGAGAGGGUGCGGGUUGCAGAGGAAAGAAGGAAGGCGGGGGUUGGGGGAGAAGACAGGUGGGUUUUCUAUUUUAUUUUAUUUUUGUGUUUUUGUAUUUUUUAUAUUUUUUAAUAUUGAACUGGGCCCAUAUUGACACGUAACGCUCAGUUAUUAUUCACGUGGACGCCAUGUCAUCGGUUAAUAGAAAUUGUAAUGGAAAACUUAACGGAUGUAUAAAACUGUUCCAAAAUUAAAACUUGAGGUAUGACUCUGGAAUGAAAAAAAAACUUCAUAUAUCAAAUGUUGAGAACCACGAAACUUCAGAAACUAAGAUUAACCCAAAAAGAAAAACAUAUUGAUUUUUGACAAUUGACUGCGUGCCCUUUAGAUUUCGUAUCUUUAACACGGUCAACUGAUGGAUCUAUAGUUUAGAAAAUGUGGGCUAUGUAGUAAUAGUAUUGAGAUGGUCAUUUGGUAACAGAGUGAUGCUAUCCACAAAUCUCUGUUAAUUUAUACCCUUUAAUUUUUUUUCAAUUCAUUCAAUUCAGCAAACGAUAAUUGAAAAGAAUGUGAAAUAUAAAAAGUGGUGCACAAAUAGCAACACCAUGAUGGGAUUUUGGACUAGUGAUAUUGCAGGUGACUUUUUGGCUCGAGUAAAAGUCAAUUUAGCAAGUAGUUGGCUUGUAAAAUUUUUAUGCGUGUAGACAAUUUGGAGUAAACUCUGCGUUUAGAUUAUAACCUAGUGUUGAAAAACAUACUACUUGUAUUGCAUAUAAUUUCUGAAGGCUAAAAAUCAGAUUUCUUAAUUAUAUCAUUAAUUCUAUUUGAACUUUUCCACACUUAUUUAGAGGUCCUAAUCUCCAUGUUGAUGAAAGUUCAAGAAGCUAAUUAGGAAAAAAAGGGGAUGUCAUUGUUGUUGACCAUGUUAAUUAUUCAACAGUCGAGCUUAUAAGGAAUGGUUCAGUUUUUACUCUUUGCAGGUCACGUACUUCAAAUGCGGAGGAGUGUCACUUGGUGUUGGAAUGCAGCACCAUGUAGCUGAUGGAUUUUCUGGUCUGCACUUUAUUAACACAUGGUCUGAUAUAGCUCGUGGUCUUGACCUUACAAUUCCUCCAUUCAUCGACAGGACAUUGCUUCGUGGCCGAGACCCACCUCAGCCUGCAUUCCACCACAUUGAAUACCAACCUGCUCCACUGAUGAAAACCCCUCUGCAAAGCGCAAAACCUGGUGCUGCAGAUACUACCACAGUCUCCAUUUUUAGAUUAACGCGGGAUCAGCUCAACAUCUUGAAAUCCAAGUCUAAGAAAGCCGGGAAUACAGUCAGCUAUAGCUCAUAUGAGAUGUUCUCAGGUCAUGUUUGGAGAUGUGUAUGCAAGGCAAGUGAAUUUCCCGAUGAUCAAGACACCAAACUAUAUAUUGCCACUGAUGGAAGGUCCAGACUGCAACCACCACUCCCACCUGGUUACUUUGGCAAUGUGAUUUUCACAACAACACCAAUUGCUGUUGCGGGGGAUCUCCAAUCAAAACCAACUUGGUAUGCUGCCAGCCGUAUCCAUGAUGCUUUGGUCCGUAUGGAUGAUAAUUAUCUUAGAUCGGCCCUCGACUAUCUUGAGCUUCAGCCUGAUCUGUCUGCCCUUGUUCGUGGAGCUCAUACAUUUAGGUGUCCAAACCUGGGGAUCACUAGUUGGGUUAGGCUGCCAAUCCAUGAUGCCGACUUCGGAUGGGGUCAGCCCAUUUUCAUGGGACCUGGUGGAAUUGCAUUCGAGGGGUUGGCAUUUGUAUUACCAAGUGCAACCAAUGGUGGGAGUUUAUCGCUGGCCAUUUGUCUGCAAUCCGAACAUAUGAAAUCCUUUUCAAGGUUGUUGUAUGACAUAUAAGCAAACGAUAUGCCUGAGAAGUUUAGCCUGGUUUGAGUUACGGCCAGCCAGUCAUCUUCCGGUUUGCCUAAAUUUUCGAAAGUGGUCGUGUUUCUUUCCUAGUGCUUUUUUGCUCAUUCACGGCUAAUGUCAGUGGGAAUACUUAUGUCGGUUGACUAUUUGCUCGACCUGAUAUAGAACAUAAGUUGUACACAUCUAAGGACUUUGACAACAAUUCUAUUACUCAUUGGAACUAAAUUUACAUAAUGUUUAAUUUUGUUAUCUCACUUUGGUUGCACAAAGGAUAAUUGUCUGUGUUGAACCUACAAUCUGGUAUUAAGUUCCCAAAAUUUCGGAAUCAUGUAUGCAGAACCUAAAGAUCUGUUUUCGUUUUAUUUUUACUGGUGUGAUCUUACUUUAGUCAUAUACAUUUACCAUGUUUCAUGCUAUUAAUCGUCACCUAUAUUUUUGGUUCUUGGGUUUAGGAUUAAGGAACUCAAUGCUUUUACUAAUUUGCGGAAGAUGAAAAUGCAGAUAAUCAGUAAGAGAAUGCUGAAGUACUGUUUAUAAUUAUACACAACAAUCCUGGUACAAGCGUAAAAACAAUUUCUGUAAACUUACCCAAAUAGGAUUAAUUAUAACAAAUAGGAUUAACAGAUAAUAACCAUAGAAAAUGUGAGAAAUUCCCAAUUAACAAAGCAAAGCUUAUCGGCCAAACAAAAACAAACCUACCCUCAUAUUCAGUAUAUGUCUCCGACGAAUCGGAAUAUGUCAUAGUAAGUGAAAGGGAAGAACAAGAAUCAAAGCAGAGGUUACUUGCAGCAUGGUUUUAGUGAUGAGAAAAGGCUGCUGGGACCUUGCGAGCACUGGUGUUGCACUACUUUUCUCAGUUGGGCGUCGAUGACCUACAUCUGCACCACCAUUUGCCCCUUUCCCUCUUUGGUUCUUCCUUGAAUCAUCCGUUUCGUAUUUUUCUCCAUACACAUUGACUGAGCCACCCACACCAGCACGCCUCACUACCACAGAACAUUCAGUGCAACAUUAGUCAGUGGUUCGAAAGAUCAAUCAACUGAAUAAUAAAGAUAACUUCUUACCAUGAAUUUCUCUUCCUUCUACACCAUGUUCGUGUUCUAACUCGUAGACGCUCGUGCGGGCCAAGAUUGAAACGGCAUGAGUGCAUAAGAUGAAUAAGAAGCAUGUAAGUAAUUUCAUUCCCAUUCCUUUCAUUUUGUUUAAGACUGCCAAAAGCUAAAGGUUUAUGCCUCAGCCUUUAGGGAUGCUUAUAUUAUAUAUUCUCUAGUUUGUAGCUACACAUAUUUAGAGAAUCUAAAAAGGAACUCAGCAAAUGGUAGCGUCAAAGAGGAGCAAUCCAUCUGUUGGAUAAGCAGGCACAUUCCGAAACCCUACCAUUUGUUCUUUGGAGGAAUAUUGUUAAGCUUAGCUAUACUAAUACAUAUAUAUUUGAUAACGACAUACUAAUUUGAUCAAUGGGUAAAGGAAGCCUUCCCUUUUCUCUCUCAAAAAAACCUAAUUUCUGAAAGCCUUCUUGUUGUCCGGGUUGAAUAUCAGAAUGCGCAACGAAUCAGACUAACAAAUAAUAAGAAUAUUAUUAAACAAACGAGAAUGCCGAAACGGCUACAAAACCCUAAGAGACAACAUUGUAACUAACUUCUUCUCUAAUGAAUAACAAAGCACCCUAUUUAUAAUAAACUAAUCCUAAUCUCUAACAAAACCUAAUUCUAACAGGCUAAGCUCAGAAAACCAAACAUUCAAAUAAACCAAAAUAUUAAUAUUUUCCAACACCCCCGUCAAACUCAUGGCGGUAUACGACAUGGGUUUGCAAACAAGCAGAUGCGGACUGGCUCCGUUAGGUGGACAGACAGACAGGCAGGUUCCGCAACUCGAACAGACAGAUAGACAGGCUCCACAACGUAGACAGACAAACAUGCAGGCUCCGCAACGCGGACAGACAGGUGAACUAGCGAACUAGCAAACUGAUUCUUGCUAGCAAGCUGAUUCUGGCUGGCAAACUGGCUAGUAUUGAGAGUAUGGAAAGAAGCCGUCAAUAAACGGACGAGAUUUCCAUACCUCAAUUGUACCAACAAACGAAUAAUGCCAACAACUUGUGUGGCCCAAAAACAAACUUAACUAUGUUUUUUUUCCUUGCCCGUGUGGGCCUAAAACUAACAGCAAACAAUUUUCUUUUCCUUUUUUUUUCUUUCUUAUUUUCUUUUCCAUUUUUUUUUCUUACUUCCCUUUUCCCUUUUUUCGUUUUUCCUUCUUUCUGGACUGACAAACUGGAGAUGCAUGCCAUACACCUCCAGCAUUGGUGCGGUGACGGUACGAUUGCUGGCGCGAAGCAAGCAAACUUCGACAAGGCACAGAGGUUCAAAGGCGGUCAAGCAGCGGGCAGUCAAGCUGCAGGGUCGAUUAAGCGGUGGUGUAGGCGUGAUGCUUAGGCACACGCAUCCAAGACUAUGAUUUCUGGGUUUCAUUCAAAUACGAUGAUGGAUCGGGGUUAAAAGUGGGUUUUGCAGCAACAGUGCGAUGUGGGUUUGAGGACAGUCAGCAAGACGACGAGGCAGGAUCUAGAGGAGGGGAAGGUUCAGGUUUUUGUUUUCUUUUGCAAACUAAACCAACGAAGAAAAACAAGAAUACAUAUAUACUGACAAACAGAAUACCAACCCCACCAAGCAGAUUAAAUCCCGAAGGAUUAAACCUACUCUGAUACCAAGUUGAAUAUCAGAGUACGCAACGAACAAGACUAACAAAUAAUAAGAAUAUUAUUAAACAAACGAGAAUGCCAAAACGGCUACAAAACCCUAAGAGACUACAUUGUAACUAACUUCUUCUCUAAUGAAUAACAAAGCACCCUAUUUAUAACAAACUAACCGUAAUCUCUAACAAAACCUAAUUCUAACGGGCUAAGCCCAGAAAACCAAACAUUCAAAUAAACCAAAAUACUAAUAUUUUCCAAUAGUCGGCCCCUUGUUUUGUCUUGGGAUCGGCAGCAGGCCAAUGUUGACCCCUCCUCACCAUUUUCCCUCUUCCCCUUUCUUCCUUCCUACCCCGGCCCCGCCUCUACCCCUACCACCCCCUCCCUGUUUGUUGGUUCUCCAACUCCCCCCAAUUUUUCCUUGUCCAAACCACCAUGGUUGGUGAUUUGGUUUUUCUUUUUAAGCACUUAGAUUUCAACUAUUUUCUUUCUUAGCAUUUUGUGUCUCAUGUUGCCAUUUCCUUGAGUUUAUCUCAAAUCUGCUUUCUAUGCCUUGUUCCUCUCUAAGCAUUGCUCCUCACAGUGGACCUUUAACCAUCUACCCUUGCUGCUCGGUUCGUUUGGUGUCUCUUCCUGGGAUCUCCUCCGGAGGCUUACUUUGGUUGUUCGUAGCAUUUAAAGUGCAUUUGCACUAUUUGGUAGAAUUUGGGGAGCGCCCUCAAUGCGGAUAGCUUGCCUACCCCUAUUUUCCGUUCAUCCUUUUAGUUCUUUGGCCCUUCUUCUAGGUGAUGGCGCCAGACUUGCGGUGGUGGUGCGGUUGUUUUGGUGGAGGUGGCUACUUUACAUUUUCUUAUCUAGGUUUUUCCAUUUGUUAGCUGCUAAGGGCUGAUCACUUUGGCCCUAUUUCAUUGUAAUUUUGUUAUGGAAUUGAGCUUUUGCUUGGCCUUUUUGGACUCUAUUUUGGAGGUAUCCUUACCUUGUAAUAGCUUUAUCUUUCAAUGAAAUUUACUUUGAUCGACAAAAAUUAAAAUACUCAGAAUAUAGCUAAUGGGGAAGUAUAUUAUUAACUUACGUGACUGCUAGUAAUAUGAUCGUCUGAUCAUCUGAUUCUGAAGGGAAUUGAACACGUACCUAAUACACUGGUUUUGGUAUACCGCCUGGACUUUUACAAUUUUCGUUUAAUGUGAACACGUACAACAUUUUUUUGUUGAUGGUCUCUUGUUUUGCAGUUUCUUGCAACCUCCCUCUGCCUCAUUGGUUAUUCUAUUACCUCAUUUGGUUCACUGACAAUGCACGUUAAAUCGCCAUUUGCUUUUGUUUUGCAGAGAAACAUGAGAAGGCACAAAGAACAGAAACAAGGAAAACGGAUUAAAGACUGACCAAAGAAAAUCAAACAUGAUGCUUUCAACCAGUACAAAAUUAUCUCCGAGUAAUAUGAUCAUAAUUUUGGGUACAACAAUGAUUAAAUUGACAGUUCUGCAGUUCUAAGUGACAUCGUUGUAAUACAAACUGCAAAGUGGAAUUUAACAUAAAAAAGACACGUAAUUCAUGAAAAUUUCCUAAUUGUAAAGUUCAUAUCAAUGACAUCCUCCUCCAUGUCCUCUGGAUUCUCAUUUCUCCUACUCUCCCGCUCAAUAUCCUUGCCACUGUUCUCUCUAAUUGCAUAUUUGCAAGCAUGCUGGCAUGUUUCGGUUAUGUCCGCACCACUUAAACUUGCAGUGUGUACUUGGAAAGAUCCUCAUUGACACGUCUUUUGGAAACUGGAGACUUCCUCAAGCAAGACUUGAUUGCUUGAUAGAAAAAUUCCUCAUUAGGGAGAGGGAUGUAAAUCAACUGAACCAGACGCCCUGGACGCAAAAGUGUUGGGUCUUUAAUGUCAGAUCUGUCAGUGGCCCCAACAAAAAAAAGCAUCUUACUAGUGUGAUCUUGCUCUAGUUUUGUACGUUCUAUCAUGUUUCGUGCAGUUGUUCAUUGAAUAUCUUUUCGGUUUUUGGUUUAGGACUAAGGAGAUCAUUUUCAUUUCCAAUUUGCAGAAGAUUUGCAGAGAAUCAACAAAAGAAUGUUAAAUAUAUGUUUAUAACACUACAAUCCAAUUACAAGCUUACAAACAAUUUUUGAAAACCUGCCUGCAAAAAUAUAGAUAUCAGCACUCAUCAACUUCCAAGCUUAUUAAUUGUAACAAAUAGUACGACCUCUUCAGCCUUCUCCCUUAUCUCUAUUCCUAAUAUCUCUCAUCUUGUCUCUGUCAAACUUUUUAAUACCAACUAUCUUGUGCGGGAAAGCCAAGUCAAACCUUUCUUGCUAGGCCAGAAUCUUUGGCGCUUUGUUGAUGGAUCUAAUCCAUGUCCUCUCUCUACUUUAUCCUCUUCUUCAAGUGAUGACAAAACUACUACUUCUCCACCACUCAAUCCUGAAUACACAUCUUGGUUCCAAACCGAUCAAUGCCUUAUUAGUAUUCUUCGUGCCACACUAUCUGAAACCAUUCUUCCUUAAGUCAUUGGGUUCUCCACUUCAAAAGAUAUAUGAAAUUGUCUUCAACAAAAUUUCUUGCAGCAAUCACUAACCAAUGCUACCCAACUAAAAUUUCGUCUUUUCUCUCUCACCAAAGGCUCAAAAACUAUUUCUGACUACCUUGCUCAGGCCAAAAGUUUGGUUGAUGAACUCAUUGCUAUCCAAGAGCCUGUGUCCAAUUCUGACUUGGUUACUUAUGUACUUCAUGGUCUGGGACCUGAUUACCAGAUGCUUGUGACGGCUCUUCUGAACUUUCCACCACUUCCAUCAUUUUCGGACCUCCGCACCAAACUACUUGCUUUUGAGGGGCAACAAGCUUUUGCAGCCCCACUCAAUCCUACAAACUCACAUGCUGUCAUGAUAGCGACACGUCCACUGCGUGGCCAGCACCUUUUAUGUGCUCGUGAUCCCUCUGCCUAAAGGCCACCCAUCCGUCCCUUUAAUGGGCCUGCACAAAACUUCUACCGUCAACAGCGACCUGCCUUCAAUGUUCCAGUUCUUAUGGGUCCUCCUCCACCUCGUCCACCGGUCCAAUGUUGGCAUUGCCAUCAAUUUGGACAUGUUCAAGCCAAGUGUCCUCAAUCUCGUCCCUUUGUUGGCAUGCAUGUUGCUUCCUCUUCCAAUCCUAACUGGUAUUGGGACUCCGGUGCUACCAAUCACAUGACACAUGAUGCUAAGUUGUUUUCCCUCGGUGCCUCCUAUACACCAACUGACAAUGUUGUUAUUGGUAAUGGUGACACCCUCCCCAUCACUCAGUCUGGUAAUGUUUUUCUUUCUUCUGGCACUUAUGUUUUUCGUCUCUUUGAUGUUCUUCGUGUUCCCUCUCUUCAUAAAAAUCUUUUAUCAGUGGCUCAGUUCACAAAUGAUAUGCAUGUAAGUAUUACUUUCUUUCCUUGGGGUUAUCACAUUCGUGACUUACAAACUGGUGUUCUUCUAUUUCAAGGCCUAUGUAAAAAUGGUCUUUAUCCCAUCUUUCCUAAACUCUUGACUGGGCCCAAUACCGCUUUCUCUUCUGUUGCUGUGUCUUCGUCUCUUUGGCAUCGUCGUCUUGGUCAUCCUUCCAACAGAGUGCUUGAUUCACUAGUUUCUAAGUCAUUGUUAGGUUCUACUUCUCGUUUAUUGCAUUCAAAUUGUAGCCAUUAUGCCUUAUCUAAAUCUAUAAAACUUUCCUUUUCACCUCAUGAACAUCGUUCCCUUGCACCAUUUGAUUUAAUCUGUUCUAAUGUGUGGAUGUCUCCUGUUCUUUCUGUCUCUGAUUAUCGAUAUUAUGUCUUGUUUACUGAUGAUUCCACUCGCUAUUCGUGGAUUUUUCCCAUGCGUCUGAAGUCCGAAGUCUUCGAUCAUUUUUCUGCUUUUGUUAUUUAUGUUCAAAAUCAAUUCUCUUUGUCUAUUAAACAAUUCCAGAGUGAUGGGGGUAAGGAAUAUGACAAUUUGCAGUUUAAACAUUUUUGUGCUACUACUGGAAUCGUGCAUCAUUUUUCUUGUCCUCAUACACCCCAACAAAAUGGAUUGGCUGAGCGUAAACAUCGCCAUAUUGCUGAUAUGGGUCGUACUCUUUUACAUACUGCUCACAUGCCUCACACCUUAUGGGCUGAAUCUUUUGUACGGCAGUUUAUUUAAUUAAUAGACUUCCUACACCUGUUCUUCAUGGGAUCUCACCAUAUCAAUCCUUAUUUGGUCAUUCCCCAGAUUAUAAAAUGUUUCGAAUUUUUGGGUGCUUGUGUUAUCCUUCUCUUGGAGAUUAUGUGUCUAACAAAUUACAACCUCAUUCUCUCCAGUGUGUUUUUGUUGGUUACAGUGAUAAACAUCAUGGGUAUCGUGUUGGAAGUAUGCCCACAAAGCCACUCAUUUGAUGUAAUAGCUUUUUGGAAUACUUAAUGUAUUAAACUUUUAUAUGUUUAAUGAAGGGCAAAGCUUAUUGUUAAUCACUAUUUAUUGUAUCAUGUGUUUAAGCAAUAAGGGAAUCCUAGGGAUGUAUUUGAUCUAAGAGACAAGUGAUCUAAGUGAGUUAGAUUAUCGAGACCAUUCUCUUAUGCUCAUUCCUAAAACGUUCCUAGCCAUAGGAUUGCCGAUUGGGCAUUGACAAUCCGCUAAGGCUAGUAUGUGUUAUGUUGACUCAAGCGUGAGUAUGACUAGUCUCAAGUCAUUUGGUGUUGGACACUAAGACAAACACAUAGGUGCUCGAAAGAGUAAUCGAGUACACUGAACAACGAUCAAAAGAGAGUUCGAACAUACAUGUCAUGUAAGAACUCGAAAGUUGCAAUAUGCAAAGUAGUCCUUUGACCUGAGGCAUCAUAGAUGUCUAAUGGUUAGGUUCUUGAUCUUUGAUCAUGUCAACGACAUUCCAUCGGAGUGUCCACGGCAUUGUUGGGGUCAAGCUAUCUAGUCAUGUAGGCAUAUGAAUGCACAACAAGGGAUCUCUAACCUUCCAUGGUGGAAGGAGAAUACUCUAAGAUAUGAUUCUAAAGUCUUUGGCCAAAGCAUAUGAAUAUGACUUAGGAAGUUUGUUCCAAAUCAUAUUCAAGGGAAUCAUAUAGAUAAGUAUCACAUUGGAUAGUAGACAUGAAACAAACUAUUACUCAAACAAUGUGAUUAAGAGUAUUGUAUUAGAGAAGGACCGUAUUGCAUUGUAGUUGUAACUGGAUAGGUUCUCCAACCACUUCUACUUAGCUUGGGUAGCCAUGACAUACUGCUAGGUGUCACUCAUGGUUUGUGGAAGCCCUAAAUGAUUAGCAAACACUAAUCAUUAAGGGAGAAUUGAAAUGUGGUUUCAAUUCACAAUCGAUCGUUAAGAGUAACAAUCGCCCACUACCUCGCUAAUUGGAACCUAAUGGAUCGUACACCGAGUAAGGAUGUAUGUGAGGAAAUUAAAUGAAAUGGAUAAGCAAUUAAAUGGUUUAAUUGAUGAAUGGUCAAGAUUAAUUAAUUAGUUAAUUAAUUUUACGAAAGGUUCGUAUUGGGCUUUUAAGUUUGUUUUGGGCUUCGGGUCUCAAAAGCGUUUUGGUCCACAAGGCCCAUUAUGUUUAAGUUGUAUGACAACUAAAACAAAAUGGGCAAUUAGCCCAAUAACAUUAAUAUGGCCGGCCAUUAGGGUGAAUGGGCAAGCUUGGAUUAAUUACAAGUUUGCCACUCACUUGAAAUGAAGUAUAAAAGGAACUUUAUAGCUUUAUUUCUCAUUAGGGUUUUCUUAAAGAAAUUGGGUGAAACACUUUCUCUCAUUUUUCUCUAAAGAGGCCGGCCACUUAAGGGAGGGACAUCUAGCAAUCUCUUCUUCCCUAAGUCAUCCAUAUUAUCUUCACAAGAUACAUCCUUGGUGUGGAGAGUUAGAGACAUCAAAUUUUUGGUGUUUUGGAGAACAAAUCCUAAAAUCCUCAAAGAAGCAAAGGAGCACUAAAAGGAGGAAAAUCACAAGGAAUAUCCAAGGAGCUUGGAGGUGACUUGAAGGCCCUCCACUUGGGUGAAUCCCUUGUGUAAACAAGGAUGAGCUUCAAGGGUAAAGAAACUCUAAAUCUUUACUUCUCUUUAAUGUUGUUAAAGAGUCUAUUGGUUCACCAUAUACUAGGUUUUGAAAGUCAUGGGUUUUAUGAAUUGUUUUUUAAUGCAUGCCUACUUUAAAGUGUUAUUAGUAUGCAUAUGUAUUCAAAUGUUCUUACUUGUUCUUAGCUAGGACAAAAUUUUUCCUUCAUAUCGGUGCUUUCAUCCACCUACUGGACGACUCUAUAUUUCACUGCAUGUCAAAUUUAAUGAAGAUCAGUUUUAUUAUGCUGCUGCCCCUUUAUCUGUUUCUUCUCCACCGCUUGCCUUCGUUCCUGUAAGGUUGUUGCCUAGUCAAGUCUCUCCACCAUUUGUCCAACCAUAUGUCUCUCGGCCCGUGCCACAACAGCAAGCACCGACAGCACUGAAACAAACACCGACAGCACCAUGCCACUACAGCAAGCCCCGACAACCAACGUGCCACUCGAUGCAUCCAGCUGUCCUCCUACCGAACCAUCUGCAGCAGACCCUCCUGCCGUCCACCUACCCGCAUCUACAGCUAUCCCGUCUGUCCCACCUCUUCCUGAUCCAAUUAUGUCGCCUAAACAGCCUCUCUCUACAUCUCAAAUGUCUGUACUACCAUCCAAUACCGCAUAUUACUCUACAGACCAUGGUUCUUCCGCUGUUGCUUCACCACCUCGCAGUCUCGUGGUCACUUAUUGGAAAACUAGCAUUUUAAGUCCAAUCCCAAAUAUCAGGCCAACUUCACUACUCGGUAUCCCGUUCCUCAUGCUUUUGUUGCCUUAGUGGACAUGAAUGUUGAACCUACUUGCUACACAUAAGCAUCUCGCUCUUCGGAAUGGAAACAGGCCAUGCUUGAAGAAUAUAAUGCACUUAUUCAUCAGGGUACCUGGUCCUUGGUCCCUCCCCAUCAAUCAAUUAAUACGGUUGGUUGCAAAUGGGUUUUCAAAAUUAAGAGGCGAUCUGAUGGCACACUUGAACGGUACAAACACGUCUCGUUGCUAAAGGGUUCCAUCAACAGUCUGGCGCUGAUUAUUUUGAUACUUUCAGCCCUGUCGUCAAGCCUACAACGAUUCGCACUAUUCUCUGUCUGGCUAUUUCUUUUCGAUGGUCCAUUCGACAGCUCGAUGUCAAAAAUGCCUUCUUGCAUGGCUCUCUUUCUAAAGAAGUUUACAUGCGACAACCCCCGGGAAUCGUUGAUCCAGAUCGUCCUCACCAUGUGUGCAAAUUUCAUAAGGCCAUCUACGGUCUCAAGCAGGCUCCAUGGGCAUGGUUUCAACGUUUUAGUUCUUUCCUUGUACAGUUUGGUUUUUGUCAAAGUCGGGCUGACACCUCCAUGUUUGUUUAUCAAGACAAUUCCCGGGUUUUGAUUUUAUUAUUGUAUGUGGAUGAUAUUAUUCUCACCGGUAGUGAUUCUUCUCAUAUUCAGACCUUUAUUAGCACAUUGGGAGCGGAAUUUGACAUCAAAGAUUUGGGGCGUUUGCAUUAUUUUCUUGGGGUGGAGGCUAAUUAUCACACGAAUUCAGUUCAUCUUACUCAAAACAAAUAUACAUUUGAUCUUCUUAAACGCAUCAAUCUCUUGGACUGUAAACCUGUUUCCACACCCAUGGCUUCGAAAGGUACACUUUCUCGUACUGAUGGUACUAAACUUGCCGAUCCUACACUUUAUCGACACAUUGUUGGUGCCCUCCAAUACCUUACCAUGACCUGCCCCGACAUCUCAUAUGUGGUUCAACAUGUCGCUCAGUUUAUGGGAUCUCCCAGUGAUGUUCAUUUUGAAUCUGUUAAGAGGAUAUUACGUUACCUUAAAGGCACUUUUGGUUUUGGUCUUCCUAUUCGUCGUUCUCCUGGUUGUUCUUUCUUAAUUGCCUAUUCCGAUGCGGAUUGGGCAGGAUGCCCUGAUACACGGCUGUCCACAUCUGGUUACUACAUAUUAUUGAGACCCAAUCUCAUCUCAUGGAGUGCCAAGAAACAGCCUAUCGAGCCCUUGCCUAUGCAUGCGUUGAUACUAUAUGGAUUCAAAAUCUUUUAACUGAACUUUGUUGUCCGCUCACUCGUCCCGUGUUACUCAAUUGUGACAACUUGUCUACCACGUACUUAGCUGCUAGUCCCGUGUUUCAUGCUCGCACAAAACACAUUGGGAUUGAUUACCAUUUUUUCUGAGAACAAGUCGCUUCUGGCAGUCACAAGGUUCAAUUUAUCCCGUCCACAUUUCAACUUGCCGAUGUCUUCACCAAAGGAUUACCAGUUGACCGGUUUUCACGUAUUAUUUCCAAACUUGUCACCUCUCCGGAGUCAAGUUUGCGGGGGAGUGUUAGGGGGUUACGGGAGUUAGCAUAGUUAAGGGUCUUCAAGGACAAUACAUUAUUAUUUUAGCUGUUAUGUUGUUAUUAGCAUUUAUUAGGAUAUAAUUGAUUUUCCGUUUCAUUGUAACCACUAGGAAGAUAUCUCAUAGUCUGUGUAUAAAUAUAGAUUGUAAUACCUCAAAUGAUAAUUUAUCGAAUAUACAGUUUCUACAAAUAGAAUGGGAGAAAAGUUCUCAAUUAACAAAGCAAAGCUUAUUGACCAAACAAAAACAAACCAACGUUUCAUUUAUGUCUCCGAUAAAUCGGAACAUGCUACAGUUAUUGAAUGCGAAGAAUGAGAAUCAAAGCAAAUGUUACCUGCAACAUGGUAUUGGUCAAGAGGUGGGCUGCUGGGAUCUUCCAAUCACUGGUGUUGCAAAACUUUUUGGGCGCCGAUGAGCAAUAUUUGAACCAACUCUGCCUUUCCUUCUUUGUCUCUUCCUUGAAUAAUCCAUUUCAUGUUUUUCUCCAUACAGCUUGAUUGAGCCACCCACACCGGUAUGCCUCACUACUAUAGAAUGUUCACCGCAAAAUUAUUUGGUGGUUCGAAAGAUAAUUCAGUUAAAAUAAUAAGAGGGUUUAAUUUCUUAUUCUUAACAUGAAUUCCUCGUCCUUGUACAACUUCAUGUUCUAACUCAAAGAAUCUCAGGAGAGGCAAGCUUGAAAGGCACGAGUGCAUAUAAGAUGAAUAAUAAGCAUGUGAGUAAUUUCAUUCCCUUCAUUAUUGUUAAGUUGGGUUGAGGGGAUAGGGAGAUAGCUAAGGAGUUCUUAGGGAUAGACUGUGCCAAACGUAAAAGGUUUAGGCCUUAACCUUUACGGAUGGCAUCGAGUGUCUAGCUACAUGUUGAGAGAAUCUAGAAAGGAACUCAAUAACUGGUAGCCUUAAAAAGGAGCAAAUCCAUAUCUUGGCAGAGCAGGUACAUUCCGAAACCCCACCAAUUUUGCUUUGGAGGAAUAUUUUUGCACAACUGUUGUAUUUCUCAAGCUUAGCAUAAUAUUCGAUGCAGACCUGAAGUUAAGUACAUAUAUAUGCUCCUGUAUAUUUGAUAACUACGUACUAAACACAUACGCAUUUUUUUAUCAAUGGGGAAAGGGGUUUCGAACUUGACACCUCUUCCAACAUUGGGAAGAGAAAUGCCACCUCAUAGGAUAUGGAUAUUUGUGCAGUAAAACAUACUCGUUAUUAAAACGAUCAUGAUCUCAUUCCGAAAUGAAUUGAAUACGAACACAAUUACACCUGUUUGGGUAUACCUCCUGGACUAUUACAAUUUCUGCUUGAUGUGAGAAAUUGAGUACACAAUUAUGUCGUUAUGGUUUGAUUUUGAAACUGUAACAUCCAUUGCCUUGAAAUUCUGACUCAACUGUAAGAUGCAUUGCUUGAAAUUAUUCUCUAGAAGAUGUAACCAUUAUUUUUCAACCGAUGGUGUCUUCUAUUGCCCUUCUAUGGUCACCAUUUAUUUCGUUUUGCAGAAGCAUAUAGCUGCAAAUGCGAUUAUAGCAGCAACAUGAAAAGAAAGAAAAAACAGAAACCAGCAAAAGGGAUUAAAAAUAAGGGAUCAAAACAAAUCAUGUACAAUGCUUUCAACUAAUUCAACAUUUAUCUGAGUAUUAUGAUCAUAAUUUUGGGUACAAUAAUGAUUAAAUGGACACUCCUAUGGUCCUAACAUUGAUGUAAUACAAAAUGAAAAGCUGAAAUUUAAAGAAUGAAAAAUAUGCAUAUUAUGAAACUAUACUAAUUGUUGGAUGCUAAACCAAAGUUGAUCGAGAAGGAAUGCAGCAGCUAAACUAAGAAAGCCAAUGGCUAGUUUCUUUUUAAAGUGUAACGGCUAGUUAGGUUAAGUGAUAGUUUUUGAGAAGUGUAAGAGCAUCUUCAACCGAAGGCUGGCCAGAUGGCUCGUUUUAGUCCUCUGAUCCUUCAAGAAAUUAAUAUUUUAAUAAACAGUACAUGACCAUAUUUCUUACCAUCUCCAACCGUCGAGGGCUAAAGGGCCAUAGGACCAAACAUAAUUUAUUAUUUAAAUUUAAAAACUACAACAACUUAAAUUAAAUGUAAUAUAAUUAAAUAUUUAAAAUAAAUUGUAAAAACACUUACUUCGUUACAGUAAUUGGUGCCGCUUUCAUGUCUACUUGCAACGGUUAAUAGUUGAAUGUUAAAUUAAUUUUUUAAUUUAAGUAUCUAAUUAAUAGUACAACUUAGUUUGAGAUGGUUACAUGUAUAAAUGCACAUUUACCAUCUCUAAUAGGAAACUCAUAUUUGGGGCACCCAUUAUAUUUGUCCCACAUCAGGAGAGAAUUGAGCAAGUAAAAGCUUGCAUGUGUGGCACCCAUUAUAUUUGUCCCACAUCGGCUAUGGGAGAGGUUUGAACAAUCAAACAUGCCUAUAAAAGCAAUAUCCUCACAUAUAACCAAUCACCUUUAUGGGUCUUAAUUAAAUAUUCUUUUUUAAAUUUUUGGCCCAAAAAAAAUGUAAAAAAAUGUAAAAAUAAAAAAUAACGGUUAGCUAACGUCAACUAACCGUUGAGAUUCAAAAUUUUUAGCCUGGGCCCGGGGCCGGCUGGUUAGCUCAUUUAGGCUGGCCAGUUGGCCCUUUGGCCCUUUUUUGUCCAGUGGGGUCCACGAGCCCUUUGGCCUAACCCUCAGUUGGAGGCGGUCUCCAACCAAAGAGUCCAUAAGGUCAGAGGGCCGAAAAUAACCCUAAAACCAUCUCCAACCGAGGGCCAUGCCAAAAGGCUCGUGGACCCCACUGGACAGAAAAGGGCCAAAGGGCCAACCGACUGGCUCAAAGCAGCUAGCUAGCCCCUAGCCAGGCCAGAAUUUUCAUUAUUCUUAUCGGUUAUAUCUAACAACAUUGUACUUAUUCAUGUUGGUUAUAUCUAAUAGGAAUGGUAGGCCAAAAUUUCAAAUACAACGACUAGUUACCAUUGGAUUCAAUUUUUUUAUUUUAUGAAUUUAAUUUGUAGUUUUUAAAUUUACGUUGUUUUUAAAUUUAAGUUAUUGUAGUUUUUAAAUUUAAACAAUAAAUUAUGUUUGGCUCUAUGGCCCUUUAGCCCUCAGCUGGAGACAGUUUUUUUUGUGACAGGGUUAGAACGAGCCCUAUGGCCCUUUGGUGUCACAUCCCGGCCCGGGUCCACCACAUCCUGGGCCUGUUCCACCACCUCGUAGCACGAUAUUGUCAACUUUGGGCUUACCAUUCCCUCACGGUUUUGUUUUUGGGAACUCACGAGUAACUUCCCAGUGGAUCACCCAUCCUAGAAGUGCUCUGGCCUCAUUCUCGCUUAACUUCGGAGUUCCUAAGGAACCCGAAGCAAGUGAGCUCCCAAAAGGCCUUGUGCUAGGUAGGGAUGUGAAUAUACAUUUAAGGAUCACUCCCCUAGGCUAUGUGGGAUGUUACAUUUGGCCCUCGGUUGGAGAUGGAGGCAAAUAUGGCCCUGUACUGUUCAUUAAAAUAUUAAUAUCUUGGAGAUGGCCUAAGGCUUAUAUUAAAAGCUCUAAUGAAGGGCUAAGCUUAGCUUUGUGCGAACAGGUUUGGUAUGCAUUUGUCAACUAGCUCCAAUGGAAAUAAAGGCUGACUGCAAUCUGAUGAGGCGCUUUUAUACUAUAUAUUAUUCCCUAUUCUUGGUAUAUUUUGGUUAUUAUUUUGGGGAUAUUUUGAUACUUUGUUAUAUAUUUUUAAUGUAAAACAUGUGAAAUUGUUUUGAGCAUAAAGUAAUCAAACAGUGGAAGUUUUUAGUGAUUCCAAUUGGAUCGGGUUCGUGAAUCUGUCAAGAAGGUUGUGUCAAAAUUUCAUAAUUUUAUCCUGAAGCAUCUGAUCGUGGUGAAUUAAUUUAUGCCCAGCGUGCAGUGCUGGCAGAUUGGGUUGCACAGCUUAUUUGCGAUUUUUGGGCUGGAAGAUGAUGAGUUUUGGACUCAGGCUCUUCUUGGAACUUGAAGAGGAGGUCCUAAUCUUUGAUUUGAGUCGUUUUGGGCCUGUUUUAGAGCCCUGAAGGUCCAGAAACGUGACUAUUUGUUUGAUGGGCAGAUUUUCUAAUCAGAAUAAGAAUGUAAUUCCUAGUUAUCAUUUUAUUAUUUUAUUUCCUAGUUUUUUGAAAACCAUUUCUACGAGGGUUUUAAUUUGUAGUAGUAUAAAUAAAGAUAUUUAGCCAUUAGGAGGAAAAAAAGAAGAGGAGAACACUCGCACUACUUUAGAAAGCUUUGGAAGUUUAUUUUCAAGGUGUUUUCUUUCCAUAUUCUUAAUAAUAUUUUGUUUUAUGAUUGUUCGUAACUAAGUUCUUUUACUAGGGCGAAGCCACGAGCCUUAGCAUGAAUAUGUGAUUUUAUUAAUUUUCUUAUGAAUUGAUGCUUGCUUUGAAUUAUUAAUCAUCACGAUUAAACUAUCUAAUUGUCUUAAUGAUUCACAACCAUUAUGGUUUUUAGACAAGUAAUUUGAUGCAAUUUCCGUUGGAACAUCACCCUGAAAUUGAGAAGGGCUUCUAAUGAUUAGUAAUUGUAAGUUCACUAAAGGAAAACAUCACGCUCUUAAUGUAACAUCCCACAUUGCCUAGGGGAGUGGAUCUUGUAAGCCUUAUAUGUAUAUUCCCAUCUCUACCUAGCACGAGACCUUUUGGGAGCUCACUGGCUUCGGUGUUCAUCGAAACUCCGAAUAUCGUUAGAGUCUAGACCAAUUGGUCAAGUUCACCUUUCAACCAAAUUUUAUGUUUAUGUUGUCAAGAAAAUGUGAAGAAGAAACAAUUCGAAAAUCCUUUAAAUAGUAAUUUGUUUAAUUUUGGGAAAACUUUAGUCAUGCCUCAUGAACUUUGUACCUUGCACAUUGCCUUCUAAUUUGUGAAUUAGUUUUGAGUGCUCAAACUUCAAUUCAUGCCAAUGCCCAUAAAACCUUAAGUGCUGUCACAAUUUUUUGUUACUUUCCAUAAGUUCUUAAAGGCAUAAAGGGUAGAACCAAUCCGACCAAAUUGAUAAAUUGGCUGAUCUGAAUGACGGGUUUGGUUUGGUUUGGUUUUAAUUAGGUUUGGUUUGGUUUCGAACCCUAAUGAAUUAACCAAAAAUUAGAAUUGGUCUGAUUAUGAUUGUGAGUUUUUGUAAAUAGUCAAAUUAAGUACUUAUAUAUAUAUAUAUAUAUAUAUUAGUUUAUUUUAGACGCAUAAUCUUUCUAUUGGCUAAAAAUUAGAUAAAGAUGUUUUUGGUUACUAACCAAACAUUAAGGGUGUGGUGGUCUACUAACCAGAGAGCAAUGGGCGUGCUCAGCACGACUUCACACAGUUGUGAAAUAGAUUGUAACAUUUGUACUGCCCGUUUAGGUUUUUUUUUUAAUUUUAUUUAAUUAUUUGUAGAAACGGAUUAAGCGAGAUUAGCUCUUCAUCAACAGUCGUAUGCGAGGCAUUAACCUUCUCCCAAAGGAGAAAUGACCGUUCCACCCAAAAACCCCCCACCCAUCCCCUGACACACCCCGACAGAAGUAGAGACAUGUUGGGUGUCACGCGAGGGUGACGUAGCCAAGUGCGCAACAGAAGUGAUGAUAAUAAUAAGAAAAUGCGAAUAAAUAAAAAACCAAAGCUAAACUUAUAUAACUAGAGAUAAUAUCUAAGUAAGUGAAAGUGACCAAGUAUAAGAUAUACACAUAUCAGAGCAUAGGUAAAUCAAAGGUGUAGUUGAACUAAGUACUAAUUAUACAAACAAGGAGAAGAUCCCUACUUAUCUAGUAGAACGUCUGAUCCACCAAGUAGUCAUCGUGAGCCACCAAAGAUGAAUAGCUACCUGGAAGGGUGCAAAACAAAAGGGUGAGUGGGCAAAACAAAACUUUAGAAAACACAUUUCUCUUUCUAAAAGUAUUAACCCCUCACUGUAAAACCUGUAUAGUUUCCAGAAAAUAAAACUACAUAGGUACGAAAACCAAUAACAAAAGCAGUGAAAACUGAAGUAUGCCAUGUCAUAAUUUCUCAACAAUAAUAAAUGUAAGCCAGGUGUGAAAUUAGUCUAAACUCGCAUACCAUUCGGUGUCACCUAACAUGACCUGUACCACUGGACCUAUAGCUCAUCAAUCUAGGCUAGUACACGAAUCAGAGUCACCUAGUGUGACCUAUACAACAAGCUGGGUAUAAAUUUGUACACUCAAGUGUUACGAUCACAUGAAAGCUGUGUGAAAAAUCGCAGGUCACCUAAGAGUCGAAACCACCCAUUGUGGUCUGUACGACAGGCUGGCACCAAACUUUGAUCCAAGGUGAGAGUGCAGUGCGGAAGGUGAACAAUCACAUGAAGGCAGGCCCUAGCCCCGGGCAGGAGCACUAAUACCGGGGUGCAGCCAUGAUGAGCUCUAAAUAAAUGUGUGCAUACCAAUGCAAUACAACCCAUUCAAUCACAUAAUACUCACUUGAAGCUUACCUGAGUCUCCUCAGCAUCAUACAAUACAAUUCACAAGUGUAACAAUGCAAUAUUUAAAAUGCAACUUAUUUACGACAUGGCAUUCAAAGCAUAAAUCAUUUAAAAAAAAACGUUCUGGAAACCAUAACAUAUAUAUAUAUAUUGAAAGCAAAUGCCCAUUCACUGAUGAGUAGCAGGAUCGUAGCCCCCAAGCCUCGCUUGUCCAUGUACGUCUCACCUAUAUGCGAAAUAACUAAUUUAACAUUAAUUCGAUAGAACAUAAAAACAUUAAUUUGAUAGAACAUAAACAAAGUCUAGGUUUAAUUUCUCAUACAUUGAUCAAAUGGGGUGUUUGAUUAUAUUAACGUGACCUACUCGACAACAAGAACACACCCAUAUUUUUAAAAAAAAAAUUUGAACACCAGAUGCCCCCUCACGUGCCGUUAGGAACGUUCCUUCAGUUUGAUAGAAUAUUCCGCUAAAUGUAACUGACGAUACCUGACGCCGUUAGAAUAUUCCGUUAAAGUUAACGGAAUAUUCUCCUUCUUUUCCGAUCACUCUGCCGAUCUCCGCCGUACGCCGCCGUCUGCACUCGCCAGUUUUUGGAAAAUUUUCUAAAAAUACUCCAAAACUACUCUAAAUACUCCAAAACUACUCUAAAGUUCUAAGGAAGUUGAGUGGAUAUCUUUCGAAGCCUUAAAUCUCUGAAAUCUCACUGGGAUCACGUCGGAGCAACAAGGCACCUCGUCGGAGCUUUGGGUUUCUCAAGUUCCCGUCGUCCGUUCGAUAGCUUAAGGGUAUUAGUAAAAUCAUGGGGUCAAGGUGAGUAUGUUGGCACUAGUUUCAAGCUUGAUCUGUGAGAGUUUGAUAAGUUUAUGAGUUGAGGGUCUCGGGUGUACAGAAGGAGAAGAGUCGAGAAAGAAUGAGAGAGAGAAAGGUGUACGUGUGUGUACGUGUGUGGGUCUGCCUGAUUGGGCAGCAGAGAUAAAGAGAGAGAGAGAUUUAUAGUUUUUAGUUGGUCCAUCCACAAUUAACCCAAUUAUCUAAUUGGGCUAGGACAUAUAGAAACUAAAAUGUUGGUGGGUAGGGCCAGGUAUACUCAACCUUAAAGUAUAUUUCUACCCAUUUACGUUUUAAUCGUUCGUAUUUUUUUUUUGGUUACGUUUUGAAUUCGAGUCUAACUCGUGUCGUCGCACUAGUGGCAUUGAGGACGAUUUAAUUAUGACGGCAAGGAAACAAUUUAAAACUACAUAUGUACAUCCACGUCACUAAGCCAACGAGGGCAAUAUCAUCACUUUACACACUAGGGGAGGAAAUAUAUAUAAUAAUUUGGGACGGGUCGUCACAUCCCCCCUCUACUAGAUUUUUUUAAUAAUAUGAAGAAAAAGAAAAGUAAAGUAAAACAAGCAGAGGGACUAAGCCAAUACCUACUAAAAACAAUUAACGAAAGUAAUAUGGUCUAGUUUAAGACUUCUUCAGCUUCAGCCACCUGAAAUUGAUUCCCAAUAAUUUCGUUGCUCAUAUUUCAUUGCCAAAUUCCACUUCCACAACAACAAUUUGCUCCUCAUGACCUCGAACAGAAAAAUGGAAGGCCGACACAGUCUCUUCUAUAAGACUCAUCAACAAAAUUGGGUACCAAGUCCCAUCGCGUAAAACUACUAUUCAUUGUACCAAAAUUAGCCAAGCAUCAGCCAAACAAUUCCCUUCUUGGAAAAUAUGCCAAAAACGCAAGCGUAAGUGAGCAAUAUGCCAUAAAUAAUUUGCCCAAGAAACUUUAAGAAACCAUGGAACAUCCAUGGAGUGAGUUGAUGGUAGGCUAAUGAUGACAUGCAUAGAAUCUGUCUCUAACCAAAUAUUAUGCCAUUCUUUAUCCCAUGCAAUUUGAAUUACCUCGAUCACAGCCACAAUCUCCGCAACAACUGCACUUGGAUAAGAAGAUGAGGAGGCAAACACUCCUAAAAAAGGACCAUUGGAGUCACGAAAAAAACCACCGCUACCCACCUGACCAUUCCGUUUACAAGGCCCGUCUGUGUUAAUCUUAAUUCACCCAACAUGAGGCGAACGCCAAAACACAGGCACAAAACUAAAAGCAUCCAAAGAAAGGGAUGAAAUUCUUAACAUGGAGAAUAUGGGAAUCGAUACACAACCAGUGAAAGAAGAAAAAGAAAUAAAAGCUGAUUCCCUCCAAUGCCGUAAAAGACGACGUUGGGAUGCGACAGUACUAAAACUUUUGUUCUCAAACCAGAUUUGAUUCCUUUCGUGCCAAAGCCACCAAAAGAAAUUGCAAAUAACAUAGAACCAAAGUUUCCAAACAGGCGUGGAGAAAAAUGAGACCAAAGAACCAUUAAAAAUAUCUUCAAUGAAUUGCCAAGGAGAAUAAGGCUUGCCAAAAAGAAUGAAAAUCCAUUUCCAUAGAGUAACUGUUUGAGGACAAUACAGAAGAAGAUGGUCAUAAGAUUCCUCAGCAUUUUGACAAAAAGCAUAAUAAGACGCUAAAGCAACACCUUAUCUUUAUCCCCUCUUGCCUUAUGGGUUGCAUAAAUACGAGCCCUCUAACUACACACUGCCUUCAACCAUUAUGUUCACGCUGCCUCUGCCUUGCAGCUAUCUCAUCACAUAUAUUCCUCUAUUUUUUUCUCUUGGCCUCUCCAUUCUCCUCUCCUCUUUCUUCUUGGUUAGGAAUAGGCCGACAAUAUCUAAACUAUCUAUUAAUAAAAUAUUCUUUGUUAAUAAAAAAAAGUUUGAAAAGACAAUUUUGUUAUAUGACAUGGCCCCGAUCCCGAUAUCCCCAAAUACCAAAAUAGGCACGUGUUGGCCGACACCCGAGGGUGACAAAACCAUUUUAACAUCCAUACAAACAAAAUAUGUAAUGAGAAAGAAAUGCACCAAUGCAAAACCGUGUUGAGAGCAUACAACUAAUCAAGAAUAAUGUGAAAGAAUUAUUAUAAAAAGUACGAACAAGGGAGUGGAUCCUAUACAAGGAAGGCUUAAAGAUACCAAUACGAAAGUGCCUUCAUGCCAGGAUCGAAUGCCUCGAUUCUAACUCCUGAAGGGGGCGCAAAACAAAGGGUGAGUGUACCAAAAUUUAUAAUAUUAAUACUAAAAAUAAGAAAAUCAUUUUCUUUCUGAACAUACUAACCCCCUGUUUUGAAAAUACAUAUAUAGUACUGCAUAGUAGGCUUUCUGAAAACUCUAGCAUGCCAUGAAAAAUGUUCGUAAAUCUUAUACGUAUAAAACAAUGCUUAAUAAUGGUGAUAGAGUUGCCCAAAGGUAAAUCCAUAAAACAUCCAUAAAUCACAUCCAUGAUGUACUCAACUAGGGGUAUCAUAGUGGCCCGAAGGCAUAACCAUCACCAAAGGUGAAGUUGUACGACACUGGGUUACACUAGUGACGGAAAUAGGGGUUCAUCACCCUAAAGUGAAGUUGUACAACUCUUGGUUAUGCCAAAGAAGAAGCAUAUAUAUAUGUACACAGUGGGUCCAUCUCCCGAAGGUGAAGCUGUACGACUCUGGGUUACGCUAGAGAAGAAAUAUACAUAUAUAUAUAUAUACACACACACAAAUAACACACAGACACUAGCCCUGGGCUAGUGAAGCUAGAAGUAUGUCAUAAAUCUCAUCAACUGUGUCCUAUGGCCAUAGACGUCUACAUACUCGGUUGUGUGUAUGUGUUGUAUGAUAACCCACUAAGUAUCUCAAAAAUCUCGUAUCAAAUAAGGGAAGCUUAAAAGCUCAAAGCCUCAAUUCAUAAAUCCACUAUAAUUCAUAUUUGUAAAUCCAUAGAAUUUCAUAUACGAAAAUCCAAUAAUUCAUAACCUUUUGUAAAACGUAAACUUGAUAAAUCAUAAAUAAUGCAUAAAACGUUAAAGCAUGAAAUCAUGCCUUUCGUGAAUGCAAGCCUAAUAUUUUUUAACAAUAUGCAAUUUGAGAAGGGGUCCACUCACAGUAUUCUAUUUCCAGAGAGCCACUCGAACUAAAGAGGACAGGGUCACUUUCCACCAACGCACCUAAACGCAAAUAGAGGCCAUAUAAUAAAACUCUACUAAAACGAUAGAAUUUGGGAAAAUGAAUAGCGAAUUCGGAUUCGACAUUUCGAAAAACCUAAACAAGGACCUCAGGUUCCUCCACACGCCAAGGUGGGUUGUCGGAAAUUUCGCCGAGGCUGCCAUCCACGGUACCUCCGGUGGAGACAUGUGCUUCACGCGCCAGCCAUGAUAGCCCACCACGCACACCCACGUGCUGACCAUAGAAACUGGCUUAGGGUCUGGUUGGAUCGGAUUUAGGCUUUAGGUUGCUGGGUUGGGUUGGGUUAGGUCAUUGGGUUAAGGUCUAUGGGUCAUGGACUUAGGCCUGAACUCAGAUCAGGUUUAGGUCGAGUUAUUGUGUUGGGCCUAGCAAGUUUGGGCUUAGCAGGUUUGGGCUUUGGGUAACGGGUCAGGUUUGACUCAUUUGGCCUCGCAGGUCGCCAAACUCAAUGAAGAAGAGGAUCGAAAAUUAGGAAAAUUAUCCCGAGCUCAAAUCUCUACUAUUUUUACUACUCUAUAACUCAAAAUGAAGCUAAGGAAGAAAGAGCAAGGGUUUACCAAUUUGAGGACUGGUCGUGGCGGGAGUUAGCCGAAAACGGCUCAAAGCCGUUAGAUAUCAGCCGAAAUCUUGAGAACUUGUCCUACCAGUCGAUCUGGACCAAAACUUCAUCAAUACACACAUCUAAGCUAACAAUUAAACUUAGGAUAGUGGGAUGAGAAGGAUUUAGGAAGUCCUGAGACUCACCUUCGUCGAAAAAAUUGAGGAAUCACCGAGAAAAUAAAGAAUAGUGGUAGUGGCCACCGUGCGUUUUGAACCAUCAAUCUUGGCAUCCUAAGCAUGUUAGGGGAAGUGAUUGUGGUCUAAGUAGUUCACUAGAGGAAGAGUGGAAGAGUGGCGAGGUGGUGGUUGGUUUCUAGUGCUCGCCAGAGAGAAUGACAAGCAGGUGGUCCGUGGGUGUGCUCGGGGAAGCAGGGAGUGACAGAGAAAAAUGAGGGAGAGAAAGUUCCAGAGAUUGAAGGAGGGGUGGACACGUGGAAGAAGAAGAAGUGGGGUGUGGACCCCAUGUGAUAGAAAAUUAUUAAAAUAAUAUAAAUAUAUCCCUAAUAUCUAGAAUAGUGAAUUGACUAUUUUGCCCCUCGACUUUGUAGUUCCGUAAAUGUUCAUCGUAACUCCAAAUUCGAUUCCGCUUGCGCCAACACGCUUGUAGCGACGAUUGGUACAAGGAUAUGCCAAGGAAAAGAGCCUUACACGACACAACAUGGCGGUCAACAAAAGUCAACAUUUUUGCCUCAAAGGGCAUUUUCUUAAAUUCAUGUUGUAAAAUUAUAAAAAUCGUAAUAUUUGGGGACGGGUCGUUACAUUAUAGAUAUUAUAUUAAAGUGUGAUUGUGUAAAUCCUAGAUAGAUUUGGUUACCAGUUAUUCUUUUGCUAUAGGAUUGUAUUUACUUGGAGGACAAAUAAUUCCUCUCCUCUUUACUACUAUAAAUAAAGACACUAUGAAGGGGAAUGGCAACAUCUCAUACACAUAGAUAAAUGCUACACUUUCUCCACUCUCUCUCCUUGCCACGCCCCCUCUUCCCUUGUCAGUUAUGUUGGCCACAACACUUUAUCAGCACGCUCCUCCGCUAGGCUACGGAAUCUUAUAUGGAAUUUUUUGCUACAAACAAUUCAUCAAUAUCAUCACACAAUCAAGUUCUUCCAAAAAAUUAAUUUUAAUCUUGAUAUUUUUUAGCCUUGAUAGCAUGAACCUUCACCAUAAUGCAUGACCCAACUUUAUGUUUACGAAUUUUAGAUCCUACAUAAAUUGUUUAUCCAUUAUAUUCAUAAUCUUAUGAUUAUUGUGAAUUGAUAUUUAUAUUGAAUCGAAUUAUAUCCUACAUAAAUUGUUUAUGCAUUAUAUUCAUAAUCUUAUGAUUAUUGUGAAUUGAUAUUUAUAUUGAAUCAAAUUAUAUGAGUUGAAUUUGAUUUCAAAAAUAAUAAAUAAAUAAAAUAAAUUUAGGGUUUCAAAACUCGAGUGAGGUGCGGCCAAAGCCGUCGCGCUGCUGAGAAGCACAUUGUGCUAAACCCGAAGUUUUUCAUGUAAAUUUAAACCAAUACAUGUCUAAUAGAACCCUAAUGUUGUACUCCUAUGUGAAUGGAUUGAUAGAACCCUAAUGUUAAACUAAUACAUGUCUAAUAGAACCCUAUUUAAAUCAACAUUGUGUUGAACCCGUUGGUCACAUGUGUGUUUGUUGUCCACACGAAACGCUGCCUUCUCCAAACUAUUGGCUCAAGUUAUCAAGCUCAGAGUUCACCACUCAUCUUCUUCUGAAAAUCCUAGCUAUUUUUAGCAUGAUAUUGGGGAAUCUCAUUGAUAUUACUCAAACAAGCAUGAAAUGUAUGCUUGCAUAUUCAUCCAUAGGUCAAAAAAUUCAAAGUACAAUUGAUACUGUUGAGGCGCAAUCAAAAUAUGAUUUUUUGCCUUUUGAUUUACCAAAAGCAGAAGAAGAAGAAUAUUUGUCUUUCUGCUAAACAUGAUGUAUUGAACUCAUAAUUCAUUAGAUACUUUGUAUGGAUGUCAACUAAGUAUCGUAAGUAAAUUGCUUCCAGUUGUUCAAUCAGUUGCUAACCAUAAUUAUUCUUUGAUAAAUGAUCACUAUGAGUCACAAGAAUAUUAUUUUAGUGGGACGAUAGCUCUAAAAAUAUAGAUUUCCCAUCUUUUCUUUAAUCUCUCGUGAAAUAUGAUCGGGAUGGGCUAAUUCUAACCCUCGAGUAAAAUAGAACUGAAUAAUCCUAAGGCAAAAGGUUGAGAAACUCAAUGCCACUACUCUUUAACAACUUGGAGUCAACACAAUGCCACGGAUACAAAAAUAAUGGGAAAAUUUUGAUUUCCAUUAUCAACUGUUCCUAUCAGAUGCCAUAAAUUGACAAGAUAAUAUUUCCACUUAUUAAUCAGAAGAAGGGUAUCGUUCAAAGACAAAAUUAAUUUUCCUUGAUAUCUAACACAAUGCAGAAAAUGAUCCUUGAAGAACAUAAUAUGGCGGCCGAAAAAUCAUCCCUCGAGUACCACAUCUUAUUUUAGAUGGUGAAUGUGACAGCUCAUCCCAAGUUUCACUAUUUUAUGAAUUUUAAAAGUGUGAAAUUACGGAAAUGCCGUAGAAGUGAAGGUUUUUGGCUUUCGUUGACCAAUGAAAGGUGAGACGUAUGAAAUUCUUUUAGCGUAUUCAUGAAGUACUCGACAAUACAGAUGCGUAAGAGCAAGCAGAAGUGAAAUUGGAGUUACAGGUAAAGUUUUACGGAACUACAAAUCCGAAAAGUCCAUUGGUAAGGACACUAUUUAUUAUUUUACGCAUUUAUCAUAUUUAUAUGGUUACCAUUUUAAUAUUAGUUGAUAGAAAAAUGGGGAAACAGAGAAGAGGGAAUCAGGGAGAAGGGAAAACAGAGGAAGAAUGAGGGGGUGGAACUGCCCAAUCGUGGAAGAGGAAGGAGAGAAUGAGCAGCCAAUGAUGAGGAGAGAUGAAGAGAAUGGCCAAUCAGAAACAGAGGAAAGGAGGGGAAAGGAGAGAAGAAAGUGGGGGAAACACAGGUUGGCCCAUGUAACCCGUCGGGCACCACCUACACCACCACUUUCUCUACACUUUUCCGUUGGUUUUUUGACGAUUUAACCCUCGUCACCACCUAAAAAAAUCCUUAUAUUCCCCUCUUCCAUUUCCAACCAAAAUUUAUUGAGUUUGAGCUUAAAUUUGAGUAGAACGUAAUCCAUGGGUUCCGUGGGUGCCAUGGCAAAAUCCGACGAUUGUGAAGGUAACUCAGUAAAUUACCACUACUAAAGCACUUCCCUAGAACCCAGGAACAAAGCCCAAACAAGUUUUGGAGUGUUGAGUUCGAUUGGAGGACGAAUUUGGAGAACGCCCAAUUUAAGGGCUUCCUUACGGUUUGUGCUAAAUUGGGGCUUUUCUUUGCCAAAUUGGCCUUAGUCACAGGUAUAAAGUUUGUUCUACUCUUUGAGAUCUUCAUUUCUGUAAUUUUUGGUAAUUUUUAAAAGUAGUCGAAUUUUCCGGAGAGCCGGGGCAGCCGACCGCCACCCACUACGGCGGCGUGUGGCCAGGGGGCCGUCGAUGUCAUUCUUAGGCUAAUUAGAUGCCUUAAGUUCAGUUUUGCUAAUUGUAUGAUGUAGGUUGAUUGUUAGAAUCUAAAUUCUCUAUGUUACAUUAAUACGUCAUUGUCUGAAUCGAUGAUCCGACUGUUGGAUCGUCACCAAACUUUAAUAUGUUAUAGUACGUAAUAUUUGAGGACCAUAGGAACUUACGGAUCAAGAAUCCGAUAUAUAAAUCUUCCCGAAUUGGAUUGUAAGUUCAUAAAAUAAAAGGUUAACCGCCACUUGGUUUUGGCAAUUGGUAGAGAUCCGACCGUUGGAUCGUAAUGAGAUUUUAGGAUGUUGUUCUAAAAGUAUAAUGUGGAUCUUUGGAAACAACAAAUCGGAAAUCCAUGAUGCAGAUCUUUCGAAUUACGUAAGGAUGCGUUUUAUAUAAAUUAAGUAUUUUAUCGGUCAGAACUCUAAGAUGUGAUUUCAUAAUUGGUCAUAGGUGAUGAUGGUUCGUGAUGUGACGAUAUGCAUGCUAGGGAGUCACAGCAUGGACAUCAGGUGAGUGGGUCUUUUCCUUUCUAUCGUAUGUUAUAUAUAUAUAUAUAUAUAUAUAUGAUUGAUAAUUCCAUAAACGUUUAUAAAUUGAUUAUUGCUUACGAUUACUGUGAAUGCUUUAAAGUAAUUAUUGUGAACUACAAAUGGCUUGACCCUUGUUUAGGGUACUUAGGUAGUCUAACGAGACGUUAGAUGUAGCCAUACAAGAAGUGAGACUAAAUAAUUGAAGCAAUAGUCUUGUUUAGGGAAUUGAGUAAUGUAAGGGACAUUGGUGGAAAAUGUGAGAGUUAACCUUAUGAUUGUUGUACGGGUUGUUCGUGAAUCGUACAUGUUAUGUUGAGAUGCAUUGAGAGCUCAUAAACCUGCACCCCGAUGUUCACCUCUAGCACUUUACGCUUACCUUGGAUCCAAGGUAGGUGCACAGUCCUGUUGUACAAACCACUACAGGUGGUUCCGACUCGUAGGUGACCCACGAUUAUUCGCACAGUCUUCACAUGAUCGUAGCACUUGAGCGUAUUUAUUUACACCCAGUCCUAUCGUACAUACCACUUUAGAUGGUUUCGACUCGUGUGCAGGUAUACUUAUUGAGCUAUGGAUAAGUCGUACAGGUCACUAGAGGUGACUCCGACUUAUGAGCUAGCAUAUGUGAUGAGAUAUGUGAUGAGCUAGCAUAUGUGAUAAAAGAUGUGAUGAGCUAGCAUAUGUGAUGAGAUAUGUGAUAAGCUAGCAUAUGUGAUAAAAUAUGUGAUGAGCUAGCAUCUGUGAUGAAAUAUGUGAUGAGCUAGCAUAUGUUAUAAAAUAUGUGAUGAGCUAGCAUAUGUGAUGAGAUAUGUGAUGCAUAUGUGAUGAAAUAUGUGAUGAGCUAGCAUAUGUGAUGAAAUAUGUGAUGAGAUAUGUGAUGAGCUAGCAUAUGUGAUAAAAGAUGUGAUGAGCUAGCAUAUGUAAUGAGAUAUGGGUAAGUCGUACAGGUCACCAUAGGUGACUCCGACUUGUGUGCUAGUAUGGGUUAUUAAUCACAUAAUUAUUGAUAUUGCUAAUGAGAUGUUGUGUUGUGGCAUAUUUAUGAUUUUCUGGAAACUAUACAGGUGUUGUAGUGAGGGGUUAUAAUGUUUUAUAUGGUUUCUAUUAAAAUUUUAUUUCCAUGGCCACUCACCCUUGUUUUGUUUUCACCCUCCAGAUUUUAUUAACUGAGCUUUCUUAUCAUUGAAGAUUCAUGGCGAUUCUUAGUAUUGGAGAUUAUUUCGAGCGUACGAUUCUUAAUUCACUUUACUGUACUUGCUUACGCUCUAAUGUCACGUGUGAAGUGGGUUCAUUCCCGCUCACCAGCAUACUCUGGUAUUUAGGCACUCUUAGGCUUAAAUUUAUUCACAUUUUUCCACAUCAUCAUACUUUAUGGCUUCGUCACCUUCCAGGUGUCGGCCAGCACAGCUCGAUUCGGAGUCCUAGUGGACAUCCCGGGUCGGGGUGUGUCAGUGAAUCCAUCAAACUUGAUCAACCAUUAACAAGUAAUCCUAAUGUAGAUGGAUUUGGUCAGGGAGAUGCAGAAAUAGUACUUCAAGAUCCCUUUUGUGUCCAAGGUCUUUUGCUCUUCAUGUCAAUUGUUAUUUUGGUGUAAGAAUUGGGCAUAUAAUAAAUCAUUUUGAAGGGAAUCUUGAGCAAAACAAGACACAUAGUAACACCAUGAGCCCAUUGCAGUUGCGGCCAAAAACGUAAGUUUUGACUUCCAAGUAGCGUUUUAAAGUUUGAAAUAAAAAUUUGACUUUUCAUUUUUUUCAUCUGAUUAAUGUUUUGUAUUUUCUAAGACCUCUUAUGAAUUUUCCAAGGUCAAUUAAGUCUAUACAUUGUUCUAACGGCACUAGGUAGCUAGCCACCGUCUUGAUUAAUGUCUAGGCGUUUGAAAAUUAAGAAAGGACGCCUCGACCUACUAAGGCUCCCGCCUAGCCCACCCAGACCCACCUAGGCACCUGACUAGGUUGUGACUCACUUAGGCAGAAAAUAGAUAACUUUCAUUUUGCAUUUUAUUUUUUUUCAAUAAAUUGUAAGAAACUUGUUGAAUACUUAAAUGAGCACACAUUAUAUGCUUGUUCCCUAUGUUUUUAUUAUGUUCCAAUACUUCAUAAUAUAUGUGUUGUCACAUCCCAGCCCGGGCCCCCACCACAUCCUGAGUUCAACUCCACCGUAGCACGAUAUUGUCCGUUUUGGGCCCAACCAUGCCCUCACGGUUUUGUUUCUGGGAACUCAUGCGAGAACUUCUCAGUGGGUCACCUAUCCUAGGAAUGCUUUCGCCCAAACUCGCUUAACUUCGGACUUCCGAUGAAAUUCGAAGUCAGUGAGUUCCCAAAAUGCCUCGUGCUAGGUAGAGAUGGGAAUAUACAUAUAAGGCUUACAGGAUCCACUCACCUAGGCGAUGUGGGAUGUUACAUGUGGCAUUCUAAUUUGUAGUUUAUGAUGAAAUUAUAUAUAUUUUAAGUAUAAACAUACACUAAUUUACAUGAAAUAUAAUGGAUUUAGUUAAAUCCGCCUAAUCCAUCUAGGCGCCUGCCUAGAGCCCACCUAGCCAACUAGGCGCUAGGCCCCAGCUCGUCGCCCAACUAGCGCCUAGCAUCUUUUAGAUCCUUGAGUCUAUAUAAGCCUUUUGGCUCCUAUUGUAACGGUCAAAUCAGAAAUAAUCAAACAACCUUUUAGUUAUAUCCGAAUCUCUGGUGGAUUUCAGAAAACUUUGUUCUUCGAGGGCAUACAUUUAUAACCCUCUAUGCCCGUGCUAUGUCAUAAGCAUAUUUAUCUAUUUUAAUUAGGUUUUAGGGUUUAUAGUUUUUUGUCAUAUCCACUAAUUUGUUGUGGGUUCCUCUGCCAAAAGUUUUAAGAGGGUACCUACAUAACAUACUCCAUCAUAAUAUGCACUAAGAUGUAAACUAUCGGUAUCAAAAGCGAUGUUGUCCUAAUGUACGUGUUCUCGUUUAAGAUUUACUAUGAUAAAUGUGAUAUCCAGUUAAUAUCAUAUGAGUUUCCUAUUUCUUUUUGUUGCCAAUAGUACUAUUUUCGACAAAUGUCGGUGGGUUAGUUCUCCCUCCCCUUUUCGAUCCUUACCCCCUCUCCCCUCUCCUGUAGAGUAUAGAGUAGUUUUGAAUAUUUCUUUGUCAAGAAAAAACAAAAGCUACGUUACGUGGCACUUCUAUUUUGAUUCUCCUUUUUUAGCUGAAGCAGAAUGAUAAAGACAAUUUAAUUUUAAUUCAAAUGUUAGAAAAAAAAUAUAUAUAUAUAUAUAUUUAUAUAUAUAUUGUUGUAAAAUCGACGGUGUGUGUGCAGUGGAAUAAACAAGACACAAAAUUUACGAGGUUCCUCUACAGUCAGUGUGACUGGAGUACGUCCUCAGGACAGCAGUGGUGCUUUCAUUUAUGAUCUAGAAUCAUAAAAUUACAAAGAUGACUCUCCCUAUUAUCUCUAUAUUCCUCCUCUCUUCUCAGCUGUUUGGCUUUUCUUCUCAUUCGUCUCUUACCUCUUUCUUCACCUCUCAUUCAUUUUAUAAGCAAUGAGAACACUAUUCACUUUACAAAUUUUCCACAAAUGAAUAGUGAAAAUAAUGUGCAUAAAUAGUAACAAACCAUUCAUGUGGGCUAUCCACAUAUUAUUCACAACACUCCCCCUUGGAUGGCCACAAGUCUUUGAUUGACUCGUUAAAAUCUUGAUCUGUUUUGGAUGUUUCCCCUGAUGUGCAUUUCCCCCUAAUUUCAAAUCAUUUAGGCUGAUCAUUGAUCAUUCUGCUUCAGUCUUUUAGUGAGAAAAGUUGUCGAAAGAGGUGCUUUACUUGUUGUUAACUUUCCAUAGGCUUGUUCUUGAACUGGGCUGGAGGGUUUUCUGAUUUCCUCCAAAAGUCUAAAUUUACUUCAUUUAUCUGGAGCUAAAUUUGAUUCAAUGGUGGUGGACACUUGAUCUUGAAUCAAACUUGUGAUUUCUUCAAGGACCGUUGAGGCUUGAUCUUGAAUGAAAUUGGACCAGGAGGAGCUUCACAUGGCAAGUGAUUUUCGGCUCUAUCGAGGAUGGAUCGGCACGUGUUUUAUUGUGCUUGUCUCCACAUGCUUCAAUGUAUCAUUUUUGUUUGCCUUAUCUGUUCCCUUUGCAGAAGUGGUAUUGUCCUUGGUUUUCCCCCAUACAUGUGUGACAUCUUCUCUUGCAAUAUUUAUCCCCUGAUGCAGGAGUCGAAUGCAACCCUUGCAUUUGAAUAGUCCUUCAGAACAUCACUUCUCAACGACUCAUCAUGCUUGGCAGCUUCAGUGUAAAUAGCCAACAUCUUAUCAAUAGUUGAAGUAAGUACUCAAGAGCAGUGCAAGGUAAUCAACCAGGCAAAGGUUCUGGGCAAUCAGUUAUAGAUCAAAAGCUUGAUUCCAAGUGGCAACUGAUUGCUCUCUUUCUCCUUGUUUUGCAAAUAAGAACAAGGACAAAGGAAAAGACAGGGAGAAAGCAUGAUAUGAGAUACCCUUGCUUUCAACCAUGAUCAUAUGAGAUACUCGUGCUCUGGUGUGACUUAUUUUGAAGAGGUAUUCUCGGAGAGAAAGAAAUUGAGUAUUUCAAGAUGCUUUGUUGAAAAUGCAUUCUUCAAGAGGAGGAAGAGUUAGACAUUUUGCAGGUCUGCCUUGCCAUGGAGAAUGAAGAUCAACAUAUAUAGGGAUUUAAGCAAGUAGUGAUUAUGUUCCUUUACUAUUGUUGGCAACUAUUGGGUAAUUGAAACAGUAAGAUUCACGCGUUUUAACCUCUGUCAGAGAUCUUUCACAAAAUUUGCACGUGAUAUUCAAAAAGCUAAGAUUGCAUCUGAAAAGUGUUAAUGGACUUUGUGUAGGAAAAUCCGGCUUUUGAAAUUCAAAGAGUGGUGCCUCUUCGAUCUCUGAAUAAGUGGCUAUGUUGCCUCUUCUUUUUAUAGAGGCAUCGAUUGUGCUCAAAAUGUAUGCUCGAAAAAACUGCUACAUGUAGAAUUUUCCCCUUCUUGUACUUUUGAGAUUUUAUCUGACCUCCCUUUUCCUUCAUCAUUUCUGAAAAUGGCUUGCCCAUCUAACCUUUGUUUUGGAUUUGAGUCUCAUGAGGGAUACAAACGAGUUGUGUCAAGAUAAUAUAUGGCGUCCGUUCUUCUUAUCUUCUUAUGGUCUUAUUACAGUUGGAAACUCUGUGAUGAGGGAUAAUACAACUGCUACAGUAGUAGCUACGAACAUUCUCACUCCAAAGGAUAACAUAAUCCUUUCAAAACAGUUUGAUAAGUCGGCUGUUUAAGACUCAUUGCUCUUAGUGUUUAGUGUGCUGGCUCCGUUUCCAAUAUAGGUCAACGCCUAAUUGCUCGAACUCACCAAGUUGAAUAUUUGACGGUUGAGGUGGUAAGUCUUAAACAAAAGAUCAGAGGGCUCAAGCAUGAGAAUAGAGUCUUACACAUGCUUACAAAUAAUUACUCAACAAGCAUGAAAAGAAAGCUCGACCAGCUGCAGGAAUCUGAAAGUCGGAUUCAAAGUGCGAAUCAGAGGUUCGAGGCUUUAUUCCAAAGGCACCUAUUGCCUUCGUCAUCCAAAGUUUUACCAAUUAUUGAGGCUCCAAAUAAUCAACCUCUAGUGCCUCCCCUUUCUGGGGUAUUUCUGAGUAUUGAGGCGUCACAUGAUAUGUGGUACUUCUAAACCAAAUAUCGAUUUAUCAUUAACCUAUUAAAGAUAAAUGAUCGUUCUCAGUGUCUAAAUCAUUUGAGUAUUCAACUCAUAAUCUUCAAUCCAUAUGAUUAUUUAAUAUCAUAAACAUCAUGAAUAAGAUUCAUGUUGGCAUAUUGUUCGAUCUAUAGUUCGAGACAAAAUUUCUCUCAACACAUUAUAAUCUUUCUUGACUUUUCAAGAGUCCCAAUUUAAUAUCGUCAACUUCUUGCAAGAGAUUUUAAUAUGUUGCAACAAUAUAAUAAUGAUAGUACUCAUUAAGGCAAUUUUAUACCAUUUAUUGGUAUUGAGUACAUGAUUUAUGUUUUACCUUUUCAGGGCUUUCUUCAAGCAAUCUAAAUCCUUCAGGGUUUUCUACACUUCAUGAGACAUUCUGCCUUGAAAUUUAUACAGAGCAACUUGCUUCCAUGUAUACUUGAGGGAUUUACUUGUUGAGAUAUGAUGUGGGCGACUCAUAACCCUUCGUAUAUAAUUCUCCAUUCAUAUGAACUCGUUUACAGGAGUAUAAUUUCAGGUUUCAAUUAGUAACCUUGUGUCAUAUCAUGUGAGUGUAUUUCACUGUAUUACAAAUGCCCAUAUGUAACCUCCUUGGUUCAACACCAUUUGGCUAUUUGUAUUAUAUACAUAUAUAUAGGUCCAUUUUUCCAUAUUCUUACAAAAUUAUAAUGGAAUUGCCUUUCUCCAUUUUGGCCAAUAGAUUUUCCUUCGUUGACGAAAAAGAACGGGACUCAAUAUCAACACAACUCAUUGAUGAAUUUAGUAGCUACUUAUAAAAACCAAAAUUACCAUUGGUUAUCAUCAAUCCGUGAUCCCAUAUUCUCAUGUGCAUGCGCAUGCAUAAAACUUUUCAUUUCUUUGGAUAUCCAUUGCCUCUUCAAAGGCAUUAUACUAUCUCUUUUCGGACAAUCAUAGUUUAGAGAAUGUGGAUCAUAACCUCUCUAGAGUCAUUGGAACCUAUACGUCUAUCAUGCCUCAUGCAUGAGACAUCAACAUUCCCAUGUUCGCCGAUUGUCUUUUCUGAGACAUGUAUCCAUGUGCCGGUCAUGCUUCCAACAUGCAACAUUUAGCUUUUGGAAUGCAAUAAUUUAGUAGUGUCAUAUUCUUCUUCUUUCGGAAGACUGAAUCUUUUUAGUCUGAGGAUCUGCCACGCUUCAGGCAUGCACUUGAAUGUCAAUGAUUUAUCCUAACAAAUAAGAACUCAUCGUGAUCACUGAGUCUUCAUAAGUAUGCAACAACCUUUCCUAGCAACCUGUCACUUGAAUCGAAUGCAGAACCAAAGAAAACAAAGAACAACUUGGUCUGUUCCUUGCACUCCAAGAUCACAUACACAUUCAACUUAAAGCACUUUGUUGCUAACAAAGUCAUGGUAUCAAGAGCUAAUAGUCAAAACAUUAGCUCACAAUAGUCGAAUUGAAAAUAUAAAAAUAUAUUUCAGUACAAAAGUAGUUCACAAAAGAACUCAACAACAUUGGUAAUGACACACCCCGAUCCUAGAAUCAAGGCGUGCUGGCCGUCACGUGAGUGUGACGUAAUCAAAAGUGCGAUGCGGAAGCAAAGGAUAUGAGAAAUACGAAGGAAUAAAAACCAACUACUAGCAGUAAUAUCCAACUAGCAUGCUAAAGUGAGUUUAAGUGUGCAGUACACAAUUUCAAAGCAUAAAAACUAGGUGCAGUCAAGUAGGACUAUAAUUAAAUUACAACACCAGCAAGUGAGUCCUACAUUCAGGAAGUCUGUCAGAACGCCGAAGAAAACCUCGUGAGCCACCAACUGCUAACUAGAACCUGGAGGGGCGCAAAAACAAAAUUGAGUGGGUCAGUAAAACCAAAGUUUUCCAAAACAUUUCAUUUAAAGCAUUUCUAACCCCUCACUGUAAAACUUCUAUACUUUUAAGAAAAUAACAUAAUAGUAUAUAAAACCUCAUACGUCACAAAUCAUCAAUCUAUCACAAAUCCAGGAAUAUGCCAUGCCAUAAAUGUCAAUAACAAAACAUGGAUGCAUCAAACUAACAGGUGACAUAAUGAAUCAACCAGAGACCCUGCAGUUGGUCCUGUACGGUUAAUUCCAUAGCUCAAUAUCCAACCAAGCCGGAGUCACCACGGUGACCUAUAUGGCACUACUCUGCACAUAAGUCGGAACUACCUGAAGUAGUCUAUACGACAAGAAUGGUGUAAUGAUACGCUCUAGUGCUUCUCUCAUCAAUCAUCUGCGCGCAUAAUCUAAGGUCACCUAUUAGUCGGAACCACCUCUAGUGAUCUGUACGACUAGCAUGUCGGAACCCUCUCAUGGUCUACGACAUGCACCUACUUGGAUCUAAGGUGAGCGUGCGGUGCGGUGAAUAAUAUAAGCACUAACACUAGGGGUGCAGGUUAUGAGCUCUCAACACAAUUCACAUCAUCAAUGAUUCACAUGAGUAACAUAAAACUCACCUGACACUCACAUGUGCGUCCACAGCACCAAUUCACAUAUAUAUAUGCAUUAAUAUCAAUUCAUAUAAUUCAUAAUAUGCAUGCAUGGCAUUUGAAAACAUACUUAGAUAUAAAUUCAAUUUCUGGGAAAAUCAAUAGUAUAUAGGUAUAUACUGAAAACAAAACUGCCCACUCAUUGGUAAGUCGAUGGGUCGUAACCCCCGUGACGUCCCUGGAUGCACUCGUCCUCGGGAUAAGUGUCACCUAUAUGCGAAACAUCUAUAAAAACAUUAAUUUAAACACAUAACCGACAAUUCGAAAUAACUUCUCAUACGGUGCUCAAUUUGGGUAUAUGAAUAUACCACAUCGACCUACUCGAUGUCACGGAUGUCGAGAAACUUUUAGAAAAUUUUUCUGAGGCCGCACGCGCCCCCAUGCGCCGGGAGGGGCACGGACCCACGCGCCCCCCACGCGCGUCUCCCACCUCGGCUCGCCGGACUGGUUUUUCCGGUGGCCAGAAAACUGGAGAUGUUUCAAUCUCCUUGUUCUCCGUCGUUUCUUAACCAUUUUCUUCGUAUUUUAUAUCAAAAUGAAGCCCUAAGCAUGUAGUUUCACGUUAUACUACUUUAAGGCUCUAAAAACUACAAAAUCUCACGGGAGAAAUUCCAAGAAAAUCGGCCAAAUUCGAACCCAAUGAUCCCGAUGUCCAAAACCUUCAAACGAAGCACUCCGAGCUUCCUUGGGACCUCACUAAGCUCACUAUAGUCUUAGAAUUCCCUGAAAAUCGACAUAUUACGAUUGCAUGAAUAGUGACAUAAAAUGGGGGUUCGGGUUUCACAUGAUUUCGAAGGUUUCACGUCCUAAAACUAGUACCAAAUGAUUCAGGAGGUCGAAAGGAUGACAAACCAUACCUUUUUGGCGUCGAUCCAUGAAAGUUCAAGGGUAUUGACCCUUGUCCGUACAAUUCGAGAGGGAGAGAGAGACUGAACGGAGAAGAGAGAGAGAGAGCACGAGGGAGAAAGGGGGAGAUGCCCCGUGUGGUCCAACCAAAACAAUUUAAAAAAAAAUCCAAUUCCUUUAGCCCCUAACCACAUAAAUUACAACCCAAUUUUUAAUCCCACUAAAACUAUGCUUCCAAAAGUUUAGGAAUGAAUGCAUUUAGUCCAAUAUGUCACACACACACAUACCUUAAUACCCGCCAAGGGUAAUUCCGUUAUUUCACGUCCCCGAUAUAUAAAAAUCCAGAACGGGCUGUGACAAUCUCCCCUCCUUAUAGAAUUUCGUCCCCGAAAUUCAUAUGACCAAACAAUCCGCUUAAUACCCAUAAAAUAACCUUGGAUACAUCUCUAUCAUUCAAUCUUCUGUUUCCCAAGUAGCUUCUUCUACUGAAUGGUUCCUCCAUAAUACUUCACCAAGCUCACUGUCUUAUUCCUUAGAACCUUGUCUGUCCAAUCUAAAAUAGUCACUGGUUCCUCAUCAUAUGUCAAAUCAGAAUUAAUCUCUAAAGGUUGAGGAGGAAUCACAUGUGAAGGAUCUGAGACAUAAUGUCGAUGCAUCGAGACAUGAAACACAUUAUGUGUUGGAAAUGUGCCCUAAAGCCAAUCAUAUGAUGAUACUUUACGGACAUUUCACAUGUUAAACUAAUCUAAGUUUAAUAUAAAGGGCAAAGAUUAUUGUUUGAGCCGUCUCAUAUAAAUGUUAUAUGCUUAAACGAUAAAGUCCAAGGAAUAUGUGAUUGGGAGAAUGCGAUCUAAAGAAGUUAGAUUCAUGAGACCAUUCUUUCGUAGACACAUCCUAAACGUUCCUGAUCAUAGGAUUGCCAAUUGGGCAUUGACAGUCCGUUAAGAUCAGUACGUCCUGUGUCUUCUCUCAGGAAGAGUGACUAGUCUUGACUCAUUGGUGUGUGUGACAUCAAGACAAGUACGUAGGUGCUCAAUAGAGAAUGAGUUCAUUGAACACGAUCAACGAAGAGUUCUCAUAUUCAUGUCACAUGAGAACUCAUGGUUGGGAUAAUGCAAAGUAGUCCUUUGACCUGAGGCAUCACAGUUGUCUUAUGGUUAAGUCCUUGAUCUUUGAUUAUGUCAAAGUCACCCCAUCAGGGUGUCCAUGGCAUCGUUGGGGUUAAGCCACUUAGCCAUGGAGACAAGUGAAUGCGCAACAAGGGAUCUCUAACCUUCAAACCGUUUGAGGGAGAAUACUCUAUGAUAUGAUUUAGAAUCUCUGGCGCCAGAGUAUGAAUGAGAUUUAGGAAGUCGUUCCAAAUCACAUUCAAGGUAAUCAUAUAAGCACACGAAUCACAUUGGAUAGUAGACAUGAAUAAAUAAACUAUCAAACCAAACAAUGUGGUCAAGAGUAUUGUAUUAGAGAAAGACCGUAUUGCAUUUGUAGUCCUAAACUGAAUAGGUUCUCCACUUCUUCUGAUUAGCUUGGGUAACCAUGAUAUGCUGCUAGGUGUCACUCAUGGUUUGUGGAAGCCCUAAACGUGUAUAAUCACUAAAGGGAGAAUUGAAAGUAAGUUUCAAAUUCACAAUCGAUUUGAAAUGGUUUUAAUCGCCCACUGCCUCGCUAAAAGGAACCUAAUGGAUCGUACACCGUGUAAGGUGGAGAUUGAAGAAACAAUGGAAAUGAGUAAGAAUAAUUAAAUGGUUUAAUUAUAUAUAGCAAGGAUUAAUUAAUAUGUUAAUUAAUCAAACAAAUAAGUUCGUUAAAGACCUCGGGAUAGUUUUGGACCUUAAGGCCUAAUGGGCUUUGAACGUCAAGUCCAUUAACUUAAGUUGUAUGACAACUUAAUGAAUAAUGAUUCACAAAGGCCCAAUUAGUCCAAAAAUAUCCCAAUGGCCGGCCAUAUUAGAGAUGGAGUGGGUUUUGGACUUAUUUACAAGUUUGCCACUCCAAUGAAUUAAGGUAUAAAUAUGACUUUAUAGCCAAAAUUCAUUAAGGGUUUGUUUUGGAGAAAAUUGGAGAGAACAUGUCUCUCCAUUUCUCUCUAAAGAGGCCGGCCCCUUGGAGGGUGUAUCUAGCCAUACUAACUACUCCAAGGUCACUCAUUUCUUCUCCAAUCUAACCUUGGUGAAGAUACUUAGAGGUUCUCAAUUUUGGGAACUUGGAGAAACCUUUUCAUCCAUCCAAAUCCAUAGAUUUUAGAUGCAAGGAAUGAAGGCCCUCUCUUUGGGUGAUUAGCCUUUGCUUAUGCAAAGAGGAAUCUACAAAUGUAUGAUUUCAACUCACUUUGUUUUAAGUUGAGUUUUGGUUCACCAAUCUACUAGGCUUUGAAUUUCAUGGGUAAUGUUUUGUUUUUGAGUGCAUGCAAGCAUGAUUCCGCCUUUAAUUGUUAAUUGCAUGCUAUAUGAUGUUGCUCAAAUGAACAUGUUUUCACAAAAUCUUCCUUCAUUAUGUACCUUAGAUAACUCCGGAGGCAACUCCAACCUGUAAGCAACUUCACCGACCCUCUCAGUGAUCUCAUAAGGUCCUAUGUACCUAGGACUUAAUUUGCCUAUCUUUCCAAAUCUCACUACACCUCUCCAAGGUGACAAUUUCAAGAAUACCAAAUUACCCACAUCAUAAACUUGAUCAGUAGCAUGUCUAUCUGCUAAACUCUUUUGUCGAUCCUGGGCCGCUUUCAGGUUAGACUUAAUCACCUGAAUAUUUUGAGUAGUCUCAUCCACAAUCUCUGGGCCUUCUAACACUCUUUCACCAACCUCUGACCAACACAAUGGCGUACGACAAGCUCUACCAUAAAGUGCCUCAAAUGGUGACAUACCAAUGCUCGAAUGAAAACUAUUAUUAUAGGCAAAUUCCAUCAAGUCUAGGCGGUCAUGCCAAGAAUCACCAAACUGUAAUACUGAAGAUCUCAACAUAUCCUCCAACGUCUGAAUAGUCCUCUCUGAUUGUCCAUCUGUUUGAGGAUGAUAAGCAGUGCUGUAAAGCAAUUUCGUACCAAGAGCUUCCUGAAAAGCUACCAAAAACUUAGAAGUAAAUCUUGGAUCUCGAUCAGAAAUAAUAUUCACUGGAACUCCAUGAUACUUCACAAUCUUCGUGAUGCACAACUUAGCCAAUUUAUUCAGGGGAUACUUUUCCCUCACUGGAAUGAAGUGUGCUGACUUGGUAAGCCGAUCUACAAUCACCCAAACACCAUCAAAUCCAUUUCGUGUACGAGGGAGCUUAUACACGAAAUCCAUAGUUAUAUUUUCCCAUUUCCACUGAGGAACAGGAAGUGGUUGCAUUCGCCUAAAAGGCUUCUUUCUUUCCGCUUUGACUUGCUGACAAACAAUACACCUACUUACAUAUUCUACAAUUUCCCUUUUCAUACCCGGCCAAUAAUAAAAUGGUCGAAUGGUAUGAUACAUCUUAGUUCCUCCUGGGUGCAUCGCAUAAGCUGAACAAUGUGCUUCAUCCAAAAUUUCUUUCUUUAAUUCCUCAUUAUUCAGCACAUACAUUAUGUUCUCCUGCAUAAGCAUGCCAUCUGAUUCUCGAAUCCUGAGGUCUUUCUUUUUCCCUUUAUUUCUCAAUUGAAUCAUUUCUUGAAUUUCUUCAUCAACCAUCUGAGCUUCAAGUACACGAUCAACCAAAAAUGGCCUGACUUGGAAACUAGCAAGAAAAGCUUAUCUUUGAUCUUCUAACUCCAACUUUACUCCAGUAGCUCUCAGUUCUGCAAGAAAAGGAACACGGCAAGCAUACAAAGCAUUGAGGUGACCUCGAGGUUUCCUACUCAGUGCAUCAGCUACCACAUUAGCACGACCCGGAUGAUACUCAAUAGUGCAGUCAUAAUCACUUAGCAAUUCCAUCCACCUUCCCUGAUGAAGAUUAAGAUCAUGCUGAGUAAUUAGAUACUGAAGACUCUUAUAAUCUGUGAAGAUCUUACACUUCUCACCAUAGAGAUAAUGCCUCCAAAUCUUCAAAGCAAAAACAAUGGCUGCCAAUUCAAGGUCGUGAGUAGGAUAAUUCCUUUCAUGAAUCUUCAACUGUCGAGAAGCAUAGGCGAUCACUCUAUUAUGCUGCAUCAAAACACAUCACAAACCAUUCAAAAAGGCAUCAUUGUAAAUCUCAAAGUUACCGCUAUCAUCAGGAAGUACCAAUACUGGAGCAUGAGUGAGACAAUAUUUCAAUUGCUGGAAACUUUGCUCACAAUUCUCAUCCCACUCGAACUUAACAUCCUUCCUGGUUAACUUCGUUAAUGGCAAAGCAAUUAUAGAAAAAUCUUGAACAAACUGUCGAUAAUAACCUGCUAGACCAAGAAAACUCCGUACCUCAGUGACGGUUCGUGGUUGUUCCCAAUUUUCAACUGCUGCUAUCUUUUGAGGAUCUACUUGAAUUCCUUGUGCCGAUACUACAUGCCCCAAAAAUGCCACUUCAUUCAACCAAAACUGACAUUUACUGAACUUGGCAUACAACCGAUGCUCCCUCAAUUUCUUUAAUACCAAGUUAAGAUGUCGAAUAUGAUCUGCUUUAGACUUAGAGUAUACCACAAUAUCAUCGAUAAAAACAAUAACAAAUUUAUCAAGAUAUUGCUGGAAUACCUCAUUCAUUAACCUCAUGAAAGCUGCAGGUGCAUUAGUCAAUCCAAAUGGCAUCACCAGAAAUUCAUAAUGUCCGUAACGGGUCCUGAAAGCCGUCUUAGGUACAUCUUCGUCUUUAAUCUUCAACUGAUAAUAACCAGAUCUCAAAUCAAUCUUAGAGAACACACACGCACCUUUCAACUGAUCAAACAAAUCAUCAAUGCGAGGCAAUGGAUAACGGUUUUUAAUCGUUACCCGAUUCAAUUGCCUAUAAUCAAUGCAUAAUCUCAGAGUUCCAUCUUUCUUUCUCACAAAUAAUACCGGAGCUCCCCAAGGUGAAGUACUAGGUUGAAUGAAACCUUUAUCAAUUAAUUCUUGUAACUGAAUUUUCAACUCUCUCAGUUCAGCUGGAGCCAUUCUGUAUGGAGUUAAAGAUAUAAGAUCUGUACUUGGAAGCAAAUCAAUAGAAAAUUCCACAUCUCUGUUUGGCGGCAAUCCCGGCAAAUCAUCUGGAAAUACAUCAGGAUAGUGCCUGACUACCCCAACUUCCUCUACAUUGUUAGGGACAACAUCAUUUAACACCACAUGUGCUAAGUAUCCUUGACAACCCUUCGAUAAUAACUUCCUUGCUCUUAUGGCAGAAAUAACUCCAUGUCUCACCCCGCUUCUUUCACCCACAAAAGUAACCUCUGGUAAUCCAGGACAAUAAAAGGUAACAGAUUUCUCGUAACAAUCUAUAUGGGCACGAUUAUAAUGCAACCAAUCUGCCCCUAGAAUCACAUACAAAUCCACAAUAUCUAACGGGAUAAGAUUGGCUGGCAUAACUACACCAUCUACCAUCACUGGACAUCCAAGAUAAACACUAUCAACAUAACAUUUGUCCCCUCUAGGCAUGGCAAACUCUAAAUCAAAUCCUAGAGGUGAAGGGUGAGGUUGAGUCAUUUGAGCAAACGUAUGAGAAAUCACAGAAUGUGUUGCACCACAAUCAAUCAAAACUCUAGCAAAAUGACCAAAAAUAUUUAAUGUACCCAUGAUCAAAUCUAGAUGGUUCUGAGCAUCUUGCAGGGAUAUGUGAUUAACACGUCCCUGAGCUUGUUGUCGUCCACCACGACCUUUGUUGCCUUGGUUACCUCGCCCUUAAGAAGUACGUCCCUGACCUGACUGAUUAAACUGCCUAGAUGAUCCUACACCACUAGCAGCACCCUCUCCCUGUCGGGGCUGACCUCCCUGAUGCCACUGAGAUCCACUGGCAGGCAUGGAAGAAUAAGAAUGAUAACCCCCAGGGUCUUGGGAAUACCCAGUCUAAGAAUAAGGAUCCUGGGAAUACUGAUACUGUCCGGAAGUAUAGGGAGUAGCAUCACCCUGAUAGUGGUAAGCACCACUACGACCCGUCUAACCAUAACUGCAUGAUCCAAAGUUCUGCUGAUUCGGCGCUGGAGGUGGCAUAACAGACUGCUGAGAUUUCUGUUGACUAUGGGGACACUGAGCAGCCCUAUGUCCAUCUGUCCACAAAUGUAGCAAGCACCACCACUACCAUUUCUCCUACACUCCCCAUGAUGUCUAAAGUUACAACGGCGGCACAACGGAGCACCAGAACCACCAGCACCACUAAAGUCUCUCUGUCUCUGAAAUCUGGGCCCGCCAGUAAAUCUUCCACCUCUCCUUGGGCCUGUGACACUAAAUUCUCCAUUGGAAGAACUCGAACUCGCUCCACUUUUCUUGAAAUUCUGCGUCUUACAGGGUCCCUGAGUGGAGAUACCCUUGCCCUUAUCAUCUUUCUUCUGACUAUCAUUCUUGUCCUCAUCAUCCUCACUGUCACUAGGAAGAUUGUCGGAAUCCUCCAUCCGAACCAAAAUCUUGAAAAACUCAUGAUAAUCGUUGCAAGGAAGCGCACUAGCAAAAGUCCGCCAUUUUCUCUUAGUUCCCAUCUUAAAACGGCAAAGCAUCUCUACCUCAUUACCAGCUGUAUCAGGAUCAUAAAGAGACAAGUCUAUAAACUUCCUAUAGUACUCAUGCGCUGACAUAUUCUUUUGCUUCAACCGAGUGAACUCCUGCUUCUUGUGAUCAAUGUACUCCGGAGGGACAAAUCUUUUCUUAAAAUUCUCCUUGAAUACUUCCCAAUCAGCUGCCAUCUCAGGGGACAUAAACUGAGUUUGAUUUCUCCACCAAGCUGCAGGCUCUCGUCCCAAAAACCAAGUAGUGGUCUCAACCCAUCUAUUAGCAGGAAAAUUCCCUUGACUCUGCAUCACCUGAAAAGUCAUCUCAAUAUGGUCUAGCCACUUUUCUGCCCCUUCAUGACCUUCAUUACCCAUGAAACGAUCCAAUUUCAGAUUAUACAUAGUCUACAGGGGUGUCCUCUAAGGAGGAGGAGGAGGGCGGAUUGCAUUCUGAAAGGCAUGGGCCAUCGCUUCCCCUAAUUGAGUAAUAUCAGGGAAAUUAGGCUCAGAAGCACGGCGUGAUUCCCUACGAGGCGGCAUAAUUGUGACAGAAAACAUCAAAAGAUCAUUAGAGCAUUGACAAUUUAUACAGCACUGCAACCUAGGCUCUGAUACCAAACUGACACACCCCGAUCCAAGAAUCAAGGCGUUCUGGCCGUCAGGUGAGUGACGUAACCAAAAGUGCAAUGCGGAAGCAAAGGAUAUGAGAAAUACGAAGGAAUAAAGCCAACUACUAGCAGUAAUAUCCAACUAGCAUGCUAGAGUGAGUUUAAGUGUGCAGUACACAAUUUCAAAGCAUAAAAACUAGGUGCAGUCAAGUAGGACUAUAAUUAAAUUACAACACCCGCAGGUGAGUCUUACAUGCAAGAAGUCUGUCAGAACACCAAAGAAAACCUCGUGAGCCACCAACUGCUAACUAGAACCUGGAGGGGCGCAAAAACAAAAUUGAGUGGGUCAGUAAAACCAAAGUUUUCCAAAACAUUUCUAACACCUCACUGUAAAACCUGUAUACUUUCCCAGAAAAUAACAUAAUAGUAUAUAAAACCUCAUACGUCACAAAUCACCAAUCUAUCACAAAUCCAGGAAUAUGCCAUGCCAUAAAUGUCAAUAACAAAACAUGGAUGCAUCAAACUAACAGGUGACAUAAUGAAUCAACCGGAGACCCUGCAGUUGGUCCUAUACGGUUAAUUCCAUAGAUCAAUAUCCAACCCAGCCGGAGUCACCACGGUGACCUGUACGGCACUACUCUGCACAUAAGUCGGAACUACCUGAAGUAGUCUGUACGACAAGAAUGGUGUAAUGAUACGCUCUAGUGCUUCUCUCAUCAAUCAUAUGCGCGCAUAAUCUAAGGUCACCUACUAGUCGGAACCACCUCUAGUGAUCUGUACGACUAGCAUGUCGGAACCCUUUCAUGGUCUGUACGACAUGCACCUACUUGGAUCGAAGGUGAGCGUGCGAUGCGGUGAAUAAUAUAAGCACUAACACCAGGGGUGCAGGUUAUGAGCUCUCAACACAAUUCACAUCAUCAAUGAUUCACAUGAGUAACAUAAAACUCACCUGAUACUCACCUGUGCGUCCACAGCACCAAUUCACAUAUAUAUAUAUGCAUCAAUAUCAAUUCAUAUAAUUCAUAAUAUGCAUGCAUGGCAUUUGAAAACAUACUUUCAUAUAAAUUCAAUUUCUGGGAAAAUCAAUAGUAUAUAGGUAUAUACUGAAAACAAAAUUGCCCACUCACUGGUAAGUCGAUGGGUCGUAACCCCCGUGACGUCCCUGGAUGCGCUCGUCCUCGGGAUAGGUGUCACCUAUAUGCGAAACAACUAUAAAAACAUUAAUUUAAGCACAUAACCGACAAUUCGAAAUAACUUCUCAUAUGGUGCUCAAUUUGGGUAUAUGAAUAUACCACAUCAACCUACUCGACGUCACGGACGUCGAGAAAUUUUUAGAAAAAAAUUUUGAGGCCGCACGCGCCCCCCACGCGCGUCUCCUACCUCGGCUCGCCGGACUGGUUUUUCCAGUGGCCGAAAAACUGGAGAUUUUUCAAUCUCCUUGUUCUCCGUCAUUUCUCAACCAUUUUCUUCGUAUUUUAUAUCAAAAUGAAGCCCUAAGCAUGUAGUUUCACAUUAUACUACUUUAAGGCUCUAAAAACUACAAAAUCUCACCAGAGAAAUUCCAAGAAAAUUGGCCAAAUUCGAACCCAGUGAUCCCGACGUCCAAAACCUUCAAACGAAGCACUUCGAGCUUCCUUGGGGCCUCACUAAGCUCACUAUAAGCUUAGAAUUCCCUGAAAAUCGACAUAUUACGAUUGCAUGAAUAGUGACAUAAAAUGGGGGUUCGGGUUUCACGUGAUUUCGAAGGUUUCACGUCCUAAAACUAGUACCAAAUGAUUCAGGAGGUUGAAAGGAUGACAAACCAUACCUUUUUGGCGUCGAUCUGUGAAAGUUGGAGGGUAUUGACCCUUGUCCGUACAAUUCGAGAGGGAGAGAGAGACUGAACGGAGAAGAAAGAGAGAGAGCACGGGGGAGAAAGGGGGAGAUGCCCCGUGUGGUCCAACCAAAACAAUUUAAAAAAAAAAUCCAAUUCCUUUAGCCCCUAACCACAUAAAUUACAACCCAAUUUUUAAUCCCACUAAAACUAUGCUUCCAAAAGUUUAGGAAUGAAUGCAUUUAGUCCAAUAUGUCACACACAUACAUACCUUAAUACCCGCCAUGGGUAAUUCCGUCAUUUCAAGUCCCCGAUAUGUAAAAAUCCGGAACAGGCUGUGACAGGUAACAACAUCCAACUUUUCUAUCAAUUUAGAAUAUAAUAAGAGAAUAAGUAAAAUACGAUAUACUAUUUACAAAAUCAGGAUCUCUUAUUAAAACUUAUGAACAAAAUUUAAACAAAAAACUCUUAAAAUAUCAGCCACUAACACUUCAAAAUUUUUAACACAAAAGGUAAUCUCUUACUCCCACUGAUUAAAAGGGACAAAAUUAUAUAAAUUAUUAUUACUCCCGCUGAUUAAGAGAGUAAAAAAAACUUUGUAACGGUCUACAGAAUGAAACAGAUACCUUUCAAAUACUCCCAUUAGCAAAACAUUAGUCAUGGGAUCUAAAACAUAAAAUUUGUGAGCUCAACUUCUUUAUUCUAGAUAUUUGUAGGGAAGUGACUCUUGUGACUAAAAAACUAUACAAAAUCAUUUGGUCAGUUUUGUUCAUCUAACAUUUGACAGAAAUAGAAAACUUUAACUAAAUGUUUUCUUACUGCAUCAAAAACAUAUAAUUCUAGAAUCAUCUUUAGACAGAAACUAAUUAUAUUAGGUUUGCAUAGCUAAAACAUAAAAUACAAGGGCAAACGUAUAUAGCUUCAACACUUUUGAGCAGAUGAAGUAUAUGCAAUCUUGUCAAUUUCAUGUUUCACUAUACAUUGAUUUAUAGUUGUAUUGAAUAAAAAAACACUUUUGAGCAGAUUAAUUAUUCAUCAAUAACAUAUAAAUCACAAGUCCAAUUUCUUGAACAACAAACAAGAAUUAAUAAACAAAACACUUUUGAGCCGAAUAUACUCAUUAACCCUUCUUGAAUUUCCUACAAGAUUAGUUGCAUACAUAAAAUAUAAACUAGUAUGAUAAUGUACGUUUUAUCUACCAAAACUAUGACUAUUAAAAGCAUGCAAAAUUGAUGAGUGUGAAGCCCAUAAUACAUUAUUUCCCCCACUUGGGCAAACACUCAAAAUUGCAAGAUUAAACACUAGAGAAAGUGGUUUUCACAUAACAAAAUAUAGGCUAGUUGAAUCAAUAAAGAUAGUGUACACAAUCCAUUAUAUAAUAUAACAUGGCAAAUUUUUACAAAGUUUGGAGUUAGAAAAAUCUAUCAAAAUUGUAAUCAAAUAGGACACGUUGCAAGGUAUGCAAAACUCUAUCAGUAUUUCCCAAGCUCCGCCAAAAUUUUAGAUUUAAUCAUAAUUUAAAUAAAACCAAUUUACAAUCUUUAAUAUGCUCAAAACACGAAAAUUUCUUAAAUAAAUUUGCUGAGUCGCAAAAUAGUUGAUUUGGACAUAAUAAACCAAUCUACAUGUAUCAAAAUUAGGACUAUAUAAGGAACAAUAUCUCAACAUCAUUAAUCGAUAAAAGUGACAAGUGAUUAGAUAAACCAAUGACUACAAAAUUUAUUUUAGUGUAUGAGAGAAGACACAUAUGUGUUAAAGAUUAGGUCAUAAAUUAAAAUGAAACCUAACAAGAGAAUCCAAACUUAAAAUUUAUGUUUUAAUUCUAAAACAAAAUCGAUUAAAGUAAACACAUAGAUAUCUCAACAACAUCAAUUUUUCAACAAUAAUUUUAAUCCAAUUUAGAACUCACAGAAAAUUAAGGAAAAAGAUUGGCAAAUUUACCUACUCAUUCUCAAUUUUGAAAGAUUCAUCAUGGAAGUAGUCGAGUUGUGGAGGAUGGAACCAACUCCAAAUUGCAUGAUUGUUACACCUUUGGGCAGAAACUAAUCAUGCAAAGAAAAUACCUGCAUAGCUAGCCAAAACAUAAAAUACACAACAUACAUAUAUCUUCAACAACUUUGGCCAGAUGAAAAUAUGUUAGAAGUACUUUAUGAUUUGCUAUAAUAAUAAUUUAUAAUUGGUGAGUGAUUUCCUGAAAUUCCCAUUGGGACAAAAGUAUUCACCAUAUAAAUUAGAAUUCUGAUUUUUCAAAAUAAUCCUUUAGAACAGUAUUAAACAACCGUUUUGUUGGAUAUUCAAUGAUUCUCAAAAGAUUCAAUCAGACACAAAAGUAUGAUGUUGUUGACAUUGAACAAUAGAGUUCUUGAAAGAGGAAACAUGGUUAUUCAGUUAUUUGAUAGAGACCAAAAUGAUCAAUUAGUAAACUGAUGUCACUUUCCAAUUUUCUCUCAAAAGACAAUUAUCAUCAUAAUCAGAAUUGAUGACCAAACAAAACAUUGGUUUAAGCAAAAGAAACCAAUACAUCUUUAAAUCAAAAUUUAAUCAGUGUUGUUUAUAAAAUUCAUUAGUAUUGAUAAUUUGCAUAAAAUAAGGACAUAUUGGAACCAUAAACUUGUGUAAUAAUUGGUACCAAUAGAUGUGCACAAAUUAGUGAAACAAUAUCACAUAACAAAACUAGUUUUGAAGUACCAAAAUUCAGUAGUACUACUUUAGUUUGCAAAUUCACUAAAAACUCAAUUCUCUUUAGAUUAUCAUGAAAAUUUUCAAGUAUGAACUAGACAUAUAUGACUACUAUUUCGCAAAAUUUCAUGUUUUUUAAAAUCUUAUUAGCUAGCCAAAAAUGAAUUUGAAAAGAGAGGUGCAGCAGAAAAUGUUCAGUACAUACCCGAGACUAAAUAAUUCACCAAAACUUCAAUCUUCUUCCAAUGUACAUGAAAAUUUUCAGAAACGAAGUAGACAUAUAAAUUUACUGUCCCCCAAAAUUCCAUAAUUUGUGCAAUCUUAAAAGUGGGCAAAAACUAAAAUCGAAAUGAAAUGUGCUGCAGAAGCUGCAUAAAUUCUACAGUAUAGUCCUGAGAUUAAAAAUUCACCAGUAACUCAUUUUCAGACCAAUGCUCGUGAAAAUUUCCAUACUUAAAAUAAACAUCUCAAUGUAUAUCAUAAUAAAAUUUCAUGAAUUUAUGAGUUACAUUGAUAUAUCAAAAUAAUAUUACAAACACACUAUUCUGCAAAAGUCUGCAGAAUUCCAGCAACAUGGUAUCACACUUAAAAAUUUACCAUAAAUCCAUUUCUUGUCCAAAAGACAUGAAUUUUUUUUUUUUCAUGUAUAGAAUUCAUUAUUUGAUUACAACAAACAAGGCAUCCCUUUUCACCGUAAAAGAAAAGAAUUUAGUCAUACAGACAACUUCGCUUGAAGUCUACAUCAACAAAAUAUCCAAAUUUGUUACCCAUAUCAAAUUUCAAUGCAAAAGCCACACUAGUCCUUUUAAUUCAUUAUUCCAAAAAUUAGGGACCAAACUACAAUAUUUAAUCAUGCAAUCAAUGAGCCAAUAUAGUUAAAAUAUAAGUUACUAUAGGCAGAAAAUCUCAACACUACCACUUCAAUUCUUCUCUUUAAUACAAGGUUAAUAGAUUCAUUAAUAAUAAUAGAAUAAGAGUGAGCGGAAGCAUGAAAAUCCCAGAAACACAUAACGAUAUGAUUAUUCUAUAACUAUAAGAAAAUUUGAAAGGAUCUAUGUAUACACAAAAAUGAGGGAAAGCAAGAAGACGAACAUCACAAACUCAUAACAAAAUUCCAUAUUAAUCUGUAGCAGGAUUUAUAUAUAAGAGUUCGAAAAUAAUCGAUAUCAUGUAAUUUAUACAAAAGCAUAAUUCAAUUAAAUCAUACCCAUGUUUCCUAAUGGCGAGUAAUUCUCGUCGAAAGACUCCGAAAAUGACCAAAAUUGUAAACCUGACCAUUGACAGCGUGAGUAAUGACUAAAGAACGGCUUGCCAGUGACCAAUGUGUGAGAGAAAAAAUUGAAACACCAUGGGAAGCCAUAGUAAUUAUUAUUGUAAAUAGGAUUCCAAAACAAGGAACGCUGAACACUGCCCAGCAGCAACAGCAAUGCCAUCCAAGUCAAUCUUGAUAUUAAUCAUAUUAAAAUAAUUAAAUCAAACUAUUUAGAUGCAAAUUGUGACAAGCCUCCAAACUCCAUAAAUUGAUAAUAUACACACAUAUUAAUUAAGGUCACAACAAAUUAAGAAGAAAUUAUCGCGAAGAUCAAAAUUCAAUGCAAAAUUGUAUAUAUAUAGCUUUCAUCAAAUAAGUAUAGCUAUAAACAAAGCAAUCAGAUUUGCUUCUUAAUAUCACGACAUGGCUAAGAAAACUCAUCCUUACGUCUUCUCCAUGAAGGCAAAACAAACCACUUUUGACAAUUACGUGAGAGUCCCAAAUAAGAAUUCAUCAAUACUAAUUAGCAGUAGCAAUAUGCAUCGCUACCCAGACCAGUAUUGAUAUUGUAGUUAAUACAAUCAUACCAAAGGAUGCAAAUUAUAUUACGUAUCUUUACUCAUAAUAAGGUUGAAAGGAAUCAUGAAUUAACCAAGAACGAACCCAAUGGAGAAGUGUAUAUGUAUCCUUAGUCGUAUAUAUGUUUUCACAACACUAAGACUCAUUAGGUAAAACCCCAGCACCGUGAAGCAGCAGACGUGUUUGAUCAUCUAUGAAAUUAUAAUCAAACACCUUACCUUUAAUCCGAACCCUAAGCUUGUUGUGUGGCUCUGAUACCACAUGUUAGACAUAUUUUGAAAUCACAACAAGACAUUAGGAUCACGAAUAAAUCAAAUCAAUAUAAAAUAGAGAUUAACUAAUUAUAUUAAACUUAUCUGUGAAAUACGGAAGACAUUGCAGAUUUCUAGGUUGUUUUCUACUUCCAGUACUUCAAUAAUAUCUCUCUGCUAUACGAAUAGGGUUCAACUUAUAUGUGAGAUUAGGCAUAUGAAAUCAGGGACUUAACCAUAGUAUUUAUAUCAUUAGGGUUUAAUCACAGCCAGCCUAUUAUUGGUUGUAAAAGUCAAACCCUAUCACUUAAGUGUUUAAGUCCCACCAUGAUAUUGUAUCUUUGUAGUGAAAUCCAUCAGAUUUCUUCAGGUCAAUUGCAAAGGAUCACUACUACAAAAUUAUCUAUAACUGGCGGUUCAAAAACCGACAAAAAAAGUAUAUUAUUGUCGGAUUUUAAGCAAAAUCCAACAGAAAAUAGAUGUAGUGGCGGAUAUAAUAAGCGACAGAAUUGCCUGCGUCAGUAAAUGAAUUUUCCGACAGAAAAUAUCUAAAACCGACAGGAUAUAUAUUUAUGAUGAAUAAAUAAAUAAGAGAUUUCUGUCGGAUCAAACCGACAUAAAAUACUAAAACCGCCACUAAUUCUGUCGGCUAUAACCGACAGAAAAUUUAUUAUAAGAAUAAAUAAAAGAAUUCUUGUCGGAUAAAACCGACAAAAAAUAUAUUAAUAAAAAAAAAUUAUGCAAUCUUGAUGUUCUUGAGGCAACAUUCUCUAACAUAGCAGAAUACGAAGCACCAACAAGAAAAUGCAUAUGCAGAUCGAAAUACUCAAGUAACAGCUUGGAAGCCAUAUCACCAACUUCACUACCAUUAUGACCAUAAAAAAAAGCAACAAUUCCAACUCUAACCUCCUCAAUUCCACCACCGUUACUUGCGUGAAAGAAAAUCAUACUAAGCCCCAAUUUAUUGUCAAAUCAGCGAGAGAGAAAGAGAGAGGUUCUGGAGCGCACCAGGAAAGGGAAUGAUGAAAUCAAGGGCGCAGAGAAUGUGAUCCUCCAGCGGCCUUGUACGAUCUUUGAGCAUAGCCGUUUCAUAGCUGAACAUGCUUCGAGAGCAGGAAGCGUACCAGUCGGAGUGCCUCCAUUGAAGGCAUUCUUGGGACUCGAAAACCGCCGGGGCACCGCCAUGUUCGUAUAGCGUCAAGCACAUCGACGAUUCGCCUUCGUACGAGCGCAUCACGAAGGCUGCGAUUACAGUUAGGCGAAUCAAGCUGCAAUCUGAAAGCUCAAAGUCUCAUGCUUAUGGUGUUGUUGCGGAAGCUCAAAAUAGUAUAUCCCCUUAUGUGGAAUCAAAGAUUGAAACUAAUGCCAAAGAAAAUGAGCUUGUGUUGACAAAGAAAAUGAGGAGAGGAGAAAAGGGGGAAGGGAAAAGCACCAGCGCACGGAAGAGAUGGAAGGGUUAUAUUGUGGAAAAUUUUCAUUAUUGUCGGUUAAAAUCGACAAAAAUGUUUUCUUAAAAUAAAAACCAACAGAAAGUUUUCAUUAGUGUCGAUUAUAACCAACAGAAAAAAAAUGGCGGCAAAAAUCCCCCAAAAUUCCCUGUGAAAAUUUUAAAUUUUCCCCCAAAAUUUUAAAUUCCCCCCCCCCUCCCAAAAUUUUGUUACGAUUUUAAAAAAUAAAAUAAUAAUUGUUUGGUUCAAUAUGUAUUUAAAUAGAAUAUGUUUUUAAAAAUAAAUAAAUAAUUGUUUGGUUUAAUAGAUAAUUUUUACAUUUUUGGUUUAAUAGAUUAUAAUCCAUGUAAAAUAUGCGAUAAAGAAACAAAAAGAGAAUUGUAUAAUGAAAAUGUCAUCGCAUAAACUAAAUGUUGUCUAAUAAACACUUGAAAAACGUAAAUAAAAAUUUAGCACAAAUUACUUUUCCCACUUCAAAAUUUAGGCAAAUUUAUACAUUCUACGAAACUAGUUUCCAUGAUCUAACCGUCAAACUUGUUUGUAGAUACUACAAGAUCGCAUACGUAAAAAAUCGUAAAAAACAAACAUUCAGAGAUUACGUAACGGGACAAAAAAUUUCGAUGGUUAUAAAUGAAAAUUCACAAUUUAAUGGUUAUUUUAGCUUCGAUUUUAAUGAUUUUUUACAACUGAGGAUUAAGAAAAAAUUAAUAAAAAUUGUACUAAGGAUUUUUUAAUGGAUAUCAAAAGUCUUUUUCCACUGAGGAUUAAGAAAAAUUAAUAAAAAUUGUACUUAAUAGAAAUAGCUUGAUUGAAAAAUGAAAAUAAAUUCGUAGUUAAGUAAAGCAUUGGCUCAAAGAAACUCUUGUUCUUAUAAAGACUUGGUUUGAAGUGAAGCUUAAUAAGAAAAAAUGUACACAGAGAACAGAAAGCAAACAAAAGAAGAUAAUUUUUUAUCUACGAACGAAUUAAGCACAUGUUGGAAAAAAAAAAAGAAUUAAGCACAUAGAUUUUCGAUAUAACCGACAGUAUUCUUUUGAUAUCCGCCAGUAAUUUCUGUUGGAUAUAACCGACAGGAUUUUUCUAAUAUCCGUCACUAAUUAAAUGAUGUGUCAGAUACAAUUUAUCCAACAGGAUUUUUCUAAAACCGCCACCUAAAGCUAAUAUUGUAGUAGUGGAUAAGACUCCAUAAUCCUUAUUUCAUUAGGACUAUGAUUACUUAAGUUGUUAAUAACUCAAUAAACAAGUGGCCUAUAACAUAAGUAAUCCAAUACAUCAUUCAUUGUCAUUCACAACCUUACAUACGUUUGCUCCAGUGCUUCCCAUGUUGCACGAGCUGAUCGUUUGCUUGCCACAGUGGCAAGGACAGAGGAUGUAAGGGAGCCAUUGUUCCAACUGAGGAUCAUUUGGUCUUGCUGCAUCCAAGAGAUGUAGGCGGGAUUGACAGUGGUGCUUCCAGCAAGAUGUUUGGAUGGACAGACAACGGAACCAUCAACGUAACCCAUAAGAUCAUGGCUCUUAAGGAUUGGAAGAAUCUGGGCUAACCAUAACGUAUAGUUAGUCCUAUCGAGUUUGAUGUUCACAAUGGUAGUCAUGGACGAAGACAUGUUGACUAGAGCAGUUGCAGGUGGGGGGGUUUGCUGGGAAUUAGGGAUGUUGUUGUUGGUGUUGGAAGACAUGAUGGGUAGGGAAAAAAAAAUUGAUCGUUUUGUCGUUGGACUUAAAAGGUUCUGUGUACCAUAUAAGAACUAAGAUUGCAGGGAAGGUAAAACACGCAGGAAAGCUAUAAGACUGCACAAGGUUUUUCACUGUGAUUGCAUGCCCUUAACAUUAUAGGGAGCAACCUUUUUAUAAUCACUUUUCAGAUUACAAGCUUACAUUUCGAAAUUCAAAUACUAUAACUAAUUCUGAUAAAACAAAUAUUCAAAAUUCAAAUGACUUUAACAGAAGCUCCACUUGAUAAGUGUUGUUGACUGAGUAAACCAACUAAAGAGUUUCUGUUUGAAGAGGAAACUUGACUUCGUCUAACAACUUCCGCUUAAGUUAUUUGAGGAAAGAUCUAUCUCUUGAACAUCUUCCAGUUUGCUGAGCUCAAUUGGUAUAGGCCCUUCGAGCUGAUUAUGUGAGAGGUUUAUAAAAAUUCUGAUCUCAUUCAAACCUGAUAUUUGUGGGGGGAUGCUGCAUGUCAAUCUGUUGUAUGAUAAGUCAAGCUUGUACAGCUCUAUGCAGUGUUCUAAUUUUGGUAUUGCUCCGGAGUGGAGGUUGUUGCUGAGGAACGGAUAAUUCAGCCUAACCAAAUCUCCUAUACUGCUGGGAAUAUCACCUGAGAAUGAGUUAUGAGACAGAUCAGCAGGCCGAGGUGAGUCAUUUGACCCAAUUCUGCUGGAAUUGCGCUGGUGAAAAGAUUGUGUGAUACGAAAAGCUGUUCCAAGUUUGACAGCUGACUUAUGUGUAAAAGAAUGAUAUGUAAUUGAUUUUUUGAUAUUGAUUCAAGAGGCAUAACAGCCUAUUUGUAGUUACAAUAAUGCCUAAUAUGGUUCCUACAAUCAAGCUAAAACAUUCACAAAGAAGGAAAGGAAUUAUUUACAAUAUAAACAAAGUCAACAUUCCUAUUUUAAGCUCGAUCUUCUUCAACACUCCCCCUCAAGUUGGAGUGUAUGUUUACGACACCCAACUUGCUAAGUAGCACUUCAAAUUGUGUCGAGCUUAAUGGUUUAGUGAACAAAUCUGCUGGCUGAUUUGUGGUUCGAAUGUGAGUUGUCCGAAUCAUCCCUUCUUGUACCUUUUCUCGAACCAGAUGGCAAUCUAUCUCUAUGUGUUUGGUUCUCUCAUGAAACACCGGAUUCGAUGCUAUGUGUAUAGCCGCCUGAUUGUCACAAAACAAAGCUACUGGCUGCGUGUGAUCAACUCCCAAAUCCUUCAAAAUGUUUUUCAACCAUGUAACUUCACAGCAAGUGGUAGCCAUGGAUCGAUACUCGGCUUCCGCACUCAAACGUGAUACCGUUGUCUGUUUCUUAGUCUUCCAAGAGACCGGUGCUUGCCCAAGUAAGAUGCAGUAUCCCGUGAUCGAUCUUCUUGUAUCCUUACAACGUGCCCAAUCGGCAUCACAGAAUGCCCGCAAUUGUAGCGACCCUGUAGAUGGCCGUAGGAUGCCUUGACCCGGUGUUCGCUUAAUAUAUUUAAGCACUUUGUGGGCUGCCUCCAGAUGCGGUUGUCGUGGUUUGUCCAUGAACUGGCUCAAUACAUGUACAGCAUAAGUCAAGUCUGGCCUAGUUAUGGUCAAAUAUAUUAGUCUCCCAACCAUUCUUCUGUAUACCGAAGCAUCAUCUAACAGCUUUCCAUCGAGCUGUGUAAGUGAUAAAUUCGGUUCCACAGGGAAUCGAGAAGGUUUGACACCCAAAAAUCCUGCAUCAUCCAAGAUUUCCAAAGUAUACUUUCGUUGUGACAAGCUAAUUCCAUGUCGUGACCUGGCAACUUCGAUGCCAAGGAAAUAUUUCAACUGCCCCAAAUCCUUGAGUUUGAAUCGGUUAGCCAAGAACAACUUUGUGUUUUCUAUAUCUUCCAAAUUGUUCCCUGCCAGUAUAACAUCAUCAACAUAUACAAGCAACACUAGGAAGUUAUCUUGACGACGUCGGACGAAGAGAGAAUAGUCAGAUCGUGACUGUUGGAAUCCCGCGGCCUUGAGGGCAGUGGACAGCUUGAUAAACCACUGCCUAGAUGCCUGUUUUAACCCGUACAAUGACUUAUGCAAUUGGCAGACCCGAUGCUCCCCCUUUCGUCCGAAACCAGGAGGCAAAGACAUGAAGACCUCUUCAUCAAGGUCACCAUUUAGAAACGCAUUGUUCACAUCCAACUGAUGGAGAUGCCAGCCACGCAGAGAGGCCACACUAAGAAGAACACGAACUGUCACCAUUUUUGCAACGGGGGCAAAGGUUUCCCGGUAAUCGACGCCUUCAACCUGACUGUAGCCCUUGGCCACUAAGCGGGCUUUGUAGCGUUCAACUGUACCAUCAGCCUUCAAUUUCACCUUAUACACCCACUUACAACCGAUCGGCCGCUUAUGAGGAGGCAACGGCACCAAGCUCCAAGUCCCAUUAGCUUGUAAAGCAGCAAUUUCAGUUUUCAUGGCAUCACGCCAGUGUGGGAUUUGGACUGCCUGAGAGAAACUGGUGGGUUCUUUACGAAGAGUAAGUUGAGCAAGAUAUGUUUUGUGAGGGUGAGAAAGGUGAGCAUAAGACAAAAACUGAGAGAUCGGGUGAGCCGUACCUGAACGGGUGACCUGGUUCGAAGACGAUGAUGAGGUGGUCCGGGAAGGGAGGCUAGUCUCGAGAUGAAAGUCUUGCAAAUAGGCAGGCGGUCGGGUGGAACGACCGCUGCGGCGCGGAGCGGGGCUGGUAGGCGGGAGGGACGGUGGUGGGGAAAUGAGAGGUGUCGGUGGAGAGUGAGCGGGGAGCGGAGAAGGAGAAAGCAGAGGUGUGAGUUCGACAGGUGUGGGUUCUGCAGGAAGUGGGUUAAGGGAUGUGGGGUGAGGUGGGCCGGGUGUCGGAGUAGGCCCAACGGGAGGUGGAGGCAGGGGGUGCGGAAAGAGAGUCCAAAUCAGAGGGUAAAAAUGGGUCAGGGUGAGAUGAGGAAAUGUUGGGAAUGUGGGUAAUAUGGGGAUGUGGUGAUGCAGCGGAAUGGUGAGGAAGAAGAAAAGGAAACACAUCCUCAAAGAAACUCACAUCACGAGAAACGAGUACCUUUUGUUGACUAAGAUCAAAAACCCGAUAGCAUUUUUUACCAUAAGGAUAGCCCAAAAAAAUACACCGAGAGGCGCGGGGAUCAAUUUGGAACGAGUUUGGGUAUGGGUAGAAGUAAAGCAUAAACAACCAAAAACACGCAAAUGGGAAUAACUGGGAGUUUUGUUAAACAAUGUUUCAUACGGGGUUUUGCCAUUGAGAAGAGGGGUAGGUGUACGAUUGAUGAGAUAAGCGGAUGUGAGGAUGGCAUCCCCCCAAAAAUGAGUUGGAAGCCCAGCCUGAAUAAGCAAGGCACGUGCCAUGUUUAACAAGUGUCUAUGUUUUCUUUCAGCAACCCCAUUUUGCUGUGGUAUGUUGAUACAACUAGUUUGAUGCAUGAUACCUUUAUCUGCAUAGAAAUUGUCAAUUUUGAAUUCAGGGCCAUUAUCACUACGAAUGAUUUUAAUUUUGGAAUCAAAUUGAGUGGCAACCAUAUUGAUGAAAUUAACUAGAAGAGGCCGAGCAUCAGAUUUGUGUUGCAUAAGGUAAAUCCAGGUGUAUCUAGUGUAAUCAUCAACAAUAGUAAGGAAAUACUUUGCACCCGAAGUGGAAGCAAUUUUAUAACCACCCCAUAUGUCUAUAUGAAUUAAAUCAAAACUAGAAUGAGUAGUAAUUAAACUAGAAGAAAAGGGAAGCUUGGUUUGUUUAGCCAAAGGGCAAAUUGUGCACUUGUCGGUAGCACAAGGUGUAUGUUUAAAAGUAGUAAUAGGAAAUAAUGGAAGAACUCUGGUAGAUGGGUGGCCAAGGCGUUGAUGCCAAAGGAUGGGAUGGGUCUUGUGUGCCUGAUUGUAUGUUCCUUUCUUGGUAUGAUCGAGAUAGUAGAGGCCCUCCCGUUCAAUUCCCGUCCCAAUCAUCGUCCCCGAACGUAGGUCCUGUAUGAUACAAAAUUGGUUCAGAAAAAUUGUAAUACAAGAUGAAUUGGCUAACUUGCUAAUUGAAACCAAAUUCAACUUAAAGUACGGGACACAUAAAACGUUCUCAAUGGUCAAAUUGGGGGACAAGACAACUUUGCCAAUGUGAGUCACUUGUGCUACGGACCCAUUCGGCAAUUCCACUGUGUGAUUAGUGACAGGCCGCGAGGUGGAGAACAUGUCAGGAUCAUAAAUCAUAUGAUCUGUGCAGCCACUGUCUAAAAUCCAAGUGCUUUGUUUUCCAUGAGAGUUAAGUGAAAAGGCUUUACCUGAGAGUUCUUCAUGGGUUGCAGAAUUACUAACAUGAUUGGCAGAUGAGGAUUUAUUUUGCAGCAUACUCAAGAUUUGUUUGCACUCUUCAGCAGUAAACGGGAACUUCAUCUCCUUCCUUGCUGUCAAACACGUUGCUGCUUGAUUCCCUUUGGAAAGCACUGCCCCAAAAUUAGCCUCAGCCGCUGCCUUCUUCUUGCGGCAGUAUUCUGCCGUGUGACCUUUCCAGCCACAAAAUGCACAUUUGAGGUGUGCCCGACAAGUCUUGGCAGUGUGGUUGGUCUUGUUGCACUUGGUGCACUUCAACUCACCUUUUUCUCCUUCGGAUUCACGGUUGGCAUUCUUCACGGCAAACACCGCCGCAUCCGGUUGUGUCGAAGCUUUUCCUGCUGUUACUUCCGUUGCUUCUCAUGCCGCAGAACAAUGGAGUAUGCCUUGUUCACUGUGGGUAACGAAUCUUGCAGCAAGGUGUUGCUGCGAACACUUGCAUAUGAGUCAUUGAGGCCCAUGAGGAAGUUCAUAGUUUUCUGUGUGUCCAAAUAUGCAGCCAGUUCCUUGACUGAGCCACAAGUGCAGAUCGGAAAAGUGCAGAGAGCAUCACGGGCAUCCCAUAGUCCCUUCAACUUCGUGAAGUAAGAUCCCACAGACAUACCUUCUUGCACACAAUCAUGAAUCUCAUUCUCGAUAUUGAACAGUUGAACCACGUUCACAUGCGAGAAUCGCUCCUGCAGUUCCAGCCACAUCUGCCUGGCGUUCUUACAAUUGAUCACGCUGCUAGCGAUGUCUUUCGACAUCGACCCUAGCAGCCAAGUCUGGACCAGAUUAUUGCAGCGAUUCCACUGCUGCCAUUCAUGGAGAUUCUUUCCAUUUGGUUCUUCAAUCGAACCGUCUACGAGUCCGAUUUUGUUCUUGACCGUUAAGGCCAUAGUCAUGGAUUGUUUCCAUGUGCUGUAAUUGUCUUCGACCAAGGGCUGCGGCACAAGAAUAGCACCGAGUUGGUCUGAAUGAUGAAGAUAUAGUUGAUGAGUGGGAUUAUCCCACUGGGUUCCUGAGGCCGUGCUUGAUGCUUUGUCGUCUGCCAUGGAGGUCGGCUAGGGUUUUGUUGUGUUUGGUUUAUUGCCCAGAUCAAUGCUCUAGUACCAUGUAAAAGAAUGAUAUGUAAUUGAUUUUUUGAUAUUGAUUCAAGAGGCAUAACAGCCUAUUUGUAGUUACAAUAAUGCCUAAUAUGGUUCCUACAAUCAAGCUAAAACAUUCACAAAGAAGGAAAGGAAUUAUUUACAAUAUAAACAAAGUCAACAUUCCUAUUUUAAGCUCGAUCUUCUUCAACAUUAUGUUUACUGAAAUUGUUCCAUUAAGACGAUUGGAUGUAAAAUUCGGGACCACAAGCUUAGAAAGAUUGCCUAUAUCCGGAGGAAUUAAUCCAAAGAUUCGGUUUUCUUCCAGCAAAAGAUUUGUGAAAUUGACACCAAGCCCGCCGAUGGAACUGGGGAACAUUCCUCCGAGUCCCACGCCAGCCAAUUCAAGCUCCUCUAGAGAAGUGCAAUUUGUGAGGGCAGCAAAGAAUGGGUCAAGAUUGGUGUUGUCAUGGUGGCUUACCAUAUCGUUCUUAGAUAAAUGAAGAUAGAGAAUAUUUGGCAACUUCUGUACAAACUUGAUUAGCAACUCACCAGAAAGAUGGUUAUAUUCGACAUCUAAGUUGACAAGUGAGCUAUUGGUCAGAAAGAGAGGAAGUUCUCCAGUUAACUGAUUGUUGUAUAAGUUGAGGCCCCAUGGAGUUAAAAUAUAUGUUUAGGGUUUAAUUCUCAAAUCAGUAUUCUUCUCCAUGUUUAGGGUUUAAUUCUCAAAUCAGUAUUCUUCUCCAUCUAGGAGGAAAUAUUUAUAUACAUACAAUCCGCAUCUCUUGCGGUACAAGAAAAGAAAGAAAAAUAAGUAGACCAAAUCCUAGCCAACUAGGAAAUACAAUCAAAUAAUUAAUUACAUUCCUAAUUGAACAAGGACUCAAGUCAACAUUCCCCCUCAAGUUGGAGCGUAGAUAUCACCUAGCCCCAACUUGUCCAGUGAGUCCUGAAAUCUCGCAGCGGAAACUGCAUGGGUUAGGAUAUUAGCCAACUGUUCUUCCGUCCUAACAAACGGAAUGUCAACGAGCUUAACCUCCAACUUCUCUUUUAUGAAGUGCCUGUCUACCUCAACAUGCUUGGUUCUAUCAUGUUGUAUUGGAUUGUUAGCAAUUUCUCACACAGCUUGAUUAUCACAAUACAACACCAUAGUCCCUUAGGUUUGAACCCUAUCUCAGUGAGUAAGAUCCGAAGCCAUAGAAGCUCACAAAUACCAUGUGCCAUUCCUCUGUACUCUGCCUCUGCUGACGAUCUAGCCACGACAUUCUGUUUCUUACUUCUCCAUGUUACUAGAUUACCAGCUACAAACAUGAAGUAACCUGAUGUAGAUCACCGAUCAGUAAUAUUCUCGGCCCAAUCCGCAUCAGUAUACCCUUUCACCUCCAUGUGUCCAUGCUUCUUGUACAUUAAUCCUUUUCCAGGAGCCCCUUCAAGUAACUAAGAAUCCGCAUCACUGCUGUCAUGUGAUCUUCACUUGGUGCAUGCAUGAAUUGACUUACCAUACUUACGGCAUAAGCAAUAUUAGGUCUUGUAAGUGAUAAGUAAAUCAACCUUCCAACUAACAUUUGGUAUCUUUCUUUAUUCGUUGGAACUUGAUCUUGAUAAAUUGCAAGGUGAUGAUUUUGCACAAUCAGGGUAUCAGUUGGUUUACACACCAACAUACCAGUUUCUGACAAUAAGUCCAAUACAUACUUUCGUUGUGACAAGCAUAUGCCUUCUCGAGACCUAGCAACUUCAAUUCCGAGGAAGUACUUGAGCCCUCCAAGAUCUUUCAUCUCAAACUCAGAGAUAAGUAUCCUUGUAACUGUUCAAUCUCCUCCGUAUCAUCACCUGUAACAAUCAUAUCAUCCACAUAUAUGAUGAGUAAAGCCACCUUAUCAUCCUUACGCUUAAUGAAUAAGUAUGGUAUGAGUUCCCUUGUCGAUAUCUAUACUUCUUCAUGGCUUGAGUGAAGCGUCCAAACCACGCUCUUGGUGAUUGUUUCAAACCAUACAAUGCCUUUUAGAGUCUACACACUUUCCCACUAGAGUUUUCAAUGCCGUACCCGGGUGGAAAAUCCAUGUAUACCUCUUCCUCUAAAUCUCCAUGCAGAAAAGCAUUUUUCACAUCAAAUUGCCUCAGAGGCCAAUCAUGAUUAGCAGCAAGAGAUAACAGAACUCUAAUGGUAUUCAUCUUUGCAACUGGAGCAAAGGUUUCCUGAUAGUCCACGCCAAAGGUCUGUGUAUAACCUUUGGCCACUAAUCUUGCCUUGUAUCUAUUAAUUGUUCCAUCCGCCUUAUAUUUGAUGGUGAACACCCAUUUACUCCCUACUGCUUUCUUGUCCUUAGAAAGUGUAACCACACUCCAUGUCUUAUUCUUCUGUAACGCCUCCAUCUCAAUCUGCAUUGCCUCUGUCCACUUUGGAUCUCUCAAGGCUUCUUCUACUCUAGUAGGAAUUUUAACAGUAUUUCGGUGAGAGUCGAUGAGUGGGGACAUAGUUAGCAAUUGAAUACCGCACCUUCCCUUCUGGAGAGUACCUAUCUGGUGGUUUUCCUCGAUUUUAUCUAGAAGGCAAUACAUAAGGUGGCUUAAUAGAUUGUGAAUGAGUACUUACCUCGGGGAUAUCCGAAUGAUUAUGGGCUUGUACUAGAGGAGGCUGCAGGGGCUGUUGUAGGCUCUGAACUAAACCAUCAUUUGGGCUAUUUUCCUUCUGCCACACAGGCUCAUUUGUUGUCUCAGUGCAGGGCCCAUUUGUUGCGUCAUCAUCACCAUUUGAGCUUUGUGGGCUAUCGGUGCUGUCAAGGACAGCAGGGCUUUGUGAGCUGAAAUCUACAGCGCAAUUUUCCAUAUAAUCAUCAUGCCCAUUUGAGCUUUAUGGGCUGCCAGUGCUGUCAAUGACAGCAGGGGUGCUAACGUCCACCCAUGCAUAAUCUUCACCGUCAGUCAUCUCCCCUUGAAGGUUAUGGUUAGGGGGAAAAAAAAGUUCGUCUUCAGAGAAAGUCACGUCCAUUGUAACAUAGACAUGUUUAGUAGGAGGAUGAUAACAUCUAUAUCCUUUUUGGUGAGGACUAAAACCAAUGAAAACACACCGUACCGCACAUGGAUCAAGCUUGCUUCGUUGAUUUUUGUGAAGGUGCACAUAAGCCACACACCCAAAAAUUCGCGGUUCGAGGUGAAGGGGGGAAGGAAGUGAGACCUGGUCAGCGAGUACCGCCAAGGGAGUUCUAAAAGAGAGAACACGUGAUGGCAUACGGUUUAUGAGAUACACGGCGUAGGUCACUGCAUCGGCCCAAAACGUUUGGGGUGCACAUGCACCAAUUAGAAGUGCACGAGUAACCUCAAGUAAAUGUAUGUUUUUCCGUUCGGCGACUCCGUUUUGUUGUGGGGUCUGAGGACAUGAAGUUUAAUAGAGAAUACCCUUAUCUUGGAAGAACUGGGACAUGUUCUGAUUGAGAUAUUCGCCACCGUUGUCAGACCGAAGAACUUUAACGGGAAGCGAAUAUUGUGUAUACACCAUGUGGUGAAACACUUUGAAGAUUCCACCAACAUCACUCUUAUUUUUCAUGAGAUACAACCAAGUCAUCCUAGUGUAGUCAUCAACAAAUGUUACAAACUAACGGAUUCCAUGCUGAGUAGUAACUAGAGAAAGUCCCCACAUAUCAGAGUGAAUCAACUCAAAGGGAACUGUUCUUUUAUUGAAACUCGGAGAAUACAAAACACGAUGGCUUUUAGCUAAUGUGCAAACAUUACACUUGAGACUAGAAUUUGAAAUAUUACUAAAUAAUGAUGGAAGUAAUUUCUGCAAAUAACCAAAGGAGGCAUGACCAAGACGACGAUGCCACAACUGAACAGUCUUCAACUUUCUACUAUCUUGACUCCGAACUUGAUGAACACAGCCCGGUGCAACAUCAUCAACAUAGUACAACCCCUUACUUUUAGUACCACGCCCAAUGAUCGCCUGAGUCCAGAUAUCCUGGAGUAAACAAAAGGAAGGAAACAUAAGCACAACACAGUCUAAUUGCUCGAUAACUUGCCCCAUGGAUAAUAAAUUGCUAGACAACGUUGGAACAAGUAAACAAUUGUGAAGGGAAAGAGUAGGAGUAAGUCCGAUUGAUCCAGCCCCUGUGACUGGAGCAACUCCUCCGUUGGCGGUGAUAAUACUAUUCCGUGGAGGUGAUGUUGUGAAAUUAAAGAGAGUAUGAUCAUAAGUCAUAUAAUUCGUAGCUCCAAAGUCAAUAAUCCAACUUGUGUCAUGAUCAAUGGACGCAAUUAAGGCAGUGCUCGUGUUACCUGGAUUAUUCGCUUCCUCGUUUGAGGCAAUUAAAUUUAAUAAGGAUAACUGUUGUUCAUGUUUUCCACGUGUGGGUAGGUUGGGCCAAGCCCACUUCCAGGUCCUCUAUUAAUUAACACAGCAAGUCCAGGUCCUGCUUCCGCGACCUUUGCUUGGGCUGCACGUUUGUUGGGCCGUCAGUGUUGACCACGUAACUUUCUUCGUUCUAUAAACCAUUCUAGGUAUCCAUGGAUCUCGAAACAUGUUUCCUUCGUAUGGCAGGUUCCGUUACAAUGAGUGCAGCGAAGUUUAUCCUUUUCUACAUCCUCUAAUUCUCGUAGAGAACGCGAUGGCCCCGAAAAGGGCUUACUAACCAUCGUCAUAGACGGUCCACUGUCGGCUUUCUUUCCUCCAAGCAUGGUGGUUUUACGUUGUGCUUCAUGUCGUAUGGUAUUGAAGCAUUCCUCUAUUCCGGGGACGGGUUUCAUUCGUAGUAGAGUGCUUCAUACCGCAUCAAGAGAAUCAUCUAAUCCUGCAAGAAAGUCAUACACCUUAUCCUUGUAGAGGUCUUCCUUUCUACUCUUCAAGUCCGCAUCACAUAUCAUUCUAUUCGAACGUCGUUUGUCCAUCUCUUGCCACAUGUUCUUUAAUUCUGCGAAAUAAAGGUUCACAAGACGUCUGUUUUGUCUUGUUUUGGUCGUUUUGCAUCUCAGCUCAUAAUACUGAGAUUCGUCAGCCCUAUCAUAGAACAUUUGGGUAACGCUCUCCCAAAUGUCCAUUGCAAUUGGUAAGUCAAUAAACAGCCCAAGCAGAUGUGGUUCCAUAGUUUUCAGCAGCCAACCUCGAACAAUUGCAUCCUCAGUGUGCCACUUCGAAAAACUAGGUGCAGUCUCCUCCAUUGCCGGGGUUGUCCCAUCAAGAUAUCCCAUUUUAUUCAGUCCUUCAGCAUGGACUUCCAUCAUCCGUGACCAUACUUUAUAAUUCGUAUCAUUCAACUUGAACCCAAAUGGUAAGGCGCUCAAGUUAGACGGUUCGUUCGAGCUAGAUGUUUGAGCUGUGGCUGGAACUACAACCCUGAUAUCAGCCAUAUCAGGCAGCGGCUUUGUUUUCUUUUUUCUGGGUUUGAGGUUUCUAGAAAGUCUCUUGUCUCAAGACUUUGAAACUUUACAGUCGGUUCCUCUUGCUGCAGUCUGUUCCUCCUGCUGCAGUCGAUAGGUUAGGCAGCCAACAAUGAAUUUCCUUGCUGGCAAUAGCUACGAUUAGGGUUGAGGGGGAGGCAGGCCAAAACCUGCUCUGGUACCAAGUUAAAAUAUAUGUUUAGGGUUUAAUUCUCAAAUCUGUAUUCUUCUCCAUCUAGGAGGAAAUAUUUAUAUACAUACAAUCCGCAUCUUUUGCGGUACAAGAAAAGAAAGAAAAAUAAGUAGACCAAAUCCUAGCCAACUAGGAAAUACAAUCAAAUAAUUAAUUACAUUCCUAAUUGAACAAGGACUCAAGUCAACACAUAGUUUUGGACAAUUUCCCAUCUCUAUGGGAAUUUUCUGGAAAAAAGGUUGUUGGAAAGGUCUAAAACUUUUAACAUUUUGGACUAACUGUCACAUCCCGACCCGGGCCUCCACCACAUCCCAGACUCGACUCCGCCAUAGCACGAUAUUGUCCACUUUGAGCCUCAAUCACGCCCUCACGGUUUUGUUUCUGAGAACUCACACAAGAACUUCCCAGUGGAUCACCCAUCCUGGGAUUGCUCUUGCGUGAACUCGCUUAACUUCGGAGUUCCGAUAGAACCUGAAGCCAAUAAGCUCCUAAAAAGCCUCAUGUUAGGUAGAGAUGGGAAUGUACAUAUAAGGCUUAGAGGAUCCACUCCCUUGAGCGAUGUGGGAUGUCACAAUCCACCCCUUUAGGGGCCCGACGUCUUCGUCGCCACACUUCCGGUCAGGGAUUGGCUCUGAUACCAAAUUGUCACAUCCCGACCUGGGCCCCCACCACAUUCCAGGCUCGACUCCGCCGUAGCACGAUAUUGUUCGCUUUGAGCCCCGACCACGCCCUCACGAUUUUGUUUAUGGGAACUCACACGAGGACUUCCUAGUGGGUCACCCAUCCUGGGAUUGCUCUCGUGCGAACUUGCUUAACUUUGAAGUUCCGAUAGAACCCGAAGCCAAUGAGCUCCCAAAAGGCCUCGUGCUAGGUAGAGAUAGGAAUAUACAUAUAAAGCUUAGAGGAUCCACUCCUCUGGGCGAUCUCGGUCAACAAUCAGCGUUGACUUUGACUUUGACCGUUGACUUUGGCCAAUCAACGGUCAACGUUGACUUUUAAGGUUGACUUUUUGAGAUUUCGUUCGGGACCUUUCCUAGGCUAAUUUCGACGUCUUGGACCCGUUUUUUAAGUCUAUUUUCCCAAAUUAAAUCGUUUGGAUAGAGUUUGACUAAAAGUAUCCCUUUAUGUGAAUAGGUGAAAUUGUUAGCAGUGAUUCCAUAAUUCCUUUUUGGUACAGCUUUGCACCAUUGGUGUACGGUGAGUGGACCCCUUCAAAAAUGCAUGUUUUAACAAUAGAAAUGCACACAUAAAAAGCAUGAUUUAAUGAUUACGUUUUAUGAAAUGUUUUAUGAGAUAACAUGCUUACUGAGGCUAGAUUGAAUUAUUAUUAUUUUUCCUAUAACCCAUGUUCUUAUAGAAUAUUUAAUGGAUGACGAUAUGAUAUUUAGAACAUAUUUAGAACACCUCUUUACAGUAUAGAUGAUGGAUGACUUUAUACUAUGAAGUUGCUUUUCAAUAUAAAUAUGUUCAAUGGUUUUGUACUUACCUAGUGGUCUUUUCUGCUACGGGACGUAGGGAUAGAUUCCGGUCCAUCCUGGGCGACGGUUUGGUGUUGGCAUAGGGCCUGGAGUGUAUUUCCUUUGGCUAUUUAGCACAGGGACGGGGAGCCGGCAUGGGGCUUGAAGUGUAUUUUCCUCUAACUGUCUGCUCAGAGACGCGAAGCUGGCAUGGGGCCUGGGGGUUAUCGGACAAUUCACUAGUGAUUAUUAUAUAUAAAAGUUAUGAUUUGAGACAUUGCACGGCAUGCUAGGUUUCAGAAAACAUAUGUUUAACAUGAUAUAUGUGUUUUCAUAAAACCUGGGGGUUAGUACGUUGAUAACUGUUUUAUUAUAUAUAUAUAUAUAUAUAUAUCAACUUGGUCCGCUCAUGUUUGUUUUGCGCCUCCUUCAGAACCUAUGAAUGAGGAUUACGAUAUGAGCUACGAGGCAUUUCCCUACCAGUGAUUUAGUGCUAUAUCUUCUCUGCUUCAACACCUAUUGUAAUAGCACUUCUCUAUCUUAAGUUCCGCUUGUACUUUGUAUUAGACGUAUGCUCUGAACUUAUGUGUAUGACAAUAAUUUUAUUAAUUAGCAGUUGAACUUUAGUAUUGUGUUAUUAGUACCUAUUGCCUAUUUGAGCAUAUUUCUAAGCUUUUGCUUAAAUUAAAUGGCUUUCGUCACCCUUCGAGUGUCAGCCAGCACGUGACCAUCUCGAUGUCCCGAGGACAUCGGGGUCAGGGCGUGUCAUUAACUCUAGUGAGCUCUCAAGGAAGUGCCAAGGAAUCUGCUACUGAACCAUGAAAGUUGUUCCCCUCGAGCAGUAGAUGAUGGAGGCGCCUGAGUAAGGCAAUUUCAGCAGGGAUGGUUCCAUAGAAGUGAUUUCCAACUAGCACUAGGUUACAAAGGCCUGUAAGAUUUGAAACGAUGGGUGAAAGCCGCCCUGCAAGUGGAUAAUCCUGCAGAAUGAGAUCUGUUACACGAUGAUGCUGUGUGUUGCAGCUGACACCAGUGAAGUUGCAGACAUCAGUAGCUUCCUUCCAAGUAGCUAGCAUGGAAUAUGGAUCAUAUACAAUAGUUUUCUUGAACUCCAGCAGAGCAGCCUUGUCUGUAAUCAAAGAGUGAUGAGGACUAUGGUGAUGGCCAAUAACUGCAUUACUUGAUGCUGAGACCAAAUUCUGGAAUAAAAGAGAAACAAUGGUUUCGACGAAAGGCAUAGUUGGUAAACUGAAAGAGCCUUAUAACAAUAUUUGUGUACGAGAUUCCCUUUGCUUCUACUUUCAUUAUGCUUCAUGCUCAUUUAAUAACAGUGGCAAAUGAUUUAUGGUAGUAUAAGAGAGAUUGGAGAGAAGGUGGAAAAUGAUAUUUCGGAAUAAGAAAUCAGUCAAGGCUAUGAUUUUUUGGAGGGACUGAGGAAACUGUUCUAUCUUUUGGAAAAGGGGCUUCAACCAUGAUGGUAGGUUAUCAACUUGAACGCAUACCCAUCGCAUAUUGUGUUCCGGAAUGCAAACACUGAAAAGCACAUAGUGAGAUGAGGAGAGUGGGAAGGGAGUUGGCAUUUUUAUAAGUUGUCUUUGUACUGUAUAUUAUAGUUUCAAGCAGCUUGUGUGUGAGGCCACUCAUUAAUUGACACGUGGAUGUGUUAACCAUAUCAAAAACAUGAAUCAGCAUUCUCUCCUGAGCUAAGGGUAAGGAUCCUCCUGAGUAAGGCCAUCGGGCCGUUAAAAUUUUAUCCAACGGUUACAAUUAUUAUAACUUUUAGUGAGGCCCCCAGUUUGUAGCUGUUGGAUAAAAUUUCAACAGCUCAAUGGGCUUGCUUAGGAGGAUCCUCACCCUUAGCUCAGGAGAGGAUCAUAAUCCCAAAAACAUAAUAUAUCAGAGAGGGUGACUUUUUGAAUAGUCACAUCUGUUCGUUAUUUUAUUUUAGGCAAAAAUUGUAAGGACUCAAACAACCAUCAUCUGAAAAACAACAAAUAUAUAGCAAUCAAACCAAUGACCUUUUCUUAAGAUUGUAGGAAAAAUAGGGUCCAAUUUCAAUAUUAAAUCACAUAGAAAAUCAAAAAAUAAUAUAUCAAACUAAUAUUGCAUAUGAGUAACCAAUGUUAAAUGAAAAUAUGAUAUAAUGGAUUAGAAUAGGGUCAAGGCAAAUGUUAGGCAUUAUAUCCUUAAGAUUAGUUUACGCCCUCUACUAUGAAGCUUUUUUAUGGCUUGUCUCUCAAAAUACAAUGAUCACGUCCUUAUAAUGGUACCACUCCAAAUGGGUGAGGAGCCACUGAACCUAAGCCACACAAUGGGGAGGAGCCAUUGAACGAGGAGGAUUUCGGCGAGUAUCUUCAAGAAAUGAAUGAAGACUAUCCAAAUGGGUGAACCGGUCUCGAAAGUGCAGAGGGAACAUAGAUAAUUGCACGUUGGAGGGGAGUUGUAGAAAUCAUAGAGAUGAUCAAUGCUUAUUAUUGAUUAACUGGAGGUAAAGAUGACAAAUGCCUAUUCAGCACAUGACAAUCGUUUAUUAACAGUUGAUGUACGUUUUUGAACAGUUGACAAGCAUCUAUUGAGCGAAUGACUUCACUAAAAUUACGUAAGAGAGAAUCUCUCCAAGUUUACAAGCUUUAAAUAAGGCAUCAGUUAUGAGAUCUAAAUCCUAGUAGCUUUUUUUUUUCAUAAAUCCUAGUAGCUGAAUUAGGAUUAGCUCGCAAGUAACACAGUGUACGGUGUUAUAGCUAGUAUGACAGAAAAUACACAGAAAUGAGUACUAAUACAAAAAAAAUAGCAUGACAACAAAAAAAUUUGAACACUUUGUACAAUACUGUUUUGAUAAACUUGAAUUGAACAGUUUCAAGUAAUGGACUUGCAUAAAGAAAAAAUAAAAAGAAACCUACAUCAAUAAAAUCUAAUUUGUACAGUUUCUCAACUCAAACUUCAAUUAUCCAGCUGCUAUCUCAAAAUCCGGUGGGAUGGAAUGAUAGAUAUUUUUACCACUUGCAAAAGUAGGGAUAAAAACACUUAAAAAUACUUGCAAGAGAAUAAGGUUGUCGUAGUAUAGCAGCUCAAACAAGGUCGUAUUAUGCAGGGAUUGAAUGAAUAAUUUAUGUUAAAACCCAAUCUUAAUUAAUUAUUUGAAAACAAAGUUUGGAAAAUGGUGAUUUUAUGACCUAAAAUAUUAAAAACGAAUUUAAUUAAAAACAAUUAAAUAAAUUGGGAAAGUAAAGAAAACAAAAAGAAAAUAGUUUUAAAAUAAAUUUGAGCACUAGGGUUCCACCUUCACCUUAACAAUCCUACGUAGUUCUUCCAAUUACUUAUGAAUUACACAUGCAUAUUUUGAAGGUUAGGUUUUCCUAAAGUAUGCCUUACUUGGAACCUCCAACAUAGAACGUAUAUAUAACAUACAACUCGUCUGUGGUGUCCAGAUCGAAUGUGAACAUGCAAGACUCAUUAAGUUUUAUGAAAUCCUUUUGAAAAACCAUAUAACCCUUAAGACGUGUCGUCCAUCCUACCAUCCUAAGAAGUUACACAUAUUAACCACAAGAAGCCAAUGCCAAUUUCAGGAACAGCCCUCCGCCAAAAUUGCAUCAAAUUAGUUUUCUAAAUAUCCUAAUGGUGGCCAAUCAUCAAGACAAUUAGAUAGUUUAAAGCACAUUGAUUAAUAACUCAAAACUUGCAUGCAUAAUAUAAUAAGCAAAUUGAAAAGAAACUAUAUAUUCUUGCUAAGGCUCGUGGCAUUACCCUAGCAAACGAAACUAGUUACGAAUAAUCAUAAAACAAAAUAUUAUUAAGAACAUGGAUAGAAAACACCUUGAAAAUAAAUUUGAAUCGUCAAAAGCUCUCUAAAGCGUGCGUUCUCCUCUCAUCUCCCUCUCAAACCUAAUAGCUAAAUAUCUUAUUUAUGCUAAUACAAAAUAAAAUCCUAAAAGCUCUUAGAAUAAAACUAGGAAACAUAAUAAAAUAAUAAAACAGAAAAUAAAAGGUUUCCUAUUUGAACUAGAAUUCGGAGUUCUCAGAAACUCAGACUUUUGACCCACCAAAUCAACUCCGACUUGGUCCCAAAAUGUCUCUUUUGAAAGCUGAAGAUGUCCCCUACAAAUCUUCAGAAGGAAACUUCCUCAUAAUAUGCCAUCUUGACCUCCAAAAUACUCAAAACAUCCAGAAACAUCAAUCUGGGAAAGUUGCGUGCUAGGUCUUUAUUUCAUAACCACAGUCCAACAGCUAAGUAGAAAAUUUUGGAAUUUUGAUACAAUCAUCUUGAAAAACUCACAAACAUCCUCCAAUUGGAAUCACUCUAAAAUUCAUCCGUUUGGUUACUUUUUUCUCCAGAGUAAGUCGAAUGUCCUACAUUGAAAAUAUAUAACAAAUUAUCAAAAUUCUACCAAAAUAACCAAUAAAUUAAUCCUAAGAAUAGGGUAAAAAAUAUGGUAUAAUAUGGACUCAUCAUGGAAUUCUGGGAACAAUGACGACCUUCGUGCAACGAGCUGCUUUUGAUGGUUGGGGGUUGUGGAUCAAAUGGAUGAAGUAAUAGCUUCUCAGCAGUUAACCUUUGGCAAUACCUCGUGGGAAGGCAACUGUUAAGAAAAUCCCUAGCCACACCUGAUAUUUUAGUAGGGAUUUUGGGAGUAGAUACAUGAUAAACCAUUAUUGUGACUUCACUGUGAUCGCCAUAUCACAAGACUUUAAAUCCAAAACUUUGCUGCAGAAAAAACGACAUAAUUAAACAUUAAAGUCAGUUAUACUUUGCAUCCACCAAAUCAUGUUUUAAACAUGUGGAUAUGUAUUUAAGUUAGAGGCUCUCUCUGUCCGUGAAACUGUAUUUCCUUAAAACAGUUCAAAUGGAGAGCCGAAAAAGUUGGCACAAAUACAAGGACUCAAGAAUCCACAAGCAUAAGAACCAAAUACAUUAGCCCAAAACAAAAUACAAGGCCAUUAAUUGAACUAAACACAAAAGCCCAGAAGUACAAGAUACUAUAGCAAUAGCAAUGGCAAGAGAUUUGGGGCAAAGGAUAAACAUAAAGCCCAAUUUGAGACGAAGCUCAGAAGAACUGAGACAAAAAAAGCUUAGAAAAACGCACAAAGAAAACGAAAUCAAGGACGAAAGAGAUGUAAGAAAAUAAGGGGUUGCCACCGACCCUAAUCAAAAUUAGGGUCGAGGGCUAAAGGAGAAGAUUGUGAUGUUUGUCGCAAGUGUGAGAGGAGAAGAUUGGAAAGUUGACUCUUUUCAAGAUUUAGGACAAAAAAUUCUAUGCUCUUCUUCUCUAAGAAUGCAAAUGUCAGGGUUGUUAAACAUCUAAUGCUAUUUAUUAACAGAACACAUUUGGUCCAAUAUUUUAGUCGAUGGGGUAUUGGGUUAACCCAUGUAUCUCAAGUGCGAAACUCUCACUCUCCUAAAUUAUUAUAGUGGUUUCUAACUCUGUCACUCACCAUAAUAAUAAUAUAUUUAUAAAUAAAAAAACACUUUGUCAACCGAAAACGCAUGAAAAGACAACUUUAACCCUAUUCAGAUAACUGUACGUCUUCUCUAUCACGAAGAAGUUCAAAUGUACCAGUAUGCAUGUGUAUAUUUUCAUCUUCAAAUAUCUUUUCAAAUGGAACUGUAUCUUCAGUUCCCUUCAUAUCUUAAUAUGAAAACAGUAACAUCGUAUGCUACGAUAUGAAAACAUGGCACAUUAGUCAUAAUUCAAAGAAAGAAAAUAAAAAUAAAAAGUAAAUUUACUUGCACGCUCAUAGCAUGUGUGCCGGCUGCUAUUCUAACACCCCCUCCUCCUGCAAACUGGAUGAGCCUGAUCAGAUAAGUUUCCAACAAAGGGGCACAUGACGAAGCUGAUGGAGAGUCUUGGUAAGAAGAUUAGUAUAGGGAAUAUAGCAAACACGUGACACAAAGUGCAACUUUUUCACGGACAAAAUGAUAAUUAAGCUCGAUAUGACUUGUGUGAGCAUGAUAAACAUGGUCAGCACCAAGAUAAGUGGCACCUAGAUUGUCGCAAUGCAAUAAAACAUAUGUAAAUAAAUGAACACCAAGCUGACCAAGAAGAAAGCAAAUCCAAGCAGUUGAAGCACACGCAUGAGUAAGAGAACAAUUAUCAGACUUAGCGCUAAAGCGGGAAAUUGUUGGCUGCUUCUUAUAGCAUCAGGAAAUGAGAUUAGAACCCAGAUAGAUAAGAUAGCCAGUAAUGUGAAGUGCUGAGUAUUUGGACAUCCAGCCAAUCAACAUUCAAAUAAGUAUUUGGAAAACCUAUAUAAGUAAGUUUGUAUGCACUUUAAAACAAAACUUGAAUCCUCUUGUUCGAACUUCAAUGAUGAUGAUGUGCGUGUGUGUGUAAGGGGUGUUGAUUCAAUGGUCAUAUGACUUCAUCUUGUAUGAACAAAUGACGCAAGGGUUUGGCUCUUGACGAUGGAAGAACCGGCACGUGUAGUGGUGCUUGAUGAAUCUUCACGGGUGUGGCGAAAGAUGUAGAGAACUUUCUGAAUCUUCCAAGUGUUUGAGAGUUUGGAAGUUUGAGCGUCCGGGUGAUUGGAUGAAUUUUUUACCUCUUUCUUUGUCUUGGAGCCUCGUAUUUAUAAGCUCUCCAAGUCUUGCCUACGAGUGGAUUUGGCCUUGAUUGUGGUCUGAUUAAUAGAUGAAAGAAUCGAGACUUGAUUUGUAGCUUGGUUCGUGAUUUGACUUCAUCAGUUAAUAUUUGAUUUAAUCAAAUAAAAAUCAAAUAAAUCAAUCUUUCCCGAUUUGGCAUUUUCAUUUGUUUCAAAUUUAAAUCAAUUAAUUUGUUUAAUUAAAAAAUAAUAAUUCCUUAAUUUAUUUCUGCCAAAUGUUGACACAUGUCCCUCUUGAUGACUCGUUCGAUUUUGAUGGCAUAUAUAUGUCAUGUGUAAGAUUUGUGAGACUCAUGGUUCAUGGCAUGUAAGCCCUACAUGUCGAAAUUCAAUGUGUUGAUGAACAUUUAUUUUCACUGAAAUUUCAAUGUCUACAUAAUUACUAUGUGGUAGUUUUGGGAAAGAGAGCUUAAUAGUGGAGUUUUCUUAUUAUGAAUAUCUGAUUAUGACUUGGUGAUCUUUGAAAUGAACUAUUUCGGAUUUCAAAUCAAUGUUCUAAAAAUUGGCCUAGGCGGUAGAGGACCGAUUCGAUUUAGGCCGAAACGUGGAGAAAAAUUGAGUAGGGGCUAGGCGGCUAGACAGGCUAGGCAGUGGCUAAGUGGGCUAGGAAGGGGCUAGGCAGGGGCUAGGCGGUUCCAUUGUUUUUUAUUUUUUUAAAGGUAGAUUACACAAAAUUACCUCAAUUAUAGGUCGUACCACAAUUUCAUACCUUGUGUUUUAAACGUUACAAUGUCAUACAUCAAUUUACAAAUUUGUUACAAUGUCAAACAUUCAUUAAAAAUUCUGUUAGUUUAUCUGUUAAGUGUUGACGUGGCUAAAGUUGGGCCACAUAUUUAAUGACAUAUCAUCAAAUUUGUGCCAUGUGGUAAAAAAAAAAAUAUUUAAAAAAAAAGUUUAAUAAUUUAAUAAUGCCAAAAAUAAGAAAAUAUAUUUAAAAUAUACUUUUUUGUUAAAAAAAAAUGUAAUUACAUUAGUUAAUUAAAAAUUUUACAAAAGUUCAAAAAAUGAAAAAGUAAAUAAGCCCUAAUUUCUCCCACUCGUCAGCCCCAACUUGCUAUCCACCAUCAGAACUCCAUUAACCUUAUUCCCCAGUUCACAUCGCAGUCCCCAACCCACCAUCCCAACUCCACCAACUUAAACUCCAGCGAGAGCGGCGACUCCCCACGUGAAUGAACUGCAAUGACCCAAACAAAUUCUUGUACCCGCUCCGAAUCAAGUACUCGAAUCGCAGGAGGAGGGCGGAUUCGGUCAAAUCUCACACUAACUUCGCUCGCCAUGGCGGAAUGCGGUGCUUCGUCAGAUUUGAUUUGCAUGUGGCGUGCUUCGUCAGAUUUAAUUUGGAGGCGUUGGCGUUAUUUCUGGGUUGAAGAUUGCAUCUGGGUGGGAAAGCAAGCGGUCGUGGGACUGGGGGACUAGAGUGGGAAGUGAAAGAUGGUUGUUUAUUGUUUAAUCCUUUUCAUUGUUGUAUAUUUUUUUAACUAACUAAUGUAAUUAUAUUUUAAAUCUGUUUUCUUGUUUUUGGCAUUAUUAAAUUAUUAAACUUUUUUUAAAUUAUUAUUUUUGCCACGUGAUACAAAUUUGAUGAUAGGUCAUUAAACAUGUGGCCCUACUUUUGCCACGUCAACACUUAACAGAUAAACUAUCGGAAUUUUUCAUAGAUGUCUGAUGUCAUAUCCCAGCUCGAGUCCACCACAUUCUGGGCCCGUUCCACCACCGUAGCACGAUAUUGUCCGCUUUGGUCUUACCAUUCCCUCACGGUUUUGUUUUUGGGAACUCACGAGCAACUUCCUAGUGGGUCAUCCAUCCUGGGAGUGUUCUGGCCUCCUUCUCGCUUAACUUCGGAGUUCCUACAGAAUCCGAAGCUAGUGAGCUCUCAAAAAGCCUCGUGCUAGGUAGGGAUGGGAAUAUACGUUUAAGGAUCACUCCCCUGGACGAUGUGGGAUGUUACAUCUGACAUUGCAACGAAUUCGUAAAUUGAGGUAUGAUAUUGUAAUGUCUAAAACAUGAGGUAUGAAAUUGUGGUGCGACCCAUAGUUGAUAUAGUUUUGUGUAAUUUACCCUUUUUUAAUUAAGUUAAAGGUUUUUUUUAAUAACCUACCUAACUAGUGAAUUUUCAGCAAGUGACUCUCUAUCACAGUGGUGGAGAUGAGUGUUGUCCUUAUACCACGGCGUGGGUUCAAAUCUCGUCGGUUCCUUGCUAAAUUUUCAGCAAGUGACUCUCUACCUUAGUGAAUUUUUUAUUUUUGGGUUUUCUUAUUUUUUGUUACAUUUGUCAGUGAUGACUGCAAUAUGACUUAAGUUUAAACCUUCCUAAAUUCUCAAUACAAGUAUAUAUAUUUUUAUUUUUUAGAGUGUAAGUAGACAGUUAUUUAUAUGUUAUUAAUAAAUUUAAUUAAAUCAGCCUAGAGUCCCGCCUAGCCGCCUAGCCACCUAGGCACUAGGCAUCAGCCGGUCACCCGACUAACGCGUAACGUUUUGUAGAACCUUGCUCCACAUAACAAUAACUGUAGCCAUUUAGGCUACAGAGACACAAGAACACAAUAAUUUAACGAGGUUUAGUAAUUUGUGUUCACAUCCUUGUGAUCGCCUUGAGAAAUUCCUUUAGUAGAAAGAAGCAUAUUUGACUAAAAGAAUUCACUUAUCCCUUUUUUUGUUAAUUUCUUUGUAACCUGCUCUAACCCUCUUGGCAUCUCUCUUGCAAUUCUUGUUAAUUAUAAUAAUAUUUUGUUGAAGUAUGAAAAUAAAUCUUUAAAGAAUUUAAACAAAAAUAAAAUAAAAUCAUUACUUGCUUAAGACCAUCUCCAAUGGUGAUCUAAAACCUAAAAAUAUUUAGCCAAAAAAAUUUAGGUUUUAGCCCAUAAACAGUUUUUUUGCUCCAACCCUUUUGACCUAAAAUUUUAGCCUGAGAUUAUCAAAGAAUGAAUUAAGGCUAUUUUUUUAAAUUAAAUUUAAAAAAAAAAUAUGUAGACUAUCCUAAAUUAAUUAUAUGAACAUUUUAAUCUAAAAAUAUUUUAAAUUCUAAUAAAUUUUGAAAAAUCACUAAAUCAAUACAUGAAAAUCAUGGUAAACCAUAUAAACUUAAUACAAAUGACAGUUAAUAAACCACAUAAACUUAAUACAAAUGACAAUUAAUAAACCACAUAAACUUAAAAAAAAUAAAAAAAUAAAAAAAGACAAUUAAUAAAAAAAGACAAUCGAAAACUCAUAAACUUAAUAAUGAUAUCCACCAUCUUGACUUGGUGAUGGACUUGGGUGAUAGUCUUGAGAUGAAUCGUGAUCUUGAAAUAUACUUCUUGUGGCAUUCCUUCAUAAAAUGUCCUUUUGCUUACCACGUAAGUAUUUCUUCCUCUCUGGAGUGUAUUUGUCGGGGUCAUCCAUCAUCAAAUUAAUUUCAAACAUUUCUUGCUCCAUAUCCCCUUGUUCCUUCAUGGCCAAACGCAUUUGGGCAAAGUCUUCUUGCCGAGAGAUAUGGUUUUCAUUCAUUCUUACCAUUUCGCUAGCAAAUUGUGCAUGUAUCGGAUCUUAGGACUUCCCUUUUCUCUUUGCUUCCUUUUGCUUAUCUCUACCCGAGGGUCUUGCAAAAGAAGAAGUUGGGGUCAUUUGUUCGACACUUUCAUUGUUGGCAAAAUUCACACCUUCAUUGACAUCAUUUAGGGAUGGGGCUUCACUAUGAAAUAAUUUUUCCCAUUGUUGGUCCGCAUCGGUUCCCCACCUCGAACAAUCCUUGAGGAUGUUCCAAGCAUGAUGCAACUUGAUUUUUUGGUGUAGUUCUUGUCUUGUAAAUUGCCAUUGCUUUGUCACCCUAUGCAACAAAUACAUAAAAACUAUUAGUUGCAAAAUACUAUUAUGUGCAUGACAAAUAAAAUAUCAACAAAGAAACUCACAAUUUCUAAGGCGCCCUUUCCACUAGGCAUGUCAACCAUGGUUCUAUCCAAGCUUCCCUUCCACAAAGUGCAUGCUUUGUUGAUAAUCUUCCACCAAUCAUAAACACCACCAGCUUCCCUUCAACCGGCUUUGGAGUUUUCAUGGAACUUAUCAACGAUUUUACCCCACAAAACCUUUCUAUUUUGAUUCGUGCCGACAGCACCAUCUUCGCUAAUAGAAAUCCAUGCCAAACACAAAGCAAUAUCUUCGUCAAAGGUCCAAUUACGACCUCUAACAUGCUCUUUUGCUAUCUUGAAAAAUUUGGAAAUGAGAAGAAAGGGUAGAAAGAAAAAUUGGAAGAAUUGUAGGAGAAAAAUGAGUUUUGUGUGGAUGUUUGAACAAAUACAUAAGUAUUUAUAGAGUUUUUGGUUGAAUUUUGAGUUAAAUAAUUUUUUUUAAAUUGUUUUAGCUAUUGGAUUUUAAUUUGGACCAUUAGAUCUUUUUUUUUACUGUUAGAUUUGAUUAUAUUCGAUCUAAGCCGUUGGAUUCAAUACAUAUAUAAAUAUAAAAUGUUCAUAUAAUUUUUUGAACUAAAAAAUAUUUGAAUGUGGACCGUUGGAUUAACCAACGGUCCAAUUACUACCACCACCCGAUGAAGAAAAGUAGAUGUUGGCUAUGGACAAAACUUGACAAACCGGGGGACACACCCACGUGGGUGGGGUCCACCUCGGUUGAAUGUAGGUUAAAGGCCUUGUGUGCUACGCGUGGAGCAAGUGACAGAGGGCAAUUAGGCUUCACAGCCCAGGUUUCAGUCAUAGAAGCUGGGGUCCACUCCAAUUUGUGGCCUAAACUUAGGCUGGUAUUUAACCUCCAUUUGGGUUUUAGGUUAAUUUUAGGUCAUGGGUUUGAGUGGAUUUUUUUUUUUUAACAACUGGAAAUAUUCAAACCAGGGCAAAAGCCAACAGAACAAAGAAAGCCCAUAAGAGGGGCAAGCACAUCAAAACAGACAGAGGGGCCGUGUGAGGGACAACAACAUAAGGACGCUGCCACAGAGGCCAGACGUCAUCCCAACACACACCCACAACAAAAACACUUAGGAAGGCAAGGAAGCUCAUCCUUGUUUAGAAUGUGAAUCAAAGAAGAUGGGGGUCGUCUGACCCAAGUGUUGUCACACAUCUCCAAGUUCUUUCUCGAUGCCAAAUGGUCCGCUGACUGAUUGGCCAAUCUUGGAACCCAAGACCAGGGACAACCCUGAAAAGAAGUCCCCAAACUCAAAAUAGAAUCUAAGAUUAGAAACACUUCCCAGCUGCCAUUAGAAAUAUCCCUCUUAAAGGAAGAGACCACCUCAAGUGAAUCCGACUCCGCAACAACCCACUGGUAACCCAGCUCCGCCGCCAACUCCCAACCCUUAAACAUCGCCAUUGCUUCAGCAAACACCACCGACCGAACCACAAUAGAAUGUUUAUGGGCUGCCACAAAAUGACCAUCAUGAUCCCGCAGUACUGCAGCUAAAGUAACCCUACCAUCCAAUGGGAACCAACUAGCAUCGACAUUAAUUUUGAUGAAGGGAGCAGAUGAGGGGGACCAAUAAGGAUCUGGAUUGGAGGAAGCAUGAAUAAUGAGGGAUUUUGGACCUACGACUCCAAAUAGGGUUGAAGCCUUAAAGACAUAAUUACACUGGGCUUUCUGUAACAUCCCACAUCACCCAAGGGAGUGGAUCCAGUAAGCCUUAUAUGUAUAUUCCCAUCUCUACCUAGUAUGAGGCAUUUUGAAAGCUCACUAGCUUCGGGUUCCAUCGAAACUUUAAAGUUAACCAAGUUCGCGCGAGAGCAAUCCUAUGAUGGGUGACCCACUGGGAAAUUCUCGUGUGAGUUCCCAUAAACAAAACUGUGAGGGCGUGGUCGGGGCCCAAAGUGGACAAUAUCGUGCUACGACAGAGUCCAGCUUAGGAUGUGGUGGGGGCCUGAGCUGGGAUGUGACACUUUCCAUAAGUGUCAGCAAGUAAAGGCAAUAACUGUAAGAAACCGCAAUCUAUCUUGCGGAUGAGAAGUCACAUUGAUCAUAUUACGGAACCAUUGAUAAAAAGAAGCAACCCUAUCGCCAACCAUCCGAAGACUAAGAUGACCACCAAACCAAAUUGGCUCCACCCAAGGACACCGCAAAAGCAUAUGCAUAAUAGAUUCCUCAUGAUUCUGACAAAUUGGACACAAAAGAGAUGAGGCAGACCUGUGUGAGUAUAAUUCCCCCAUCAUUGUCAAAGCCUCUCUCACAGCCUGCCAUAAGAAAAUGCGAAUUUUUGGUGGUGCAUUAAUAGUCCACAAAGCCUUCCAAAUCAAAUCCUCUGAAUUACUUGGAACCAAAGAAUGAGGAGCCCCCACCAUCACCCGUGAGGAAUGAAUCCAAUGGUAACCCAACGUAAUCUAAUAUUGACCAUUUUUACUCGAAGUCCAAAUCAAACAGUCACGGCGAGAACAAUUCCCCAAUAGAGUAUCACGAAUUGCUUUGACCUCCUCCUCAGAAAUCAACGGAAGUAAAAAAUCAAUGUCCCAAGUUCUAGAACUGGGGCAAAUAAGGGAAGAAACCCUUGUAUUCAUAGUGACAUAAGUGGGGUAUCGGGGAGUAAGAUGACCAAGAGGAAGCGAGGGUAACCACCUAUCAAUCCAAAGUCGAGUGUCCCUACCAUCCAUAAUUUGCCAAUGGGCACCAAUUUUGAGAAUAUCUCUUCCUACAAGAAGGCUAGCCCAAGCCCACGAAGCUCGACUGCCCAAUUUAGCAUCCAAGAAAGAUGAAUGAGGAAAAUAACGCGCCUUAAGAGUCCGAGCCCAUAGGGAAUUAGGGUUGCGAAUUAGACACCAACAUUGUUUAAGCAGCAAAGCCUCAUUAAAGUCCUGGAAAUUCCGAAAGCCUAAACCCCUCGCACACUUAGGCAAUCCCAAAUUAUCCCAUCUCACCUAAUGGAUCCGUCUAUGUCCUCCAGAAUUGCCCCACCAAAAACCCGCAGACAAAGAAUCAAGAUCUUUACAAACCACAGUCGGGAAUUUAAAAAGAUUCAUAGGGUAGGAUGGUAUUGCUUGAAUCACAGCCUUAAUUAAAACUUCAUUUCCUGCAAGUGAAAGAGCAGACUAUUUUUGGAGGGGGAAGGGGAAUUAUAAGUUUUAGCCCAUUAUUAGAGUUGGUCUAAGCGCGGCGUGAACACGCCUAAACACUUAGAAAACCCUUUGAAACCAUUGUCAUGCAGCCACUUAAACACUCUGAACAACCUUCAUAAUAUUGUUGCUGGUCGGCAUGGUUGAUCAAGUAAUUGUGCACAUUCGUAAGUGUCUGAUAUUGUCAAACAUUUAUUUGUCUAGAUUUCGACUACAAACCUCAUCCAACAAUUUUGGUGAGCAAAACCAUAACACAUAUAACAAAAGCAAACAAGUCAUUAAGAUCAUUUACUCUUACAUUUGAGGUCCCAUAUCGGUUACCACAUCUCCCAUCCAUUAUUGCUUGUAUAUUAGGAUAUAAAAGGAAAACAAGCAAUUGAAGGUAUCUAAAAACUUUUUUGGAUGUGCUUUUAAAAUGACUGAAAGCGCUCUUGGUGAAAAUAUUUUUGGAACCAAUCCUUAGUAAAAAUGCAAGUAAAUUCUAGAAACACUUAAAGUGCUUCUUGGAAAAAGCACAUAACUGGUGCUUCUUGCAGAAAUCACUUUAUGUGCUUUUGGAACCAAAAAACAUUUUCUCUAAAAGCACUUUUAGUCAUUUUAAAAGCACAUCCAAACGAGCUCCAUUUUUUUUGCCUCAAGAAUAAAGCGUUGAGUAAUUCAAAAAAAAUGCAAAUAUCCCCUAAUGAUCCACAGACAAAUUCUUGACAACUUUCGAGUUAUAAAGAAGAGUUUCGAACCCUGAAUCUUUAGCCUACUCCUACCGACCCACCACUCUCACUACUGGGCUAACCCCAAACUGGCUCAAACCUUUGUUGGAAAUGUGCCCUAAAAGCAAUCAUAUGAUGAUACUUUACGGACAUUUCACAUGUUAAACUAAUCUAGUUUAAUAUCAAGGGCAAAGAUUAUUGUUUUAAGCCGUCUCAUAUAAAUGUUAUAUGCUUAAACAAUAAGUCCAAGGAAUAUGUAAUUAGGAGAAUGUAAUUGGAAGAAGUUAGAUUCAUGAGACCAUUCUCUUUCGUAUACAUAUCCUAAACGUUCCUGAUCAUAAGAUUGCCAAUUGGGCAUUGACAGUCUGUUAAGAUCAGUACGUGUUGUGUCUUCUCUCAGGGAGAGUGACUAGUCUCGAGUCAUUGGUGUGAUUGACACCAAGACAAGCAUAUAGGUGCUCAAUAGAGAAUGAGUCCACUAAACACGAUCAACAAGGAGUUCUCAUACUCAUGUCACAUGAGAACUCAUGGUUGGGAUAAUGCAAAGUAGUCCUUUGACCUGAGGCAUCAUAGUUGUCUUGUGGUUAGGUCCUUGAUCUUUGACUAUGUCAAAGUCACUCUGUCAGAGGGUGUCCACGGCAUAGUUGGGGUUAAGUCACUUAACCAUGGAGGCAAGUGAAUGCGCAACAAGGGAUCUCUAACCUUCAAACCGUUUAAGGGAGAAUACUCUAUGAUAUGAUUAAGAAUCUCUGGCCAGAGUAUAAAUGAGAUUUAGGAAGCCAUUCCAAAUCACAUUCAAGGUAAUCAUAUAAGUAAAUGAAUCACAUUGGAUAGUAGACAUGAUUAAACUAUCAAACCGUGGUCAAAAGUAUUGUAUUAAAGAAAGACCGUAUUGCAUUGUAAUCCUAAACUGAAUAGGUUCUCCACCUCUUCUGAUUAGCUUGGGUAACCAUGACAUACUGCUAUGUGUCACUCAUGGUUUGUGGAAGCCCUAAACGUGUAUAAUCACUAAAGGGAGAAUUGAAAGUAAGUUUCAAUUCACAAUCGAUUUGAAAGAGUUCUAAUCGCCCACUGCUUCGCUAAAAGGAACCUAAUGGAUCGUACACCGUGUAAGGUAGAGAUUGAAGAAACAACGGAUAUGAGUAAGGAUAGUUAAAUGGUUUAAUUAUUUAUGGCAAGGAUUAAUUAAUAUGUCAAUUAACCAAACGAAUAAAGUUCGUUAAAGACCUCGGGUUAGUUUUGGGCCGCAAUGCCUAAUGAGAUUUGAAUGUCAAGCCCAUUAACUCAACUUGUAUGACAACUUGAAUAAACAAAGGGCUUGAAAGCCCAAUAAACCCUUAAGGCCGGCCAAAUAGAGGAGGGUAGUGAACUUGCUUUAAUUGCAAGUUUGCCACUUCAUUGUGAGGUGGUAUAAAGGCAACUUUAUAGCCAUUUCAUCCUUAGGGUUUUCUUUUGGGGAAAGGAUGAGAACACAAUGCUAUCCUUUUCUCUCUAAGAGGCCAGCCCCCUUGGAGGAGAUUAGCUAGCAUUCUAUCUUCCUCCAAGGUCACUCAUCUCUUCUUCAAGUCCCUCCUUGGUGUGGAAAAAUUAGAGGUUCUCAAUUUUGGGAACUUGGAGAAUCCUUUCUACCAUCCUCCUCCAAGAAAUCGAUGGAACUAAGAAGCAAGGAAUGGAGGCCUUCUCCUUGGGUGAUUAGCCUUUGCUUAUGCAAAGAGGAAUCAAUAAAGGUAUAAAAUAUCUCAACUCACUUUGUUCUUGAGUUGAGUCUUGGUUCACCUUUCUACUAGGCUUUGAAUUUCAUGGGUAAUGUUUUGUUUUUGAGUGCAUACAAGCAUGAUUCCGCCUUUAAAUGUUAAUUGCAUGCUAUAGAUGUUGUUCAAAUGAACAUGUUUUUCACAAAAUUUCCUUCAACCUUUCCGUAUCCAAGGCAAGAAAGAUAGAACAUUUUUAACACAACAAGGUUGGUGAAACUAGAUAAUUCAAAUCCACACGAGAGAAAAAAAAAUUUAAUAAAAUGCAUAUAUAAUAUUAUUAAAAGAAGCUGAAAUUAGACGUCUCAUAUAUGAGAAAAUUUUGAAAUUUCUUACUAGCCAGUAAAACUGUGAUCCUAGUUCAUACACAUCUGAGCAGCUUAGCUCUGAAUCAUGACUAAAUGAUACAAGUACCAAAAAUCAAUGACAUAAUUAGCAACAGCACAUUAUAUAUAUGUAUCUGCAACAGCACAUUAUAUAUAUGUAUCUCUCUCUUUGUAUUUCUUUGUUUGUUUAAGAACAAAACACCGUACACCUUUCAGUUGAAACCAUCAUUUGUGUCAUAAAUGCUUCAUCUUCUUUUAUCAUCGUCAAGAUCUUGCAGAGAGUUUCUUCUUUAUGAAGAUGAAUUAUAUGAACUCUAAGUCCAUACAUACAAAGUAGUACACACCAACAAAACAAAUGCAAUCGAAAUAGAAAACAAAAAAGAAGAAAAAUAAUCAAAACAACGACAGUUUUUGCUUGCUAUAUUGUUACCUCUCUCUCUGAACUCGUGCAACUCCCUCUGCUCUCUCUCUCCAUGCCCGAAAACUUUUUUUUGUCUAGCCCCACCAUUGAUGCACCGCAACACCUUCAUCCCGAAGCUGCCCAUACAAUGCCAAGCACUGCCAAUAUGCCCUGCGACUCCUAACAUUAAUUUUUUGUCAUUAUGUCUCUAUGGCUUGCACUCCAAGAAAAGCUCAUCCACCAAGUGAAUCGCUCUACUUUUCACCAUCUCAUCCACCACCUCGGCCUCGGCCUUCAUCACCACGUACUCCUUCUCCUUAACAUUCUUGUUCAGCCACUCUGACAUUCUAGUCUGAACUACCUCCUUCCCGGAACUCUCCUCUAUCACAGUCUUGAUCUUGUACAUCUCAAAGUUCUUGUUCCGGGUAGGGUAGUUCUUCGCAAACCAGCUCGUCCCACUUCCGCCUUCAUUCUCCAGUAAUCCUACGUCAAUAAAAACCCUUCUAGGAUAGCUUUCGAGCGAGUCACCCAUCAAGUCUGGGAGGAACCUCGUUCGCUUCAAGUACCACCUCGAUUUCCCAGACGAGGCUCUAGGGGGUUUUAGAAGCACAUCUUCUAGCCUCUUCAACGCCUCAUUCUUUGCCUCCUCAGCCAAUAGCCUUCUUCUUGUGGGAGAGGUGGUGGUAGAGGAUGAAGUUUCGGUUGCGUGGGUGCUGGUCUUCCCCAUUGCCAAAACAGUUGUGUCUAAUCACCUCAAGUACACCAUCUUGUAGUUGUCUGGCUUCUUGAAGCUGUUGGAGGCAUCAUUGCUGAGCUAAAGCAUGAUAAUCCCACUGAUUUAAAGAGUCAUUUCGAUGAACUUUGAGGCGGCAGUGAAGGCAGAGACGAAUGCAAAGUCAAUUGAGUUUUCAGGGAUUGAUCUUUGUUUGUCAGAUUUGAUAAGCUCAAUUUCGUUAAUAUCUUCGUUAUCGAGGAUCUGAGAUGCUUUGGUAGCUUCUUCGUCCCUACUGCUUACAAAAACAGCUUUAUGUGUGCCUCUCUUGUAUAGGCCUUCGUUAGCCAAGUCCCUGAAGAUCAAAGGCUUGAGCUCCAGAUUAACCACGUCAGAUGAGCUAAUUAUGUCAUGCAGAGAAGUGGUUGCAGUGGGGAUGAGUGAGCACAACCAUGGGAGUGAAACGAUGCACAAAGCCAAGAUCAAACAACGAGCGACGAGGAUCAAGGCUCUGGAAUUCGAAUAACCAAGUACUUUGGCAUCUGAAUACAAUUCGAUUGGAGCAGCGUGCUUCGGUUGGUGUUUGGUAUGGAAACCUUGGAUCAAAUUGAUCGCCAUAGUUAUGAAAAAAAAUUUAGUACUAAUGUUGCAUGCAAAAUUCAAGAAUUACUAGACUGAUAAUUCGGCCGAUGUGAAGACAAGUAAAAUAUUGAAUUGUGAGAAAAAAGGAGAGCAUAUGAAUGAUUGUUAUGGGACAGAGAGGGAGAUUUAGCGCGGAGAGCCAAAAGAAUUUAGCGAGUGCAAAACCGGGCAGCGGUGUGAUUCCCACCCACGAGGGCCACACGAGUGCUUUGCAUUCUAGACCAUAACAACAUUAACUACCUCAUCCUCUGCACCUUCAUUUCUCUUGAAUUUUCGACCCAGAUCGGUGUGUUUAAUGUGAUUCUCCGCCAAUUAAUACACUUUACUUGCUCGUCAUCAUCAUCAUCAUAACUUGUACGAUGCAUGUGUAAAUUAGCGAGACAUUAUGAGUGAAAACCACAUCACACGCUGAUCAGAGAGUCAUGGAGGGAGGACUACAGAGAGAGGCGUUUUUUUUUUUUUUUUUUUUUUUUUUUUGGUCUAGUGGAAAAUGAUAUGUACAAUUGGGGGAUGGGAGAGAUGAUAUAUGGGACGGUUAAUUUACAAAUAGGUUUUAAAAUAGGGAGAGAAUGGAGAGGUCUUAAAAGAUGGAUGGAGCCAAAUUUUACCGUGAGAAAGAAAUGGCUGGUGCAACGAGAAUUGAGUUUGGCCGUUGCUUCGUCCUUCAUGCAUAGAAUGCAUGGAGUGUAAUUUUCCCAAUCAACCUGCUAUAAUUAAGCGUAAUUGGUUGUAACAUACACAGCGACUUCGGGGUGCCAUAUAUGCAUUGCUUCACUUGGAAUCAUAGAUAUAUGUUACAUUUUGCUAGCAUGGAAUAGUAAUAAAAAGACAUGCUUUCUCUGCUGAGAUGAUACAAUGUAGUCUCCUUAACAUUUUCUUUUAAAAAUAUGCUUAUAUUUUGAGUAUAUGCAUAAAAAGAACCCACACACGUCCCUCAAAGCCUCAGCCCACCUUCAACGACCUCUCCAAGUUUUGUUCAAACAAAAAAUAACAGUAGAUAUUAUCGUUUGUUCAAAAAAAAAAAAUAAACAAACAAUAACAUUAGAUGCGAUCUGAAAGGGAAAAAAAAAAUUCAAUGACAUUACUAGCUAGCUAGAAGCAUUUAUUUUGAUUAUAAAUUAGAAACCAUACAUUUUUGGAUUAUAAAUAUAGCUUUUGACAUUUCGCGAUAAGAACGUAGCUAGCAGCUUGAGUUGAAUGUUUCUUCAAACGAGCACAUCAAAUGAAAUAAACAAUUAUUGACCCAAAAACUACCAAGUCUACAUGGCGCGCAGACCGAAUAACUAAGAACUAACUACAUCCUUUUUGUGAUUGAUUCGGACGUGUCACCUAGCCACCAAGGUGAAUUGGGCGAACAAGAUGAAUGUAGUGGUGAUGUAGAAUCACAUUGCUGACUUCUAGAUCGAGCAACUAUGGCCGAGGAACACUCUCGAUCUAGAGUUUUGAUAGGAGCAUAUUUAUGCGACUUUGUUAUCUUAUUUCUUUGCAUUUAUUUAGUUAAUUUCCAUUUAUUGUAGUAAUUUAAGUUAUUUUCGUAUUAUUAAUUGUAGGUCCAAUUGGUAAAGAUGACAAUAAAUGGCAAAAUGGAGCAAUUUGGAGCAGUUUUGGACUUGGAUUAGAUAGCAGGCGUGGAUAGCAUAUGGGCUGGACGUUUUUGAUGUUUAAAUGGUGCUAGAUAUGUGCUAAAAUCUGGAGAAAUUAAAGUUGAGGCUUGGAAGGCAAGGAAUUAGACAAGAAAGAGGAAUCCUAAUUGGAGAGGAACAUUAUCCUAUCUUAUCCUAUCUUAUCCAACAUUAUCUUAUCUUAUCUCCAGUUGCAAGGAGGAAUCCUAAUCAUAUUCCAACACUUUCUACCUGAUUUUUAGAGUCCUAAAAUAACUCAAAAAUGCCAAAACCUUUUUCUCCUUGGAUUCAGCCAUUUUCCCCUAUAUAUAUGAAAUUCCUGCAGAGAUUUGGCGGGUGCCAUGCCUACCAUUCAUCCAUUGAAGUUGCUGGAUUUCAGAGUUCUUUCUAUCUUUGUUUUAAGUUUCAUUGUUUAUUUUAGAUUGUUUAUUUAGUUAUGAUGAACAUGUGUAACUAAGUUUCUUUUUAGCUAGAGGUGAAUUCGAAGCCAUGAUUAUAUGUUUUAUAUAAAUUGAUUACAUCUAGUUAUUGUUUCAUAAAACAUGAAUGCGAUUUACUUAUCUGCUUUAUAGAAAACUUAUUUUUGUAUGUUUAUUAAGGGUGCACACUUAGUUUGCAUGCAAUGAUUUGAUGCUAGAAUAUAAGGGAAUUUCACCUAAUCAUUAUGAACUUAUAUUUGCAAGUAGUAAAAGUCACUAGUCAUGAUUGAGUUAAGUAAAUUCUUGGCAGGUGUAUCAUGCUUUUCAUAGUUACAAAUGCUUUGUCAAUGCUUAUGAUUUUCACAGAACUUAAUAAUCUUUGAGAUGUAUCUCUAUCAUGCUUUUCAUAGUUAGGGAACUUGAGAAGAAUAAUUUGAUUGCGUUGCUGAGUCCAAUUCAAUGAACUUAGGAAAAACUGAGAGUUAAUUAGUGCUGUUCACAAUUAAUUUGGGGCAUUGUCAUUAAUGGUUUUGUUGACCCUAGAAACUAUAGAGCCUACGUGGCGCGCAGGCCGAGUAUUUUCUAAGCUAACUACGUCCUUCGGUGAUUGCGGGGCGUGCCAACUCGUCGGCCGAGCUCGGCCGAUGAGUAAAUUUGUUGAUGUUGCGUUGAGCGCGCUGUUGACUUCUAUGUCUUGCGAUUGCGGCCGAGGAAGGAACAAUUCUCGGCCUCUUGGGUUCUAGAGCCUGAAGACAAGGCUGCUAAUUUGCGAAGUUCAAUCUCAAAUUCGGCUGUCAAUGUGCCGAAUACAAUAACCUGGUAACACCUCACUUCGCCGAGAAGGCUGAUGAGAUGACCUCGACCAAUAAGGAUUCGGAAAUCCUUCUCGACCGAGACUUGGAUAGGUAACCAGUCGUCCUCGCCGUAGUGCUGUUGAUGCCAACGGAAGAUGCUGUGAGAUCGGCUAAUUCUACGGUGAUAGAGCUAUCUAUGCCGACUUAAGAUAUCACCGGUUGCCUUCACAGUGCUGUUGAUGCCAACGGAAGAUGUGUCAGCGAAAAAAGAAAAAGAAAAAUCACAAGUUGUGAGAGUUUGCGCAGGGUAAUUUUGUAUUGAUUUUGUAGGGCCUUUCCUGAUGCACAGCGUCCCCUAUUUAUAGUACUGAACCUUGAGUCCGAGUUUACAUCCUACUCGGACUAGGUUUCCAUCUCCGGAUCACCUCGACCAAUCCUACACCUACUAGGACUAUGAACCUAGUCCUUAGCUAAGCUGGAUUAGUUUCCUGGAUAUCCGAUCCCGUCGAGACUCCCCAUUGCACUAGGAUUCGUCCUAACCGCCCUAGGUUUGGACUCCCACGGGUUGACCGAUCCAUGGUCCUUUUGCCGCCCGGCCUCCUGGGUCGAGAGUGAUCCUACCCUCGGCCCAAACUAUUAUUUUGGGCCCAAACAUUGCCCCCUCGCUUCUGAGGUCCUCGGCCUGAAACCUUCGGCCGAGUUUCGACCUUGAAGAAGCGAAUCUACCACUCAGGAUCCUAAUACCAGAGUUCCAAGGCGCAUUUAUUGAGCACGAUCGCACGAUCUUGAACCUGCUAACCCACUCGCCACGUGGCGUCUUCUAACAUGGCCAAUCCCCCAUAAUGACGUCUAAGGCGUGCGGCAGCCUGAACCGUCUUGCCAUCAUGACCACUAUCUCAAUCCGCAAGCCACUACCUCAGUCCGUGAGCCCACUUGUCAUCGUGCGGGCGUCGAACCGUCUUUCGUCAUUAAUUUCGCCGUCACACGCAAUCCUGCGCCCCCAAAACCCUGACCUUCGGUCUUCUCAACCGCAUUUCCCAAAUGUUCAUCAUGAUCAACAAUUCCUUCGGUCGAUUUUGCCCUUUGUUUUGAAUUUCGAACGAUUGCUCUUCCCCCUAUAACUCUAUAAAUACCGAAAUUCCCUCAUUUGUACCUUUACGCUCUCAAACCUCCUAAAAUCCUCUGCCGUUGAUCUCUAGUGCAUUUCUCCUAUUUCAAGUCUUCGUCUUUAAGUCCCCAACCCAGACAACCCUUUUACUCCGUGCUUCUUUCUCACAAUGGCGUCCUUCAUCUCCAAGCUUUCCAGGGAAUGUGACCAACAUCAGAAGAUUUUUUAUCGGAGCUCGAUCAAGACCAUCCGGUUUGAAAACGACAUGAGCACCCAGUACCAAAUCCUGGGUCCUCUCUUCAAGGCUACAAUACCGCCGACUAUCAUCGGCCUUCUACAGGAGCACUGCCUAACACCCUUGCUUCAAGGGUUUGAAUGGUCGCGAUGGGAUGCGGCUAAACCCCAGGGCUCCUGGCCCUCGACGACCACAUCCUGGGCAGCCUGGGUCGUUCGAAUGGAACGACUCUUCGGCGAGCAAUGGAAGGCCCUUGGCAUCUACGACGCCAUCCUCCUUUCGUCUAUGGAAAUCGUCCCCGACAAGGAGCUUCUCCAAGCCGCUCUGUGCUUCUGGUGCUCGGCCACCAACACAAUGGUCCUUCCUCUGGGUCCCAUUGGUCCCACCAUCCUAGAUAUCACUGCCAUUCUGGGGACUUCGGCGACCGGGAUCCCUGUCGACGCGACCCUCUCUGGGCAUCCGUCGAAUAUCGACCUGAAAACGCUCUUCGACCGUCGGGCCUCCGAGACCUUGAAUCGUGACGGUCAUAUCCCGUCGAAGGAAGAUAUUCAGAAGCUCCACAAGAACUUCUGUAAUUACAACACCCUCUAUCUCCACUUCGCCGGCCGAGGAGAAGAGGACCUGCGAGAGGGAGAGCAUGAAGCCUUCCUCUUCUACUGGUACAACAAAUACAUUUGUUGUACCAAGUCAAACAAGUGUUUGGUCGAGAACAUGCCGGUAGCCGAAGCCCUAGCUAGUGGUCACGUCUUGGCACUGAGUUCCAACAUUCUCGCCCAACUUUCCGCUGCCUGGCCGAGGCGACCCUCCACAAGGUCGACCCACACCAGAAUGGUCCUCUCUGGGUCUUCCAACUCUGGUUUCAGGUAUACUUUGCCUCCCUUCGGCCGGCCAUAGCUGAAUUCUCACCCACAGAGGCGCUUGGGCCUCAACUGGCCUCUCGACCGACACCUCCCCAUCAAGCCGAAGAGGUAUUUCGGUACCUCUUCGCUUUCGACGACUUCUCCAACGACGAGUUCCUAAUAUGUCGUCGUCGAGACUACCCUUCCUCCAUCAGGCUGCCUACCUCCCCAUGGAGCGCAGAGGAGGACGCCGAUCUUCGUCAGACCUGGGGGUCGUUUGUGCUUGCUCGCGACCUCCCUCUCGGCUGUGAUGGGAAACGGUCAGGUUGGGAAGUAUAUCAUCCGAACUUCCUUGGCCGACAGCUCGGCUACCUUCAGGGCUGCCCUAUCCCCCUUCUCUCCUCCCGAACGAUCCUAAGCCGUGGACGCGAACCUCGUUCCUCUGAGAAGGAGUGUAGAACCGCCGUGAGGGAGUUCCAAGAGCGCUGCCAAAAAUUCCGCCUUCGACCAGCCACCCCGGAAACCCAUUGCACCGACACCUUUGGUGAGUGGUGGGAGAAAUACACCCAGGAAUUCUUUGGUGCACCGGUCGGAGAGGUGCUUAGCAGACUCUUCGGUGACCGGCCUAAGAAGGCCUCGGCCCCUCAUCCUCAAGGUACCUGUUCCACUUUCCUCCUUUCCAUCAACCUUGCAUAUUGAUUUGCCUUACUGAAUUGUCUUUAUCUUUCUAGGCAGUCGGCCUUUGAGAAAGACGGAGGCAGUUGCCGCUGCCACGGCCGGGAAAAAAUCGGUCGUGGCCCAAAAGGACAAACCCGCUGGUAGGGCCGUGCUGAUCAAACGGCCUCGCCAAGAGGCCGAGCCGGCUGUCGAGCCUUCCCCGCUUGCUAAGCGGGUUAAACAAAUGGCGAAGAAAGGUGCACGGGAGAUCCACGUUAUCUCCAGUCACACAACGACUCCCAGUGUUUCCCCUUCUCCCGCCGCCGGUUAUUCUGGGGUAGAGAAACAGCCGGCUUUGGCCGCAGAGACGGCCCCAGCGCGACCUGCCUCUGUGGCCGGCGCAUCAAUUGUCCCUCCCUCUAUCGAGAAGGCACCUGUCUCACAACAGGCGGUUUCGACGACCGAGGGAACCUCUCCCAAGAAUCCAACGCCCUCGGUCCUCGUGUUGGAAGAGAGUGAGGGGAGCGACGAGGUCCCGCUGGCGCAUCGUCCUCAUACUCGUCGAAAACCUCCUCCAGUAUCCGAGAUGGCGGUUCAAACCGGCCCCUCCUCGGCUAAUCGUGGCAAGCGCACGGUCGAGGAACCGACCCCGGUGGCCGAACCUCUCGUUCCUUCUCAGGACCAGGACGUCCCUACCUUCUCUGAAGCAGCUGCGCCAGUCGGCCCAUCGGCAGCCGACCGUGGCAAACGGCUGCUCGAGGAACCCGAGGCCACGGCGGAAUCGCCGGUCCAUCCUCAAGACCAAGGCUUCCACAUUCCUCCACAGGAGGUUACCUCGGCUUUUGUAAGUACCUUCAAUUGUCUCCUCCUGAUUGCUUUUCUGCUUUAGAAUUCUAAACAAGGAAAAUACUAAAUGUCAGGUGCCUGUACAUUCUUUUCACCGUCAAUUCUAUGCGCCGAAGGGCGUUAUCUAUAUUUCCUGGCCGCCUCAGUGGCCAUCAAACGUAGAUAACUUCCAUAGGCCGCGUGAAGUGAGAAGCAAUCUGAGACACUGGGCUCGGCCAUUGAGUUCUUUAGGUUCGAGCAACGAUCCUGGGGACAUGGCCGAGGUCUCCUCUCGGCAGGUUAAAAAAAAUGACACCUUCUUGCUAUUCUUGUCAUGACUUCCUCUAAGCUUAACCUUGUCUAUUCGUGCAGGCUUCAUGGGAGGUUGAAUUCAAAGCCCUCCUUUCCAGCACGACUGCAGAGUCCAGCCCUUCGGCCGCUCCGACUGAGGCUGCCGAUCCAAGCGCCUUAACCCAGUUGCGGGAAGUCCUGUCGCUCUCAUCAUCGCAAGUACUUGAACGCAACGGUCUUGAUCUGCUCGGCGUGUGUCUGAACGACCUUGGAGCCGACGGUCUCCUGAGCGGAGAUGCCAUUGUUCGGGCAUCGUCUGCCUUGGAGCACGUUCGGGAGACAUUUAGUAUCUUCCAGACUACGCUGAAGGCCGAACAAGACCUGCAAGCCGCCACGGCCGUUCAAGACACCCUCCGUCAGAAGAUUGACGAUCUACGGGCAAAAGGAGAAGCGUUAGCCGAGCUCGACCGUCAGAUGGCCGAACUAGCAAAACGCCGGUCGGCCAUUGCUUCUGAGCUUGCGAGGGACUUCGAGUCAGGUGGGAAGGAUCGCCUAACUGAGUAUGCGGCGGCCAAAAAACGGGUCGAGCGGCUGAAGCUGGACAAAAAGAAUCGGCAAGCCGAAGUCAUCAUGGCCGACGUGCGGUGGUUGGAAUUGAAGGCUCUGCUCAGCACUCUUCUUCCCUCGUCUCCUUGAAUGUAUUCGACCUACUCAUUUUUGUAAUACCUAUCAAUCUUAAUGGAAUGAUUUUUUUUCUACUGGUACAACAAUUUUUUAUUCACGCAUUUCCCAUGUGACCGGAUAGUAUUUCUUCAAGAACUUCCCAUUAAUCGGUAAUUUGUGAACUACUCCAGUCCGGUCUUUAAGAUGAUACGCCCCUUUGCCGUAUACUUUAUGCACAAUGAACGGCCCUUCCCAAUUCGGCGACCACUUGCCGAACCUAGGAUCUUUUAAUCCUAUGGGCAACACCGUUUGCCACACCAAUUCACCCUCGCCGAACGUUUUCUGUCGCACCUUCUGAUUAUAGGCUCGCUCGGCAAUCUGUUUUUGUGCCACCAGUAAGUUAUAAGCAUUAAGUUGUGCCUCUUCCAAAUCUUCCAGUCCCUGUCUCAUGGACUGAUUAUAUUCGGCGCUAAACAAACUACUUUGUUCAAUUAAUCGCAACGAAUUUAUGCUCAACUCGACUGGUAGCACCGCAUCGUGUCCGUAGGUUAAUGCGUAUGGGGUUGUUGCAGUCGCCGAUCGGGGCGACGUUCGGUAUGCCCAUAAUGCCUCGUUUAACUUCAAAUGCCACAUGCCAGGCCUUUCUUUUAUUAUUUUUUCGAGGAUGCCGAUCAACACUUUAUUACUUGCCUCGGCCUGCCCAUUCGCCUGUGGAUAAUACGGUGUGGACUGUUCCAGCUGAAUUUUCAAAUUGGCCGUGUAUUCUUUGAACCUUUCGGCUGUGAAGAUUGUUCCAUUGUCAGUUAUGAUCAUUUCUGGAACACCGAAUCGGGUCACAAUGUGUUGCUCCACGAAAUCGCAAACUUCUUUAGAUGUUAACUCGGCAUAUGAUUUUGCUUCGACCCACUUAGUGAAGUAAUCAGUUGCGACCAUUAUCCAUGCAUGCUUAGCAGCUCCGGAAGUCGGCAUGAUUUUGCCGAUUACAUCCAUGGCCCAUCCUCUAAACGGCCACGGCUUAAUGACCGAAUGUAGUGAUUCGGCCGGGACCCUUUGUAUAGGCCCAUGGAUUUGGCACUGCACGCAUCCUCGUGCAAACUCGAUACAAUCUUUCAGUAUUCUCGGCCAAAAAUAACCGUGUCGUCGGAGUAGCCAUCGCAUUUUUCGUCCAGACUGGUGAGCUCCGCAUACCCCUUCAUGAACCUCUGCAAUCGCUCGAGCACUCUCUUGGGGGCCGAGGCAUAGCAAUAACAAACCAUCUUCGCCCUUUCGGUACAACUCGUUCUGGUACGUGACAUAAUUCGUGGCGUGAACCCGUGUCCUGCGACUAUGUUUUCCGUUAGGAUUGUCAAGGUACUGCAUAAUGGGCUUUCUCCAAUCAUCUGGUACUGCCUCGGCCGCGCAAAUUUCUAUAGAGUCCUGCCGAUCUAACAACGAAGGCAGGGACAUGACCCUGGUGCGUAUCACAUUGUCUCGACGGAGGAUUUGCUGAUCAACCAAGGCUGGGUAUAAUUGUCAUAAUAUUGGUAUCUCCCGGCCUAGCUUGCCCCCCAGGAGUUGUGCACCGGAGGCGAUUUGAGCCAACUCGUCUGCGUCAGUAUUAUGAACCCGAGAAACAUGCUCGAAUGUAAUACCGUCAAAAGACUCGGCCAAAUAGCUGGCGACCAUGUGGUAAGGUGCCAGAGUACAACUCAUGCAGCGAAAAGACCCAUUAAUUUGGUUAAUCACUAAUUCAGAAUCCCCGAGGACGAGGACACGAGUGGCGUGUAAGUCAAGAAGGAGGCCCAGACCAAUGACCAGCGCCUCGUAUUCGGCCUGAUUAUUGGUGCAGUCGAAAUCCAAUUUGAGCGAAAAAUACCAACGAUCGUUGUGGGGAGAUUGAAUGACGAUGCCUGCGCCGGCCGAGGACGAAGUACUAGAACCAUCGAAAUACAUCGUCCAAUAGUUGUCGCGGGUCACCACCAUGCCGAUUUCGACGUCAGCACUCCCAAACCCGUAAGGCGAAGGGUGCUGGGCAAAGAAAUCGGCCAAUGCCUGUCCCUUCACAGCUUUUUGCGGCACGUAUUGCAAACUGAACUCGGACAACGCCAUCGUCCAUUUCCCAAUUCGGCCCUUCACAAUUGGCCGGGUAAGCAUGUACCGGAUAACGUCGGUCUGGGCAAUGACUUGGGUGACCGACGGGAGCAUGUAAUGCCGAAGCUUGGAUGCAGCGAAGAAUACGGCGAGACAGAGCUUCUCAACGGCGGAAUAAUUGAUCUCCGGAUGACUCAGAUUACGGCUGAGGUAGAAGAUAGCCUGUUCCCGUCCGGCAUCGUUGUCUUGCGCGAGAAGGCAACCAAUGGACUCCUCGGCCGCCGAAAUGUAUAGCUUGAGAGGCUUACCGCGCCGAGGAGGGACCAGGACAGGUGGAUUUGUGAGAGAAACCUUGAUCUGUGUAAACGCCGCCUGAUGCUCCUCAUUCCACACGAACUUAUCUGAGUCCUUGAGCUUCAAAAGUGUAGAAAACGCUUUCAUCUUACCUGCCGAAUUAGCAAUAAAUCGGCGUAAAAAAUUGAUCUGGCCGAGUAAGGAUUGUAAUUGCUUCUUCGUUGUUGGGGGUGGAGCAGUGAUGAUUGCGCGAGCCUUAUUCUCAUCGACUUCAAUCCCACGAUGAUGUACGAGAAAACCAAGAAAAUUCCCGGCCGAUACACCGAAGGCACACUUAGCAGGAUUCAUCUUGAGGUUGUGCUGACGCAUGCGGAGGAAAGCCUGUCUGAGAUCGUCCAGAUGUGUCUGUCGGCGUUUAGAUUUGACGACAACAUCAUCGAUAUAAACUUCGACGAUGGUGCCAAUUAAAUCAUGGAAGAUGGUGUUCAUCGCCCGUUGGUACGUGGCGCCGGCAUUCUUGAGGCCGAAUGGCAUGACAACCCAUUCGUAAGUGCCGAGUGCCCCCGGGCAACGGAAAGCAGUUUUGUGCAUAUCUGCUUCGGCAAUAAAUAUUUGGUUGUAGAAACUACAGAGCCUACGUGGCGCGCAGGCCGAGUAUUUUCUAAGCUAACUACGUCCUUCGGUGAUUGCGGGGCGUGCCAACUCGUCGGCCGAGCUCGACCGAGGAGUAAAUUUGUUGAUGUUGCGUUGAGCGCGCUGUUGACUUCUAUGUCUUGCGAUUGCGGCCGAGGAAGGAACAAUUCUCGGCCUCUUGGGUUCUAGAGCCUGAAGACAAGGCUGCUAAUUUGCGAAGUUCAAUCUCAAAUUCGGCUGUCAAUGUGCCGAAUACAAUAACCUGGUAACACCUCACUUCGCCGAGAAGGCUGAUGAGAUGACCUCGACCAAUAAGGAUUCGGAAAUCCUUCUCGACCGAGACUUGGAUAGGUAACCAGUCGUCCUCGCCGUAGUGCUGUUGAUGCCAACGGAAGAUGCUGCGAGAUCGGCUGAUUCUACGGUGACAGAGCUAUCUAUGCCGACUUAAGAUAUCACCGGUUGCCUUCACAGUGCUGUUGAUGCCAACGGAAGAUGUGUCAGCGAAAAAAGAAAAAGAAAAAUCACAAGUUGUGAGAGUUUGCGCAGGGCAAUUUUGUAUUGAUUUUGUAGGGGUCCUCAACUUGGAAUGAUAUUGUCGGCCAUGCAUACUUUUAUCUUAUUUAUUCUUUUCUGACUCCCAAUUCCACCAAAUAACAAAACAAUUAUUUCCAGUGAGAUUCAAAGCCGUGCAGACCCACCGAAUGACAAAAUCCAAAUGCACCGAAUUUCCACCGCCCUGCUUGCUUAUUCUCGGCCAUUCGCGCACUUUAUUUUCUUAAGCAUCGGCUGAUCAGCCGAAUUGUUAAGAAAAUAAUUUUUAUUUUUAUUUUGUAGCAAAAGAAAACAAAAGUAGCCCUACUAUAAGUGGAGGAGGCCAACGAUGUUUUAUUCCAAGCCGAAGGCUUUUUGUAUCAAAACUUUCACUUUGAAUUUUACCAACGCCGAAUAAAGAAAUUUGCCCAAAUAUUUUUGACUCGGCAAAAUAUUUUGCAUUUUCUGCCGCCGAAUGUGUGGAACAAUUAUUAUGCCACCCAGGCAUAAUUUCGGCUUUUAAUUCAAAUAACUUAGCUGAACAGGAUUUCUCCAUAUCGGCUUUAUUGCCAAUAAUCAUAUCAAUUGGCGUAGUUUCUCGGGCUAGGCCAAUAUCUCGGCCUCGUUCGUCACUGGAGCAUUCUUUUGACGAAUCUUUUUCCAAGUCAAUUUUUGUAUAUAACUUAGGGACUUGCAUUUUUUCUUCUAGGCCUACCACACUUUCAGUCUCGACCGAAAAAAUAGGUAGCCUAGGUUUUUCUUCUUGGCCGACCAUAUCUUCAGCCUCGACCGAAAAAAUAGGUGGCCUUUGUUCUUCGGCCAAAUUAACAAUUUUCUUAGGCCGAUGUCUGAUUACGGCCGGAGCGAAAAAUUGCCCCCCGGCCUUUGGGCCUAACCAUUUUUCAAAUGGAAUUGAUCUGUAAUCAGAAACGUAAGGAAAAUUUUCUUCAUCUAACCAGGCAUUAAAUCGAGCCCUGUCUUCAUUUACCCAUUGCCCUUGCAGGGUAACAGGAGCUUUUAUUUCCAACAUGCAAGCGAAUGACUUUUGCAUCUCUCUAUGGCCACGAAGAACUUUUUCUGCUUCCAAAGAUUUUUUACAUUCCUCAUUAUGUUUUUUCAAUUCCUCCAGGAGCUCGUACAAUCGGCUACGUUGAGCCAGAUUGGAAUCUUGAUAUAUCAUAUGAACUUCGUAGUUUUAGCACUGGGUCCCACUGGGCGUGCCAAAAUGUUGACCCUAGAAACUACAGAGCCUACGUGGCGCGCAGGCCGAGUAUUUUCUAAGCUAACUACGUCCUUCGGUGAUUGCGGGGCGUGCCAACUCGUCGGCCGAGCUCGGCCGAGGAGUAAAUUUGUUGAUGUUGCGUUGAGCGCGCUGUUGACUUCUAUGUCUUGCGAUUGCGGCCGAGGAAGGAACAAUUCUCGGCCUCUUGGGUUCUAGAGCCUGAAGACAAGGCUGCUAAUUUGCGAAGUUCAAUCUCAAAUUCGGCUGUCAAUGUGCCGAAUACAAUAACCUGGUAACACCUCACUUCGCCGAGAAGGCUGAUGAGAUGACCUCGACCAAUAAGGAUUCGGAAAUCCUUCUCGACCGAGACUUGGAUAGGUAACCAGUCGUCCUCGCCGUAGUGCUGUUGAUGCCAACGGAAGAUGCUGCGAGAUCGGCUGAUUCUACGGUGAUAGAGCUAUCUAUGCCGACUUAAGAUAUCACCGGUUGCCUUCACAGUGCUGUUGAUGCCAACGGAAGAUGUGUCAGCGAAAAAAGAAAAAGAAAAAUCACAAGUUGUGAAAGUUUGCGCAGGGCAAUUUUGUAUUGAUUUUGUAGGGCCUUUCCUGAUGCACAGCGUCCCCUAUUUAUAGUACUGAACCUUGAGUCCGAGUUUACAUCCUACUCGGACUAGGUUUCCAUCUCCGGAUCACCUCGACCAAUCCUACACCUACUAGGACUAUGAACCUAGUCCUUAGCUAAGCUGGAUUAGUUUCCUGGAUAUCCGAUCCCGUCGAGACUCCCCAUUGCACUAGGAUUCGUCCUAACCGCCCUAGGUUUGGACUCCCACGGGUUGACCGAUCCAUGGUCCUUUUGCCGCCCGGCCUCCUGGGCCGAGAGUGAUCCUACCCUCGGCCCAAACUAUUAUUUUGGGCCCAAACAGGUUUAUAGGAAGAAUAACUGAAAAUUGAUUUGUAUGCAUAUGAUUCAUGUGUGUAGAAGAAUCCUUUAGCUAUCAUUUCAUCUAUAUUUCAUUCACAACUUAAUUUACUUGUUGCCCUUUACUUUUGUUUUAAUUAAAUUCGUCCAAAAUUUCCACCCUCAUUGUUUUAAUGUUAGUUUAACCUAGUUUUCAGUUUUAUAAGUUUAGUUUGUGUUGAUUAGCAUCCCUUCUAAUCCCCGGAAUAAAACGAUCCCUACUUACUUGUACUAUGAUUGCAUAAUUUAUAAGGUUUAAUUUGUGUUAGUUUCUACCACAUCAAGUUCUUAGAACCUGAAGACAACAUUGCUAAUCUUGUUGUGAUGUUUAGGAUCCUCUACACCAGGUUCAGUGGCUUCAACUAUAUUUGUAAAAAUAUAAGUGUGUUGGAUCAGGUACAGGCUAUAACAGUAAAGAUACUCAAAGUAAAUGAGUGUCUUUAUAGUGAAAGUUGUUUGGCUAUAUGAAUGUUGAACUCUGAAGUGUACCUAGGAGUAACCAAUCAUAUAACACCUCGCUUCGUAGGAAGUUGAUGAAGUGACCUUUUUUGGAGAUGGAAUCAGAAACUCUUCACCAACUGAGACUUGGAUAGGUUACCAACAAGGAUAAGAGAGUGUUGUUUAACCAAACUAAAGGUCUCCUAGACCAGGCAGGUUCUAUAGCCCCAUUUUUGUUAAUUAAACUGAAGGUGUCUCCAGUUGUUGACACGAUGAUGUUUAACCAAAUUGAAUAUAUGUCAACUGUGGGAUGGGUCAAUGAUACGUGGAAAGAAUGAUUGAAAUGCCCAAAGCCCAUGAAGCGUAGUCUGGCAAUCUCGGCUUAGGCCUAUUAAGGAUAUUAAUUAUCUCCCAAGUAAAGAAACCCUAAUUACGAUAUCUUAGGGAUUAGGCAACUAAUCAAGAUUCUAGGAAGAUUGGGUAUCUUAUCCUAGAUUCCCUCUUAGAUAGUCUCCAGAUUUGAUGAAGAUUACUCAUCCUACAAGAACUAUCAAGAUACCUAUAAAUGCACAAGCAUGGCUAUUUAUCGAGGGGACAUGACAUCUCUCUCUUAGACUUCUCUCUAAGUAUAAUAUUCUCUACAUCACACAUAUUCUAUCUAUGCCUAAUAAUGGCCCUUACGCUGCCUCUACACGUACAGACGUCCAUGGAGAACUCCUCUACAUAAUACCCCACCAUAGGUUAUUCGUCAAGGAUGGUUCACCCCAUUCUUUCAUAAAACUACACCCGUAGUUUAAUUCUCCUUCCUGUAGAUAUGUAGGUAGUCAUAUUCGGAUUCAACCACACCUCCCAAUCAACCCUAUUCUCCCCUUGCCAGAGGUCAUGGGCUACUUCGACUAGAUUUCACCUCCAUCUGCAAAUGUGCACAAAUUUGGUUCCAACAAUUGGUGGUUUCAUUGAAAGUGAAUUUGUAUUCCCCCGACCAAAUCACUUUAUUGACUUGUGAAUCUACUUUGGAAAAAAAAUGAUCAAACAAAGGAAUUGUAGUAAUUUCAAUUGGAGUGGAUUUGUGAGUCUCUCAAAAUAAUUGUGUCAAAAUUCCAUAAUUUAAUUCCAAGCUGUUUGACUGUGGUGAAGAAAAGAAGGCCCAGGGCACAACGUUUUCAUAUUAACGUUUUUGGAUGUUUUAGAUAUUUUGAAGAUCAAGAUAGCAUAUUCGAGGAAGGUUCCUUCUGAGGAUUUGUUGAGGAUGUCUUAAGCUUUAAGAAGAGACUUUUUUGGACCAGAUCAAAGUUGAUUUGAUGGUAAAAAUCUUAUCCAUGAGCGACAACAAAAACAAGGACGAUGGUCACAAUUACUUAAUAAAGGAUUGAAGCGUCACGAACCCCAACUCUAUAUGACGUGAAGAAGAGUUUUAUUAAUUGCAAGGCCCAGAUUUUUCCAAGUGGACACAAAAAGAGAGGGUUUGUAAUACCUUUAUUUUUUCUUUCUAAUAUCUUAUUUAUUUAUUUUUUCUAAUAUCUUAUUGCUUUGAAAAGUUUAUAUCACUUUACCAUGAAACAAAAGAGUACAAUCUGACUAUUUGUUAUUGUUUUGCAAAAGGGAUACAUGCUGAUUGCACAUCCCCUCUUCUUUUCAGAUCCCCAGCAUUGGACUAACUUAGUCCAACACCAUUCUGGUGGAGUUAGUAACUCCGACAAUGACACAACCUCUUUGAUGAGCAUGGCCAAGUCUAAAGACAAGAAGAAGUACACACGGGUCAAGUCACCCCUAAAAAAGAUAUAAGGUUCAACUCUGGAACUAAGUCUCAAGUUCUAGGUUCCGAACCCACAUAUGAACCAUGAUGGUUCUACUACACGGAUUCACGAUCUACGACAUGAAGAGUAAAAAGAAAGAGAGAUGAUAAUCCCAUAACUUAGGGACAGGCGUACCCAAGCAAAUCCGACAAGCAUGGACCUAGUUCACAAGAAACUUCCAAGCAGAGAAGCGAAGGCAGGUUAGCCUCCGUGUAGGCCAACACUUCAUCGCGAGUCCAACUCAUGGACCUCUCGUCUGAAGUCUACAUGCAACUCAAUUCAAGUACAUCAACAUUCCAACUGGGGCAAUGCAAUCAUGCCUAAAAUCCAUUAUGCACACUCUAAUGAUCUUCAACAAAAAAUCGACUUCCAGGAUGAAUUUAUUCACAAGACCAAUCAGAGACGAAAGCUAAGACGCCCAGCUUGAUUCCUAUUGCUCCAAUCCUUCACUGUGUGAGGUUUCUUUUGUGAAUUUUUUAUUUUUGAAAAUUCGUCAUGGGAGAAGGGAAAUUUAGAUAAUAAGAAAGCUUCAUCCUUUUUGCAUUCUGCCUUUAUACAUAUAUGAGGCAUUUAAGGGAAUGAAUCCUCACUUUUUCUUUUUACAAAAAGUUGGGGAUUAGUUGUGGGACCUACACCAUCUCGAACUUCAAUGAUCCGAACCGUUUAUUUUUUACAAAAUAUUAGUUAAAUCAGAAAUAUUGAAGACAUCUAAUUGAGUUUAUAGAAAUUGACAAACACUUUGUUAUAUAAGAAACAAUGAAAUUUCUUCGUGAUAAUUAAAUAGAAAAAUCGGUUUGAGAUUAAAUUGAAUUUUUGCAAAAAUAAUAUGUGAAUCGAGAUUUACAAAAUACACGGUUCGAAUCGUUAAAAUUUAAUGAGUUCUAUAAUUAGUCCAUUUUUUACCAAAAAAUGAGAAUUCCUUUGGAUAGGCCUACACACACACACAUAUGUAUACGUAUACACACACAUUCUUUUUUAUAUUUUUAGUGAGGGAUUCUGCUUAUAAGAGAGAGAUUUAAAUAGAAUAUUUAGUUUACAUUCUUCACAUUGCAUUGCAGUAGAAUUUUUUAAUUACAUUUUUAAAAGAUAUAAAAUAAAACAAAAAUAUAAGUGUUCAUCUAGACACUUGCAUCUCCCGAUGAGAUGCUCUUAAAAAGCACGCAAGAAAAUGAGAGGGGGACCCAAUGGCAAUGGCAGAGAAAGAGAGAAGGGACAACUGUUAACCUCAAAUCGUCCACCAACUGCCAAAUCUCGACCGUCAAAAAUACCCACAUGGUCCCGUCCAUCGUGUUGGUCGAACAUAACAACUAUCUCCUCGUUUUUGUAGGUGAGCAAUCAAACGUAUAACAAACAAGAAAAAUGCUCAAAUAAAAUUCCCAACAAGAAGAGCAGCAAGAACAAGUCUCCUCUCUCUCUCUCUCUCGUUCCUCUCUCUAAGCUGCUGUUGUUGUUCUGCUUCUGAAUACUUUGUGUUUUGAUGGAGAAGGAGAAUAUUUAUGGUUUAGAUGAUGAUCAUGUGGGGAAGAAGAUGAAGGGCAGUGAUGGGGGUUUGGAAGGAUUUGCUUUGGUUUCUUCCACAAGGAUUGAUUGGAAACCCAGAAGGAGAUCACUAAUAUCAUCAGGUACUACUUUUAUUAAUUAAUUAUUUAAUUAAUUGUUGUUCAUGGAGAAUUUAAGCUUGGUUUUUGUGAUGCUUGCAAGAUUUAACUUGCUUAAUUUCUAUAUACCACAAUUGAUCAGUUCAGUUGAGCUCAUUCAAUCAUUCUUUCAGUUGUAAGCUUGGUAUGAAUCCUAACGUGAUCCGAAAGAUUAAAGCCAAAACACUAGUUAAUUAGUUUGGUCUCUCUUGAGAGAGAGAGAGAGAGAGAGAGAGAGAGAGAGAGAGAGAGAGAGAGAGACUUUGCUCAUACCUUAUUAUGUGUAUUAAUUUGCAAUUUGCAUUUGUCUUUGUUUUCAAUUUUGGCCCGUAAUCUUUGACGUCUUCAAAGGAUUACUUACUCCUUUUCAAAUCCAACCAAAAAAAAAAGGUUUGACUUUUAAGAGCAAGCACAUCUAAUUUUUUAUUAAUUAACCCAACUGUGAGCAUACUUUUAUUUCAUAAGAAAAUGCGACCAUACACAUUAAAAAAAAAGGCAACCAUAAGGUUUAUUUUAGGGGUUUUUUUGUUUUUAUUUUUUUUUUCAAAUUGAAAAUUCAUUUGAUAAUUUUUUUUAAUUUUCAAAAAAAGAAAACAGAAAACUAUUUUCUUAAGUUUUCAAAUUUUGAUUUUUCAUUCUUUUUUUAACUAUAAGUAGUUAUCAAAUGGAUUUUCAAUUUUUAAAAAUACAAAAUAAAAACGAAAUAUUUAUUUAUCCAUUCUUCUUAGUCACUUCGUUUUGGAUGCGUUAGAGGUCUGUGCGUUUAAUGAAUUCCAGACCUAGACAUUACCAAAUUGGCUACUAAUACCUUUCUCCUCAUUCAGCAAUAAAGUUCAAACCUACAAAUCAUUUAAUUGAGAUUGGAUUAAUAAAAAGGAGAUAUCUCCAAUAUAUGUAUCAUAUUUCUUAUCUUCAUACGGACAAAUUUAUGGUAGAAAGUUCUAUUUCCUAUUGGCUUAUUUUAUUAACACCUUACAUAUUGUUGAAUACACCUUUUGCAUACGUAAUUCACCAUACAUUUUUUUUUCAAUUAUAAUUUAUUUUAAUACACCUCACAAACUUUCCCCAAAUACCACCACAUCCCUACUCUCAACAUACACCUCAUAUUUUCUAUUUACACAUCACACAUCUUAGGUGCAAAUUCAGAUUUUAUGUUUUUAUUUUUAGAUUUACACCCAACACUCUUCACAUAUUCGAAUUAUGAGGUGGUUUCUAUGUUGUUUCUUUUCCCUUUAAAAGAUUGAAGAUUUAGGUUCAAGAAUCCUCAUUGAUGGAAAAAUAUGAAAUCUGACCUCCUGUGAAACUUCCGAAAUGUUGAUUUCAUGUUACAUUUGUCAAAAUAUUUUUUUUCGAUCAAGAUGUUUAUAGUUUCAUUGGUUAGAGUUUUGUUCUAUAGUGAAGGGUGAGAGUAUGGUUUUGAGAGUUGAAUAAGAUAAAUAAUUUUGGGAUAUAAAAGUCAAAAGUGAUUUGGGGUGUUGUUAGAUUUUUUUUAAAAAUAUUUCUAAAGUCUUAUGAGGUUGAAAUUGUUAGUGCAUAUUAGGGUAUAUAAAUCAUUUAAUAUCAAAUUUUAAUGUGGGGAUGUACUUAACAUUAUGGUGGGUGACACAUCCCGACCUGGAAUGUCCACUGGGACUUCAAAUCAAGAUGUGUUGGUCAACACCUAUAAGGUGACAAAGCCAUAAAGUGUAGUGAUGUGGAAAAUUUUAAUAAAUUUAAACCUAAAAGUGCCUAAAUAUAAGAGUGCGUGGUGAGCGGGUAUGAACUCAUUUCACACGUGAUGACAAAGCAUAAGUACAGUAUAGUAAAAUAGGGUGAGAAUUAUAUCAUCGAUGGUAAUCGUCUACACUAAGAUUUGCUAAUAAUCCUCGUCGGUACAAAAACUCUGCUACUAGAACUUGGAGGGGUGAAAAACAAGGGUGAGUGGGCUUGAAAAUAAAGUUUUAAUAAAAAUCUUUUGAAAAUGUUAUAACCCUCGCCAUAAAACCUGUAUAAUUUUCAGAAAAUAAUAAUACUACAUAGGUACGAAAAUGAAUGCACAAGUGCAGUGAAAACAGAAGCAUGUCAUGCUACAGUAUCUCAGCAAUAAUAAAUGUAAAUCAGGUGUGAAAUCUGUCUAAACUAGCAUGCCAGUCGGAGUCACCUAAUGUGAAAUGUACGACUAGACCUAUUGCUCAUCAAUCUAUGCUAGCACACGAGUCGGAGUCACCUAGUAUAACCUAUACGAUAGGCUGGAUGUAAAUAUGUACACUCUAGUGCUACGAUCACGUGAUUGCUAGCGAUAAAUCGCAGGUCACCUAUGAGUCAGAAUUGCCUAAUGCAGUCUAUAUGACAGGCUAGCACCUACUUGGAUCAAGGCGAGUGUGUGGUACGGGAGGUGAACAUACACAUGAAGGUUGUGCCCUGGCCCCGGGGCGAGAUCACUAACACCCGGGUGCAGCAAUGAUAAGCUCUAAAUGAAUAUAUACAUGCUCAUAUAAUGCAACCACUUCAAUCACAUAAUAACUUACCUGAACUUACCUGCGCCCCCGUAGGAUCAUUUGGCAUGAUCACAAAUCUCAUCAUAAUGCAAUAUUUAAAUAUAACACCUUUAAAUCAUGGCAUGCUAUGCAUAACUUAGUUCAAAGCAUUUGUGGAAACUAUAAAGUAUGUAUGUAUGUGUAUAUACAUACAUACUAUAAAAAGGAAAAAGACCCACUCAUCUGAGGUCCGCGCCACAACUCUCUAGCACGAAUAUCGAGGCAUCACAAACGAUCGGAGCCUAGAACAAUUAUCAAAUCACAUCUCAGAAUUUUUAUCAAUAGAACACGUAACUUAUAUAUCCUAUUCAAGAAGAUUCGUAAAUCAGAUUCCUGAUCCGUAAAUCAGAUUCCUGAUCCGUAAGUUUCUAAUAUCCUCAAAUAUUAUGUAUUAUAACGUAUCAAAGUUUGGUGACAAUCCAACGGUCCGAUUGUCAAUUCAUUUAUUAACCAAGUGGUGGUCAUUAACGGAAAUAUAACCAAACAAUGGAAAUUUCACAAAUCGAAGGGCAGAUUUAGGUUUGGCAUGUCAAGGAACCUAAGGAAUGACCUCUGGUUUUUCCCCCUCGCGUGGCAGUUAGUCGCCCCUACUCGCUGGAAAAUCCAGCAACUCCAAAAAUUCUCAAAUGCUACAGGAAUGAAGAUCUUGAUGAGAGGAAUAACUUUCAUACAUGUGACUAAGGUCAAUUUCGUUGGGAAAAGCCUCAAUUUCAUCCAAACCAGUCGGAACCCUAGAUUUAGGUGUGCAUUGAUUCGACUCCUCCGGUGCUCCGCCGCCUCUAUGGUUGGUUGGGGUUUGUUCCUAGGUUCAAGGAGAGUCUAAUGUUGGUAGAGAUCGUCAGAAAUCGUUUCACAAAUGGUGAUUCGAGGCCGAGACCCACCCGGACCCAUCGGUGGGUUUUCUCACCGCAUCGGGGCUAAAAUUCGUUGUUUGGUUAGAAUUAGGUGAUGGGUGUUGUGGUGAGGUUUAGUGGUCAUGGAAGGUUCAAGAAGGCCGGAAAAUUGGACAGAAAACCGUCGGAAAACUCCAAGGAAGUUAAGUCAUCGACCGGGUCAAGGGGAACCCGAUCGAUUCCCUCCAUCUCCUUUUACCUCCUUUCCUUUCUUGGUCUCUCUUCCUGUUGGUCACUCACUUCUCUCUCUUGUCCCGAUUGGGCAGUGCCCAUCCUCCUUCCUCUCCUUUAUCUUUCAUCUCCACCGCCCAACUUUUCUUCCCUUUAAUCUAGGCCACACACGUAACUUUCCAGAUUUAAAGUGUUUUUUUUUUAAUAAAACAUCUUUGCCUGUUAGGAUUUUGAUUAAGGAGCUUAGGUGCACUAGGCCACAUUAGUAUUUCUUUUUAUCAAAUUAAAAUUUAUUAUUUAAUUUUUUAUAUUGAUUCCUUAAUUUGUCCUUUAAUUAGUUGAGCCUUUUUUAUCUGCCAAUUUUUGUAUAGUAUUUUAGAAGUCGUGGACUCUUUUUCAAAGGAGAUAAUCUUGGGUUUUCUUUCAAAAUAUUUAUCCAAUUAUCUCUUUUUUAUAUUGUUCCAUAAAAAAUAUUUUUUUCUUGUAAAACUAAAAUAUAAUUUUAUCUUCAAGAUAAACAAAAUGGUGGAUGUUUAUAUUUCUUUAAAUUACUAUGUAUACAUUUCAUUGAGAGAAUUAUUUUGUAUACACUAUUGAUACGUUUAUUAUUGGUUUUCAUCAUGGUCUAAAAUAUCCAUAAUAUCCCGAUAUUUCCGAUAUCGUCGAUAUUUUAGACCUUGCUAAGUCACUCAUGUAUCUUACCAUGCAAUGUAUAAAGUGUAAAAUAUUAUACUAAUUCAUUAUUUAUAAAUGAUUAUGGUGUGUUUAAACAUCUUUCAUUAAUUACUACAUAUUUUUUACAUUCACAAUGUUUGCCAGCUCGCUAUAUAAUCAACUUAAAUCAGUUAUAUCUAUCAUGCAAUGCAUUUCCUUCCAAUUUUUUGUAAUAAACUAAUAGAUAAUUGACUAAAUAAACAUCCUGCAAAGUUUGAAUAAAAAUUUUCAAAUUUUUCUUACAAUUUCCAUGGUUUUUAUUCAAUUUUUAUCGAUGUCGAUAAUAUCCCGAUAUUUUCAUCGAAAUUUCCGUGUUUUUGGACUACCGAUAUUUCCGAUAUCAUCGAUAUUUUAUACCUUGGUUUUCAUACGUUGAUUUCUUCUUAUUAUCAAUUGGUAUGUUUGUUUUUAGUAUUUGAUACAUCUAAUUUUUGUUUUUUUUUUGUAUGUUUAGUUUUAAUUUUUGGUAAAAUAUGGUUGAUUGAUAACUUAAUAAUUAUCUCUCUUUAUUUUGGAUUUAAUAAUAUAAUUUUGGUUUAAAAAAAGGAUAUAUUUAGGAGCUUUGGAUAUUAUUUUUGGUAUAAAUUGGUGGAUAAUUCAUGUAUUGUAUUUUUAGAAAUGUGACAAUUUAAAAAACGUGGCACCAAAAUUGUAGAAAGUAGUUCAAUAAAAAGUCUAAAAGCAAGAGAUAUUUGGUCUAACAAAUUCCAAGAUCAAGCACCUAGAUCAAAUUCCCCUAACCUUUUUGAGAUUUAUGAUUGAGUUGCACCCAUGUACAAAUGACCUAAUUGAGUACAAAUUCCUUAUCUGAACUUUAAUUUAGCGGUAUGGUAUGUAUGUACAAGGAUCACCGCACACUACCACUGUUAUCUUUUGUAUGCAACCCGAUAUAGCAGUAAAAGCAAGACGUGUACCCGGAUCGACUCAACAAGUGCCCAUUGAAAUAGGAUCCACACACAACUCAACUGAUAAGCUAUUGUACAUUAGUGUCCUGUACUUGUAUACUGAAAUUCCUUCUGUUAUUCUACUCCAUAUAUCGAUCACUGCAUUCUGGUUCGAACUUUUAAUGCCACCACCUUGUACAAAAUAUGCUGCAUCUCUAAAUUCGAUUGCACUAGAAAGUGAAUUUGUUUCCCACAGCUAGCGGGAGGAAUAUAGACAAGGUAACAGAAGACAUUGCUAGUGAUAGUCCCGACAAACAGGAAGCGUCCAUCACCAAAGAGGAAAUGCAGGACGUAACUACUGCCGCUGAGCUCUCUGAACGUCGAAAGGCCCUUUUUGAACCCUUAGAACCUAUAACAAAUAUCAAUGGCAAACGUCCGUCAGCUGAAUCCUUACUUCCUCCACCGGACUUUGAUGCCACAACCUAUCCCAAAGGGUGGCUGAUUGGGAAAAAGAGGAAACUAGUUAACGUUGAUGUUGUUGAGAAGAUGCGGAGGAUUGCUGUUCAUGAAAUGAACAGAAAGGUGUCAUUUCCAACACCUCGCAUCGUCUCCAACCAAAGGAAAUGCUUUUGCAACGAAUUAAACUGCUAUUAUUUGUUGUCGUUUCAGGAUAGGGAGAUCGACGGGCUAAACGAGCAGUUGGAAGAGGAUGCCAGGUGCCUAGAGCACCUGCAACUCCAACUCCUCCAAGAGCGAAGCAAACGUGCAGACAUGGAGAGAGAGAACGCAAUGCUGCAAGACCAGAUAACAAUGCUCAUGAACAUGUUGCAAGACGACCCCGUGGAUGACGAAGGCUCCGACGAGCCAUAGAUGUUGUUUGUUAUUUGUUUCCUUAUUCUUUUUGUACAUUUGGUUGGAGAAAGCAGUCACAUAACAGAUGCUACACAGUAUGCAGGUGCUAAUGCCCUCUGCACAUGCCUAUUACUAGAAUCUUGCGAGUCAUAUGUCAAAGUAUGUGUCUAAGCUGUACUUAUCUUGGCUAGUUUUAUGCGUCAAAUGAUUCCUCAUCCAUAAUUCAAGUUCGUUCACUGUCACUGUCACCAGAGGCCAAUGCCGAUACACGAAACAAAUUUAACAGAUAGUAGUGUUCUGGAUACAAUUCAUUAAGAACACAACUAGCCCUUCAUUUCUUUCGUUUGCGAUUGGAGAUAAACAGGUUUGAAACUUCUGUUUAGUGUCCCUCUCCUGCGUGAAAGUUUACGGGUCUCGAAGAGAGGGAGGCAAAGCAAUCUGUUGACCGAUAUCAAUUUAUCAAGGAAACAGAUGGCGCCGAUGGGCCAAAGCGAUCACAGAAGGGCAGACUCUUAGAGUGUUAACAAAACUCACAUGGCUAAAAAAGAACACUUGUUCAUUGUAUACAAAGGUAAGAUGAGUACUGUUCUGAAAAUCUCCGCCUAGCGCCACCCAGGCCCCUCCUAGGCACUAGGGCUGGCUACCGUCCCAAUUAAUUCCUAAGCGUUUGAAAAAUAAGAACUAGGUUGGUGUUAUAAACACGUCAGCAUUCUUCAUCAACGAACGUACAUUUCUGAAUCCCUUACACGUUUCAACAACCUGCACCUGUUGUAUUCACAGACGUGAGAGCCGCCAUUUAGAUUUCUAUGCUUUUGUACAAAGACUAAUCCGGGAAGGUAAAUGACUACUCCCUAGCCUAAUUACAUAAUAACCUUAUGACCAGUUAAAAAGAAACUGAGGAAGAGAUGCUAUCCUGGGAAUAUUAAGAAGCAGUUCCCCAAAUGAAUCCCUUCUCCGCAUGGUCAGUUCCUGCUUGUCAGCAGAAUCAUCGUUGGGCUCACCCUUGGGUACAGGAAAACCUUGUACAGGCUUACUCUCACGAGCUGAUGCAAAAGCGGAGUUGGUUUCCGCUGCUUUCCGAUCAUCACUUCCAUUCAACCACUCAUCGCUUCUGACUUGCAAGUUUAGUUCUGUAGAAGGAUCCUUUUGCAAAAGGCAGCAAAGGGAAUUGACCCUCGUCAUGAGGGACUGCUCAUCAGAGGGUAACGUGAUUUGGGAGUCACUGAACAAGUACUGUGUAAUCUCCUCCAACAUGUCUGUGCUGGGUUGUUCCUUUCCGGAAAUGCAAUUUCCAAUGUGGCUUACGAAGUCACUCACUGACAUUGACGAAGGAAGUCCAGGAACUUUUAUUUGAUUGAACUUGCUGAGCGUCUUUGAGGUUCCAGCAGUGUCCAUCACUGUAUAUAAGAGGACAGAGAUUAACUAGCUCUGGUCUCAACUUUCUCCAGAAUUUAUAUAAUAGAAAUCAAUCGUCGUAAAACAAAAGAAAAAGGACAUCUUUCCAUGGACAACUACAGUUUUUUUUCUUUUCCAUAUGAGGCCUUCUUGGACUGGCAUUUCAUUGAUCUCUAGGUAGCAGAUGAUUUCUUCCAAAAAAAAAAAAAAAACAUUUAAUGUCAUGCUUGGUGUACACAAACGGUGGGUGGGUGACUUGCUUCCUUUUUUCUGUUUUGGGGUAAAAAUAGAUGAUUUUCUGCAAAUGAAUGACUUUCUUUCUUCCUACGGGGCGUGAAAAAAAAUAUCAGGAUCUAAUGCACUCAAUAGAUAAGCUACAACAAUCUAACCUAUAUGGUGCAUCCAUGAAACUAUCUUAGUGAAACAAUUACCAAAAAGGUAGCAACAUCUAUAGCUCCUUUAACAUUCAUUAUCUUAGGGCCCAUUUGAUAACCAUUUCAGUUUUAGGUUUUAGUUUUCAUUAUUUAUUUUACUAGAUAUAAAGAGAAAGUAGAAGGAAAGAUGGAUGAACCAAGAAUGUGGAUGGAGUGUGGUAGGAGGGAGGAUGACGAAAUGCACAUGAAAUUGUCAUACAAAAUGAAUACGAAAAACUAGAAAAGAUAACCUACUUAAAAUUGUUUUCAGCUUUCAUUUUUGGUUUAUGUUGGUACAUUUCAUGGUGGCGUAUUUCUGUACAAAUUAACUUGAUUAACCAAAUCAGCUGCAAAUUAAAAUAUGGAACAUCAUGUUUCAAAUUCCAUCUUUUUCUACUCGUUACUUGUUUCUUUUCAGAUUUUCUAAUCCCUUAUUCAGUGAAAGUACCUCUUAUCCUCUGAACCGAUAGUACCAGAAAAAAUAACAGAUCCCAACCCAUUUACUGAACCAAAGGGGACGAUGAUGAAGAGACUUUCAAACAUAAUUCUCAGGCUCACAUACUUUGCCAACAGAAUUUCUGUUGAAGGGGAUCCGUAAGUUAUUUUGUGACUAUUUAUUCUAUAUAUGCAGAGACAGAAUUGACGAGAUAUAUAUGCUUCUAACUCAGGUUACUCAACGAUAUGAUGAAAAAUGAAAACAUGUUAAAUGCAAGAAAUAAACAGAACUGCAAUUGCAUGGGAAUAAAAUCUUAAACCCAGAAACACAAGUUUUAAUCAUAAGUCAUGGGGGAAGAGAGUGAGGAUUGAAUUUUUAGCAAAUAUAGUAAUUAAGCAGUUUUUUAAUACUAUACGGUUGAGUAUUUAUCACUAUAACAAUUAACUCGGUUUGAGGUUUGCAGAUUUACCUGUACCAGGUGAAGAAAUUUCCUGGGAAUAAUUUUGAGGAGCUCUACCACUAAAAUCUUGUUCAUUUUUAGAUGGCGACGAAUGAGCUCCAGAAGGUGAUGCUGAUUCCUGCAAACCAAAUAUCGCAGACCCCUCUUCAUUCUUUGUACCAAACCGAUGUCUAUAUUCAUCAUCAGGGCCACCUGUUACGGUAGCUCUAGCAUCAAAGAAAGGAGAUUCUAACACAAUUUCUGGCUGCUGGCUUAAAAAGUUGAGACGAGGAUCACAUUGAAUAAGCUUUUCGAAAUGCUUGCCAAAGAGCAACCCUUGUGGGCACUGCAGAAAAUGCCGCCUAAGACAAAGGAAAAAUAAAAUAAAUUUGGAACACAAAAGAUGACAAUUCUCCACACUCUACAGUAUGCAUAAUCGGUUGCUAACUACUAAAUGAACCUUGUAAAACAUUGGAUAAGUAAAACAUUAGAAAAACAUCAAGGCAUACCAAGUCAUUUAUAAGGAGUUCCUGCACCAUGUUUUCUGAAGCUACCGUGCAUAUGUGUGCACAUGCAUGUGCAUCAUUGCACAUACGGAUAUAUAUGAUUUCCACGAAUGGAAAGCUAAACACUUGUGGGAUACCUAAACCAGUGAGAUACACCAAGAUUGGAAAGGUACAGAGUCUACAUGCCUAUGUUUGCUACAAGUAUCCUUGUAUUCUCAUGUCACAGACCCAGACUUUGCAGCUUGUUCCAUUCAUUUAGUACAUUUUAAUGCGUGCAAACCACCUUUUACAUGUGCGGGUGACAGACAGAUAAAAUAAUAAAGUUGCUUAGAUGGUUCAGUUCUAAACUUUACGGUAAAGGGUAAAAUGAUAAAUAGCAUGUUGCUGUAUGGCAAGAUAAUAAUUCAGGAGAUUGUUUCGGACAUAACUGUUUUGUACACCAUAACUUUGACCAUCACUCUAAUUUGGUACACAAAAAGAUUCACCCUUUAUAUAAGCUUCUCAAUGUUUUAAAAAGUUCUCAUAACUAUAGUAACUAACCCAUACCACUGACGUUUCAAAUAAACAUGUAAUCAAUCUAGGAAACAUUCUGACAAAGAUUCAUGCUUUGGUGCUUAAAGCAUCUAACUAUUGACUACAAGGUUAGAGAUACCUGUUCAAAGUGGCUUGUCCAGCAGUAAAAUCAGAUGUUGCCUGCCACAAGGUAUGCUUCCUAGGUUGCGGAUUGGUCUCCCUAAAGAAAAGAGGCGGUCUGGCAAGCUGCACCAAGAGAUAAUAUAACAGAUUAUGAACUGAUACGGCAUAAUUCCCAAGGGAAAAAGGAAAAUUAUGUUAAGAGUGACAAUUACCACUACAUCCAAAGUCCCCGGUCCAUCAUCCGGGUAGUUUGCCUUGAUAGCCAAAACAUCUGACCACUGAAUUUCCAUCUUGUUCUUAAGACUACCAUCAAGCACUUCCCAUACAAGUUUAUGCUUGGCAAAAUAACAUUUCGCCACCAAAUCUCCUUCGUAUCUUGACUUAUACUGCAACAGAAAAUCGAUAAUACUUCAAUCCAACAUCCACCAUCAAUACAUUAAACAAAAUCGAAUACAGAAAACAUGUUCGUUUUUGUAUACCUCCCAAGUCCCAAUCCUUAGAAGGGAAGCCGGAAAGUUCAUAGCCUUGAGCUUGUCUGAUGCACCGGAAGCAGCAGCUCCCUUGUGACUUCUCUUGCCUAGGGUUGCCAAUUUAGCAGAUUUUUCUUGAGACAGCUUCAUCUGGAUCAAAUCCAGAAAAGAUGGACUUUUUUUGAGCUGCAAACCGAGCGGGCUCGGCUCAUCCAGCGGAUGGCACACCCACGCAUCCACAUCGCCCGGCAUCUUUGACACAAACACCAUGAAAAAUCAGCAUACUCUCAAUACAUCACAUCAAAUUUGAAAAAAAAACAAAUUCAUUUCUCUCUGAAAACGACUCCCUAAUCUGUUUGGAUGCUAAGAAAGUACAAGAAAACUAAAAUAAUUCAAUCAAGCUAAUUCAAAAUCAAAAAACACGGGGAAAAAAUAUAUUUUCUUCCUGAAAACGACUCCCUAAUCAGUAAUCCGUUCGGUUCUAGGAAAAUUCAGGAAAAUCAAAUCAAAUCAGCUCAAUCUGUGCUAAUUCAAAAUCAGAUAAUACGAAAAACAAAAUUGAAAGGAGAUGAACAUAUACCUGCGGAGACGAGUCGAGUUUGAGCCGUUUGUGACUCGCACCGCGUCGGGUGCCACACGACUCAUCGCCGUCCAACUUCACCGUCACCUUUCGCGGACUCAUUAGCUGAACCAUCGGCGCUAGAAUUCACCAACCCCAAUCUGGCUCGGCUGCACAGCGAGUUAACUCACCGAAUUUUCCGAUCCCGAAAAUGUUUAUAAAAUUUCGCGUCAACGAAUCAAUAACCGCGUGGCGCUUUCUUCUUUCCUUUUAAGGCAGACGGCCCGUGGACGACCGUCACGUGCUACGCACAUGUCCCACCGAUUCGCCGUGUUCGCGCACAGAAAUAAACUGGACCCGAUUUACGUAAACGCCCUUGGGUUUGGGCAAUGACUGCUCUUGGAGGCGGCCGGCGGCGGCCGAUGACGUCAGCUGGUUUGGCGUGUUCUGUCGGGGCCGGGAAGUCACGUGCGCCACUUGCGUGUUUGGAUAAAAUUGGGAGGGCCCGCAUUCUGACGGUUGUGAGCUGUGCAGGUGAUUUGUCCGGUAAUUGACCGGGUGGGUGAUGAGUGUGCGGAUUGUGAUGACACGUAUGAAUUUGAAGUGGAAUGAGGAUCCUUUUUGUGAAAGACUUUAAAGAUCUUCUAAUCACUUUCGUUCAUCGUACAUUAUACGAUCAAUUUUUAUCAAUUAUUGUUUAUAUUUAAUUUUAAAUAUAAUAAUUUACAAUUAUUUCUGAUCGUACAAUAUACAAUAAUUGAAUAUAAUUAGAAUAUUCAUGAGAUCUUCACAAAGAUGAUACGCAGAGGAUCUCAUUCUUUGAAACCAAGGGAAAGUCUGCCAACGUGUUAUUGUGGAUAAGGCUCAGCACCAACUUGUCAACUUUCCUUUUGGCAAUGGAUAAUUUAUAAAAUGGGUUAUUUAAAAUUUUAAAUUAAAUUUGUAAUUUAAAUAUGGGUCGUUAGGACCUAUUCUAACUUUUAAAGUAAAACUCAAAGUUUAAGUUUUAAAUUUAUUCUAACUUGCUCUAACUAUUAGGACAAAUAUGAGUUUUAGUUCAAAACUCAUUUCUGGGGCAAAUUUAGGCCAGGAUUCUCUUGGAUUAGUGGGCUUAACCAACUAUAUAUGUUUUUUUUUUUUAGUAAAUUACAUAAAACUAUGUCAACUAUUGGGUCAUUAAUAGUUUAUACCUCAUAUUUAAAAAGUUUUAAUGUCAUACCUUAUCUUCGAAUUUGUUGCAAUGUCAUACCUUAUGUCAGUUGUCUGUUAAUUCCUCUAUUAAAUGCUGACGUCCAAUGAGGCGGGGCCCACUUUCUAUUAAAAAUAUUAAAUUUUUUUAAAUAUGAAUUUUUUUUAAAUAUGAAUUUUUUUUAAAUAUUAAUUUUUUUUAAAUAUUAAUUUUUUUUAAAAUAAUAAUAAAAUAAAAUAUAAAAAAAACCAGUUGAGGUGGUCCAACUUCGACGGGAAGGAUGAGGUGGUCCGGGGAGGAAGGGUUGGGUGGGGUGCGACGAUCUGGACAAUCUGGGUUCAGAUUUGUUUCUGGUUUUUUUUUUUUUUUUUUUUUUUUUUUUAAGAUUUUGAAUGGGAGGGAAGGUGAAGAGAGUGGAAGAGAGGGAGGUGGGUGGGAGGCUCGAGAGGGAGAAAGGGGGGUUGCGGGGAGGUGGGGGUGGGUGGGGUUCUGGGUUUGGAAAGAAGGUUUUUUUUUUUUGAGGGGGGACGACGAAUGGUGUCACAUCCCGGCCCAGGUCCACCAUAUCACGGGCCCGCUCCACCACCGUAGCACGAUAUUGUCCGCUUUGAGCUUACCAUUCCCUCACGGUUUUGUUUUUAGGAACUCACGAGCAACUUCCCAGUGGGUCACCCAUCUUGGGAGUGCUCUAGCCUCCUUCUCACUUAACUUCGGAGUUCCUACAGAACCCGAAGCCAAUGAGCUCUCAAAAUGCCUCGUGCUAGGUAGGGAUGGAAAUAUACAUUUAAGGAUCACUCCCCUGGGCGAUGUGGGAUGUUACAAUCCACCCCCCUUAGGGGCCCGACGUCCUCGUCGGCACAUUUCCGCCCAGGGAUUGGCUCUGAUACCAUUUGUCACAUCCCAGCCCAGGUCCACCACAUCCCAGGCCCGCUCCACCACCGUAGCAUGAUAUUGUCCGCUUUGGGCUUACCAUUCCCUCACGGUUUUGUUUUUGGGAACUCAAGAGCAACUUCCCAAUAGGUCACCCAUUCGAGGAGUGCUUUGGCCUCCUUCUCGCUUAACUUCGGAGUUCCUACGGAACCCGAAGCCAAUGAGCUCCCAAAAGGCCUCGUGCUAGGUAGGGAUGGAAAUAUAUAUUUAAGGAUCACUCCCCUGGGCAAUGUGGGAUGUUACGGAUGGGGAAGAUGAUGAAGGGGAUGGGGUUUCGGGGGGGGUAGGAUCUGGGUUUCCUUUUUUUUUAAUAUUGAGUUAAUAUUUAAUUAAUAUUUUAAAUAUUUUUUUAAUUUUUUUAAUAGAAAGUAGGCUCUGCCUCAUGCCACAUCAAUAUUUAACAGAAGAAUUGACAGACAACUGACGGAAUAUAUGAUAUUGCAACAAAUUCAAAGAUAAGGUAUGACAUUGACACUUUUUAAAGAUGAGGUAUGAAACUGUUAAUGACCCAAUAGUUUAGGUAGUUUUAUGUAAUUUACCCUAUUUUUUGAGUUUUAGUUUAUAAAUUCAUUGAAUCCAACAGCUAAGAUCUAAAAUGAUCAAAUUUAACCGUAAAAAGAAGAUCUAACGAUCCAAAUUUAAAUUUAACAUCUAAAGUAAUUAACUUUCAUAGUGUUCCAUGAGUUUCGUGGUAUCUGUUUAGUGAUUUUUCAAUAUUUAUCGAAAUCAAAAUAUUUUUAUGUUAAACUGUUCAUAAAAUUAAAUUGGGUUAGUCUACAUAAUUUUCUUUUUAUUUUUAAAGUUACUUUAAGAAAAAAACUAUCCUAAAUUCCUUCCUUAAUAAUCUUGGCUAAAAACUUAACCUAGAAGGGUUGGUAGAGAAAAACUGUUUUUGAGUUAAAACAUAAAUUUUAGGUUUUAAAACAUGGGUUGGAGAUAAGAAAGUUAAUCAUUACUUAAAUGUAAUCUAAUUAUCAACAACCACAUCUGUAAAUUUAUUUUAAAAAUUUAGUCUAUAUAGCAUUACCCUUUUAUUUAAAAUAAUGCUAAGGAGACUAAAUGACACACCUCGACCCGGGAUGUCCACUAGGACUCCGAAUCGAGCUAUGUUGGCCGACACUUGAAAGGUGACAAAGCCAUAAAAUAUGAUGAUGUGGAAAAGUAUGAAUAAAUUUAAACCUAAGAGUGCCUAAAAAAAACGGAGUGCGUUGGUGAGCGGGAAUGAACCCAUUUCACACGUGACGUUAGAGCAGAAGUAAGUACAGUAUAGUGGAUUAAGAAUCAUACCCUCGAAAGAAAUCUCCAAUACUAAGAUUUGCCACAAAUCAUCGACGAUAAGAAAGCUCAGCUAAUAAAACCUGAAGGGUAAAAACAAAACAAGGGUGAGUGGCCCUAGAAAUAAAAUUUUUAAUAAAAGCCUUCUAAAACUUUAUAACCCCUCGAUGCAACACCUGUAUAGUUUCCAGAAAUGUGAAAUAAAAAAUAUAUCAACAGUAGUUCCAUAAAUAUACCAUGACACAACAACUUAUCAGUAAUAUAAAUAAUCAUGAGCUCAAUAAUCUAUAUUAGCACAUAAGUCGGAGUCACCUAUAGUGACCUAUACGACUCAUCCAUAUCUCAUCAAUCCAUGCUAGCACAUAAGUCGGAGUCACCUAUAGUGACAUGUACAACUUAUCCAUAUCUCAUCAAUCAAUGCUAGCACAUAAGUCGAAGUCAUCUAUAGUGACCUGUACGACUCAUCCAUAUCUCAUCAAUCCAUGCUAGCACAUAAGUCGGAGUCACCUAUAGUGACCUGUACGACUUAUACAUAUCUUAUCAAUUAAUGUUAGCACAUAAGUCGGAGUCACCUAUAGUGACCUGUACGACUUAUCCAUAUCUCAUCAAUCAAUAUCCCAGUAAUAUGUCAGCUGGAUUCACCUCUUGUAGCCUGUACGGCUGAAUCCAUAGCUCAUCACAUAUCCCUGCACAUGAGUCAGAACCACCUCUUGUGGUCUGUAGGCUAGGUGUAAAUAAUUACGCUUAAGUGCUACGAUCACGUGAUGGCUGUGCGAAGUAUUGCAAGUCACCUACGAGUCGGAACCACCUAAUGUGGUAUGUAUGACAGGCUGGCACCUACCUUGAAUCCAAGGUGAGCGUUUGGUGCGGAAGGUGAAUGAGCACGUGAAGGCUAGGCCCUAUCCUCGGGCGAGAGCACUAACACCGGGGUGUAGGGUUAUGAGCUCUAAAUGCAUCUAAUAUGGCAUGUACGACUUAUAGACAACUUGUACGUCAAUGUCGGAGUUGCUUAAAACAUAAAUAUAGUCAUGCCAUCACUCAAUCGUUCCAAAUAAAAUGUAAUCAUAACCAUGCAUUCCACAUUUCACAACAUAUACUCACCUGAACUUAUCUGUGCAUCCUACGUUCACAUUCGCACUUUAAAGCAUUCACAAUAAUUAUGCACAAUAAUAUACUUAUGGACAUGCCCUAAUGCAAUCCAAAACUUAACCAUAUCGUAGUGCUUCCAUAUAUAUAUAUAUAUAUAUAUAUAUAUCAAUAAUGUAGCGUAAAAUGCACAAUCUAUAACGCCCUACUCCCGAACUAUAAAUUUUUGGGAACAAUUAUCGGUGACAAGCUCAACUAAACACUAAUUUAACUAACUAUCGAUACUUAUGAUUCUUUACUUCAAUUUCUCGAUCCUUCAGACAAUGAUUUAUGACCAACAUCCCAUCACUAAAUCGUAAGGUUAAAUCUCACAUUUUUCACCAAUGUCCCUCACAUUGCACAAUUUCCCAAACAAGGCUAUUGUCUCAAUUAUUUAAUCUCAUUUAUGGUAUUGUUGCAUCUAACGUCUCGUUAGACUGCCUACGUACCCUAAACAGGGAUCAAGCCAUUCGUAGUUCGCAUCAAUUAUUUGUAGGUAACAUGCAUAUGGAUAUACCAUGACAUAAUCUAAACUCUACCAUCUCGUAGUACUUUAGAACAUAUACAUAUAUAUAACAUGGCACAUAUUACUUAAUUCAAUUAAGAGUAUUUUUGAAAUUAUCAAUCAUGUAUAUAUAUAUACGAUAAAACGGAAGAGAUCUACUCACCUGGAGUCUGCCCUACCAUUUUCCUAUCAUGUACCUCGAGGCGUCCUGGACAAACGGCGCCUAGGACAAUUUUCAAAACACAUCCCUAAAGAUGUUUUCGAAUGAUUAGAUACCAAUUGAUCAAAAGUCAACUGUCGGUCAAGGAUUGACGAUAGGGUCCAUAACUCUACGUAACUCGAUCCAAAAGAUCCGCUUUUCAGAUUUCCGAUCAGAAACUUCCAAAGAUCCACAUUAUGCUUCUAAAGCAUUAUCCUAAAAUUUUACUAUGGUCCAACGGUUGGGUCUCCGUCAAUUGCCAAAAACAAGGUGGUGGUUAACAUUUAUUGUAUGAACUUCCAAAUCCAAUUCGGGAAGAUCUGCAAGUUGAAUUCCCGAUCCGCCAAUUCCUAUAAUCUUCAAAUAUUAUGUGUUAUCACAUAUUAAGGUUUAGUAACGAUCAAACGGUCGGAUCAUCGAUUCAUAUAAUAAUCAAGUGAUAUACCUUAAUCAAACUAGGUUCAGAAUAAUCCAUUCACAUCAUAUGGAUAUCAACUAUGAACUUAGGCAUCUAAAAUGACUUAGAACGACAUCUUCAAUCCGCUGGCCACGCGCCGCCACGGGUGACGGUCGGCUUCCCUGACUCUCCGAAAAUCAACUAUUUUAAAAAAUUCUCAAACUUCACAAAAAUGAUGAUCUCAAUGAGUAGAGCAACUUUCAUACCUGCGACCAAGUCCAAUUCGGCCGGUAAACGCCUGAAAUCAGCCUUAAUCCACCAGAACCCUAUAAUUGGGUGUUCCUUAAUUCAUUCUCAAGUCAACUCCGACGCUCCAACUAAUGAUUAGGCAUUGUUCCUAAGCUCAAGGGAAGUUGUUUGAUGGUGGAGAUCGACGAGAAUAGUUACAGAAAACGGCAAAUUGUCGCCGGGUAUCCUCGAAGCCGAUGGCUUCGGUUCUUCCAGUACUGAGCCCAAUCAAUUCCAUUUUUGGAUGAGAAAGGAAAGUGGGACAAUGUUGAAUCAUUUCUAGGUGGUGGCUCGCCUCAAAUCGCUGGGAUUAGGAAAGAAUUUCGUCGGAUUUUCCGCCCAAAACCGGGUCGGCGCACGAGGGUCCAAUGAGCCAAUCGGGUCGUAGGGUCCAAAUCCCCUCCCUCACUCGUUUCCCUCAUGUUCUCCCUUCUCUCCUCCCCCCUUCUCUCCUCCCCCAUUGGUCAGUCACCUUCCUCUCUCCUUUUCCCCUUGGCCGAGCCCCUCCUUUCCUCCCUCCUGAAACUCUUCUCCUCCUUCAUUUUUCUAACCACUUCCAAUAAUAAAAAAAAAUAACAAUAGCUAUAAGACAUAAAUAGAAUAAUAAAUAUAAACCCUUACCAACGUACUUUCAAAUUUAUAGUUCCGUAUAACCUCUGUCAUAGUUCUGAAUUCAAUUUUUGCAUGCGUCUACGCAUUUGCACCGCCAAGUACUUUUAAAAUACAGUAAGGUAAUAGUUCAUACGCAUCAUGAAUUAGCGAUCAACGAAAAUCAAUACCCUCGCCUCUAAGGUAUUCUCGUGAAUUAACAUUUUAAGAUUUAUAAAAUCGUAAAAUUUGGGACGGGUUGUCACACUAAAUUUUUAAACCAAAUUUGAAAACUAAAUAAUGUGUCAUCAAUAAGAAACAAGUGCGUUAAUCGACACUUAAUUAAUAAUUCAAUCAUCUACAACUACAUCAUUUGGUUUGCAAAGUUGGUUUAACAUUACCCUUUUAUUUAUAGGUAAUGCUAGGAAGACCAAAUUUCUAAAUCAAAUUGUGUAAACCAAAUGAUGUAGUUGUUAAUGAUUAAAUUAUUAAUUAACUGUCGAUUAACGUACUUAUUUCAUAUUAAUGACACAUUCUUUGAUUUGCAAAUUUAAUUUUCCUAACAUUAUUCUUUAUUUAUUAACCAAUAAGCUUGUGGUAUAGUCGGUUAGUAAUUUUGGUAUAAAUUAAAAACUAUUCCAAUUUAUGUUAAAAAGUUGAAGGUGCUACUCACGUGUAAGGGUAAACACGUCUGUUACGUGUUGCUGCCCCGUCUCUCCACGCCGCUGCACCCCAACCUACCUUGUCUCUAAAUGAUAAGACAUUGAGGAUAGUGGUAUUGCAAAUGGAGAUCCUGAUCUAGCUACCAUUUCUUGUAGCACAGUGACCAUGGAUUUGAUACCAUUGGCCUCAAUUGGGGUUGGUCUGUGGAGAUAGGGGAUUGAAGGUUACUGGGUUAGUCGGUGGUGACAGCGGGACUUGGGUUGGCCGGAAGCGCCGAUGGGGCUGAGGUCCGAGGAGACAUUGGGAAAGAGAGAGGCAUAUAUUAUUUCUUCUUCUUCUUCAGUUUUUACUAUAAAUUUUCAAAUUUUUUUGUUUUUGUUAGACUAGUUUCAUGUUCUUUUAACAAAUUUGGAUGAAAAUCUUGAUGUGGAUAAGGAUUGUUAAUGGCUUCACCACAGGUGUUUGAUUGAUAGUUUUUCGCCGAGAGAUUGUUUGAAAGUACCCUAGGAUGAAAAAAUAAUUACACUCAUGCUAAAUGUUUUCCAUUAAGUUCCAUAAUCUUUAGUGUGUGGUUGUCAUUGACACUCUCAUAAAGUUACAAGUGUUAUGUCUUUUCAAGGCUUCUCCAUGAGAAACAAAUAUGAGAUUGUGGUAGCACUCCUUGUGUUGAGCAAGUUUUAGAAUUGGGCCUUCAAAUUUGUUCUAUGUUUUCAAAUGAACAUAUCUGAUUUUCAAUUGCCCAGAAAGCAUGUGUAACACGAACAUAAGGGCGUUUCUGAGGUGCAGAAGAAGCAUGCGGAUCAUCCGUGCUGACAACGAUCUAACAACUGAGAAUGGACGAUCUCACGAGUAAAACCGGGUUGUUGUGACCCAGUGCAUUUAGAAAAAUUUAAAUUUUUUUAUUCAGUUAGUAUAUUUUGUAUAAGGGAGGGAAAUAGGGAGCAAGUCGAAGGGUUGCCUGUUGAGCACGUUCGAUUUUAGUUGGGAUUGAUUGGGAGGCGGCAAAUCCCAUACCUUUAAUUUCUUUUGGUUUAGUGGUUUUUUUUUUUUGUCGGAGAUAGAGGGUUGUAUUAGGGGGCGGCAUGGGCAACUAAGAGAGGCAGAAAGAGGCAAUACUACAAAAUUACCCAGUAAUGCUAUUUUAAAAAGGGAACUUUAACGAAAAGUCCUCGGAACUGUUCACUUUAACGAAAAAUCACAUUUUUAUACUAAAAGGUCAAUCUUGGUACUAUUCACUUUACCUUUUAUUUUAUCCUUAUCGUCAAAACUCACAAUUUUCAAGCAAUUUUCAUUCAUUUUUUUUUUUUUUUAAAAAGAUAAGAAAAACUCAUUCAUGUCAAAUAUUAGUAAAAAUCCGACAUAAAUUCUUGUAAUGACGAAUAAAAGAACCAACAACAUUACUUGCAUCACAAAAAGGUUUUUGCUGUCUGGAUAGGACUCUUAAUCUGCCAAUGGUUGGCUUCCAAAGCUAGAAGUUUAGAGGCCAUGGCCUCUUGCCAUUUAGGGACUUUGAUAACUUCUGCAUAAGUGUUAGGUCUCCCCCUAAGUGCCCAACUGCCUCCACUCAGAUGUCAAUCAAACCCAUCCCAUCCAAACUGUAAAAACUCUGCUACACGGAAGUUUGGGCAGAGUGAUUGGCAACUAACCCAUGCUAUCACAAAUUAUAAUUUACCGAUGAUUAAUAAAAGUUUAUUUUCCGGCAAAAAAAUUCAAUCAUUAAUGAAAUAAGUGUUCGUUUAUUGUACCGGAUUAUUUCAAACUGGACUAACUUUAGGGACUAAGUUGAAUUGGCUUAGACUAGACUAAACUGGACUAACUUAAUGAAGUGUUUGGUGCAAUGUAGGACUAAGAAGGUAGACUAACUAUAAAUAUUUUUUUUAAAUUUAUUAUUAUCAAAAUUAAUAUAUGAAUAAAAAGGGGCAUAUCCUUCUUCUUUUUCUCGAAUUGCAGGUAGACUCUGCAACUUCUACCCCAUUCAAAACCUAGAAAACAUCAUAAUUUAAUCCAACCCAACAAAAAAUAAAUGGAAUUGUAAUAAAAAAUUUAAAAAAAAAGGUAAAGUACGAACUGCUUAAGAAGCAACACUGGCAAAAUUCAAAAAAAAAAAAACAUAACAUUUAAGAUUAGCGGCGAUCGAUUGCAGCCGCUUGGCGAACAUCGCGAAACUUUGCAAAUUCGAAUUUGCAACAAAAAGGAUGCAGUCGAGAAGUCGAAGAUGACACUCAGAGACAGCGCUCAGAGAUGGCACUCUGAGAUGAUAUUCGGAGGCAACAAGGAGUCAUCAUUGGAGAUAACAUAAGAAAAUAACCAAGGGAACGGUCUUAGCAAUCUCAUGGUUCUUGGGGGGUCUCACUAAGACCGUUUAGUGAGCCCAUUAGUUUAGGCGAGUGAGACUUUAUCCCAUUAAAGUUAGUCCUGGCGAGAAACAAACACUGGACUACCUUACCCUUUAAUCCAGUCUAAUCUAGUGAGAGCUAAAGAAGCCAAACAAACACACCCUAAAAGUAUUAUUUUAGACUUUUAAAAUUGAGAAAUAAAAUUAAUACUAGACUAAUUGAUGAGUCGAUAUUAUAUUAUAUAUUUUAUCCUAAUUUUAGUUUAUUUUUUUUAUUAUUUAAAAAAAAUUAAUACUUUGAAUUAUAUUUUCAAUAUAGGACUUUCGACUUCCUUUGGAGUAAAACAUGGUCAAUCAGAUGAAUUUUUUAGUGAUUCCAAUUGGAGGAUGUUCGUGAGUCUCUCAGCUUGUUCGUAUCAAAGUUUGACAUUUUUCCACCAAGUGGUUAUUAUGGCGAUGAAACAAAGGAGCAGCGCACAAUAUUGUGAAAUUGAUGUUUUGGGCUUAUUUGGGCUUUUUGGCUUCCAAGAUGAUGUCUUUUGGGUUGGACGCCUUAUGCAAUAAUGUUCAGGUGAUCUCAAGCUUUAAUCAAUGUUUAAAAUAUCAGUAUCGUUGGAAAUAUCGAUAUGCAAAUUUAUAGAAAUGUCAAUGGAUAUAUUGGUUACUUUUGAUGGAAAUGAUGGAAAUUUAAAUUGAAACUUUAGGGAUUGUACCAUUGGUUUGGACGAAAUAUAAGAGUUUUUCUGAUAUUUAACAUACUUGUCAGAAAUAUCGACAAUAUUUAUCGAUUUUAGCAUAAACUUAAGAGUUUCUCCGAUAUAAGGUGAAGUUUAGACUUCACCUCCCCAUUUCCAUAUCUUUCUCUAAUUUUUUGGAUAUUUCCACCAUAUUGAAAAAAAAUUUAAACGUUGGCUUUAAUUCAAGUCGUUUUGGGCCUAUUUUGGAGCCUUGAAGAUCUAGAAACGUUAGAUUCUUUGUGGAUCCAUUUACCCAUUUAAUUUAAUAUAUGUAAAAUUUAAAAAAAAAAUUAAAAACCUAAAAUUUUCAAUCUCUCCACAGACUCAGAGUCUUAAACGCCCCUUAUUAAACAUGUUUUAACAAUUGGUCUUUGGUUCUAUAUGUUUGAUAAAAAUUGGGUGCAAGGAGUAACCAAUUUGAUUGAAGUGUGUUAUCACCAUUCUGUUUGAUGCUUAAAUGAAUUGGGUUAGAACUUACCAUGUGGUUUUUUAUCGAUAGCAGCAUUUGGACACAAAAGAUUGUGAAAUGCUAAGGGCUUGUUUGGUAUCCUAUUUGAAUUUUUUUUAUAAUUUCUCAAAACAUUUCUUAAGAAUUUUUCUUGAAAACAAUUUUCUUUAAGACUCAAAAACUUGUUUGGUAUGCGAUUUAAAAAUUUUAAAUCUUACAACUUAAAUUGGACAAAGAGAUCCAAAAAGAGAGAGUCGAGAAGGAAAGAGGAGAAAUGAGAAAAGAAAGUAAGAGAUAAUUGGAGGAAAGACAAAGAAGUGAGAGGAACGGAGGAGAUAGAGAGGAAGAGGAGUGAGAGAGAGAACCAAGAGAAUGAAGAGAGCGGAUUGGAGGAGAGACGAAAAAGGUAAAAAAAAAAGAAGGGGGAGAGAGAAAGAGGAAAAGAGAGAUAGAUUUGGACUGAGAGGGAAUGAGGGAGAGAAAAUAAAUGAAUGAGUUUAAGUUUAAAAACUCGAAAAACUCACUUUUUGUGUUUUUAGAUAAUACACUCUAUUUUUUAGUUAGUCUUGAAUUCAAUUUUUGAAAAAAGUCAUACCAAACAAGUUUUUAAGACCUAAAACUUGAAAAUUGUUUUUUAGUUUAAAAAGUUGGAUUCAAGUAGAGUACCAAAAUGGCUCUAAGCUAUUUAUGACACACCCCGACCCGGAAUGUCUACUAGAACUCCGAAUCGAGUUGUGCUGGGCGACACCUGGAAUGUGACAAAGCCAUAAAGUGUGAUGAUGUGGAAAUAUAGUGAAUAAAUUUAAACCUAAGAGCACCUAAAUACCAGAGUGCAUUGGUGAGCGGGAACGAACCCACUUCAUACGUGACUUUAAAGUAUAAGCAAGUACAAAAGAGUGAAUUAAGAAUCGUACCCUCGAAAUAAUCUCCAAUACUAAGAAUCACCACGAUUCCUCAACGAUAAGAAAGCUUAGCUAAGAAGACAUGGAGGGUGAAGACAAGAUAAAUGUGAGUGGCCCAGUAAUUAAAAUUUUAAUAGAAACCAUAUAAAUUUCUAUAGCCCCUCGCUACAACACUUGUAAAAUUUCCAGAAUUAGAAUAUAAAAAUAUACAUAUAUAUAUAUAUAUAUAUAUAUAUCAAUUCAAGUCACGCUUCACAUAUUUAUAAUCAUAUGCUAACUCAUCGCAUAUUCAUCACGUCGGCUAGCUCAUCACGUAUGCACCACAUAUGUUAGCUCAUCACAUACAUUCAUUAUAUAUGCUAGCAUUUCAUCACAUAUCCCAUCAUAAAUAUAUAUGCUAGCAUUUCAUCACAUAUAGGCUAGCACCUAAGUCGGAGUCACCUCUAGUGACCUAUACAACGUAUUUAUAUCUCAUCACGUAUCUCAUCAAUCAUGGCUAGCAUAUAAGUCGGAGUCACCUCUAGUGACCUAUACGACAUAUUCGUAUGUCAUCAAUCUCAUCAAUCAUGGCUAGCAUAUAAGUUAGAGUCACCUGUAGUGACCUAUACGACAUAUUCAUAUCUCAUCACGUAUCUCAUCAAUCAUGGCUAGCAUAUAAGUCGGAGUCACCUCUAGUGACCUGUACGACUGAAUCAUAGCUUAUCAAUCAUUGCUAGCACAUAAGCCGGAGUCACUUCUAGUGACCUAUACGGCACUACACUGCACACAAGUCGGAACCACUGAAAAGGUCUGUACGACAAGAUUGGGUGUAAUAUAGUUAUGCUCAAUGCUACACAAAUCAAGAUAGCCAUGCGAUAAAUCGCUAGUCACUUACGAGUCGGAACCACCUAUGGUGGUCUGUACGACAAGACUGUGCACCUAAAUUGGAUCCAAUGUGAGCAUAGGGUGCGGGAGGUGACAUUAUAUACAGGCAUAUGUCAUAUCUCUGGCUAAAUCACAAUCACCCAGGGUGCAGGUUUAUGAGCUCUAAAUGCAUCUAAUACAACAUGUACGACUCAUAGGCAACCUGUACAACAAUGUUGGAGUUGCCUACUGUAGCAACCUGUACGACAUUGUCGGAGUUGCUAAAAGCGUAAAUGUAGUCAUAUCAUAACCCCAUCAAUUCAAAUAAUACCGUAUAUUUACUUGAACUUACCUAAACUUACCUGAACUUACCUGAAUGUCCUGCAUUCACCUUUGCACUUCAGAGCGUUCACAACACCACAAUUAUAUAUAUAUAUAUAUAUAUAUAUAUAUAUAUAUGCAAACAAUUCAUUUCAUUGUUUAAGCAUUAUUUAAUAGGCAUGACAUUUUUAGAGCAUAAAUCAUUUAAUUGCAUUUUCUGGGAAAACAUUAAGCGUAUACAUAUAUACUUAAAACCAAAAGCCCACACACAUUGCUCGAUUCCUUAAACAAGGCUAUGGUCACAAUUAUUUAAUCUCAUUUCUUAUAUGGUUGCAUCUAACAUCUCGUUAGACUGCUUACGUACCCUAAACAGGGAUCAAGCCAUUCUAACGUCUCAUUAGACUGCCUACGUACACUAAACAGGGAUCAAGCCAUUCUUAGUUCACAAUAAUCAUUUAUAGUAAUACGCAUAUGGAUAGAUCACGAUGAAAUCUAACUCAAUCAUCUCAUAGUAUUUUAUAACAUAUAAAUAUAUAUAUAUAUAUAUAUAUAUAUGUCAUGGCAUAAGUUCUCAAUUUUAUUUAAAAGAAUUUAUAGAAUUAUCAAUCAUGAAACAUAAGAUGAGUAAGGAAAGAUCCACUCACCUCUAGUUCAUGCUACAACUUCCUAGCACAACCAUCAGGGCGUCCCGAACGAUCAGCAACUGUGACUAAUUAUCAACCACAUCUCAGAAUCCUCAUAAAUAGAAUACGUAAUUCACAUAAAACACAUCCUCAAGGACAUUCUAAAAUAGUUUGAGACCCAUUGACCAUAAGUCAAUCGUCGAUCAAAGAUCGACUGUAGGGUCUACAACCCUGUAUAACUUGAUCCGAAAGAUCCGCAUAUUAGAUUUUCAAUCCGCAGCUUCCAAAGAUACACAUUAUACUUCUAGAAUAACAUACUAAAAUUUCAUUGCGAUCCAACGGUCGGAUCUCCGCCAAUUGCCCAAAACCAAGUGGCGGUUAACAUUUAUUUUAUAAACUUACACAUCCAAUUCGGGAAGAUCCAUACGUCGGAUUCCUGAUCUCUAAGUUUCUAUGGUCCUCAAAUAUUACAUACUAUAAUGUAUUAAAUUUUGGUAACGAUCCAACGGUUGAAUCGUCGAUUACUAUUCUAAUCAAGUGGUGGACCUUAAUAGGACUUUGCCUGAUUCUGCAGUUUUUGCAGAUUUCCUGGGCAAUCUUUGGAACUUCAUAUCUCACUUAUUUCUCAACCAAAUUCAACCCAUAAUAUACCAAAUCGAAGCUAGAGAAAUGUAGAACAAGAUCAUACCAGCUUGGAGUCCAAAUGGUGGCCGAAAGUGGCCGGAAAAUGGUCUGAAAGACGGCUGUCCGCCGGAAAACUGGUAACUCGCCAAAAUUUCUAGGCAACUUUUCAACGUCCAUAACUUUGUCAAUACUCAACGAAAACAAGUAAUUCAAAAAUGACAUAGUUCUCGACGAGACGAAGAAAUUGGUACCUUACACAAUGUCUAUCUCGCUGUGAUUUGACCGGAAAAUACCUCGAAAGUGGUUGAGGUGGCCGGAAACUGGACAAACUUUAAAUCGUUAUAACUUUCUCAUUUCUCCACCAACUCACAUGAUCCAAACAUGAAAAUUCAUCUAUACCUGUGACCCAGGCCAAAUAGGCUGGGAAAAGCUUCAAUUUUGUUAAAACCGGUCGGUAACCCUAUACUUCGAUGAACUUCAAUUCUUCUUCCUCGUGCUCCAACGGGGUCAAGGCUGGUCAUGAUUUUCUCCUGGGAUGAUGGGCUACAAAGCCCAAGUGGUGGUGUCGGCCAUUGCUUUGACAAUUCGUCGGAAAAAUGAAAAAGGUGGCCAGAACACCAUUGGUUUUCAUCGGGUUUUGUGACCUCGAACCGCCACGUACAGGGGUUAACCAAGGUGGUUCUUGGGUGGGUUUUGUAGAGGGGAAUGAGAGCUUCAAUAUGGUGGUGGCGACUUCGAAAAACUCCGUCGGAGUUGACCGGAAUCAGCCUUGAAAAAUGAGUGGUCGUGAACGAAAAAACCCACAGGAAAUCUCCAGCUUUCCCUUUUUUUUUUCUUUUUCUGAUUGGCUUAAGGCUUUGUCCUCCUUUUAUGUGAUUGGUUCCCUUUUCUCUUUGCUUAAAGGAUGAUUGGUUAGUCUUCCCACAAGGUGGGAGUUCAAAUAAUUUAACUAUCUUUAAAUAACCAACUUCAAACGUCCGUAACUAUACCGUUAUAAUUCGGACUUGCAAACGGCUUUCACCUAUGUGUUCGUAGUGACGAGUACUACGAGGAUAUACUAAAAGAAUAAGUCGUAUGCCACUCUAACCGAUGAUCCGCGAAAAUGGUUAUAGUUAAAAAAGGAGUUCAAAAACGGGUAAAUGAGUUCAAAAACAGGUAAACGGGUAAAUGGUUUUAGUUAAAUGGGUAAACGGUUAUGAUUAAAUGGGCACACGGUUAUGAGUAUGGCUAACCGUUUAUAAACGGUUAUGGGUAUGGGUAUAACCGUUUAUGCAAUUACCCAACGGAUAAACGGUUAUGCAUGUAUGCACAUAAACAGCUAUGGGUAAAUAAUCGCGGUUACCCACCUGCCACAACCGUUGCCCAUCCCUAGUCCAAAUAGGCAUAUAUUAAGAAAACCUAACCUUCAAAUAUGUAUGUGUAAGUCAUAAGUAAUUGAAAGAACUACGUAAGAUUGUUAAGGUGACGGUGGAACCCUAAUACUUUCACAGUUUAAUUUUCAAAAACCGUUUUCUAUUAGUUUAUUUUAUUUUGUUAAUUUAUUCGAUUAUUUCUAUUAAAUUCAUUUUUAUUAGGGUAAAUUACAUAAAACUACCUCAAUUAUUGGGUCAUUAACAGUUUCAUAUCUCGUCUUUCAAAAGUUUCAAUGUCAUACCUCAUCUACGAAUUUUUUACAAUUUCAUACCUUCCGUCAAUUUUCUGUCAAUUCUUCCGUUAAAAUAUUAAAAAAUAUUUAAAAUAUUAAUUAAAUAUUAAAAAUUAAAAAAAAUUAUUUAAUAAUUUUUUUAAAUGGGGACCCACUCCUCACGCCUUCUUCCUCUUCAGCUCUUCCCGUGUCCCCCCAAGCUUCUUUCACUCCUUCUUCUUUGGUUCUUCCCUUGUUUCCCCCCCCCCCAAGCUUACCACCCCACCGCCACCCUUUCUUCCUCCAUCUCCACGCCUACAACUCACCCAAACAGUCCUUUAACUCCAUCACCGUCGCCGUCUCUUCCUCAUCCUUCAAAUUCAACCCCACCAUCGCCCCCCCAACCCGCAACUCGCCUACGCCAGCACAUUCGGGUCCCGAUAAGGCGAAGGAGAACGAUUGGGACUAGUUUCUGUAGCGGAAAUCAGUAGGGAAGGGAAGGUAGAUGAGCCAGGAAUCGGACGCCACCGAGGAUGACGAAUCUAGGGAUGGGGGAGAAUCGACACCGACGAGGGGGUUGAUGCGGGAAAAUCGGAGAGGGGAGGUAGAGAGCCAGUGGCGCUUGAGAAUAGGGGAGAAUGUGAUAAAGGGGGCGGUGAUGAGAAAGAAGUCGUCGGUACAGAAGAAGGAGGAGGAAUAGGGGAAGGUGAGAGAGGGGAGGCAGAACCAGAGGUUGGAGAUGGGGUCAAAGGCGAACAACUGGUUGAAGUUGGAGGAGGUAUUGUGGGAUCUGGAUUUGGGGAAGAUGGGAGAGAGGCGCGGAUGAGGGUGGGAUCCAAGUUUGGGGAAGAUGGGAAGGAGAAGAAAGGGUGAAGGGGAUAAGGGGUGGGUCCCCAUUUGAAAAAAAUUAUUAAAUAUUUUUACUUUUUACUUUUUAAUAUUUAAUUAAUUUUUUAAUAUUUUAACGGAAUAAUUGACAAAAAACUGACAAAAAAUAUGAAAUUGUAAAAAAUUCAUAGAUGAGGUAUGACAUUGAAACUUUUUAAAGACGAAAUAUGAAACUGUUAAUGACCAAAUAGUUGAGGUAAUUUUAUCACUAGUACAAAAAAAGUUUGCACGACGUAGGUCGUUCGUCGCGCAAAGACACUGGGUCACGCAAAGACAUUUUGCACAAUGCAUGUUAGUUCUUCGUCGCAUGCCAACUGUCGCACAAAUGCAGUGACAGUAGGGUUUGCGCGACGCACGUUACUUCUUCGUCUUGCAAACCCUGCUUUUUUCUUUUUCUUUUUUAUUUUUUGACAAAUAUUUUUUAUUUAAUUUUUUAUAAAUAUUGUAAUUAAAUUAUAAAAAAUAAUUAAUAAACCAAGAAAAGGUAUUUAAUUAUAAAAUAUAUGAAAAUGUACAUACAAGAUGUCAGAACAUACAACAACAACAACAACAAAGCCUUUUCCCUAAGUGGGGUCGGCUAUAUGAAUCAUAGAACGCCAUUGCGCGCGGUUUUGUGUCAUAUCCUCCGUUAGAUCCAAGUAGUCUAAGUCUUUUCUUAGGGUCUCUUUCAAAGUUUUCCUAGGUCUACCUCUACCCCUUCGGCCCUGAGCCUCUAUCCCGUAGUCACAUCUUCGAACCGGAGCGUCAGUAGGCCUUCUUUGUACAUAUCCAAACCCAUUUUGUGUACGUGUUGAUGCUUCACCGCCCAACAUUCUGUGCCAUACAGCAUCGCCGGCCUUAUUGCUGUCCUAUAAAAUUUUCCCUUGAGCUUUAGUGGCCUACGACGGUCACACAACACGCCGGAAGCACUCUUCCACUUCAUCCAUCCAGCUUGUAUUCUAUGGUUGAGAUCUCCAUCUAAUUCUCCGUUCUUUUGCAAGAUAGAUCCUAGGUAGCAAAAACGGUCGCUCUUUGGUAUUUCCUGAUCUCCGAUCCUCACCCCUAACUCAUUGUGGCCUCCAUUUGCAAUGAACUUGCACUCCAUAUAUUCUGUCUUUGAUCGGCUUAGGCGAAAAUAUUUAGAUUCCAACACUUCUCUCCAAAAGUUAAGCUUCGCAUUUACCCCUCAUGAGUUUCAUCUAUCAACACUAUAUCGUGUGCGAAAAGCAUACACCAAGGAAUAUCAUCUUGAAUAUGUCCUGUUAACUCAUCCAUUACCAACGCAAAAAGGUAAGGACUUAAGGAUUGUUGAUGGACAAAAUCAGUGAGGACUUUGGUACAGCAGAAAGUAUUAAGUUUGUGAUAUUCGCUAGAUUGCUCUGGUUAUUAGUGUGGAUAAGUAUGUAAAUGGAUAGAGACAGGAAAGCAAACACAAGAUGUACGUGGUUCACCCAGAUUGGCUACGUCCACGGAGUAGAGGAGUUCUCAUUAAUUGUGAAGGGUUUACGCAAGUACAUAGGUUCAAGCUCUCCUUUAGUGAGUACAAGUGAAUGAUUUAGUACAAAUGACAUAAGUGCAAGCUCUCGUCUUCACUUCCCUUAACUGUCUCAUAGGUAAAUGUGGCAUCUUCUCUAGAAGUACGCUUCCUCCAUCCAGGGGUGAUAUCUUUAACUGGUGGAGAUGCACAAGGUAAUGUAUCAAUUUCACUUGAAGCUUACUUGUAGUUUCAAGCUUGGUCAAGCGCGAUACAAACCAUGUAGUAGGAGUCCCCCAAGUCGCCGAGCUAGGGGAUCUGCUGAAAGAGGUGACAGACAAGGUAAGCAAUCAGAGCUCCAAGCAAUCAGUCCCAGAUCAGAAGUUUGAUUUCGAGUUCCGACUGAUUGUUCUCAUUCUCCCUAUCUUGCAGGCAGCAUGAAGGAUAAAGAGAAGAAAAGGAGAAUAGAUGAUAUGAGAUACUUUUGCUUUUGAAGAAGUAACUUUCCACAGGCUUAUUCUUGAACUGGGCUGGAGGAUUUUCUGAUUUCCUCCAGAGUAUAAGGUCGAAUGAAGAAUUUGAGGGUCAAAACACGUCCAUCAAAUCUAGAGUACGUUCGACCCUGCUGAUAUGAGAUACUUUUGCUGUUGACAAAGUAGUGGAUGUAUCGGCACGUGUUCUGUUACGCUUGUCUCCACAUGCUUCCUUGUAUCUUUCCCACUUUCCUUAUAUGUUCCUUAGGCAGAUGUGGUAUCUUCUCUGGAAGCAUAAGAUGUUGAAGAUGGGUACUCGAAAGCAAUGUCAGGUAAGUAAUCAGGUAAGGGGUUCCAGGCAGUCAGUUCUUGACUGGAAGCUUGAUUCCAAGUGCUGACUGAUUGCUCUCUUUCUCCUUGUCUUGCAGGUAAAAACAAGGCCAAAGGAAAAGACAGGGAAAAAGCAUGCAAUGGGAUACUCUUGCUUUUAACCCUGAUGAUAUGAGAUAUUCUUGCUCUGGUGUAGCUUGUUUGCAAAGGUAUUAUCGGGAGGAAAGAAAGCUGAGUAUUUCGAGAGGCUUCGUUGGGAGUGCCCUCUCAGAUAUGAGGAAAGGUUGAGCAUUUUUGCAGGUCUGCCAGUCCGUUGAGGAUGGAGGUCGACAUAUAUAAGAGUUUUCCUAACAACAAGUAGUAACGAUAUUCCUUUACCCUGCUUGGUCAUAGCACUGUAGUGGGAGCUGCCAGCUUCACGUGUGUUAGAGCAUUUUGAAAAAGUGGUCUGUGGUAUCUGGAAAGCUGAUGUUGCGUGUGAAGAUUACAGACAAGCUUUAUCCAAGGAGAUCUGGCUCUCGAAGUUGAGAAAGCGGUGCCUCUUCGGUUUUCGUACAAGCAAUCCUGUCGGGGAUCUGGCUUUUGAGAUUCGGAAAACGAUGCCUCUUCGAUUUUUGAGAGAGCAAUCCUGCUGGGAGUCUAGCUCUCAAGAUUCGGAGAGCGGUGUCUCUUCGAUUUUUGAGAAAGUAAUCAUGUUGGGAGUCUGGCUCUCGAGAUUCGGAGGGCGGUGCCUCUUCGAUUUUGGAGCAAGCAAUCUUAUUGGGAGUGUUUUCGCGAAUGUAAGUAAAGGUUGGGCAUGUUUGCUAGUCUACCUUGCCACAAAGCAUAAAGGUUGACACACAAAGACUUUCCAAUUAUCCAGCAGCGAUGUUGUUCCUUUAUCUUUGUAGGUAAUAAUAUGGUAGCUAGACCUUCAAAAUUUAUGUGUCUAAACUUUGUUAGUGUUGUUUGCUAUUCUUUUACCCUUCUUGGUCAUAGCGAUGUAGUGGGAGCUGCAAGCUUCACGUGUCUAAACUUUGUCAGAGAUCUUUGGCAAAGCUAUAUGUGGUACCCAUGAGCUGAUGGUGCGUGUGGAAAGUGGAUGAUUGAACAGUAAGAUUCACGUGCUUUCUACUUCACCAGAAAUCUUCAACAGAAUGCCCGUAGUUUCAGCAAAGCUGAGUGUGCAUGUGACAGAUGCUGACAAGGCUGAAAAAAGCAAGUGCCUCUUCGAUUUCUAAGAUCGGCCCUCUUGGUCUCUGAGCAGCCCAGCUUUUGAGAAAGCAAGCGCCUCUUCGAUUUCUGAGAUCGAUCUUCGUGGUCUUUGAGCAACCCAGCUUUUGAGAAAUGCCUCUUCAAUUUCUGAGAUCGGCCCUCGUGGUCUCUAAGCAGCCCAGCUUUUGAGAAAGCAAACGCCUCUUCGAUUUCUGGGCAGGCGCCUCUUCGAUUUCUACAGCUCCGUCGAGUGCAAAUUUUUAUAGAGGCUGGCAUUAAGUUCCAAAGCACACUUGAAUCUUCACCAGUAGAAGCUCCCUUCUUGCACUUCUAAGAUCUUAAUUUGUCCGACCUCUUCUCUCUUCAACACCUUUGAAAAUGUCUGGCUCCUCCGACCGUCGUUUUGACUUGAACCUCGUUGAAGAGGCAGCCACGCCUUCUCCAGACAACAUAUGGCGCCCAUCAUUCUUAUCCCCUACUGGUCCGCUUACCGUUGGGGAUUCCGUGAUGAAGAAUGAUAUGACUGCUGCGGUGGUGGCCAGGAACCUUCUCACUCCCAAAGAUAACAGACUACUUUCCAAACGGUCUGAUGAGUUGGCUGUUAAGGAUUCUCUGGCUCUAAGUGUUCAGUGUGCAGGUUCUGUGUCUAAUAUGGCCCAGCGCCUAUUUGCUCGAACCCGCCAAGUUGAAUCAUUGACGGCUGAAGUGAUGAGUUUCAAACAGGAGAUUAAAGGGCUCAAGCAUGAGAAUAAACAGUUGCACCGGCUCGCACACGACUAUGCUACAAACAUGAAGAGGAAGCUUGACCAGAUGAAGGAAUCUAAUGGUCAUGUUUUACUUGAUCAUCAGCGGUUUGUGGGUUUGUUCCAAAGGCAUUUAUUGCCUUCGUCUUCUGGGGCUGUACCGCGUAAUGAAGCUCCAAAUGAUCAACCUUCGAUGCCUCCUCCUUCUAGGGUUAUGUCCAGUACUGAGGCUCCGAAUGAUCCCCCUCCGGUGCCUUCUCUUUCUGGGGCUCUACCGACUGCUGAGACUUCUCAUAAGUAACCUUUGUGAAGGCUCCCUCUUGUUUGUUUAUUUUGACUCAUGUAUAUGUACAUAUUUGUAACUUAUCGGAGAUAUCAAUAAAUAAGUUUUGCUUCAUUUCAACGUAUUGUGUUAAAUACACCAAAGCCUUCUUCACUGAGUGGGGUCGGCUAUAUGAAUCUUAGAACGCCAUUGUGCUCGGUCCUAUGUCAUGUCCUCCGUUAGAUCCAAAUAAACAGUUGCACCGGCUCGCACACGACUAUGCUACAAACAUGAAGAUGAAGCUUGACCAGAUGAAGGAAUCUAAUGGUCAGGUUUUACUUGAUCAUCAGCGAUUUGUGGGUUUGUUCCAAAGGCAUUUAUUGCCUUCGUCUUCUGGGGCUGUACCGCGUAAUGAAGCUCCAAAUAAUCAACCUUCGAUGCCUCCUCCUUCUAGGGUUAUGUCCAGUACUGAGGCUCCGAAUGAUCCCCCUCCGGUGCCUUCUCUUUCUGGGGCUCUACCGACUGCUGAGACUUCUCCUAAGCAACCUUUGUGAAGGCUCUCUCUUGUUUGUUUAUUUUGACUCAUGUAUAUGUACAUAUUUGUAACUUAUCGGAGAUAUCAAUAAAUAAGCUUUGCUUCAUUUCAACGUAUUGUGUUAAAUACACCAAAGCCUUCUUCACUGAGUAGGGUCGGCUAUAUGAAUCUUAGAACGCCAUUGUGCUCGGUCCUGUGUCAUGUCCUCCGUUAGAUCCAAAUAAACAGUUGCACCGGCUCGCACACGACUAUGCUACAAACAUGAAAAGGAAGCUUGACCAGAUGAAGGAAUAUAAUGGUCAAGUUUUACUUGAUCAUCAGCGGUUUGUGGGUUUGUUCCAAAGGCAUUUAUUGCUUUCGUCUUCUGGGGCUGUACCGCGUAAUGAAGUUCCAAAUGAUCAACCUUCGAUGCCUCCUCCUUCUAGGGUUAUGUCCAGUACUGAGGCUCCGAAUGAUCCCCUUCCGGUGCCUUCUCUUUCUGGGACUCUACCGACUGCUGAGACUUCUCCUAAGCAACCUUUGUGAAGGCUCCCUCUUGUUUGUUUAUUUUGACUCAUGUAUAUGUACAUAUUUGUAACUUAUCAGAGAUAUCAAUAAAUAAGCUUUGCUUCAUUUCAACAUAUUGUGUUAAAUACACCAAAACCUUCUUCACUGAGUGGGGUCGGCUAUAUGAAUCUUAGAACGCCAUUGUGCUCGGUCCUGUGUCAUGUCCUCCGUUAGAUCCAAAUACUCUAAGUCUUUUCUUAGAGUCUCUUCCAAAGUUUUCCUAGGUCUUCCUCUACCCCUCCGACCCUGAACCUCUGUCCCGUAGUCGCAUUUUCUAACCGGAGCGUCAGUAGGCCUUCUUUGCACAUGUCCAAACCAUCGUAACCGAUUUUCUCUCAAUUUUCCUACAAUUUUGGCUACUCCUACUUUACCUCGGAUAUCCUCAUUCCUAAUUUUAUCCUUUCUCGUGUGCCCACACAUCCAACGAAGCAUCCUCAUCUCCGCUACACCCAUUUUGUGUACGUGUUGAUGCUUCACCGCCCAACAUUCUGUGCCAUACAGCAUCGCCGGCCUUAUUAUCGUCCUAUAAAAUUUUCCCUUGAGCUUUAGUGGCAUACGGCGGUCACACAACACGCCGGAUGCACUCUUCCACUUCAUCUAUCCAGCUUGUAUUAUAUGGUUGAGAUCUCCAUCUAAUUCUCCGUUCUUUUGCAAGAUAGAUCUUAAGUAGCGAAAACAAUCGCUCUUUGGUAUUUCCUGAUCUCCGAUCCUCACCCCUAACUCAUUUUGGCUUUCUUUCUGCAGCCUCAAGUUUUUGGCUUUCUUUCUGUUUUCCAUAUAUUUGACAUGUUUCAACAUAUGUAAACUUUAAGUCAGCAUGAGCACGUGCUUCAGGAGAUAAUUCAAACGCUCGAGUAUCAGUUGCGUCAUUACUGGAAAUUGCACCCUCUACAUCUGAUCCUUCUAACAGAUAAAGAAAUGGAUCAAGCAGCAGGACAAAAUACGAAAAAUGAAACAGAAGUCUGAAGCAUACGAGCUUUCGUAUAAUACAUCAUUCCACGAACUGCAGAUCACAGAACUUAGAUAUUUAGCGGCAAACCCAUGAAUAUAUAAAAUAUAUUAGGAAGUAUAAUAAAUAUAUAAAAUAAACAAUGAAAGAAAAAUAAUGAAUUAAAAUCUAACUCACAAUAAAAAUGUAUCUGCGAGAGGGAGGGAAAGAAGGAGAGCGAAAGGGAGGGAGGGAGAGAAGGGAGGGGGGGAGAGAAACAGGGAAAGGAAGAAACACAAUAACCGAAGAGUCUAAAGACAAAGCUGGCCAGGAUGACUCUUUCAGUAAUUCAACCUCUUGUAAAUCUAACAAUAAACUCUAAAAUAUCACCUGAGCAGACUGUGACAAGAAGAAACUAUUAAUCCCAACUUAGGAUACUUAAUUGUGCACAUAAGCACAUCAACUACAUCAUAAAGCACAAAGAAACAAGAAUAAGAUCCUAAUUAAAGGAAUCAAAAAACUACCUGGAUAAAUUUUUUGAAGGUAAAAUAAUAUUGGCAUUCCCCCUUGUUGCACAAUAUCAUAAAGAUCUUGAACAGCCUUAAAUGCACCUUUCUCCUGUUCGGGUGUUCCCCCUUGUUUUUGUGCAUUAUAUAAACGAAGCAGUAUAUUUGAGUAAAAAGAAAUCAAUAUACCAAAAUAAAGCACAAACAAAUAACUAUAUGACAAUAUCAAUUUUUAUGUAACUAGAAGAAAAGAAAGCUCAGAAAGAUAAUUUAAAUUGUAGAGAGCUACCUUCCCAAACGUUACACAACUAUCACUCGCCCAAACAAAGAGGACAAAACCCUGUUCAAGAUUCCCAUCGAAGGUAUUUCAUACUUUCAGACCAAAAGUCUCAACCCAUUUGAAGAAGAAAACCCUCCACCCCAUUUCCCUUUUAUGUUCCUAAAUGCAAAGGUUAGGUAUAACAAUUAAAUGAAUUGUCAUAUGCACAGUUUGUAGAGUUUGUAGAACUCUUGCAAGUUAGCAAUGUCCUGGCUUCUAUCUAUGAUUACAAAACAUAAGCACAUAAAUUCUUUUUGAUAAAGAGAUGAUAAGUACAUAUAUAAGGGUUAUGAAAAGUAAAUACAAAUCUAACAGCUUCAAACUUAAGCCCGCACCUCCCCCCCCCCCCCAAAAAAAAAAUUUCUUCCUUCAUACGAAAAUAUACCUUAAUGACAGACAUCAAUCCAGUCUUAAACUGUAAUACUCCCCUUCCUUCACUAUUGGGAUCCAGACUCUGAGCCAGAGAUUAAGCAUGCUCGCAUACUGCAGGGUGACAAUCAGCACUUUCAAAAUUGUGAGUUGCAAACAUAGAAUUUAAUUAUUUUGCAAUAUAUACAAGUUUUUCACCACCAAAUUACAGCAACAACUGAGUUUAGAUGAUUCCCCAUAUUCAAAUAUUUUUUAAGCUAAACGAACCAGAACAGAACUACCUUCAGCCAAUCUGGUCUGACAAAAUGAGGGGCACUAUUUCGAGGUUUAAGCUUUUUUUUUUUUUUUUUCAUGUAGAUCUUGUUUCCUUUUGUGUAAGAAAUUCCAAGUGAGCUGUUUGAGCAUCUUUCUAAAGGCAGUUAUGCACUUCAGGAAUGGCCUCCUAGUGUAAUUCACCACGACAGAGGAAAAUGUACAAGGUGGGUUGCUUUGCUUCUCAUCAACUCAAACGAUCAUACUUUCGACCCAAAGAAAAGAACCAAGUACUCAACCCACCCCCCCCCCCCCCAGCUACCAAAUUAUCCUCGCUGAUUCUUAUGUCACAUUUAGGAAAACAAACUUAAUUUCCACAACCCAAGCAAGGUACAAAACUAUAAUUCAAAAUUGGAAGUAAAAAGUACAAAAAAGAAGUGGGUAACAUACAAAUUCUGGAAAUAUUGGGAUCUUCGUCUUGGAUUUUAUCAGCAACUCUCAGAAUUUCAUCAAUAUCCCUAUUGUUUGCAAGUGAGGAAGGAACAUUUCCAACAAUUCCAGUAGCAUGCCGGCCAUACGCAUCAGCCCCCAUCGUCUCCCUGCUCAAUACGACACGGACUAGAUGCUCCCAUCGCUGCUCAACUCGAGACAUUUUCUGCAAAACAGCGAGUAAAAUCUCGAGAAAAUUCCAAUACGGCACGGACUAGAUGCCCCGAUCCUUUGUGCUGCUGCCUGCUGCUGGGUGCAGUCAGGAGGGAUGGAAAGAAGAUGAAGAGGAAGGCUACGGGUGCGGAUGAGGAGAGGAUGAGGAGGAAGCUGGCUGUGUGCAGUCGGGAGGAAGGCUACGCGACACGGGGUGAGAGAUGGCGAGAGGGAAGGGAGACCGGCUGUCCAAUUUUGUCCAAAAUUGGGAAAAUUUUAACAAAGCACCUAUUUUUUUCCGCCAAAAUUUUAACAAGUUGGGCGACGCACCAGUUAACGUGUCGUGCAAGUUAUUUUCUUUUAAAAAAAAUUAUUAUAAAAUUUACUUAUGUGACUUUACUCAUUUCAAAUUUAUUUUUUAUACAUAAAACCUAUAAUAAUAUAUUUUUUUAACAAAAACCUAAUCCGAACCACAAUAAUAAAUUUAAAGCUAAUUAAUAAAUAAAUAUAUAUAUAUAAUUCAAUUUCUUAAGUUUUAUACGUACAAAAUAAAUAAAUUUAAAGCUACUUAUUAAAUAUAUAUAUAUAUAUCAUUCAACUUGCUCGGAUACGUAUUUUAAGAAACCACUUUCAAUGAUCCAACUGUUAAACUUGUUUGCAUAUACUUUAAGAUCGCAUACGCAAAAAAUCGCAAAAAAAAAAAAAACCAUUCAGAGAUCAAAUAGCGGAACAUAACUUUUCAACGGUUAUAAACAAAAAAUCAAGAUUUAACGGUUAUUUUAACUCCGAUUUUCAUGAUUUUUUACAGCUACACUCCUUAACCAUAUAUGAAUAAUUCGAUCUUCAAUUUAAAAUAUUUACACUAUUGGAUACCACAAAAGCUUAUGUUAUACUUAAUGAAAGUAUAAAUAAACUUCAAGUGUUAGUGAAUAUAUUGUUUUGAUACGAUACGCAUUCUACGAAACUAGUUUCAACGAUCCAACCAUCAAACUUGUUUGUAUAUACUUCGAGAUCGCAUAAGAAAAACAUCACAAAAAAAAAAAACAUUCAGAAAUCAAGUAACGGGACAAAACUUUUCGUCGGUUAUAAACGAAAAAUCAUGAUUUAAUGAUUAUUUUAACUCCAAUUUUGAUGAUUUUUUACAACUACACUCCUUGAUCCUAUAAGAAUAUAAUGAACUAAUUUGAUCUUCAAUUUAAAAUAUUUACACAAGUGGAUACCACAAAAUCUUAUGUUAUACUUAAUGAAAGUAUAAAUAAACUCUGAAGUGUUAGUGAAUCUAUUGUUUUGAUGGGAUACGGAUUCUAAGAAACUAGUUUCAACAAUCCAACCAUCAAACAUAUUUUUAUAUACUUCGAGAUCGCAUAAGCCAAAAAUCGCAAAAAAUAAGCAUUCAGAGAUCAAGUAACGGGAUAUACCUUUUUUAUGGUUAUAAAUGAAAAAUCACGAUUUAACGGUUAUUUUAACUUUGAUUUUGAUGAUUUUUUACAGCUACAUUCCUUGACCCUAUAUGAAUACAAUGAAUGAAUUCGAUCUUCAAUUUAAAAUAUUUACACUAGUGGAUACCAUAAAAUCUUUAUGUUAUACUUAAUGAAAGUAUAAAUAAACUCUUAGUGUUAGUGAAUCUAUUGUUUUGAUGGGAUACGCAUUCUACGAAACUAGUUUCAACGAUCCAACCAUCAAACUUGUUUGUAUAUGCUUCGAGAUCACAUACACCAAAAAUCGUAAAAAACAAACAUUAAGAUAUCAAGUAACGGGACAAACCUUUUCGACGGUUAUAAACUAAAAAUUACCAUUUAACGGUAGUUUUAAUUCCGAUUUGGAUGAUUUUUUACAGCUACACUUCUUGAUCCUAUAUGACUACAAUGAACUAAUUCGAUCAUUAAUUUAAAAUAUUUACACUAGUGGAUAUCACAAAAUCUUAUGUUAUAGGUAAUGAAAGUAUAAACAAACUCAAAGUAUUAGUGAAUCCAUUGUUUUGAUGGGAUAUGCAUUGUACGAAACUAGUUUCAACGAUCCAACCGUCAAACUUAGUUGUAUAUGUUUUGAGAUCACAUAUGCCAAAAAUCCAAAAAAAGAAAAAACAUUCAGAUAUCAAGUAACGGGACAAAACUUUUCAACGGCGAUAAACAAAAAAUCACGAUUUAACGGUUAUUUUAACUCCCAUUUUGAUGAUUUUUUACAGCUACACUCCUUAACCCUAUAUGAAUACAAUGAACUAAUUCGAUCGUCAAUUUAAAACAUUUACACAAGUGGAUACCACAAAAGAAAAAGGCAAUGCAAGAACCUCAAAAGAAAAGCAAAAAAUAAAAAAUAAAAAAUAAAAAAAAAUUUGCGCGACGAAGACCUAGGUCGUCGCGCAAAGUGUGUUUUUUUUUCCCCUUUUUCUUAUAGACUAAUUCGAUCAUCGAUUUAAAACAUUUACACAAGUGGAUACCACAAAAUCUUAUGUUAUACUUAAUGAAAGUAUAAAUAAACUCCAAGUGUUAGUGAAUCUAUUGUUUUGAUGGGAUACGCAUUGUAUAAAACUAGUUUAGACGAUCUAAACAUCAAACUUGUUUGUACAUAAUUUGAGAUCGCAUAUGCAGAAAAUCGCAACAAACAAACAUUCAGAGAUGAAGUAACAUGAUAAAAUGUAUCGACGGUUAUAAACGAAAAAUCACGAUUUAACGGUAGUUUUAACUCUGAUUGUGAUGAUUUUUUACAGUUACACUCAUAGAGCCUAUAUGAAUACGAUGAACUAAUUUGAUCGUCAAUUUAAAAUAUUACACUAUUGGAUAUCACAAAAAUUUAUGUUAUACUUAAUGAAAGUAUAGAUAAACUCCAAGGGUUAGUGAAUCUAUUGUUUUGAUGCGAUACCCAUUCUACAAAACUAGUUGAAAAAAUCCAACCGUCAAAUAUGUUUGUAUAUGCUUAAAGAUUGCAUACGCCAAAAAUUACAAAAAACAAACAUUCAAAGAUUAUGUAACGGGACAAACCUUUUUGACGGUUAUAAACGAAAAAUCACGAUUUAACAGUUAUUUUAACUCUGAUUUUGAUGAAUUUUUACAGCUACACUAACACCCCGACCUAAAAUUAAGGUGUGCUGGCCAUCACGUGAGGAUGAUGUAGCCAUGUGCAUAGUGCGGAAGCAAUAAGGAUAUGAAAUAUACGAAAAAAUAAGAACCGAAACCUAAUUAAUGUGCUAUAAUAAGCAGAAAGUGCUAGGAAUGAGAUACAAGUGUAAAUACACCUAAUCAGAGCAUAGAAGUCUAAGUGCAGUCUAGUAGGACAAUUACUAGUUACACAGUACCAGGAGAAGUCUUACGAAUAUUAUACUUUGUUAGAACCUCAAAGAUCCACUAAUGUCACCAACAGCAAGUCUACCUAAAACCUGGAGAGGCGCAAAACAGAAAGUGUGAGUGGGCAAAAACAAAGCUUUUCAAAAUCGUUUCAUUUAUCAAAUGCUCUAACCCCUCGCCGUAAAACAUGUAUAAUUUUCCCAGAAAUGGAAUAUAUAUAUCAAAUCAUGCUUCACAUAUCCAAAAUCAUAAGUAUGCAAUGCCAAAAUAUAAAACAGAAUAAGUAACUCAGGUGAAAAUAAAUUCAUGGAAAAUAACAUAUUAGCCAAAACCCCUGCAAAAGUCUGUACGGUUGAAUUCAUAGUUCAUUAAUCAAUCUAGUCGGAGUCACUACAAGUGACCUAUACGGCACUACACUGCACACGAGUCAGAACCACUGUAAGGGUCUGUACGACAAUACUGGGUGUAAUAUAGUUAUGCUCAAUGCUAUGCUCUUAAGAUAGCUGUGCGAUAAAUCGCUAGUCACCUACGAGUUGGAACCACCUAUGAUGGUCUGUACGACAAGAUUGUGCACCUAAAUUGGAUCCAAUGUAAGCAUAGGAUGCGGGAUGUAAGAUUAUAAACAUGCAUGUACCAUAUCUCUGACUAAAUCACAAUUACCUGGGGUGCAGGUUUAUGAGCUCUAUGCUUCUCAAUUAAUCACAACCGUUAUUCAAAUUCACAAUUCAUAAACUCAACUGGGCUUACCUGAGCGUCCACAACACUACAAUUAUAUAUUAUGCAUUAUAUACUAAUUCAUAUGCUGCAUAUAAAUUUAUAUGCAUGCAAUUUCAAAGCAUACUUUCAUUUAAACACAUUUUUGGGAAAAUAUCAAGUAUAUAAGUAUAUACUGAAAACCAAAAGCCCACUGACUGGUAUGGCGAAAGGUCGUAGCCCCCGAGUCAUCCUUGACUGCGCUCAUCCUUGGGAUAAGUCUCCCCUAUGUGUGAAACAACUAUAAAAACGUUAAUUUAAAGCACAUAACCAAUACUAGCUAAUAACUUUUAAUACAUUGCUCAAAUGGGGUGUUUAAAUAUACCAAUGUGAUCUACACAACCUCACGAACAUCCCCAUAUUUUUAGAAAAAAUUUUCGACAUCCCACGCGCCGGUAAGUGCACGACAACACGCGGGCAAUGCGCAGGGAAGCCUAACGGAAUCCCUAAUUGCCAUUAGGAAUAUUCCAUCCAAAUUACUUGACGCUGUUACCCUCCGUUAAGAAUAUUCCGUCAACUUUGACGGAAUAUUCUUCUUUCUUCUCCGGUGAAUCUCACCGGUCGUCGCCGUCGCUGGAAAACUGGAAAAUGCAAAAACCUUCAUAUCUCGUUCAAUUCUCAACCAAAUUCCAUGAAACUUGAACCAUAUUGAAGCUUAGGACAAAUAGAACACAAUCAUACCAAUUUCAAGCUCCAAAAAUCAUGGAAUCUCGCGCGGAGAAAGAAUGAUAGUUUCGGCCAAAUUUCAAACUUGCCAAACUCGACUUCCUGACGUCCAAAACACCUCGUUUUUCUUCUCUGAGCUUCGUGAAGACGUUCUAAAGCUUCCUAGAGGCUUAAAAUCUUUUGAAAACUUCACAUUUACGUGUGCAUGAACAAUACCUCAAAUCUGGGUUCUAGGGUUCUCGGGAAAUCGAGGGUUUCACGUCCAAAGAAAGGUAUGGAUGGGUUCGUGACGAUGAAAUGAAGAUGAUGAUGGUGUCUACAAGCUCGAUUUGUGAGUAAAUGGGUUGGUUUGAAGAGUAUGAUUGUACGGCUAAUGAAGAAAAUCUGAGAGGGAGGAAAGAGAGUACACGGGAGAGAGAGAAUAUGUGUCUGUGUGUGGUCCACAGGGGUCACCAACCAAAACCAAAGAAAAAUUUCAUCUAAGUCCUAAUUGGUUCCAAAUUAAUAGGACUUAGCACUAAUUGGUCCAAAAUCUAACCUAUCACACCACCACACAAAACGUCCAAGGGUAUAUAAGUAAUUUCACUUCGUCAAAAAUAAAUAUUUCAGGACGGGCUGUGAUAAUCUACCCACCUUAUAAAAUUUCAUCCUCGAAAUUAUACACAACAAUUACAUCCACUAAUAGUCAUAAAACAAGUGUGGAUACAUCUCUCUCAUCUGAUCCUCUGUCUCCCAAGUAGCCUCUUCCACUGAGUGAUUUCUCCAUAGAACUUUCACCAGAUACACUGUCUUAUUCCUCAGCUCUUUAUCUUUCCAAUCCAAAAUAGUCACUGGCUCCUUGUCGUAAGUCAAAUCCGGAUUAAUUUCCAAUGGUUGAGGAGGAAUCACAUUUGAAUGAUCUGCAACAUAAUGUCGAAGCAUCAAAACAUGAAACACAUCAUGCACUCUUGAUAACUCUGGAGGUAACUCAAGUCUAUAAGCAACCUCACCGACUCGCUCGGUGAUCAUAUACGGUCCAAUGUACCUAGGACUCAGGUUACCUUUCUUUCCAAAUCGCACAACACCUUUCCAUGGUGAUAGUUUCAGAAAUACCCAAUCACCUACAUUAUACAUCUGGUCAGUGGCAUGCUUGUCUGCUAAGUUUUUUUGUUGAUCCUGGGUCGUUUUCAGGUUAGACUUAAUUACCUGAAUAUUCUGAGUAGUUUCAUCCACAAUUUUCAGGCCCACCAAAACUCUUUCACCAACUUCUGACCAGCAUAAUGGUGUUCGACACAACUUGCCAUAGAGUGCCUCAAAUGGUGUCAUACCAAUACUCGAAUGGCAACGGUUGCUGUAGGCCAACUCCAUCAAAUCCAAACAAUCAUGCCAACCAUCGCCAAACUACAGCACUGAAGAUCUCAGCAUAUCCUCUAAUGUCUGAAUGGUUCUCUCAGAUAUUCCGUCUGUCUGAGAAUGAUAUGCCGUACUAUAAAGUAAUUCGUACCAAGAGCUUCCUGGAAUCCUAUCCAGAACUUAGAAGUGAAUCUAGGGUCCCGAUCCGAGAUAAUAUCAACUGGAACACCAUGGUACUUCACAAUCUUCGAUAUGAAUAACUUAGCUAAUCAGCUUAAUGAGUAUUUUUCCCUCACUGGAAUAAAGUGUGCUAACUUAGUAAGCCGAUCAACUAUCACCCAAAUGCCGUCAUAACCAUUCUGUGUAUGAGGAAGCUUGUACACGAAAUCCAUAGUAAUAUUUUCCCAUUUUCACUAUGGAACGGGAAGUGGUUGCAUCAACCCGAACUGCUUCUUCCUUUCAGCUUUAACCUGUUGGCAAAUGACACACCUAUUCACGUACUUAGCAAUUUCUCUUUUCAUACCCGACCAAUAAUAAAAUGGUCGAAUGGUAUGAUACGUCUUUAUACCUCCUGGAUGCAUUGCAUAUGCCGAAAUAUGUGCUUCAUCAAGGAUUUCUUUCUUUAACUCUGCAUUAUUCGGCACAUACAUUAUGUUCUCUUGCAUAAGCAUGCCAUCAGUUUCUCGAAUUCUGAAAUAUUUCUUCUUGCCUCGAUUUCUUGCUUGAAUUAUUUCCUGGGUCUUUUCAUCAACCACUUGAGCUUCAAGCACACGAUGACUUAAAAUUGGCCUAACUUGAAAAUUUGCAAGUAAAGCUUCCUCUCGAUCUUCCACUUCUAAUUCCACUCCUAAUUCCACUCCAGUGGACCUCAAUUCUGCAAGGAGAGGAACAUGAUAAUCAUAGAUGGCAUUAAGUCUAGCUGGAGUCUUCCUACUAAGUGCAUCUGCCAUUGUAUUUGCACGACUAGGGUGAUAUUCAAUCGUGCAAUCAUAAUCACUAAGUAACUCAAUCCACCUCCGCUGCUGAAGAUUUAGAUCCCUCUGAGUAAAAAGAUACUGAAAACUCUUAUGAUCUGUAAAGAUCUUACAUUUCUCAUCAUAAAGAGAAUGUCUCCAAAUCUUCAAAGCAAAGAUGAUAGCCGCUAAUUCUAGAUCAUGAGUAGGGUAAUUCUUCUCAUGAGGUUUCAACUGUCUCGAAGCAUAAGCAAUCACCCUACCAUGUUGCAUUAAUACACAACUCAGACCAUUCAAAGAAGCAUCACUGUAGACCUCAAAAUUACCACUAUCAUCUGGGAGCGCCAAAACAGGUGCAUGAGUGAGAUAAUACUUCAAUUGCUGAAAACUUUGCUCGUAAUUAUCAUCCCACUCAAACUUAACAUCCUUCCUGGUCAACCUCGUCAAUGGUAAAGCAAUAACUGAAAAAUCCUUAACAAAUCGUCUAUAAUAGCCUGCUAGGCCAAGAAAACUCCGUACCUCAGUGAUGGUUCGAGGUUGCUCCCAAUUCUCCACAGUUGCCACUUUUUGAGAAUCCACUCGAAUGCCUUGAGCUGAUAUAACAUGUCCCAAAAAUGCCACUUAAUCUAACCAGAAUUGGCAUUUGCUAAACUUAGCAUAUAGCUGGUGUUCCCUCAAACUUUUCAACACCAAUUUAAGAUUUCUAGCAUGCUGUGCUAUAGACUUAGAGUAUACUAGAAUGUCAUCAAUGAAGAUAAUGACAAGCCUGUCCAAAUAUGGUUGGAAUACUCGAUUCAUUAAAUCCAUGAAAGCUGCUGGUGCAUUAAUUAACCCGAAUGACAUCACAAGAAACUCAUAAUGACCAUAUUGAGUCCUGAAUGCUGUUUUUGGGACAUCUUCACUUUUAAUCUUCAACUUGUAGUAACCAGACCUCAAGUCAAUCUUAGAGAACACACAGGCACCUCGGAGUUGAUAAAAAAAAUCAUCUACACGUGGCAAUGGAUAACGGUUCUUAAUUGUUACCCGAUUCAAUUACCGGUAAUCAAUGCAUAGCCUCAAAGUUCCGUCCUUCUUCCUCACAAAUAAAAAUGGAACUCCCCAAGGUGAAGUAGUAGGUUGAAUAAAACUUUUAUCCACUAAUUCUUGCAACUAAACUUUCAAUUCCCUUAAUUUAAUAGGAGCCAUUAUAUAAGGAGUCAAAGAUAUAAGAUCCGUACCUGGAAGCAGAUCAAUAGCGAACUCCACAUCUCUAUCUGGCGGCAAUCCAGGUAAAUCAUUAGGGAACACAUCCGAAAAAUGCCUGACCACACGUACAUCUUCCACACUACUAAGAGCACUAUCAUUUAACACCACGUGAGCCAAAUAUCCCUGACAACCUUUCGACAACAAUCUUUUGGCUUUCAUGGCAGAAAUAACACCAUGCCUCACCUGGUUAAGCUUUCCUACAAGUGUAACUUCAGGUAAUCUAGGACGAUGAAAAGUAACUAUCUUUCCAUAGCAAUCUAUCUUGGUACGAUUGUAGUGUAACCAAUCAGUGCCCAAAAUCACAUCAAAAUCAACAAUGUCUAACGGAAUAAGGUUAGCCGGCAGGACGAUAUCCUCCACUAUCACAAGACAUCCUGGAUAUACCCGAUCAACAUAACAUCUUUCCCCUCUAGGCAUAGAAAACUCUAAAUCAUAUCAUAAAGGUGUAUGAUGAUGUUACGUCACUUGAGCAAAUGUAUGAGAAACAACAGAAUGCGUAGCACCACAAUCAAUCAAUACUCUAGCAAAAUGACUAAGAAUAUUUAACGUACCCAUGAUUAAAUCAGGAUUGUUCUGACCAUCUUGUAGUGUCAUGUUAUGGAUACGUCCCUGAUUCUGCUGUCGUCCACCACUACCUUUGCUAGCAUGAAUACCACGUCCUUAUCUUGGCUGACCAGACUGCCUCGAAGAUCAUGCACUGCUAGCAGCAAUCUUUACCUAUUGUGGCUGUCCCCCAUUGUACCAUUGGGAUCCACCUGCUGAAUGUGGCUGAUAUGGCAUAGAACCUUCCUGAUAAUGAGGGUCCUGCUAAUACUGAUACUGCCCUGAAGUAUAAGGAGCAGCGUCGCCCUGAUAAUGAUAAGCGCCACCACGACCAGUCUGGCAUAACCACUAGGUCCUGAAACUUGCUGGGCCAGCGCAUGUGGUGGUAAAGAAGGCUGUUGGGGCCUCUGCUGAUUCUGAGGGCAAUAGGCAGCCUUAUGCCCCAUCUACCCAUAAGUAUAGCAUGCAUUGUUGCCUCUCCUACACUCUCCGAAAUGCAUAUUAUUACACCUGUGGCAUAAAGGAACACUUAAACCACCAAUGUCCCCCUGCCUCUGAAAUCUCGGGCCUCUAGAAAAUCUACCACCUCUCCUCUGCAUGUUAGAGCUCAAGCCUCCACUAGAAGAGCUAGAACUGACACCACUUCUCUUAAAACUCUGGGUCUUACGAGGUCCUUGAGAUGAUUGACCUUUACCUUUAUCAUCUAGAUUAUGGUUCCCGUUCUUUUCUUCGUCAUCUUCACUCUCACUGGGCAUAUUACCUUAGUCCUCAAUCCGUAGUAAAACCUCAUAAAACUCCUGGUAAGUGGCACAGGGAGUUGACGUUGCUAUAGAACGCCAUUUCUUCUUAGUACCCAACCUGAAACGAUGGAGCAUCUCUAUCAGAUUAGCAGCAACCUCCGGAUCAUAUCGAGACAAAUCAGUAAAUCUCCUGUAAUAUUCAUUCGCCGUCAUCUUUCCAUGUUUCAAAUGCGUAAAUUCUUGUUUCUUGCGAUCAAUAUACUCAGGGGGAAUGAACCUUUUCUGAAACAACUGUUUAAACACUUCCCAAUUGGCUGCUACCAGACUCCUGUCUCCACUAGGAUGCAAGCUCCAGACCUAGAAACUAGGUAGUCGUCUUGACCCAACUAUCAGGAGGAAGAUUCCUCUGACUCUGCAUUACAAGGAAAGUCUUCUCGACAUGAUUAAGCCACUUCUCCGCUCCUUCAUGUCCUUCAUUACCUAUGAAAUAAUUCAGCAUCGGGUUAUACAGUCUCAAGAGGUGUCCUUUGAGGAGGACAGAGUGAAGACUAAAUGGCAUUAGCUAUAGCUUCCCCUAUCUGAGCGAUAUCGGGGAAACUAGGCUCAGUUGAGUGACGUGGCUCUCUACGAGGUGGCAUAGUUCUAACCGAAGACAUCAUAAUGGUUCGAUUAUUCACAAGAUAUACAAGACUGCUAAACCUAGGCUCUGAUACCAAACUAACACACCCCGACCUAAAAUCAAGACGUGCUAGCCGUCACGUGAGGGUGACGUAGCCAUGUGAACAGUGCGAAAGCAAUAAGGAUAUGAAAUAUACGAAUAAAUAAGAACCGAAACCUAAUUAAUGUGCACGAAUAAGCAGAAAGUGCUAGGAAUGAGAUACAAGUGUAAAUACACCUAAUCAGAGCAUAGAGGUCUAGGUGUAGUCUAGUAGGACAAGUACUAGUUACACAGUACCCAGAGAAGUCCUACGAAUAUUAUACUUUGUCAAAACCGCCAAGAUCCACUAAUGCCACCAACAGCAAGUCUACCUAAAACCUAGAAGGGCACAAAACAGAAAGUGUGAGUGGGCAAAAACAAAACUUUUCAAAAUCGUUUCAUUUAUCAAAUGCUCUAACCCCUCGCCAUAAAACAUGUAUAAUGUUCCCAUAAAUGGAAUAUAUACAUACAUAUAUAUAUAUAUAUAUAUAUAUAUCAAAUCAUGCUUCACAUAUCCAAAAUCAUAAGUAUGCCAGGCCAAAAUAUAAAACAGAAUAAGUAACUCAAGUGAAAAUAAAUUCAUGGAAAAUAACAUAUUAGCUUGAACCCCUGUAGAAGUAUGUAUGGUUGAAUUCAUAGCUUAUUAAUCAAUCUAGCCGGAGUCACUACAAGUGACCUAUAAGGCACUACACUGCACACGAGUCAGAACCACUGUAAGGGUCUGUACGACAAGACCGGGUAUAAUAUAGUUAUGCUCAAUGCUACGCUCUCAAGAUAGCUAUGCAAUAAAUCGCUAGUCACCUACGAGUCGGAACCACCUAUGAUGGUCUGUACGACAAGACUGUGCACCUAAAUUGGAUCCAAUGUGAGCAUAGGGUGCGGGAUGUGACAUUAUAAACAGGCAUGUACCAUAUCUCUGACUAAAUCACAAUCACCCGGGGUGCAGGUUUAUGAGCUCUAUGUUUCUCAAUUAAUCACAACCGUUAUUCACAUUCACAAUUGAUAAACUCACCUGGGCUUACCUGAGUGUCCACAACACCACAAUUAUAUAUUAUGCAUCAUAUACUAAUUCAUCUGCUGAAUAUAAAUUUAUAUGCAUGGUAUUUCAAAGCAUACUUUCAUUUAAACAUAUUUUUUGGGAAAAUAUCAAGUAUAUAAGUAUAUACUGAAAACCAAAAGCCCACUCACUGGUAGGUCGAAGGGUCGUAGCCCCCGAGUCGUCCUUGGGAUAAGUCUCCCUUAUAUGUGAAACAACUAUAAAAACGUUAAUUUAAAGCACAUAACCAAUACUAGCUAAUAACUUCUCAUACAUUGCUCAAAUGGGGUGUUUAAAUAUACCAACAUGCUCUACACAACCUCACGAACAUCCCCAUAUUUUUAGAAAAAUUUUCCGAUGUCCCACGCACCGGUAAGUGCACGACAACACGCGGGCAAUGCGCAGGGAAGCCUAACGGAAUCCCAAACUGUUGUUAGGAAUAUUCCGUUAAAAUAUAGGAAUAUUCCGUCCAAAUUACCUGACACUAUUACCUUCCAUUAAGAAUAUUCCGUUAACUUUGAUGGAAUAUUCUUCUUUCUUCUCUGGUGAAUCUCGCCGGUCGUCGCCGUCGCCGUCGCGGGAAAACUGGAAAAUGCAAAAACCUUCAUAUCUCGUCCAAUUCUCAACCAAAUUCCAUGAAACUUGAACCAAAUUGAAGCUUAGGACGAAUAGAACACAAUCUUACCAAUUUCAAGCUCCAAAAAUCAUGAAAUCUCGCUGGACGAUAGUUCCAGCCAAAUUUCAAACUCGCCAAACUCGACUUCCUAACAUCCAAAACACAUCGUUUUUCUUCUUCGAGCUUCGUGAAGACGUUCUAAAGCUUCCUAGAGGCUUAAAAUCUUCUAAAAACUUCACAUUUACGUGUGCAUGAACAGUACUUCGAAUUUGGGUUCUCAGGAAAUCGAGGGUUUCACGUCCAAAGAAAGGUAUGGAUGGGUUUGUGACGAUGAGAUGAAGAUGAUGAUAGUGUCUACAAGCUCGAUCUGUGAGUAAAUGGCUUGGUUUGAAGAUUGUCUAUACAUGGGAGAGAGAGAGUGUGUGUGUAUGUGUGUGUGUGGUCCACGGGGGUCACCAACCAAAACCAAAGAGUAUAUAAGUAAUAGGACUUAGCACUAAUGGGUCGUUUUGUGUGGUGGUGUAUUAGGUUAGAUUCACUAGACUUAGCACCAAUUUGGAACCAAUUUGGACGUUUUGUGUGGUGGUGUGGUGGGUUAGAUUUUGGUUCCAACUUUGAUGAAAUAUUCUUCUUUCUUCUCCGGUGAAUCUAACCUACCACACCACCACACAAAAUGUCCAAGGGUAUAUAAGUAAUUUCACACCGUCGAAAAUAAAUAUUUUGGGACUGGCUGUGACAUACAUUCCUUGAUCCUAUAUGAAUACAAUGAACUAAUUCGAUCGUUAAUUUAAAACAUUUACACAAGUGGAUACCACAAAAGAAAAAGGCAAUGCAAGAACCCCAAAAGAAAAGGAAAAGGAAAAAAAAAAAAACUUUGCGUGACGUAGGUGCACCUAUGUGGCGCAAAGUUGGGUUGGUUUGGCGCCAAAAUCUUGCACGACGCAGAAAACGUCACGCAAACAUACUUUGCGGUACAAAAUUUGCUGAUUCAUGCAAACAUGUUUUUGUACUAGUGUAUGUAAUUUACCCUUUUUAUUUUUUUUGGUCAUAAAAUCAACAUUUUCCCAAACUUUCUUUUAAAUAAUUGAUUAAGAUUUGAUUUUACACAAUUUAUUCAUUCAAUCUCUAUGGAGAACGGCCUUGCUAGAGCUGCUAUACUAUGAUCACCUUGUAAUCUUACAAGUAUUUUAAGUAUUUUUAUUCCUACUUUUACAGUGGUAAAAAUCCUAUCACUAAUAACAACCAGUUGGUAUAGAGGUUUCUGAGUACCAUAUUAUAUAUUCUGGUGUGUAUGUUGUGACAGUCGAUUCCGUGAAGAGUUGGGUCCUUAUCUUUGGAUUGUUGGGUGAAUAUGAAGCAAUUAAAAUAAUUGUUAAUGACAAGUUCUUCGUUUCAUCCAUCAACCCCAAUUGCAUGUUGCAUUUUCUUUCUUCCGAGUUAUGUCAAAGUGUGCACGUGAAACCCCAAUAAUUCUCAUGCAUGCACCAGUGGCAGUGGGGUCCUAGUUCCUAAGGAUAGCCCUUCCUCUUUUGUCCUCAUGCCAAACCCCAACCCCCUACCAAGAAUCUCUCAUCUCUCUCUCUCUCUACAAACACAGUCAUUGAUUCAUAUCUUAAGUUCUUGACCACCAUCGAUAAUGGCUGCUGGAAAACCUCAACUUUUGCAGCAGUUUGUGCUGUCUGCUUUUCUUCUCUGCCUCUGUUAUUCUGCAAAUGGGGUUCAGUGCUUUAAGGAGAAGAAGCUCCUCAAGCUGCAACAGUUUCGUUGGAGGCGGCAUGGUCGACAUGCUCAAACCACAAUUACUGCUUGCCUCUCCCACAAAUCAAGUAAGCAAACACUACUAUACCACUGCUUUACUUUGUUUUGCAUUGUACUAUAUUUUGCACUACUGGAUUAUGGGCUUUUCUCUAGGGUCCCAGAGUAUCCCAUACUCUGGAUGUUGGAACCAUUAGAUCCUUGGUUAAAAAUAUAAAAUUGAGAUGUUUAAUGGUUGAAAAGCCUGAAGUAUCCCAUACGGAGUGCCCUAGAAUUUGUAGUUAUAUAUGUAUGUGGCGAAUAAAGGUCUUAGUGUUAGGAUAAACAUAAAACCAAGAACAAGUAAUAUGAAUUACUGUAACCAAAACACAACCACAAUUCACCAACACAAAGUAAAGAGAAUAAUCAUACCUGCAGAUGAACUAGAAAGAGUUGCCAUGUCCGAGUUUUGCAGUGAAAGGGCAGUGCACCUUCUCCUCUCUUCAGUAAUCAGUUAAGCUCUUAACUAAUAAUAGGUUUUAGUCCAGAAAAAGAGCAUGUGUACUGCGAGAGCAGAGGCCACUAUAUAUAUACAUAACAUAAUCCUUGCCAAGUUCUAUAAGGAUUCCCCUAUUAGAAUUCUUAUAGAAAACGAAUCCCUUACGAAUAGUAGUUUAGUAUAAUAUGGAUUACAAAUCCAUUCCCAGAUUACAGAUUCAUACUUAUGCUCAUAUUCUUACAUUCUCCCACUUGAGCAAGUAUGAACCAAAUAAACUUAGUUCAAUCAAGAUUACAAUAAGGUGAUCAUCAAGCCUUUUGAGUAACAUCAUAAACAAUCUAUCUGUACAUUUCAAAACACAGAAUCCAAAAACUUAUAAUCACAACCAACAUGCAAUUAAUGCUUUUAGACUACUUAUGUUCAAUAUGUACUUAUAACAUUAUGAUCAAACUAAUACCAGUGGAUCCAAACAUCCACUCCCACUAUUUCACAACUUAAUUCGAAAUAAUUAAGCCUAACACAGUCAACAAAACUAUCAACUUGUAAUCCAUUUCAAAUCAAUAUGUAUGAAUUCAAACAACUACUCGAGUCAAAUCACAAGGAUCCUCAAAGCAUCAGACUGAAUUCAAAACCACAUAUAUUUAUCAGACCAAUCAAUUACAAAAAUUGAAUUUCUGAUUGCAAUAAAACUAGCUAACUAACUGAUAAUUAUACUAGCUAAUUAUAAACUUAUCUUUUGAGAAGACCAUUACUGCUACACCAGCUAUUCGAACUUCACAAUAGCAACACUCCUCAAAUCUUAUUAUUGCAAUUGUCUUCAAAACAACAAUUGCUCUUUCUAAACCAGAACAACAAACUACUCCCAUUGAUCAAAAGACUCAAGUAAACCCAACCGAGAGAUUUGCAUCUUAUAAACACCAACUGGCAAGACUUUAGUCAAGGGGUCAGUAACCAUUAAGCUUGUACUUAUAUGCUGCACAUUAAUAGCUCCCUGUUUAACCUUUUCUCUCACCUUUAAGAACUUAACAUCCAUGAGUCUCGAAGCAGAUGUUCUUUUAUUGUUCUUUGCAAAGAAAACUGCAGAUUUGUUGUCACAAUACAUCUUUAAAGGUUUCUGUAUUGACCUUACAAUUUUGAGUUCUGCCAUAAAAUUUCUCAACCAAACUGCUUGUUUCAUGCCUUCAAAACAAGCUACGAAUUCGGCUUCCAUACUAGAAGUUGCAAUGAUUGUCUGCUUGGCACUUUUCCAGGACACUGCACCCCCUCCAAAAAGAAAAACAUAACCACCAGUAGAUUUUUUGUCAUCUAAAUCACCUGCUAGAUCAGAAUAUGUGUACCCUACAACCUCAAGAUCUUCUUCGCUGCCAUACAUAAGCAUAAGACCUUUAGUUUGUCGAAGAUACCUCAAAACCUUUUUGGCUGCAUUCCAGUGACCUUCACUUGGAUUGGAUUGAAACUUGCCCAAUAACCCUACAAUGUAAGCAAUAUCAGGCCUCGUAUAAACAUUUACAUACAUCAAGCUUCCAACCAGAGAUGCAUAUGGUUUUUCAACCAUUUUCUUGACUUCAAAUUCAGUCUUAGGACAUUGGUCUUUUGUCAACCAAUCUCCCUUGUUCUGUGGUGCAUGACAUCCAUUGCAAUUCUCCAUAUUAGAAUUCUUUCAAUAUAAUUCUUUUGUGACAGUCCCAACAACCUUUUAUUUCUAUCUCUUGCAAUCUCAAUCCCUAGAACAAAAUGAGCUUCACCAAGAUCCUUCAUUUCGAAAUUAGCAUUAAGCAAGGAUUUGGUCUCUUUUAGUAACUGUGUGCAAGAGCUAGCAAGCAGAAUAUCAUCAACAUAUAACACAAGUAUAAUGAAUUCUGUUCCAUUGAAUUUAAGAUAGAUGCAAUCAUCUAACUUGUUUUCAACAAAACCAUUUAAUGUGACAACUUGAUCAAAUUUUAAAUACCACUGUCUGGAAGCUUGUUUGAGACCAUAGAUUGACUUGUUUAAUUUACAUACCAUGUUCUCCUUCCCCCUUUCAAUAAAUCCAGGUGGUUGUGUCAUGUAUAUGUCCUCUUGAAGAUCACCAUUCAAGAAUGCAGUUUUUACAUCCAUUUGAUGUAAAUCGAGAUCAUAGUGUGUAGUUAUUGCCAUGAUUAUUCGCAUUGAAUUUUUAGAAGACACAAGUGAAAAGGUAUCAUUAUAGUCAAUACCUUCUCUCUGAGUGAAUCCUUUUGCCACAAGCCAAGCUUUAUAUCUUUCAAUCUGACCAUUUGCAUCCCUCUUUGUCUUAAACACCCAUUUGCAUCCUAUGGGCUUGAGUUUAGACUUCGGUUCUACCAAUGACCAGACUUUGUCCUUAAACAUAGACUCCAGUUCUUCUUUCAUUGCAUUUUUCCAUAAGGUAGACUGUGAGUUGUUCAUAGCUUAUGCAUAAGUCACUGGAUCAUCAAUGUCUCCAAUAUUGUAAUCAGUUUCUUGAAGAUAACACAGAAAGUCCUUUGAAAUCGCAGGUUUUCUUGUUCUUAUGGAUUUCCUAAUCUCAGGUUGUAUUUGCUCACUUGCUGUUUGAUCAGUGAUACAUUGACUUGGUUCAGUUUCCAUUUCAAUAGCCCCCAUGUCAGUAGCUCCCUGAGACUCUUCUAACUGAACAAGUUCUUUAGAAUAAUCAUGCUCAACGUCUUGAACCUUUGAUUGAGGAAACACCAAAACUGGACAAUGAUCAAUGGAAAGUUUUUCGGGUUGUUGUUAUUCAAUUUCUUUAAAGACAAAGUUCUCAAUAGUAAAGUGUGAAACAUCUUGGUCCUACAAAAAUCUAGCAUUAUGAGUUUCUUUGAUUCUGGUAUGAGCCUGUGCACAAUAGAACUUGAACCCUUUAGAUUUCUCAAAAUAACCAAUGAAGUAACAUGAUUCAGUCCCCAGGUCCAACUUUCUUUCUUUUGGAUUAUAGAACCCAGCCUCUGCUUUGCAUCCCCAAAUAUGAAAGUGCCCAAAGCUUGGCAUUCUUCCAUACCAGACUUCAAACGGAGUAGUCGAAACUGAUUUGCUAGGAACCCUGUUGAGUAUAUAAUUUGCAGUCUUUAGUGCUUCACCCCAGAGAAAACUGGGUAGUCUUGUCUUUGACAUCAUGCUUCUCACCAUUCCAAUUAGUGUUCUAUUCCUCCUUUCCGACACUCCAUUUUGCUGCGGUGUGCCAGGUGUUGUAUACUGAGCCAUAAUCCCUUGUUCUUCAAGGUAGAGGGCAAAUGGACCUUUCUGUUGACCAGACUCUGUGUACCUGCCAAAAUACUCUCCACCCCUAUCUGAUCUAACAAUCUUAAUGGUCGUAUUUAGUUGUUUUUCCACCUCAGUCUUAAAAUUUUUGAAAUACUUAAGAACUGCUGACUUUUCACUUAUGAGAAAGGUGUGACCAAAUCUUGAAAAAUCAUCUAUAAAGUUAACAAAAUAAUUGUUUCCACAAAUUGUUUUAGUUAGAAAAGGACCACAAACAUCUGUAUGAAUUAUCUCAAGCAAAUCUUUGCUUCUUUUAGCUUCAAAAUUUCGAAAAUUAGUGAGUUUUCCUUUCAAACAAUCCACACAUUCAAUUUCAGUUGAUAAAUCAAAUGAUGGAAUCAAAUUAGCCUUUGACAACUUAGUGAUUCUAUCUUUUGAAAUGUGUCCUAGUCUCUUGUGCCAAAGGAUAUAAGAACUAUCUAUGUUUAACAUUCUCUUGGUGUUUGUGUUCAAUGCAUGAUGCUCAUUCAUGAUUACACUACAUUCCAUUUGCCAUAGAUUUUCAACCAAAUUCGCAGCCCCUAAGAUUGAAUCAAUACCACCUUUUUUGAAAAAAUUUCAAAUAGUCAUUGUCACCCAAAAAGCAAAUACCAUGUUUUACAAGUUUAGAGCCUGAAAUUAGGUUUCUCCUUAUCUUCGGCACAUAGAGGACAUCAUGCAAUUGCAGGACAAAACCAGAAGACAAUUUUAGCUUAAUUGUCCCAACAUCCUUAACUGCCACUUUUGUUCCUUCCCCCACAAAAACAUUAUAACAGUUAAAACUUAAGUCCUUUUGUCUUUCAAAACCGUGUAGUGAAUUAGUUAUGUGAACUGUGCAACCAGUGUCAAACCACCAUGAAUCAAUUGGAACUUCAAUCAAGUUUGACUCUACACAGACAUUAACUAUAUCUUUCCCAUUAGCUUUCAGAUAAUCCUUAAAAAGUUCACAUUGAUUUCUUAAAUGACCUCGAGUUUUCAGAAAAAAAACAUUUAAGUUUAGCAACAUUUUUAACUUUUGUUUUAAGAUUGUUAGAUCCUUUAAAGGUUUCAAGCAUUUUAGCAGAAGCAUUAGUCUUAUCAUAAGGUUUAGGGUGCUUGAAAUUCUUACCUUGAUUAUUUCCAGUAUUGCUUAGAUGAUUUCCAGCAUUAUUGAAUUUCUUCCCUUUCCCCCCUUGCACAAAAUUCACAGUUUUAGUGUCCUUGCCUCUCUCUUGUCUCUGUCGAGUUUCUUCUUGAACACACUGUGGAAUAAGCUCAUCCACAUCCCAACUUUUGUCUUGUGUGUUAUAAGACACCUUCAAUUGAGAAUACUUAUUUGGGAGGGCUUGCAGAAUCAUAAAAACCAAUUGCUUUUCACCAAUAUUGACAUCCAAUGAGUUUAACUUCUCAGCAGCAUCAGUUAUUUUCAUAAUAUGAUCCCUGAUUGAACCAGCAUUAUCGAUUUUGUAAGUUGUUAGGAGUGACAUGUAUUGACUUAUCUCUGCUUUCUGAGACUCCUUAAACUUCUUUUCAAUGGAUUUCAAAUACUCUGCUGCCAAGUCAUGUGUUUUAAUCCCUCCUCGAACUAUAUCAGUCAUUCCACUUUCAAGAAUAGAGAGAGCAACUUUGUUUGCUCUUAUCCACCUCUCAUGAUCAGCCUUCUCUGUUCUGGUACUUUGAUCAGUGAUCACUGGUUUUGGAGUAUCAAUGGCUAUAUCAUAUUCAUUGAUUGUCAGCAGCAAACCAAUUUCUCUCCUCCACUUCUUGUAGUUACCACCUCCAGUGAGUAUUGGAAUAUUUGACAAAUUCAAGGUUUUCAACGAUAUUGCAAAUGCUGCAAAUGAAAUCACAAACAUGAACCAGUUAGGUUCCUGAUUUCCUUUUACAGUUUGCACAUCAUAACUCUCAUCAAUAAUUCAUACAUAUAGGCUUAACAACACACAGUUGAUAAGCAUACAUAGAAAAACUGACUUAUAGAAUUCAUAAUGAGAUAUGCAACAACAGGCAGCGAAUCGAAGUCUCAUGCAUAGUGACCAUUAUCCAUUGUUCCAUACAAACAUAAAGCUUUCAUUAGAAUUUGCUGAUCACAAUUUUGCAAGGUAUAAGAGAAUCGCAGUUUCAAACACGAUUGACCAAUCAAUAAACACGAUCAAUAAACAGACAUGGAUCAAGCAAUUUUCUUUAUCAAACAUACCUUAUGCAGAUUUCAAUUGGAAAUAGCACAGCGGAAAAUAUCAUCCAAAUCGAAAAAAUAUUAGUUUAGAGGUUGAGGAAAUCAAAACCCAGAACAUAUUCUGAUCAAUGAUGUUUCAAAUUAAAAACCCCAAAUCGAAAAGAAAACCCCUUAUUAUUGGGUUUGCUGUAGAUCCAACGGUAAUACCUCGAAUUUUUUUUUAAUGUUUUGUUUAUUUGGCAAAAACACACACCAGAACUCGUGUUCGAUUCCCCAGUGUCCCAAUAUAAGGUAUAUUUUUUAUAAAAUUUAUUUGUGUUUUCGAACCUUGUUGAUUUUAAUAACAAAACUCAUAAACUCCAGAUUCCAGGCUCUGAUACCACAUGUUAGGAUAAACAUAAAACCAAGAACAAGUAAUAUGAAUUACUGUAACCAAAACACAACCACAAUUCACCAACACAAUGUAAAGAGAAGAAUCAUACCUACAGAUGAACUAGAAAGAGUUGCCAUGUCCGAGUUCUGUAGUGAAAGGGCAGUGAACCUUCUCCUCUAUUCAGUAAUCAGUUAAGCUCUUAACUAAUAAUAGGUCUUAGUCCAGAAAAAGAGCAUGUGUACUGCGAGAGUAGAGGCCACUAUAUAUAUACAUAACAUAAUCCUUGCCAAGUUCUAUAAAGAUUCCCUUAUUAGAAUUCUUAUAGAAAACGAAUCCCUUACGAAUAGUAGUUCAGUAUAAUAUGGAUUACAAAUCCAUUCCCAAUAAGACUUCCUAUUUAAUCUCAAAAUCCAAUAACCAAGAUUACAGAUUCAUAUUUAUGCUCAUAUUCUUACACUUAGGUCAUCUACCAACAAAACUCUCUUGGUAGAUUAUGCUGGGUUGUGGCCUAUGCAACUCAAAAUAAUGAACUUUUAAUGGUUUCUAUAUAUUCUCUGGGCUUUUUAAUUUGUUCGAAUGUGUAUAUACUUUGAUAAAUGUGUUUUGUUUUUGUUUGAGAUAUUAAAUAGCAUGAAAUUAUUAAUUUAGUAAAUCUUGAAUGGGGUUGUCAUUUAAUUUGAUUAUAGGAAGAGAAAAAGGUGCAGCCAUAUUGGAGAUAAAACACAAAGAUGACUGCUUUGGAACUGGAAAGGUUGUGGACUGGAACAAAAAACAACGGAAACGUUUAGUUUUGGGCGAUGUUCACAUUCGGACACUACAAUUCGGAUUCAAAAACAAGGUUUCCGGCAGCAUGAAAGAUGUAUCAGAUGCUCAAAUCCUGUUAACUUCCGGCGCUAGGCUACAAACACUGAACUACAUUGUAACCGUGGAACUGGAAGGAAGAAAUAUGACACUGAUUGUAGACGCAGGCAGUGAUUUGACUUGGGUUCAAUGCUAGCCUUGCAAAUUGUGUUAUAAUCAACAAGAGUCUCUCUUCAAUCCUUUUGCAUCCUCUUCGUACAAAUCGGUUUUAUGCAACUCCUGGACUUGUCAGUCACUCCAGUUUGAUACCGGGAAUCCAGGGGCAUGCGGGAGCAACCCAAUGAGCUGUAACUAUGUGGUGAAAUAUGGUGAUGGCUCGUACACUCAUGGUGAGCUAGGUAGUGAUCAUCUCAGUCUUGGAACUGCGCCGGUGACCAAUUUUGUGUUUGGUUGUGGCCAAAAUAAUAAGGGUCUGUUUGGAGGAACUUCGGGUCUAAUGGGUUUGGGAAGGAGUGAAAAUGUCUCAGUGGUGUCUCAAACUUCUGCAUUAUUUGGAGGAGUUUUUUCCUACUGCUUACCUACAACAGAAUCCACAGCUUCUGGUUCUUUAAUUAUGGGGGGUGAUGCUUCAAUUUACAAGAACUCCAUUCUUAUUUCUUACACUAGAAUGGUUAAUAAUCCAUAACUAUCAUCCUUCUAUUUUCUCAACCUUACUGGUAUAAGUAUCGGGGGAGUCACUUUACAAGCUUCAAGUUUUGCAAGUGGUGGGAUUCUGAUUGAUUCUGGGACAAUUAUUUCAAGACUGCCUCCUUCAGUUUACAAGGCUGUCAAGACAGAGUUUUUGAAACAGUUUUAUGGGUACCCUACGGCACCAGGUUUUUUGAUCUUGGACAGUUGCUUCAACCUGAGUGCAUAUCAAGAAGUAAACAUUCCUACCCUCAAGUUCCACUAUGAGAGAGAUACUGAGAUGAAUGUUCAUGUAAUUGGAAAUUUCUAUCUUGUACAGACAGAUGGAUCCCAGAUCUGCUUGGCUUUAGCAAGUCUUUCGUACGAAGAUGAGAUUGCUAUUAUCGGGAAUUAUCAACAAAAAAACCAAAGGGUUAUAUACAAUACCAAAGACUCCAAGCCGGGAUUUGCAAAAGAAUCAUGCAGUUUUACGUAAGCUGAAAUGUCAGAAGGAAUUAUGUAUGUUUUCGCCUGUAUUUUUUGGAAGUUAAGCCAAGCAACACGUUGGCAAAAAAAUCUUCAAGCGAUAGUUCUUCUUGGUUCAUCUGAUGUAUAAAUAGGUAUUGGUACAAUUGGACAAGGUAUAGAACAAAUGCAUGUGUGCCAUUUGCGAUUUUUGAAUGUCGUUGUGUGAUAAAGUGAUUCCCUAUAGCUGAGGCAAUAAGGGUUUGAACUUUAUAUUAUUUUUAUGUAUGAUGUUUGAAUGCAACACGUUAGGCAAGAGUGCACGAAAGAAUAGUACAAAAGAACCGUAUAAAAUUUCACACACUUCAUAGAAUUGACCUAUGUUGAAAAAAAGGUUAAAGAACGAAAUAAAGUUUACGUUAGUUGACAACAGAUUUGCAAAGGACCAACCAAGAACAAUAACAACCAAACCUAUGAAUCCUAGAACGUUAUUGUGCGUGGUUUUGCGCUAAGUCUUAUGUUAGCUUGAAAUACUCUAUAUCUUUUCUUAGUCUUUUUCAAAGUCUUCCUAUGUUAGAUCCCACAUCGCCCAGGGAAGUUGAUCAUAUAUGCCUUAUAUGUACAUGCCCACCUCCAUAUAGCAUGAGACCUUUUGGGACCUCACUGGGUUCCAUCGGAACUUUGAAGUUAAGCGAGUUCGCGCGAGAGCAAUCCCAGGAUAGGUGACCCAUUAGGAAGUUCUCGUGUGAGUUCCCAAAAACAAAAUUGUGAGGGUGUGGUCGGGACCCAAAGCGGACAAUAUCAUGCUACGGCGGAGUCAAGCCUGGGAUGUGAUGGAGCUUGGAUUAGGAUGUGACAUCCUAUGUCUUCCUCUACCCCUUUACGAAAAAUAACGAGCGAGGUUGAAGCCACUUUUUUUCGAUAGUAAGAAGAGAGUAAGAAAAAUGGUCGGCUGUCCAUCCCUGCAGUUGCACCUUUAUCUUAUUAUAGUGCUACUUGUUAAGUGGUAAUGGAAAGUGAACUGGAGUUCUGAUUCUGAAUCUCAGACCAGACAACUACUUCAACUAGAUGCCUGCAAAACUUGUACAAUGAAUUACCUCGGAAAUCACCAAGCUCGUCCCAUGUGCAUUCUCAUAACACGAGAACAGUAAUUGAAUAAACAUUUUUGUCUAAGUAAGAACAUUUAACCAACACAUGCAUAUAAAUUAACAAUUAAAGUAGACAUGUUGUUGAGCGUAAAAAUUACAAAGCUUACGUACGCAAGCCAAAUAACUAUGAGUUAACCUUCUUGUGAAUGCAGGCGUACAACCUCGCUACCGAGCACAGUCGUUGUUAACUUUUACACUUGAGCGAUUACGGUCGAGGAAGGAACAUGUCUUGACCUCGGGUUUUAGAACUUGAAGACAAGGUUAGUAGAUCAUUGUGAAGUUCAAUAACUGGUUCAGCUUUCACUAUGCCAAACAAGGAGUAACAUGAUAACACUUCAUUUCACCGAGAAGCUAGAUGACUUCUUUAGGCAAAAGAAUUGGAAACUCUUCGCCCGCCAAGUCUUGGAUAGGUAAACAACCAACCAAAAACAGUGUUGCUCACUUGUCCGAACUGAAGAUAGGAGAUGUUUAGCCAGUACAAGCUGUGUUUUAUGGCACCCAUCCGGGUGGAGUAGCCAAGAAAAGGUUCUAAAGGAACGAAGGUACUUGACCAAAGGAAGUCUUUUCAAGUACAGUAGACACUAGACAUUCCACAUUAGAUGAAUGCCCUAAAAGAGUGCUUACCGAUUAGUAGACUGCACUUGAAAGCAUACUUUUUGUCGAUUUUGAAAAGGAUAGGUGGUCUCAGCUCCAGUGUUGUUAAUCUAAAUUGAAGAUGUCGCUGAUUACCACCACAAUAGUGUUCACUUAUCCGAACUGAAGAUGUGUUGGCAGGAGAGUUAUGAUAGUUAGUGUUUUUCUCAAGGGUAUAAGAAAGGUUUCUCGUAGAAUGAGGGCCUGAGUUGUUUGUUGAGUUGAAUGAGCUCUAUACGUUGCAAAACCUCUUCUAUUUAUAAGGGUGAAUUCUAUGACGGCCAAGUCCACCGAAUGGCAUAAUGUAAUAUUUCAAUUCUUCAGCAUAUUCUCUUAGCGUACAAGGAAUUAUUCUCGACUGAAACUCUAUCACUACCAAGUCUCGUCAUCUUCGACUAAGACUCUGAACCUAGAUUGAUUAUGCGAUUGAUUCAACCUUUAUCUGGAAACCAAUCCUAAUCCUCAAUAUUUCUCUUAUCUAACAUCUUAGAGUAUAUGGGCAGAGUGCGUGCAAAAUCAAGUCCAAACAUUGUCCCCAAUUUUCUUGAGGUUUAACCUGCCGGCCAAAUGGUUAAGGAAAUUAACCCUGCCUCUAGUUGAUCAUCUGACAUAGCACCUUUAUUUUUUGGAGUAUCAGCUUGUGCAAUCGAAUGUAAUUUAUUGAUGCUUGGUGAAACAAUAAUAUAAACUUUUUCGUUGAAUUACCCAACUAGUGUACACAUGAAAGCCUACCAACUAAAGUGGGUGGUCAUUCAAUUUUAUUUUUUUUGGGCAAACAACCACUUGUUGUCCCCUCAUUUACUUAAGUAUCGGCUUAGACGGUCGUAUAGUUAAGAAAAGAAAAGUUAUUAUUUUUCUAGCAAACGAAAACAAAAGUGGCAUAACCAUGAUGAUGAGAAGGUCAACGAUAUUGUUUCAAUCUAAUUUCGCUCCAGGCUAAAUAAAGGAUCCUUUCUAAAUAUUCUUGACUCGACCAAACAUGUUUGAUUCUCAGCUGCCAAAUGCGUUGAGUUAUUAUGCCUCUCCCUCCUUUCUGAACAUAAUUACUUUGCCAUUUUUGGCUUUUAACUCGAAUAACUUAGCCGAACGAGAUUGCUCCACAUCAGUAUGUCCAAUAAUCAUAUUUAUUGACAUGAUUUUUGCAUCUGAAGCCAUGUUUCAACCUUGUUUGUCAUUAGAAAAUCUCCUGACAAACCAUUGGAAAUUUUUUUUUAAGCCAACCAAAUUUUCAGUCUUGACCGAAAAAAUAGGGGGGCCUAGCUUGUUCUUCUAGGCUAACUAACUUUUCUGAUUUAGCCAAGAGAAUAGGUGUCCUAGUUUCUUCAUAGACCAAAUUGACAAUUUCUUAGGCCAAAGCUUGAUUGUGGACUGAGCGAAAAAUUGCCUCUGGUAUUCCAAUCCAACCAUUCUUUAAUGGAAUAGACUUGUACCCAAGAACAAAAGGAAAGUGUUUGUCAUCUAGCCAAGCAUUAAAGCAAGCUCUAUCCUCUUUUGCCCAUUGUUCUUAUAGGGUGAAGGGAGUUUUCCCCUUCAAUAUGUGAGCGAAGAUUUUCGCAUCUCCUCAUGGGCAUCAAGAAAUUUUUUGCUUCCCAUGCUCUCUAUUCUUCUCACUUUUGAAUGUGUUUUUCCAAUUGCGCUUAGAUCUCUUCCAACCGGCUAAAUUUAGUCGGAUUGGAAUAUUGAAAUAUCAUAUGACUUUGUAGUUUUAACACUCGGUCCUACCAGGCGUACCAAAAUGUUGACCCUAAAAAUUACAAAGUCUACGUGGCAUAUAGGCCGAGUAACUAUAAGCUAACUACGUUUUUCUUGUGAAUGUGGGUGUGUCAACUCACAACUAAUCUCGGUCAGGUGCGUAGAAUAAAUGUAGUGGUUGUGGUGUUGAAUGUGCUGCUGACUUCUGCACUUGAAUGAUUAUGACAGAGAAACGAACACUUCUCAACCUUGGUUCUAGAACCUAAAAGCAAAGUUACUAAAUCACUGCGAAGUUCAAUAAUGGGUUCGGCUUUCAGUAUGCCAAACAAGGAGUAGCAUGGUAACAUCUUACUUCAUCGAGAAUCUAAUGAGAUGACAUCUUUAGGUGAAAGAAUUGGAAACUCUUUGGCCGCCGAGUCUUAAAUAGGUAACUAGCCAACCAGAAGCAGUGACCUUCACUUGUUGGAACUGAAUAUGCUCUUAUAUCACUUGGUCUUACAACUCCGGUAUUGUUUAGUCCAAACUAAAGAUGUCACCAGUUGCCAUUUACUUAUUCGAACUGAAGAUGUGUUAGCGAGAAGGUUAGGAUAGUUAGUGUUUUCGCACAGAUGUGAGAAAGAUUUCACAUAGAGCAAGGUUUUUGCGUAGAGCUUUUUAGUUGUUUGUUGAGUUGAAGGGGCUUUCUAUGUUCCAAAACCUCUUGUAUUAAUAGGGAUGAAUUUUGUGAUAGCCAAGUCUACCGAAUGACAUAAUUUUAAUAAAAUUCUGAUUCUUUGGCAUAUUCUCUAAAUAUACAUGGAAUUAUUCUCAGCCAAAACUCUAUUGAUGCCAAGUCUCGUUGUCUUUGACUAGGACUUUAAACCUAAAUUGAUUAUGCGAUUGAUUCAACCUUUAUCCGAAAACAAAUCUUAAUCCUCAAUAUUUCUCUCAUCCAACAGCUUAAAGUACUAUGGGUUGAGUACGUGCAAAAUCAGGUCCAAACACAUGCACAAAAAAACAAUUCUAUAACUCAUGAAAUUCAAAGCUUAGUGAAUGGUGAACCAUGACACCUUCAAAGUUAAAUUGAAACAUAUGAGCUUUCAUACCCUUGAAGCUCAUCCUUGUGUUCACAAGGUUAUCACCCGAGUUGAGGGCCUUCAAAGUCCACUCCUAGCUUCUUGGAUGUUUCCUUUCGCCUUCAAUCUUUGCUCCUUGAGUCUUUGCUCCUUUCCUUCUUAAGGAUUUGGGGAAUAGAACCUCCAAAGCUUCCAAAGUUGAAACCUUCUUAGUUCCACAACAAGGAUGUGAGGAGGAGAUUUAAUGACCUAGAAGAAGUUUUGUUGCUAGUAAAACUUUCCCUAAGUGGCCAACUAUAGAGAGGAGAGGUAGAGUUUUUAUGCCUCCAAAUUCCUUCUCACAAAACCCUAAUGAGCUUUAAGUUAUAAUUUCACUUUUAUAAGACCCGUUAAGGUUAAGUUUUAUGACAACUUAAACAAAGAGGGACAUAAGCCCAAGUUAGUAAUGUCACUCAAUUGCUAAUAUAUGUUUCUUGAUUGUGUAAUGUCACUCAAUUGAUAAUUGGGCAUUAACAAUCUGCUAAGUCAUACUCCCAAUUGAGUGACAUUACACAUAUUAGCCUUAGCAGAUUGUUAAUGCCCAAUUAUCAAUCCUAUAGCUAGAACCAUUUUGAGAAUGAACAUAAGAGAAAGGUCUCAUUGAUCUAACACACUUAUAUCACUUGUCACUUAAGUUGAUUACAUUCUUUGAAUUAUAUUAUUGAUUAAACACAUAAUACAUUAAGUAGUGAUUAACAACAAACAUUAUUCUUCUUUGAAACUAAAUAAGAGUACAUAAUAAGUAUUCCGAAAACUAUUACGUCAAAUGAGUGUGGCUUUAAAGCAUAAUUCUAACAGUAAAAAGACCUGUUGCGGAAAAGGGUGGUUGUAUGUGAGUCCAAGUUCUUCUUUAUGCUAAUUAGAUAACGUGCAAAAAUGCCUUCUCUCAGGGAUGUGGUUGCGACAUUCUGAAAAACUGUUUCUCCAGUAUCUCCCAACAGCCAUUCUUCCUUGACACUGCAGUUAACAGAUCCCUAGUUCUGAUCAAGUGCCAUUGAGAAGGGAGGACAUUUCAAGAGUCUCAUACUCAUGUACAUCGUUGGCUUUUUUGGUCCUCAACAUCUCAGAUGGAAGAAUAGUUAAGUUGGGAUCGCUUCUAGGUAUUAAGAACAGUAGCGCAAUCGGAACAAUUCUCAACAAACUCCGGAUCAAAAUGGCCAUCCAAAUAUUUUCGAACUGUGUCCGCGUAAUAUUCAAGAUGUGGAGUAAGAGGCCUCCGGCCCAAGUAGAUGACAGCAUCCCUAUAUGAUCAAUGGACAUCAGUAUAGCAAAGAAAGUACCUUCUAUACCUGCAGGGCAGAGUUUGGAACUAAGUACAAGAAGAGGCAUCCACUUCAAACGCCCAAUCAACAUAGAAAUGGCUUCGUCAAUGACAACAAAAAGAUAAUCUGGCAAACCAAAUUUCAAAUUUAUGCGCAACACCAAUACCAAGUCUAGCAUUCCUGAAGCACCAUAGAGCAACUGAGUCCAGAAAAGAACAUCCCUGAAAGGGUAACUUUUUAAAAAGUUCUGGUAGAGAAGGACCCCAAAAAGGGAGCCAACAGCACCAAUAGAGAAUAUGGAUCCGACAACCUCCUGUAAGAAGCACAUAAAUAAUGAGUUUGGAUUUAGGCGCAUCAGACCAAACAAUUUCCGGCCACUAGAAAGGCACUGGAAUUAUAGAAGCAGUUCCGGUUACCUUGGAGAAAGACGGACCCCCCUUUGCAUCAGUGUACCAAUAAAAUUCCUUCACGAACAUUCAAGGCCAGAGCAAGUGACAAGUACAUGUAUAAGCAAGGCCUCCAUACACUACUGCAUUUUAAUGUUGUCCACAUAGCCUUGCCAGCAUCCAGUAACUUUACACUGACCUAAAUUAAGAUAUUGGUAUGAGCAUCAGAGAAAGCAGGAACUAAAAUGCACAAAUAAAAAAGUAAAGUAAUCUCACCUGUUUAUAAGCAAAGUUGCACGCACGAGAUUCUCUAUGCAUUAUCCCAACCAAAAUGACAAGCCCCGGAGGGAUGCUGAGCAACCCAAACACACCCUGUCAUAGAAGUGCCAAACUUCCACCAUUCAGAAAAGCAAUUUCAGCUGAUAAAUUAUCCAAAGCGGAUAAGGAAAUUAUACCAACAUGAUACGGUUCAAUCGACAGACAGCAAAAUUUGAUUUCAAAUCAAUGUUCUGUCUAAUCUAACAUUAUAAUAUGAAUCUUUUCAUAUGAAACGAAUUUCAUAAAUGAAAAUCUACAUGAAUGAAUUAGAGUUUUUCAACCAUAUGACCACUGAAACUCAUCCAUUGAUAGUUCACCAGAUGAGAAUUAUAUCAUUUGAAUAUUGGUAAAUUCAAAAUCCUCGGCAAGCCUACUAUGGUAUAAAUUGGAGGUAUGCCUAGACAUGCCCAAAAAUAAAAAUAUACCAAAAGAUUGACAAUGCCAGAUGUUUUUAUGUUGCAACUAUAAGCGAAAGCAUACCUUAGGGCCCACAAGGUGAACAAGAAACCCACUAAGUGAAAAACCCACCAGUGCCCCGACUGAAGAGCUCAGUCCACACAAGCUCUGCAUGUCACCGGCAAGGGAUGGAUGUCUUAUACUGUUCUGUGUAACACAGGCAUCAAUUGUUACAUCGGCAAUUGCAACUCCAGCACUCCCCGCCAUCAGAGCCAGCAAGGACAUUGUCAGAUUUAAAUUCUUGUCUAGUGAUAACACAAGCAUGGAGAUCACCCCAAGUAAACCUGGAAAGACCAACAGAGAGAGGAAAAAUAAGGGAACAGCAUUCAGGUAAAGUAGUAUUUUCUAGUUUAUAAUCAGGUCAUACUACUGAAGGAUAUAUAGUAAAUAUCAUCUUAUACAGAUUAAAAUAGAAAAACAACAGCCAAGUUUCAAGGUGACUCUUGCAGACAAAUUAAUGCAGCAUCAGAUUACAAAUACAUAUACAAAAUGGAAGUCAUGACUGUCACGGUUCAUGAGAUUUUAAAACUCAGCCAGAGAUAUUGAUCGUCGGAUUUUACAAACCAGCAGUUUCUCAAUUUUACGAAAAUUGAUGUAGAAUGGUCAAUUCAUGUAUGUAUAUAUAUGGAACAAAUAUAUAUAUGUUUCGGUUCAAGUCCUCUUCCCCUGUGUCAGACUGUGGACUACUUUCCCUUCUACAAGUCAUGGCAUGUCUUCAACUUUGUUGGCAUGUCCUUUCGUGCACACUCUACAGAUGCUAAAGUUAUCACAUGAAAAGAAAAUAAGGUAUUGCAAUGUGGACUAAGGAGAGCCAGUCACUGCAGCUUCUAGGUAUCCCAAGAAACAGUUUGGAAUCAGCUUAACUUAAUUGCUUCGACGAAAGCAUUUUCAAGGUAGAUAAGAGAUAUCUAAGAAUCCUCCCUACUGAAACUCAUAUUUUUAAUGCAAGUAAGAGAAGUUUUGAGGGGGAAACAAAACAAUUGAAUUGACUACCAGUCCUGAAAGCAUUCCCUAAGGUCUAGCAGAUAUUCUAUAUAAAACCUUCUAGGGAUAAUUUUCAGUUUUGGACUAUCCACAGCAGUUAAAUAGGGAUCCAGUCUCCAGAUACAGGCUUUUCUUUUUUGGUCUCUUUCGAAAGUCAGAUGAUGUAGCUGAAAAAGAAAAUGAUCUGUGACAACAUAUAACAGAACGUCCUUAUUAAAUUGCUCAAUUAUCCCGAAAUAAAUUUGAAUAUGAUGCCAAUCCAGACUAUGCAAGGCCAAAUUACCAUGCCAAUAUUUAAAAAAACUAGAGUGUGAGAGUCCAAAGCAAGUAAAUCAACGGUAUAAUUCCAUAAAACAUGCUAUCACAGUAAUCACACUUAAGUAACACAAACUUAAGCUUUAACCAGUAAACAUGUUAUGCGAUAUACAUCUGUCUUGAUUUUGAAAUGAACAUCCCACCUGGAGUUCUGUAUACAAUAAAAUAUUAUCUCCUUCCAGUGAGAUUUUUAAAAGUAACUAAUAAUUUACUUUCAGAGAGGAAGACAAUGAUCAUUUUACCAUUUUCUGUUAUAUUCAGCAUUUCGGUAUGAGGACAGACAACCAUUAACAGUGGAAUAUUAACUCAUCUAUGAAUGCAUAUGUUGAUGAUUAAAAUUUAAAGUCCAACUUUUUAAAACAUCCUUCAUGUUCAAGUUUAACUUUGAAUUUUAUAUUUAAGGUUAAACAAAUGGCACAUACUGAAACUAAGUAGGUACCAGAUUCAUAGUACUAUACAUACAUACAUACAUAUUUUCUGUUUAAACCUGCAUGCCUGGCUACUGAUCAGGUGAUUCAAAUUAAACCCAGACGGCAAAUAUCGUAGUAGUUAUAUAACCAUAAGUCUGCACAAGGAAAUGACCAUUUGUUUGAAAAUCAAACCAGUUAUUAGAAGGGGAGUCACUUAAAGAGAAAACUAAUGGAGCCUACAACUGAAGGCCUAAGAUUGGAUUUUCUCAUUUGAACAGAAAAGGAGCUUCAAAUCUCGAUUCCCUUUGUAUGUAGGUCGAAGGUAUGAGGUAGAGGUCUUACUUAACUGCAGCACAAAAGAUUACCAUCUGUGCACCGUGCACACUCACAGGUGCAAAGGUGCAAAGGUGCAAACACACACUAGCAUUUCCCAAUUUUAUCACCCCAUAUGCUAACAACUGCCAUUUCUAAAAUUAAUGUUUUUCCCUUAUCUGGAAUUGGUUGUUUACGUAUCAAGUAAUUUACAACAUAUAUUGAUAAAACUAAAAAAAAAUUGACAAGAAUAAGUAGCCAUUACGUAUCAAAUAAGCAACAACAUAUAUUGAUCUUUAAAUAACAUAAAAAUAGGCCCUUUAAUUCAAUCAAAAACUAAAAGCAGCAUCUGAAAUAUAUAAACUCAAAAACACACAUUUAUGUAGAAAAGUGAGUUGUAUCAUAAUUUACCAGCAAAAACAAAGUAGGGUUUUCGGCGGUAGCCAAGAACAGGAAGAGUGUCAGUGAGAAGACCCCAGAAAGGCUUCACAAUCCAAGGAAUUUGGAUGAUCCCAAAGUAGACUUGUGCCUCAGAAGGCUGCACUUUCUGAUCAUCUUUCAAGUAAUACUGUAUGCUAAUUCUACUCAGUCCCAUGCUUAGACCCUGACUGAUGCCGUACACAGUCAGCACACCCACCACAAAGCUCCAAUGCAACUCGCUACUCAGCAUUCUGAACCAAUUUAUGGGUGUCCAUAGCAACUCUCGGACACCCUUUACUGGAGUUUUCUGCUUUUGGUUCUCUAACUCAGGGUGAAGACUUUCUUUUUCAUGUUCUUCUGCUUCCAUUUCCAUGGCUGAUAAUUUUGGAUUUUCCUUCAAAAUUUGAGAACAAUAAAACACACCCAGUUGAUAUAUCUUGGUUUUCUGAGGUGGGUUUGUCGAUUUGGUUCUCAGAAGCUUCGUCUGCUUGACUUUGACUUUAACUUAACUCAACAGUUCAACUCUGUCAGGGUGGGAAGAAAUUGAGUAAUACUAUUCUUACCACAUUAAUAUACCACGUUAGUAUACCAUAUUAUGUGGCAUCUGAUGUGGCUGUCCACGUCAUCCAAACUAAUCAUAAUUUAAUUUAAAUGAAAAUCCAUUUAAUAAACUAAUAAUAAAUAAAAAAUCUGAAAUUAAAUAGUAAUUGUGACAUACGAGGAGUCCCCUCUCCUUCCUUCCUUCUUCAUUGCUUCUUCUCCCGUUUCUUCUUCCACGCCAUUUUUUUUGUUUCAGCCCAGAUUGUUCUCCUAUAUUUGCUCUCCCCAUGCAUACAAACAAGCACAUACAAUGCUAUAUUAAUUACCUUCAUAUAUGGGGCUGCUAAUAAUCAUCACGUGGUUAGUGUCCUCCAAUUUUUCGGGUUCUUCUUGAACCCCCAGUGUCAUCAUUCGCUUUAAAAUGAUUGGUUCCUUUUGCUUCUCCUUCAGAUACGAGAAAGCUGUAUCGCAAUAUCAGAACACGAGAGAGCAAAUAUAAGAGAAUAAUCUGGGCUGAAACAAAAAAAUGGCGUGGAAGAAGAAACGGGAGAAGAAGCAAUGGGAAGGAAGGAGAGAAGACUCCUCGUAUACCAUAAUUACUAUUUAAUUUCAGAUUUUUUUAUUUUUUAUUAGUUUAUUAAAUGGGUUUUCAUUUAAAUUAAAUUAUGAUUAAUUUAAAUGACGUGGACAGCCACAUCAGAUGCCACAUAAUAUGGUAUACUAAUGUGGUAUAUUAAUGUGGUAAGAAUAGCAUUGUUGGAAGAAAUUUUUAAUUACCACGGAACACCAUAUGUUUUAAUAAAAGUAGUAGAAAAUUUUAUUUUUUAAGUUAUUAACUUUUUAGCAUAUAUCCUACUAUUUGUAUAAUGACCCAUGAUAUAUUAUUUCGUGUACUGAUUAUACUGAAAAAUCUCUCGGGAGAGGGGUAGACAUUUUCCCACGUAAAAAAAUGGAAACCAUAUUGCUGGGCUCUUCGGCUUUUUCUCUUUUUCGGUUGAAGGCUCAUUAGCUUUGAUCCAAGCCCAAUGGGAAAUGGACAUUCGUAGUUUAUUUUUGUUUUCACUUUAGUUAAAAUGUAGUGUUAUUCACACACUUAUUUUUUACUACUCACAUACCCAUCUUAAUUUUUUUCCGUUAAAUCAAAUGAAUUAAAUAAGACCAAUAGCCAAACAUUAACAAGGAUGUAUGAGAAGUAAAAAUCAGUAUGAAUAGCAUUAUCAUGUUGGAAGAUAUUAGUAUUUAUGUUUAUUUUAGUAUUUGAGUUUUGUUAGUUUAGGAAUUGGCCUAGUCCAUCCGAGUUAUGAUUUUUUAGGUUUAGUUCUCUAUAAAAAAAAAAGCUUGUAAUUGAGUUUGAGAAUAAGUUAGUCACAAUGUGGUCUCUUAAGAUUUUGUAGCGUUUCGGCAUUCUUGUUUGUUUAAUAAUAUUCUUAUUAUUUUGUAAUCUCGUUCGUCGCACACUUUAAUAUUCAACUUAUCCUAGUUAAAUUCGUCAACUAAGUUGAAUUUUAAUCCUUUUUUUUACACGCCUUCUCAUUCAGCAAGUAGCCACUGCAUGUGCAUCUUCGAUUCAAGCUCUCCUUGCUACACUUUAGUGUAGCAUAAAUUAGUAACAUUGUUUGUAACAAAAAGGAAUGUGCUCAUUUAGUGUCUAGACUUAAUAGUUACUAAACUUUAGACAAAUCAAAACUAAAGUAAUCGAUAACCAAAUUUUUUUAUAAACUGAAUUUAUCGAAAGAUUUCAAAAAACCAAAGUUACUGUAAAUUGUCGAACCAAAAGUACCGGUACAGGAUAUUACCGAAUUGCAAAAUACCAAUAGUUUUAGUUUUGCUAAGGGUCAUUAUCGAUUUAAAUUAACUAAAAGGUAGCCUUAUUUGAAAUAGAACCCUAUACCCUGUUUUUUAAACCCAAAUUGUAAUCCCACUUCCCACCCUGAAAGUGCAAGAUUUUAUGAUUUUCUAAUUUCCUAGCCAAGUUUAAUGUGUCUCUAAUAAACUAGUGCUAGAUUUUAAGCGUGUCUUAAAUGUCUAAGUUUGUGAUUUGAGACUUGCACGUCAAGUAAAACCAAAGGCAAUCUGAUUUCAUGGAUCACUUAAGGUAAACUUCAUACGCAUCAUUUUAAGAAAAUAUAAAUUGAGUAUUUACAUUUAAUUAAUCAUAUAAAAUCAAUUUAUUUUAGGGUUAAAGCAUAAUAUCAGUUUACUUAAUUGUAGGCCAUUGAUUUUUUUUUGUGACGUCCUUCAUAUACUAUUGGUUUUCCAGCAGGUUUGCUAUCUUUGAGAACCAUAAUUUCGUGCGAGAAAAAGUUUAAGACAAGGAAUUUGUAUACUAGGUUAGAAGAGUGAAAUAUGAGUGAAACACUUUCUUCUAGCAUUCAUAUUAUCAUUCAUGAUUUGUUCUAACCCACGGGCGAACCUUCUGCUCUGAGGUGAUCACGUUUAAACCAAGAGGAGACAAAGAAAAGCAAGUAUGAAGACAAGAGGACAAGGCAAUCUUUGAGCUAGCUUGUAAGUUGUCUUGUAUGAGUCUUGUAUUUGUUGUUUGAUCUUAGUGGAUUAUUUUCGGGCAGUGUACGCGUGGAUUUUCCCCAUCGUGUGUGGGGUUUUCCACAUUAAAAAAAGGUCCUCACAUGUUCAUUGUAUUUCAUUUUCAAUUUAUUUACUGUUGCGUCGCAUAAUUAAAACUUUGUUUCCAUCCCGCUAGUCUAGGUGUUUAUAUUUGGGGUUGUUUAUCUGUUGUAUUUGAGUUCUUCGAUGUUAACAGAACUAAGGAAUGGUUCUAUGAAGAACAACAAACUGAAGAAUGAAUGCGAAAAGAGAGAGAGAAAGAAUGAAAAAUAUUCUGUGUAUUGAUCUUUAGAGAGAGAAUGAAUUAUUACAAACUGUGUUGUAUUUCAGACUUUAUACACGGGAUCUCAUCUUAGCUAGGAAGCUAUCUCACUAACUAACUAACUGACUUUCUAUUUGAGCUAGCAGCUAUCUAACCAUUGAAAAACUGACUUGAUCUAUCAUGCCAUUCUAGCCGUUGGAUCUCUUAUCAUUCCCCCUCAAUCGUGGCUUGGGCACCAAGCCUAAGAUUGUAACAAUGUUUGAGAAAUGUUGGACUAUGCAGGCCUUUUGUAAGUACAUCGGCUGUAUGAUCUUCUGUUGGGAUGUAAACAACCUCCAAAUCCCCUUGUUGAACUCUCUCCCUUAUAAAGUGAAAAUCCGUGUCAAGAUGUUUAAUUCGAGAAUGAAACACUGGAUUUGCACUGAGUGCAAUGGUGGACAAAUUAUCACAAUAAAUCGUAGGUGGCAAUGGCAAAAAUACUUCCAAAUCCUUCAAUAUUCCCCUCACCCAAGCAACAUCAGCGGCAGUGUGAGCAAGGGCCUUAUAUUCUGCUUCCGUGGAGCUUCUUGACACUGAACUUUGCUUCUUGGAUUGCCAAGACACAGGAUUAUUGCCCAAAUAUACCACAUAACCUGUGAUUGAACGGCGAGUGUUAAGAUCUGCUGCCCAAUCUGCAUCUGAAAAUGCAGUUAAUGUUGUCACUGUGUCAGCAGAAUAUAGUAUUCCAUAAGUCAAAGUCCCUUGUAGGUAUCUUAAUAUGCGUUUCACUGCUCCAUAGUGCAUUUCUGUAGGGGAAUUCAUGAAUUGACAUACUGUGUUAACAACAUAUGCAAUAUCUGGCCUAGUGAAGGUCAGGUAUUGUAAUGAAGCAACAAGACUUCUAUAAAGAGAGGGAUCGGUCAUGAGAAGACCAUCUGAAAUAAGCAUUUGAUCAUGUGGUUUAUAGGGAGUAUUAGCAGGCUUACAUGAGUCCAUACCUGCCUUAUGAAUCAAAUCCUUUAUAUAUUUGGCUUGAUUCACAAAAAUGUCCCCAUUUGACUUGUAAGCAAUCUGCAAUCCCAGAAAAUAUGUCAAUUGUCCCAUGUCCUUGAGCUCAAAUACUUCAGACAAUUCAUCAAUCACUUUCUGUACGUUAAGAGAAUUUGAGCCUGUAAGGAUUAUAUCAUCGACAUAUAGGAGAAGAAUGACAAUAUCAUUGCCAUCUUUCUUAGUGAAUAGGCUUGUAUCAGAAGCAGAAGGCUGAAAAUUCAUUGCUGCCAGAUAGGAAGUGAACUUCGAAUUCCAUGCUCUUGGGGCCUGCUUUAAUCCGUACAGGGACUUGAUUAGUUUACACACAUAUGUAGGAUGAGAUGCAUCAACAAAUCCCUGUGGUUGCUUCAUAUAAAUGUCUUCUUGUAAGUCACCAUGCAGAAAAGCAUUUUUGAUGUCAAGUUGCCUAAGCUUCCAAUUAUUGGUUGCAGCUAAGGCUAAUACUAUCCUCACAGUAGUGUGUCUCACUACGGGACUAAAAGUCUCUAAGUAAUCCACACCUUGCUCUUGAGAAUAUCCUUGAGCCACCAGUCUGGCCUUGUAUCUUGAAACACUUCCAUUUAAAUUUUUCUUCACUUUAUACACCCACUUGCUACCAACAAUGGAUCUGUCGUUGGGAGGAGGUACCAAAAUCCAUGUGCCUUGACUCCUAAGAGAGUCAUACUCAUCUUGCAUCGCUUGUUGCCAUUGAGGCAUUAAAGCAGCUUUCCGAAAUGUAGUUGGUUCUGAUACAUCAGCUAUUGUAGACAAAAAACUAUAGCCUCCCACGAACUGAUCUUCUGUAGUUAUUUGCAGAGUUUGUAACUCAGGAAAUGAUGCUAUAAAAAGCAUUAUAAUUCCGUCUUUGAAUGGUGCCACUCUUCAAUCUUGUAACCAUUUGAUGCAUCGAACAAGAAUUAUUCACACCAGUAGAAUUGUCAGUAUGAACAUUUGUUUCAAUUUGUGAUGAUAUUGGUAAAGUUACCUGAAGUUGAGAAGCUGAUUGGACAGGCAACAUUGAUGAUGUACCAGAGUGAUGAUGAGGAGAAUUUGGAACUGUUGAACUGGGUACUGUGUUUUGCUGUGAAUUGUCAUGUGAUUCCCUUGACUGAUCUGUACUAUCACUAUAUCUGUGUGAUGUAGAUAAACUUGGAAUUGCAGACUGACUUUCAGUACUUUGAGAAUCUGAUAACACUGUGUUUUCUUCUUGUAUUCUAUAUUCACCAUCAUGUACAUCAAGAUGUCUAGAACUGGGAAUAGGAACCUGAAUAACUACAUGACCUUGAGUGGACUGUUGAGAGCGACUAUGAUCAAUAUCCUUGUUGACAGACUGUCGUUUGAAAGGAUAUGUAUCUUCAUCAUGUAUAACAUGCCUUGAGAUUAUAAAUUUCCCAGUAUGUAUAUCAUAGCAAAUCACUCCUUUAUAUCCUACUGCAAAACCAAGAAAAACAAACUGACUUGAUUUAUUCUGCAGCUUAUUUGCAUUGUAAGGUCUUAGAUAUGGAUAUACUGCAGUUCCAAAUAUUUUAAGAUUGUGAAUUGUAGGAUUUUCACCAAAAAGCAGUUGAUAAGGUGAUCUAUUGUCAAGACUUUUACAUGACAUUCUGUUGAUUAAGAAUGCAGCAUAUGAACAAGCAUGAUACCAAAAACUAGCCGGAAUGGAAGCAUCUGUCAUUAAGCUUAAGGCUGUUUCAACCAAGUGCCUAUGUUUCCUCUCAGCAAUGCCAUUCUGUUGAGGUGUAUAAGGACAUGACACUUGAUGUAUAAUACCUUUUUGAUCUAAGAAACUCUUCAUCAUUCUAUUCACAUAUUCUCCACCACCAUCUGUUUGUAAGCAUUUGAUUGAACUAUGAAACUGAGUAUGAACAAAGGCAUGAAAUUUGACAAAGAUUUGGAACACAUCUGAUUUAUUCAUCAUAGGAAAAAUCCAUACAAACCUUGAGUAAUCAUCUAUAAAACUCACAUAAUAUCUAUACCCUUCUAUGGACUUAUGAGGAGAUGGACCCCAAACAUCAGAGUGUAUCUUUUCAAACAUAGAAGUAGUUCUAACUUGUUUUACAGAAAAUGGUAACUGACACAUUUUUCCAGAAAUACAAGCUGAACAAAGAGAUUGAGAAGAAUCAUUAUUCACUAAUAUUCCUGCAUGCUUCAACAUUGUAGACAACACUUCCUCAGAUGGAUGUCCCAGCCUUCUAUGCCACACUGAAAUCCUUACUUUCUUCCCAAGAAAUGCAGCACAAUUCUCUAAUUUUGCAGCAAAGGAACUUCUGAAAACUGAGACUGGUAUCUUGAAUAAUUCUCCAUCAUCACUCUUUCCUUGGUACAGAAUCACCUGAGUUGCCUUGUCCUGUAUAAAAAAUACCAAAUCAUCACAAAUAAACCAGCAUCCAUUAUCUCUACAUAGCUUCUUAACUGAUAACAGAUUCAUUGUAAUUAGUGGGACAUGCAACACAUUAUUCAACAAAAAUGUAUGUGUAUCAGUAAUGAGUUUAGAUGCACCAAUAUUCUUGACACUCAAACCUGCUCCAUUGCCUAUAGUGAUUUUAGCUUCACCAUUAUAAGGAGUGACAUGAUUGAUGUGAUCAAGAUUGGCUGUCAUGUGAUGAGUUGCACCUGUGUCCACCACCCAUGUAUCUGCAUUUGAAAACCCAUGGACACUUUGAGCCUCUUGCAUUGUAGUUGAAGUCUGAGCAGACAUUCCCAUAGGUGAUUGAGUCAAGGUUUGAGGUGGAGGAGGUCCUUGAUACGAGUAGUUGUUCCUGUGAUAGCAUUGGAGUGCAGUGUGACCUUUCUUGCCACAGAUUUGACAAAAGAUUGGCCCUCUAGGAUUAGCUUGACCAUUAUCAGUCCUGUAGUAACAAUUUGGUGCAGUAUGCCCUCUUCUAGAACAUAUUUGACACUCUGGAGACACAGCAGACUUGUAGUUUGUGUUACCAGUCCAUCCACUUCCUUGCUUGAAACCAUUUUCACCAGAAAAGUUGUUUGAACCACUAUAGUAAUUCUGAGAUCCCUUGUUGUUAUCAGUCAAACCAUUAGAGCCAUAAGAUUUGUUACCAAAGUUGGAAUAAGAUCUUGAAUUGCUGCUGUUGUUAUUUCCAUUAAACCUUCUGUUAUUAUUAAAACCAGAUCUCUGUUGAAAAGAUCUACCUCCAUUCCCAGCAAAACCAGAACCACCAUUAAAACCUCCUUGAUAUCUUUGUGAAUUAGAACUUUCUCCUUGCUCGAAAUUCUGAAAACUACCUUGAGGUCCUCUUGCAUUUGACGAUUCACCAUUCAUAUACAUUGCUGACAUUGUUCCAGCAAGAGUAUUCAUCUUUGUUUCAAGUGCAGCUUCAACACCCAUCAACUGAGCUCGAAAAUCUUUUAGAGAAAUGAAAGUAUCUCUUGCAAGAAUUACAGUCUUGAUAACUUCAAACUCUGAUGGUAGACCUGACAAAACAGCAAUCAUUAAAUCAUUCUCAGUAAUUCUCUCCCCUGCAGAAAUUAGUUGAUCUUUGAUCACCUUCAGCCUUAACAGAAACUUGUCAACAGAAUCAUUCCCUUUCUGUGCAGUAUGAAAUUCAGUUUUCAACUGAUUUAUUCGCACAACAGAAACAGAAGCAAAUCUUUCCUGCAAAUUUUCCCAUGCUUCUUGAGCAGUCUUGCAUCCGAUUACAUGAUCCAUAACCUCAUCACUUAAUGUAGCAACAAGUAAACUGAGCAAAGCCAAAUCUUUUUGAACCCACUGUUUGUAGGCCAUUGAGAUCUCAUUUGUAACCCCACCUUCAGAUGUAAUACAAUAUUUUGGCGGACACUGUGACUCUCCAUUGAAGAAAUCAAACAAAUCAUAACCCUUUAAAACAGAUGAGAAUUGAUAGCUCCAUUUGACAAAAUUAUCUUCUUGCAACUUUACAGUAAUCAGUCCAAGUAACCCUUCAAUCUUGACAAAAUUUGCAGCCAUUGUAACGCACGGAGUAAUAGACAAAAAACUACUUCUGAAACUUGAUUAUCAAAGAACAAAAUAGUAUACUAAUGGCUUUGGCCUUUCUAUGAAGUGACACAAUUACAAUCUUUCAACUUUUCAAUGUAUCAACCUUCCAAUCUUUAUCAAACAAUCAGACUUCGAACAUCAAACUUUCUUAAGCAAACAACUAUCAGAUUCAAACAAUUGGCAUCGGCCUUCAUAUCACUUGUACAUUUCACUGAGGCAAUAUAUCAAACACAUCAUAUGCAACAAAUUUCAAGCACCAAUAUGAAUCAAAGAUCGAGAAUACCAGCAACCCAGAAAUGAAAAUGAAUUCAUCAGCAAGAACCCCGAAAUCUUAGUUGUAACAACGUCCUCAGAGUAUGCAGCUUCAGCGGAAAACACCAAACAGAUCGUCCUGAGCGAUUGAUACCAUGUUAACAGAACUAAGGAAUGGUUCUAUGAAGAACAACAAACUGAAGAAUGAAUGCGAAAAGAGAGAGAGAAAGAAUGAAAAAUAUUAUGUGUAUUGAUCUUUAGAGAGAGAAUGAAUUAUUACAAACUGUGUUGUAUUUCAGACUUUAUACACGGGAUCUCAUCUUAGCUAGGAAGCUAUCUCACUAACUAACUAACUGACUUUCUAUUUGAGCUGGCAGCUAUCUAACCAUUGAAAAACUGACUUGAUCUAUCAUGCUAUUCUAGCCGUUGGAUCUCUUAUCAUUCGAGUUUCUCCAGACAUACUUAGAGUGAUCCUUGGGAUUUUAGGAUUGAUCAUGUUGCGGGUUCAGUUACUCAUCCACCAUACUUUGAUGGUGAGAACUAUGGGGCAUGGAAAGCCGAGAUGAAGUCAUUCUUGUGGGCUAUAAAUCAGAGUGUGUGGCACAAUUGUGUCAAUGGUGGAUCUGAACGAACUAAAUUGAAAAAAAUGAGAAAACUAAAACUGAAAAAAAUAAAUAAAAUAAAAUUGUUCCUAAACCAAUGAGGAACGGUCAAAAGAUGAAGUACUUCAUAUGUAGCACGAACAAUCAAAGAGGCUUGAACACAUUGUUGCCAACCAUUCACUUGAACAGUUUGAAUACAUCUCCACUUGUGAAACUUCAAAAGAUGCUUAGGACAUUUUACAAAGAUACUCUUGAGGGGAAACGCUGAUGUGAGAGCUUCGGAGCUCCAACUGUUUACAAACCAGUUUGAAAAUAUUAAGAGGGAGGAGGAGUAUGAAUUAUUUUCGGAUUAUUAUGCUAGACUCAGUUUUAUUGUUAACACUUGGCACAAUAUAGGCGAAACCAUUUCUAAGAAUAUUGUUGUCAAGAAAAUCCUUAGGUCUUUGGCUACUAGGUUUGACACAAAAGUGACCACAAUUGAAGGGCAUAGGAAUUUAAACACCUAUAAACAUAAAGAGUUACUUGGGUCUUUAAAAGCUUAGGAAUUGAAACAUCCUCCAGUCAAAAAAAUCCAAAAGUGUUGCCUUUAAAGCAGUUCAGGAACAUGAAGGGGAUAGUGGUGCUGGUGAUGAAGAGCUUGGCUCUUCUCACUAAAAAUUUCAAAAUUGUCUGAAGAAGUCAAAGUUUAAAAAGUCAUUAUAAAAAAGGUAGUUCAUGAUCUAAAAAUUCAGGUCUAAAGAAUUCACUUACAAGAUAAAAUUUUAACUAGGAGAUAAUGUCAUGAGUGUCAGGGUUAUGGUCAUUGUGCACAUAAGUGUACGAACACUCUCAAGAAGCAAAAAAAAAGAAAGAAUUUAAACUGCAAUGAAAGUCAUUUCGAGUGAUAGUGAGUCCUAAGUGAUGAAGAUGAAUUUGUUGCUUUUGUUGCUCAGGUUGAGUUGGUUAACCUAAGGACCUUUUCUUUUGACUCUUGAAGAUUGUAUAAAUUUACUGUUCUCAUUGCUUCUUCUAUGCCCAAAAUGAUAUAUUGAUUUGGAGGAAAAAGGAGAAUCAUUUUGUUUUGCAUGCUAGAUCUUCAAUUUCAUUGAAUGACUCUAAUGGAAAUCAUAUUAUUGCUCUUGAAGGUGUACCUAUUCAGAAACAUUUGUGUUUGGGUUAAUGUUUGAACAUUGGGCCGCAAGUGUGUGCAAGCCCAGAGAUGCCAAUUCAAAAGGAGACUUGCCUGAAGCCCAAGCAUCAAGCUCAAAGACAAAUUGGCGCCUUCCCAUUAAUGCAGAGGCCAUGUGCCUAUAAUUUAAAUGUCAAGUGAUGGGGACUAACUCAUAAUCAGCCAAAAAGCACUUUUCAGUGGCAAUACAAGUAAAAGCCGAUGGCUCACUACCCUCCAUGUGCUUUCGGGCAAGAGCAAAGUCACUGCAAUCGGGCUAUUUCACCUAUAAAAGGAAGAAGAGGUUCCAAAGAUAAGGACACUCAACCAAUCAAACAAACAAAAAUACAAACUUUGCUCUCAAGCCAGAUUUGCAUCUAAAAGCUGUAAUAAGCCCAGAUCUCAAUCCUUUUCAGGAUAUCUCCCUCACAAAAGCUAUCUUUUGUCUUGAUUAGAAGCUCUUCUAUCACCCCUAGUGCCAUAAUAUCGAUUCCCUUGUGUAAACUGGUUUACCAUCCAUCCCUUUCUAGCAUAGAAACCUCUGUAAACUCAAAGAGAAGUGACUACAAGAGGUUCAACCUUACCAGACAAGGUGAAAUCUUGCCCAAUGCUCUUUGUUUGCUUUCUGAAUUUGUAGAUCUAUUACUUAAUGCAUUCUUCAAUAUGUAUUCUGUUGAUGCACAAAAUUAGUUGGGACUUUGGUAGAACAGAAAGAUAUAAGUUUAUGACCUUCGUUAGAUUGCUCCGGUCACUAGUGUGGAUAAGCAUGCAAAUGGAUAAAGACAGGGAAGCAAAUACAAGAUGUACGUGGUUUACCCAGAUUGGUUACGUCCACAGAGUAGAGGAGUUCUCAUUAAUUGUGAAGGGUUUGCACAAGUACAUAGGUUCAAGCUCUCAUUUAGUGAGUACUAGUGAAUGAUUUAGUACAAAUGACAUUAGGAAAUAUUCUGAGAGAAUGAUCUCUAUUUAUAAAAGAGAGUUUCUAGUUUCAUUCUGACAUUGACACGUGUCGUGUUGUGAUUGGCUUCUGACGCUAUGAUUGGCUUCUGAUGUCGACAUGUGUCAUGCUGUGAUUGGCCUCCUGGUUUGAGGGAAACUCUUCUGGGUCCUUGACGGUAUAACGUUGACCGGUACUCAAUAGUUUCAUGAUUGGUCAAGUAUGGUACAAACAGUGCUCCCUUAAGUUCCCGAGUGAGAGAAGCUCCUCGGUUGGGGACUUGUAAGAUCCAAGCCAUUGAGUAAUCAUGAAACUUCUAAGUACCGAAAUGUGGUAUCAUUUUCACUUGCCUUAUCUGUCUCAUAUGUAGAUAUGGCAUCUUCUCUAGAAGUACUUUUCCUCCAUCCAGGGGUGGUAUCUUUAACCGAUGAAGAUGCACAAGGUAAUGUAUCAAUUUCACUUGAAGCUUACUUGUAGUUUCGGCUUGGUCAAGUGCGAUACAAACCUUAUAGUAGGAGUCCCCCAAGUUGUCGAGCUAGGAGAUUUGUCGAAGGAGGUAACAGACAAGGUAAGCAAUCAGACUUCCAAGCAAGCAACCUGGAUCGGAGGUUCGACUUCGGCUUCCGAUUGAUUGUUUUCUUCUCCUUAUGUCGUAAACAACAACAAGGAUAAAGAUAAGCAAAUGGAGAAGAGAUGAUAUGAGAUACUUUUGCUUUUGAAGAAGUAACUUUCCACAGGCUUAUUCUUAAACUAGGUUGGAGGGUUUUCUGGUUUCCUUCAGAGUAUAGGGUCGACUCAAGAAUUUGAGGAUCAAAACAAGUCUAUCAAAUCUAGAGUACGUUCGACCCUGAUGAUAUGGGAUAUUUUUGUUGUUGACAAAGUAGUGGAUAUAUCGGCACGUGUUCUGUUACGCUUGUCUCCACAUGCUUCCUUGUAUCAUUCUCACUUGCCUUAUAUGUUCCUCAAGCAGAUAUGGUAUCUUCUCUAGAAGCAUAAGAUGUUGAAGGUGAGUACUCGAGAGCAAUGUCAGGUAAGUAAUCAGGCAAGUGGUUCCAGGCAAUCAAUUCCUGAUUGGAAGCUUGAUUCCAAGUGCUGAUUGAUUGCUCUCUUUCUCCUUGUCUUGCAGGUAAGAACAAGGAAAAAGGAAAAGACAGGGAAAAAGCAUGAUAUGGGAUACUCUUGCUUUUAACCUUGAUGAUAUGAGAUACUCUUGCUCUGGUGUGGCUUGUUUGCAGAGGUAUUAUCGGGAGGAAAAAAAGCUGAGUAUUUUGAGAGACUCAGCUGAAAGUGCCCUUUCGGAUGUGAAGAAAAGUUGAGCAUUUUUUUCAUUUGCAGGUCUGCCUGGCUGUGGAUGAUGGAGGUCGACAUAUAUAGGAGUCUCUCUAACAAUAAGUAGUAGUGAUAUUCCUUUACCCUUCUUGGUCAUAGCAAUGUAGUGGGAGCUGCAAGCUUCAUGUGUUUUAACUUUGUCAGAGCACUUUGAAAAAGUGGUCUGUGGUAUCUAGAAAGCUGAUGUUGCGUGUGAAGAUUGCAGACAAGCUUUAUCGAAGGAAAUCUGGCUCUCGAAGUUCGAAGAGCAGUGCCUCUUCGAUUUUCGAACAAGUAAUCUUGUUGGGGAUCUGGCUUUCGAGAUUCAGAGAACGGUGCCUCUUUGAUUUUUGAGAAAGCAAUCCUGUUGGGAGUUUGACUCUUGAGAUUCGGAGAGCAGUGUCUUCGAUUUUUGAGAAAGUAAUCCUGUUGGGAGUCUGGCUCUCGAGAUUCGGAUAGCAGUGCCUCUUCGAUUUUUGAGCACGUAAUCCUAUUGGGAGUCUGGCACUCGAGAUUCGGAGAGCAGUGCCUCUUCGAUUUUUGAGAAAGCAAUGAUGUUGGGAGUCUAACUCUUGAGAUUUGGAGAGCAAUGUUUCUUCGAUUUUUGAGAAAGUAAUCUUGUUGGGAGUCUGGCUCUCGAGAUUCGGAGGGCGGUGCCUCUUCGAUUUUUGAGCACGUAAUCCUGUUGGGAGUCUGGUGAUGCGAAAAUUAACUUAACACACAAAUUAAACCCUCUUGUUGUCAAAUUGUAGUAUAAAUGCAAGUAGGGAUCGUUAUAAACCGGGGAUUAGGAGGGCUUGCUAAAACCUCUAAACUGACUUAAAAACAUAUAAACAAAGUUAAAAACACUAAACUAGACUCAAAGAACUUAAAACAAACUCAAAGGACUCAAAACAAGCUAAAAACGCUCAAAUUUGCCUAAAAACACAAACUGGGCAGAUUUGGACUCUAACACACUUUUGGGACACCUAAAAACACCAAUCAAAACAUAUUUUGACUAAUCAAACACUUUAAAGUAAAGGGGGUUUUGGUUUUGACGAAUUUGAAAACAAAACAAGUAAAUUAAAGAACUAAUGAAAUCUGCACGAAUUUGAGUAAAUUGAAUGGAUGGAAGGCUAGCUAGGAAGUUCUUCUCCACACAUGACAUACUUGCACAUAAACCAAUUUUCAGUUGUUCUUUCGAUCAAUCAUGAAACUCAACACCCCAGGUUAAUUAAGUCCGCUUAAAUUAACCUUCAAGUUCUCCUUAAGUUAUUGAAUUGGAUGGGAAAGCGCAUACAACAAUUCAAGCAUUCUUCAAAAGUUCUUUACGUGAACAGCACAAUAAAGAUACAAUCAAAGAUCAUUAAGCAUUAUGAAAACUAUAAGUAUUGACGAGGCAUUCGUUACUAUGAUGAGCAUGAAACUCCUGUCAAGAAUUUAUUUAACACGAUCGUUUAUAAGCGACCUUCAUUACUUGUGAAUAUAAGUUUGUAACUAUUAGGUGAAACUCCCUUAUACUCUAGCAUCAUAUUCAUGCAUGCAAACUAAGUGUGCACUCUUAAUAAACAUACACGAAUAAGUUAUCAAUCAAGCAGUUAAACAAACUGAAUUCACAACUUAUGAAAUCACAACUGAAGGUAAUCAAAUCAUAUUGCAAGCAUGAACAUGGUUUCGAAUUCCCCCCUAGCUAAGGGGGGUUUAGUUCCUCAUACUCACAAAGCAAAGAUAAACAAAUUUAGACAUUAAAAACAAAAGAAUGAAAACACCUAAAAACACUCCAACAAUCCAACUUGAAUGGCAAGCACGUCCAAGGGUCCCCUUUCUUCUCUUUGUUACGGCACAAGGUGUGGUUUGAUGGAUGAGUGGUAAAUUAUGGUGGUGGAUGGAUAUAGGUGAGUUAUGGUGAAGGGUGGAUGUAUUUAUAGGCUAGGGAGAGGACCACCAUCUAAUUAAGGUGGUAGUGGUGUAUGUUGUGGUAAUGAGUGGAUGUAAUGGGUGUAGUGGGUGAGUGUUUGGUAAUGAGUGGAUGUAAUGGGUGUAGUGGAUGGAUGUUUGGUAAUGUGUGGAUGUAAUGGGUGUAGUGGAUGAGUGUUUGGUGUGGGUGUAGUGGAUGGAUGUUUGGUAAUGAGUGGAUGUAAUGGGUGUAGUGGAUGAGUGUUUGGUAAUGAGUGGAUGUAAUGGGUGUAGUGGGUGGAUGUUUGGUAAUGAGUGGAUGUAAUGGGUGUAGUGGAUGGAAGUUUGGAGUUGUAGGUCAACACACUUGCACACACACAUGCUAAUUUCUAGCCUUCAAAUCUUCAAAAACGUCCAUCCUCAUGUCUCCAUGCUUGCACUAUCCAAUCUUGGCCCAAAAAUGCUCCAAAAUGCUCCAAAUAGCACUUUGUUGCUAACUUUGUUAUUUGAACCUACAAACACACGAAAAUAGCUUAAAAUACAUAGUUGACUAAGAAAUAACAACAUAAAUGCACAAGAACAAGCUAACUAAGUCGCAUAAAUAUGCUCCUAUCAAAUUCCCCCACACUUAGCUUUUGCUAGUCCUCGAGCAAAACAAAACAAAUGAAACAAACAAAACAUAACCUAGACCUUCCAACAUUUGCCUCAGGGAUUUUCAAUGAAACAUGACAUGCCAAAGAUCACCACUUACAUAGAUUUAAGCAAUCCUUACCCUCGAGUAUACUUAAUCAUAGUCACCAUUCACUAGCUCACAUUUAAUCAAUUAAAACAACAUUUUGAAUGUAGUAACAUGCCUUAGAGAAUUCCCUCAAUUCCUUACUAGAUACUCUCUAUUUUCACACACAUUGAUGUUGAUCAAGAGUGUGUGAAGCUUUUGAGAAUUAUGGUUGAACUCCUUUGAUGAAGCUUUUGUUGGCACCAUAAAUUGGUUUUGCUUCACACUGUCUUGAUCAAGAGUGUGUGAAGCUUUUGAGAAUUGUGGUUGCCCUCUAUUGAUGAAGCUCUUGUUGGCAAUAUAAAUUGGUUUUGCUUCACACUAUCUUGAUCAAGAGUGUGUGAAGCUUUUGAGAAUUGUGGUUGCCCUUCAAUGAUGAAGCUCUUGUGGGCACUAUAAAUUGGUUUUGCUUCACAUUGUCUUGAUCAAGAGUGUGUGAAGCUUUUGAGAAUUGUGGUUGCCCUCCAUUGAUGAAGCUCUUGUUGGCACCAUAAAUUGGUUUUGCUUCACACUGUCUUGAUCAAGAGUGUACAAAGCUUUUGAGAAUUGUGGUUGCCCUUCAUUGAUGAAGCUCUUGUUGUCACUAUAAAUUGGUUUUGCUUCACACUGUCUUGAUCAAGAGUGUGUGAACCUUUUGAGAAUUGUGGUUGAACUCCUUUGAUGAAGCUUUUGUUGGCACCAUAAAUUGGUUUUGCUUCACACUGUCUCGAUCAAGAGUGUGAAGCUUUCUACGAGCUGUAAUGUUUGCAUUGUUACAGAGGGGAAAUGUCUGAAGCAGAUGCAAGAGGGUUGAAUAGCUUGAUCUUCGUAUGCCAUCCAUUGAAGUUGUUGUUGGCUUGUAAUAAGACUAUGUUGGUGACUAUAACUCAUGUUGGGCAUAAGUGCUCCCCUAGUUGAGUUGUCAAGCUUGAAGGUUUUUGAUUAUUUGUGAAUGCUAGGAGUUCACAUGUACAAGUUGCAUCACUCGUCUUCUGGUAGGUGGAAUGAAUAGUGAGUUGCUUUCAUCACUUGGUUGGUGGUACGAAGGUGAGUUCCUUCAUCACCUUUCAUCACCUAGUUGGUGGCAUAAGGAUGAGUUCCUUCUUUACCUGGUUGGUGGCAUGAAUGGCAAGUUGCCAAAUGAUAUUAGAGUAUGGGUUAUACAUUUCAUCACUUGGUUGAUGGCAUGAAGAAGAGUACGGGUUGUACAUUUCAUCACCUGGUUGGUGGCAUGAAGAGGAGUUCCUUCUUCACCUAGCUAGUGGCAUGAGUGGCAAGUUGUCAAAUGAUAUUAGAGUAUUGGUUGUACAUUUCAUCACCUGGUUGGUGGCAUGAAGAUGAGUUCCUUCUUCACCUGGUUGGUGGCAUGAGUGGCAAGUUGCCAAAUGAUAUUAGAGUACUGGUUGUACAUUUCAUCACCUGGUUGGUGGCAUGAAGGAGAGUACGGGUUGUACAUUUCAUCACCUGGUUGGUGGCACGAAGAUGAGUUCCUUCUUCACCUGGUUGGUGGCAUGAAUGGCAAGUUGCCAAAUGAUAUUAGAGUACGGGUUGUACAUUUCAUCACCUGGUUAGUGGCAUAAAGGAGAGUACGGGUUGUACAUUUCAUCACCUGGUUGGUGGCACGAAGAUGAGUUCCUUCUUCACCUGGUUGGUGGCAUGAGUGGCAAGUUGCCAAAUGAUAUUAGAGUACGGGUUGUACAUUUCAUCACCUGGUUGGUGGCAUGAAGGAGAGUACAGGUUGUACAUUUCAUCACCUGGUUGGUGGCAUGCAGAUGAGUUCCCUCUUCACCUGCUUAGUGGCAUGUUGGUUGUAACACUUAGUAUCACAUACUUUGUGUCAAAGUACGCAUGUUGAAGCUCUGAGUUUGAGUAUAAAGGUAGGUCAGUGUAGACCAAGUGUUCCAGUGCUAGGAAUGCAAAAGACUUAGAAGAAGUUCUCUGAAUUCCUUCUUCUUUAAAUAUUUGCCAAAUGGCUUUUGUGACAAAAGAUCUUAAGUGGUUGAGAGUCAAAACAUUUGUAAUGUGUAUGCUUUCUUAUAAUAGCAUUUCCUUCAGUACCUAGUCCUCCACUUUGAAAGAGUGAGGCUUGGCCCUAUAGUUAUAAUAGUUGACGAUACGUUCACCCCUGGUUGUCUUGAUACGAACUUUUAUCCCUCUUGUUGUAAUGGGCUUGCUGAGAGUAAAAAUCUUUCCUCUUACCAAGAGACAUAUAUGUUUGGUAACUUAGUGAGUAGCUAAAUAAGGCAGAAGAUGAUGCAAUGGGUAUCUGAAUGGCCAAUAUCUCCUCACUUGGUAGAACUUGACUUCCACUUCCCAUUUGUUGAUAGGGGUUAACCAUAUGGGGGUUCCCUUGGUAUGUCUUUGCUUUAGCGGAAGACUGGUUAUAAGUUUGUGCCAUCACCUCAGAGUAAGUCUUCCAAGUAUUGGCAUUGAUCGUGUACUUGAAGAAACAAUCACGUAGGCCUGCCGUGAAAACCUUGAGGGCAGUCUUGUCAUCUGCCUCAGCGGAGCGAGAAUACUCAUGGCUGAAGCGACCGGCAUACUCUAUAGUGACUCAUCCAGCUUCUGACGAAUAGUGUACAAGUCAUCUGCAGAAUGCAAGUGAUCUAUCUAGAAGAUGUGUUAAGAGAGAAACAGUUUCCUCAAUUCCUCAAAUGAGUCAACUGUCUUAGGUGGAAAACGGCAAUACCAGUUUAGAGCUCCGCUAGAGAGGGUGGAGGGGAAGAGAAGACAUCGCUCUUCGUCGGUGUGCAUCCGAUAUGCCAUGGUGGACUCAAAGAGGUUAAGGUGUUCAAUUGGGUCCUCCCUUCCAGUAUAAAGUUGUAAACCAAGCUUUUGUUUUGUCUUCGUUUGAAAAGGGUGUCGAUGAUCCUUCUUAUGAGAGGGCCAGACCUGGGUUGGUUCCAGACAGGUAUCUCGGCUUGACGUUCGGCCUUCAACUUGUUUACUUCCUCAAUGAGCUGUAGGAUAAGGGGGUCCGGAGUGGAGUCAUGUACCACUGGAAUUUUCUUUCGUAAGUCUCCAUCGCCUAUUGGAAGUAGGAAAGUUUGAGCAAGGGCGUGUGGUUUUUUCUUGGACUCGUCGUACUGACUUCUAAGGUGAGUCUGUCGGAAUACCUCAGAGUCCCCCGUACCUUCAUGUUCCUCUAGGACAUGUCGUUCAUUCCCUAGAUUGGCAGCUGGCCUGGGUCGUGGGAGGGGACCAAGUCUUUCAGAAACCCUUGGGUCAUUGAUCUUCGAGCAUAAGUGGAGGGGAUUUUUUUGACGUUACUUUAAGAAGUCUCGGCAGUCACGAUAAAUGGCUUUCGAUCCUUCCAACCCUUCUGCAAUGAGGUGUCUUCCUCCACUUCUUCUACUUCAGGUCGAAGCAUCUGGGUUGAGAGAAGUCUCAUGUUGAUCAAUGUUUUGAUGAUUAGCUCGCUCCUCAUCAGGGAUACCUAUGUCGAAGGAAGGUGACCCUCCGUGUUGGGGAGCACCCAAGUAAUGGUUGAUGUCCACAGGGGCAACAAGCUCGUGUGUUUGAGUACGCUUAGUUUCAUGGAGCGUCUCAAAGUGCUUCUCAUACUACUCCUGGAGGACCUCAUUCUUUAUUGCUAUCUUGUUGUUCUAAGCUUCUAGCUCAUCGACUUUAGCUUGAAGAACAACCUUCUUUCCUUCCUUUUUUCAUUGCUUCGCACUAAGUGCAAGAGGGGUGUCAUUCUGUGUGUUGUGGCUUCCUUCACUCCCCAUGUUGGAGAGGAAUGCCUGGUCAAAAGAGAGUGUACGAAUGGUGGAAACCAGCUUGGCAAAGCUGAAGAUAGUAGGAAUAAGUGUUGUUCCCACAGACGGCGCCAAAUGUUGAUUCACAAAAUCAGUAGGGACUUUGGUACAACAGAAAGUGUCAAGUUUGUGACCUUCGCUAGAUUACUCCGGUCACUAGUUUGGAUAAGUAUGCAAAUGGAUAAAGACAGGGAAGCAAACACAAGAUGUACUUGGUUCACCCAGAUUGGCUACGUCCACAUAGUAGAGGAGUUCUCAUUAAUUGUGAAGGGUUUACACAAGUACAUAGGUUCAAGCUCUCCUUUAGUGAGUACAAGUGAAUGAUUUAGUACAAAUGACAUUAGGAAAUAUUGUGAGAGAAUGAUCUCUAUUUAUAGAAGAGAGUUUCUAGUUUCAUUUUGACAUUGACACGUGUCGUGUUGUGAUUGGCUUCUGAUGUUGACACGUGUCGCACUAUGAUUGGCUUCUGAUGUCGACACGUGUCGCACUAUGAUUGGCCUCCUGGUUUGAGGGAAACUCUUCUAGGUCCUUGACGGUAUAACGUUGACCGGUGAUCAGUAGUUUCGGGAUUGGUCAAGUAUCGUACAAACAUAUUCAAGUCAUGUCCGCCUGUUUUCCUACUUUAAAAGUCUUAUUUGUAUCUGGAUUUAAUAGAUAUGCUUUCAUGUAAAACCAAUCAAGAACCAAACAAAUGACUUAAAGGAUCUGGACUCCCCUCAUUCGAAUAUAUAAGACUAUGAACUGAAAGUCCUUGGUCACAAGGCAAGAAAAAGAACUUAAUGUGGACUUAACACAUCCAUGACAAUCUUUUGAUAACAAGAAAUCCAAGUAACUUGGGGCUCAAGUAAUCGACUAAACACAAUCUUGUUCUACAUUUGCUAUACUGAGAUAGCAGUGGCACGCCUAGCACUUAGUUAGUUUUGAUUGAAAGCCUCAACGCCUGCACCUAAGGCCCCACAAAGGUACCUUUCAAAACUAACUCUGCCUUUUUCUUGCAGCACAUCAGCAGGCAAGAGCCCAACUACACAUCUAAAGGGCCAAUCCCUUGGGGAGCUGUGCUAAGUGCCGAUGAGCCCUUUCCAGAGAAAUAUUCGCCUGAACAUAAUUUUGGCACGCCCGGUGGGAUACAUUUAUUCUUGUAUGCCAAGAAGAAGAAGGAAUGAGAAAACCUUCAGGUGGAAUGUAGAAUACGGGUCACCCUAGUAUUUACCAAAAGUAAGCAUGACAAAUCUUCCAAAUGAUUUUCCUUCCCUGCAAAGACCAGCUAUUCUAGAAAACUCGACUUCAUCCGAGAAGUCAUGAGGGAAGGUGACCAAUGAGGACUUGCAAGCCACCAUGGUACAAGUACUGAGAAGUAUGGAGAAGAUCACUCUGGAAACCAAAGGAGAAGUAAGCAAACUCUGUUCUUUAACGGGGAAUUUGCAAAGAAUACUAGAUCUAGAGUACUUUACUUCAAAGAAUGGUUAUGCUAGAGAAAUGAUGAGAGAAACCAGCACUGUGAAGGAGCCAGUUAUUCCUCUAUUUCCUUUGCUUAAGGAAAAAGGGUAUAAAGGGAAGAACAAUGAAGGAUCUGGAAUUGAUCAGCUAGUGUUGGAAGAGAUCUUAGAAACGGAGUUGCCCGACCCCCUAUUAUUUUCACUAAAUAGUAAGGGGCACAGUGGGCAAGAAAGAAUGAAGUAUAGGAUGCCCCAGUCAAUCGGAGAGGCCAGUGGAAAAAGCGAGCUUACCAAGGCAGACAAGCCUCCCUCUUAUAGGUCAUCACCAUUUGUUACUAAAGAAUGAGAUACUUGAUAGACGCAUAUUUAUGCGACUUAGUUAACUAGUUUUCUUGCAUUUACGUUAUUAGUUCUUAGUUAUUUUAGUACUUUAAGCCAUUUUCGUGUGUUUGUAGGUCCAAAGGGCUAAGGUAGCAAGAAAGUGCAUUUUGGUGCAUUUUGGAGCAGUUUUGAGCUUGGAAUGGAUUACAUAUGAUAUGAGCAAGAUGGAUGGACGAAUUUGAAGACAAAAGAGGCUAAGAACAUGCUAAAAAUCUGGUGAAACAAAUACAAGUUGCAAGAAGGGAUAAAUUUCUAGAAGGAUUGGCCAAAACUUCACUCAAAACACAUCAAUGCCGUGGCUUUUACUCCCACCUCCACCAGAAAUUUGAGUAAUGAUGCAAUGCUUAACUCACCAUGACAUGUGAGUGGAUGAUGCAAUGCUUAGCUAACCAUGACAUGUGAGUGGAUGACUCAAUACCUAACCCACCAACAAUUCCCACUCUUUGCCAUGCUCACCUACUCAAUUCCACCAACAUUUUGUGUUAAACAAGUCCAUCCUCUUCCUAUAAAUACCAUGGCAUCAACCUCAUUCAAAUCAUCCAGAAAUUAACCAUUCUCCAAGCCUUUCCUUGCCUCUCCUACAUAUCUAAACCCCUUCCCAUCCAUUCCUCCAAAUAACCAACCCUUCAACAUCAUUCCAACCUUGUUGUUGCGGCAAAGAGAAGGAGAAAAGUCCUUAGACGCACUUGCUAUCCAACAUGGAUCGUUGGAACGUUUAGGUGCUUUCUUUCCUUUGUUUUUCAAUGUUUAAAUUUGUUUAUCUUUGUUUUGUAAUAAUGAGGAACUAAACCCCCCCUUGGCUAGGGGGGGAUUCGAAACCAUGUUAAUGCUUGCAAUAUGAUUUGAUUACUUUUAAUUGCGUUUCAUAAGUUAUGAAUUCGAUUUACUUAUCUAUUUGAUUGAUAACAUGUUUAUGUAUGUUGAUUAGGGAUGCAUACUUAGUUUGCAUGCAUAAAUAUGAUGCUAGAGUAUAAGGGAAUUUCACCUAAUCGUUAUGAACUUAUAUUCAUGAGUAGUAAAAGUCGCUAGUCACGAUUGUGUUAAGUAAAUCCUUGGCAUAAGUUUCAUGCAAAUCAUAGUAACGAGUGCCUCGUCAAUGCUUAUGUUUUUCAUAGAACUUAAUGAUUCUUGCUUGUAUCUCUAUUAUGCAAUUCAUGUAGGGAACUUGUAGGGAAUGUUUUGGGUUGUCGUAUGCAAUCAUCCAACCCAAUAACUUGUGGAAAAACUGAGGGUUAAUUAGUGCAAUUCACGGUUAAUUUGGGGCGUUGAGAAUUAAUAAGUUAUUGAAAUGCAAUUGGAAAUCAUUUUGUAUGCAAGCAAGACAUGUGUGGAGAAGAACCCCUUAGCUAGCCUUCCAUUAUCCAUUCAACCCAAAUUUGUUUAAAAUCUAUUUAAGUUUUUAGUUUAUUCGUUUUUACUUUCAACUUCACCAAACUCAAAUCCCCCUUUUACUUUCUUGUUUUAAAAUCUUUUGUUUACAUUUUUAACUUUGUUUUUAUGUUUUUAAAUUAGUUUUCAAGUGAUUUAGCAAUCCCUCCUAAUCCCCGGUUUAGAACGAUCCCUACUUACAUCUAUACUACAAUUGUCAAAAAGAGGGUUAAAUUUGUGUGCUUAUAUAUUUCGCAUCAAUACUAAGUGGAGGAAGCCCGAAACAAGAAAGGAGACUCUCUUAGGCAACGAUCGUAGCCCGAAGUGGGAACUUUCUCAUACCCCACCUAAUAAUGCAGCUCACCAGCAGCUUAGGGAUGAAUUGGUCGAGUUAAGAAGGAUGAUAGCCCAGAAUGCUCAACCCCAAGCUCACCUGCUAUUCAGGAUCACCUGCCAAAAGCCAUACCCGGAAUAUAUUGAUGAGCCAAAUCUUUUUCCUCUCAACUUCAAGAUGCUCGUGUUUCCAACUUUCAGUGCAGAUUAUGGCAGUGUAUCCUCUAGAAACCACAUCUUCAAGUUCUCCAACCAUUGCGUGGCAUUUGAAGAUAUAAGUUGAGGUUGUUUAGGAACUCAUUGGUUGGAUUAGCAUCUCAAUGGUACUCUUUGUUGCCCCCCCCAAGUCUAUUGCUAACUAGGGGCAAAUAGAGACGGUCUUCCUGUUGGAAAUGUGCCCUAAAACCAAUCAUGUGAUGAUACUUUACGGACAUUUCACAUGUUAAACUAAUCUAGUUUAAUAUAAAGGGCAAAGAUUAUUGUUUGAGCCGUCUCAUAUAAAUGUUAUAUGCUUAAACGAUAAAGUCCAAGGAAUAUGUGAUUGGGAGAAUGCAAUCUAAAGAAGUUAGAUUCAUGAGACCAUUCUUUCGUAUACACAUCCUAAACGUUCCUGAUCAUAGGAUUGCCAAUUGGGCAUUGACAGUCCGUUAAGAUCAGUACAUGCUGUGUCUUCUCUCAGGGAGAGUGACUAGUCUCGAGUCAUUGAUGUGUGUGACAUCAAGACAAGUACGUAGGUGCUCAAUAGAGAGUGAGUUCACUGAACACGAUCAACGAAGAGUUCUCAUAUUCAUGUCACAUGAGAACUCAUGGUUGGGAUAAUGCAAAGUAGUCUUUUGACCUGAGGCAUCACAGUUGUCUUGUGGUUAAGUCCUUGAUCUUUGAUUAUGUCAAAGUCACCCCAUCGGGGUGUCCACGGCAUCGUUAGGGUUAAGCCACUUAGUCAUGGAGGCAAGUGAAUGCGCAACAAGGGAUCUCUAACCUUCAAACAGUUUGAGGGAGAAUACUCUAUGAUAUGAUUAAGAAUCUUUGGCCAAAGUAUGAAUGAGAUUUAGGAAGGCGUUCCAAAUCACAUUCAAGGUAAUCAUAUAAGCACACGAAUCACAUUGGAUAGUAGACAUGAAUAAAUAAAUUAUCAAACCAAACAAUGUGGUCAAGAGUAUUGUAUUAGAGAAAGACCGUAUUGCAUUUGUAAUCCUAAACUGAAUAGGUUCUCCACCUCUUCUGAUUAGCUUGGGUAACCAUGAUAUGCUGCUAGGUGUCACUCAUGGUUUGUGGAAGCCCUAAACGUGUAUAAUCACUAAAGGGAGAAUUGAAAGUAAGUUUCAAUUCACAAUCGAUGUGAAAUGGUUUUAAUCGCCCACUGCCUCGCUAAAAGGAACCUACUGGAUCGCACACCGUGUAAGGUGGAGAUUGAAGAAACAAUGGAGAUGAGUAAGAAUGAUUAAAUGGUUUAAUUAUUUAUUUAUGGCAAAGAUUAAUUAAUAUGUUAAUUAAUCAAACGAAUAAGUUCGUUAAAGACCUCGGGAUAGUUUUGGACCUUAAGGCCCAAUGGGCUUCGAACGUCAAGUCCAUUGACUUAAGUUGUAUGACAACUUAAUUCACUAAGACCCAAAAGCCCAAACAACACCCCAUGGCCGGCCAUUUAGAGGAAAGGUAGUGAACUUGCUUUAAUUACAAGUUUGCCACUCAAAUGAACAAAGGUAUAAAUAUGACUUUAUAGCCUUUUGUUCAUUAAGGGUUUGUUUUGGAGAAAAUUGGAGAGAACAUGUCUCUCCAUUUCUCUCUAAAGAGGCCGGCCCCUUGGAGGGUGCAUCUAGCAAUCCCACUACUCCAAGGUCACUCAUUUCUUCUCCAAUCUCUCCUUGGUGAAGAGACUUAGAGGUUCUCAAUUUUGGGAACUUGGAGAAACCUUUUCAUCUAUCCAAAUCCAUAGAUUUAAGAUGCAAGGAAUGAAGGCCCUCUCUUUGGGUGAUUAGCCUUUGCUUAUGUAAAGAGGAAUCUACAAAGGUAUAAAUCUCAACUCACUUUGUUUUGAGUUGAUUAAUGGUUCACCAAUCUACUAGGCUUUGAAUUUCAUGGGUAAUGUUUUGUUUUUGAGUGCAUGCAAGCAUGAUUCCGCCUUUAAUUGUUAAUUGCGUGCUAUAUGAUGUUGCUCAAAUGAACAUGUUUUCACAAAAUCAUCCUUCACUUCCAUGAGCAGUUCUAUAGGCUGGAGCCCGAGAAGUCCAAUACGAACAUGAGUCUAUUGAGGACUUCAUGAUGAGGUUUAGAAGGACAAGAAUGAGAUGCCAAUUCCCUGUCAAUCAUGCCCAACUCAUAUCCAUUGCUCAAAAAGCCUUAAGGUUGCCUUUUAGGAAGAAGUUUUAUAAUGUGCAAUUCAAUGAGUUGCAAGAGUUGGUGAUUGCUACCACAAAGUAUGAGAAGUUGUUGCUUGAAGAAUAGCAAGUGAAUCACUUGUCUAAGGUGCCUCAUUUCUACAAAAGCAAAGUUGCCAUCCACCAAGUGGAGUUUGAAGGAAAGCUAGAAGAAAAUGAUGGGAGAAAGGGAAUGGACAUAUGUGCAGCAGAGAUGACUACCCCCUUUAAGCCUUUAAUAGUGAAGGGGUUAGUCCAACCAGUCAAGGAUCAGAAAGUGGUAAUGAAUUAUGGUGGUUUUGUCCCCAUGAAGCCCCCUAAAUACCUAAGUUACUCUUUUGAUUUAACAAAGGCUGCAGAGAUUUAUGAGGAGUUGUUCGGGCAAGAGUAAUUGUGCCCAAUAACACCAAAAAGAUGCCUAAGCCAUAAGAGUUGAGAUGGAAGAAGUAUUGCAAGCUGCAUUAUACUUUCAAUCACUCCAUAACCAACUGUGUUUAGUUCAAGGAUUGGAUACAAGACCUUAUAGUAAAGGGAAAGUUGUUGUUGGAGAAACCGCAGGACAAUAUGAUAAUUUACAUAGAUCCUUUCCUGGAAGCCCCAAUAAACAUGAUCAACUUGACAUGAGUUGAGAAAGGGAAAAGGAAGGCCACCUAGGAAGUAAAAGCGAAAAUGAGGCAAGUAAUUGACAGGCCAACCGAAUGAGCCAUCAAGUUGCCUGAAAAACCCAAAGCAAUUAUAGUUAAAUAAGUGGUAUUGUGUAGCAGGUGUCAGUAUGAAUGUGAGUUGGAGGUAGCAACAUUAGGAACUAUCAUUAUUCAGGAGUUAAUCAAAAAAAGAGAACAAGAAGAACAAGAAGCCUACAUAAAUGUCUUGCAAACAGCUGAGAGAGAGACCUCGAGAAAUGUUUUCCAAAGGUUGGGAGAAGAUUCUCAACCAAAGGGCUUGUCAGAAAUGUUCAGAAAUUAUGAAGCCUCUGAAGAAGUGGAAGACAGAGAAGACAAAACGCCAAGAUAGGUAGAUGUGAGGCCACCACAUCCAAGCUAUGUCGGUGAAGAUGUCAUAAGAAAGAAAAUGAUAGUGAAUUCAAUGAUGAAAUGGUAUGUGGUUGGAAAGGAUGGGAAACCCAUCAAGGAAAUGGGAACCUCUAUGAUCAGGAGAAUUCAGAGGCAGCACAAAGCCCACAUGAACUCAUUAAAAAUCCCCACUGCCUCAGAAACCCCUGAGAAUGUGAAGUUUGAGAAAGUACCUCAUAGGGGAAGAAAUCAACUUCAAUGGAAAAGCAAAAAAGAGGUAGAGAAAGCUAAUAGCAAGAUCGAAGGGAAAUGAGAUCAUGUGCCACAGAGCCCCCAUCAUGGGAAAUAAAAAAUCUUGAGGAAAGCUAAAAAAGAUAUGGUAAUGAUGCCAACCCCAAGAUGGAGUUCAGAACCAAUAUGCUUUGGAACUAUCUCACCUGAGAGGGGGUUGCCCGCACCAUUGCUAGUUGAUACUUUCUAUGAGAACUCAGCACAGAUACAGAAUGUUGGCAUAACUCAGGAAGAAAGGUUGCUCGAGCUGAUGAUACCUGAAGAAGCAAAAACCUAGUUAAAUCAAUUCAUGAGCCAUAUUGGGGGCAAGAAGGAAGAUUUACCUGGACUUAGCAACUUCCACAUAAACAUGACAUAUGUUCUAUCUGCCAUGUUUUGUCCCAAGCAUGAUCAACCUGCCACAAUGGAGGGUGAUUACUUGGCAACAGAACCUAUGAUGGCACAUGUUAGUAUUGAAGAAGCAGGAAAAAAGAAGUAGGGCAGAAUAGGUUUGCCCGAGCUUUCAAGGAAAAAGCCUGAGAGAGUGUACUCAGACAUAAUGGUCUUCGGUCGCCCAAGUUUGACCCUAGCUAACCAUCUCAAGCCUAUUUAUGUAACUGCUCAUCUAGAGGGUAUACCUUUCAAGUGGGUUUGAUUGAUGGAGGAGCUGCGGUCAAUAUGUUGCCAUACAAGCAAAUGAAAAAGAUGUGUAGAAGUGAGGAAAAUCUCAUCCCCACAGAUCUAACAGUUUCCAGUUUCUUCGGAGUCAUUACUAGAACUCAUGGGAUAUUGCCCCUGAAGGUUGACUUGGGUUCCAAGUAAAUCAUGCUAGCCUUCUUCAUGGUAGACAAUACUUCCACUUAUGGAACUUUGCUUGGCCGAGAUUGGAUUCAUCAGAGUAUAUCGAUGCCUUCCACCCUACACCAACAGGUAGCAGUUUACCAUGAGGAAUGAGCCAUAGGACCAGGAUUUUGGGAGUUGGUGAAGGUUGAGUCACAGCCAUUCCUCUCCACAGUUAAUGUUGCAGAAGCUAGCUUUUACAAUCCUAGUAUUUAGAUUCUCCAGUGCUGAAAAACUAAUGAGAACGGCCGUCUGACUAAGGUGACAUCCCAAAAGCUUUUGGAACAAGGAUUGUUCCUCACUAAGGAAUAAUGGGAUAGACCCUAUAUUGUCCCAACUCCCCAACACCAGUAAUAUCAGACACAAAGUCAUAUGCCCAUGGCUAACUUAUCCAUAGAUACAGCUGCCAAACACAAAGUCCUAUCUUUCAUGGAUGGGAAUGCCGGUUAUAAUAAGAUAAAAAUGGCUAAAGAAGAUAUACACAAAACAGCUUUUAAGUGCCCAGGUCAUGUGGGAGCAUAUGAAUACUUAGUCAUGCCAUUCGGGCUCAAAAAUGUUGGUGCAACCUAUCAAAUAGCAACGAAUGCCAUUUUUCAUGACUUAAUCGGCCAUAGCAUGGAAGUAUACAUUGAUGACAUCGUGGUGAAAUCUAAAACUGGAGAACAACACUUGGUAGACCUCAGACAAGCUUUAACAAGAAUGAGAAUCCAUAAGCUGAAAAUGAAUCCAAAGAAAUGUGCUUUCGAGGUAAGGUCGGGCAACUUUUUGGGAUUCCUUGUUCAUCAAAUAAGUGUAGAGGUUGACAAGAACAAAGCUCGGGCAAUAGUGGAAUCACCUCAUCCCACCAAUAAAGUACAACUGCAGAGGUUACUAAGAAAUAUCAACUUCUUGAGGAGAUGCAUCACUAAUUUGGCAGGCAAGAUUCAACCCUUAACUCCUCUGCUAAGAUUAAAAGACAAGGUAGAAUAUGAGUGGGGCUCACCACAUCAAGAGGCUUUCGACAGAAUAAAGGCUUACUUAGCCUCCCCAUGCCACCUCAGAGGGGGAAGUCUUUAAAACUUUAUAUUUCUGCCUUUGAAAUGCCAAUGGGAAGCUUGCUAGCCCAAAACAAUGUAGGCGAGAAGGAAUAAGCAAUAUACUACCUCAGUAAAAUCUUUACUAAGGUAGAGACGAGAUAUACACCAAUGGAAAGGUUGUGCUUGGCUCUAUACUUCACUGCCUACAAACUAAGGAAUUACAUGUUGCUUUGCCACAUCCAUAUCAUCGUUAGGACAAAUGUGAUCAAGUACAUGUUGUUAAAACCAAUGCUAACUAGAAGAAUUGGAAAAUGGAUUCUAACACUAUCAAAGUUCAACUUUCAAUAUGUCCCUCAAAGAGCGAUCAAGGGACAAUCAAUUGCAGACUUCUUGGUUGAGUGAUGCGAAAUAUAUAAGCACACAAAUUAAACCCUCUUGUUGACAGUUGUAGUAUAUAUGUAAGUAGGGAUCAUUCUAGGCCGGGGAUUAGGAAGGAUUGCUAAAACACUUGAAACUGACUUGAAACGUAAAACUAAGUUUGGAACACUAAACUAGACUCAAAUAAUGCAAAACUAGACUCUAAUACACUAAAACAACUUAAUUGACUCAAAACAGCACAAAACAAGCUAAUUGACUCAAAACAGACACUAAGAGUGAAUUUGGACAAAAAUUGGUUUUACCUUGACUCAAAACACUUAAAAACACAAACUAAAACAGUUUCUAAUUAAUAUGACUCAACAAAGUAAAGGGGGAUUUGGUUUUGACGAAUUUGAAAGUAAAACAAACAGAUUGUAAACUAAAACAAAGUUUGGAUGAAAUUGGGUAAAUUGGAUGGAUGAUGGGCUAGCUAGAGGGUUCUUCUCCAUACAUGACACACUUGCAUACAAAUUGAUUUCCAAUUGUUUCUUUCAAUAAACCAUAAAUCUCAACACCCCAGAUUAAUUAGGUACGCUUAAAUUAACCCUCAGAUUUUCCUUAUGUCAUUGAAUUGGACGGAAAUAGCGCAUCGCAAUCAAAUUAUUCUUCAAAAGUUCCCUACAUGAAAGUGCAUAAUAGAGAUACAAUCAAAGAUCAUUAAGUUCUAUGAAAAUCAUAAGUAUUGACAAGGCAUUUGUAACUAUGAAAGCGCAUGAUAUUGAUGCCAGGAAUUUACUUAACACGAUUGUGACUAGCAACCUCCACUACUUAUGAAUAUAAGUUCAUAACGAUUAGGUGAAACUCCCUUAUAUCCUAGCAUCAAAUUUAUGCAUGCAAAUUAAGUGUGCACUCUCAACCCACAUACACAAACAAGUUUUAAUUCAAACAGAUAAGUAAAUUGAAUUCACAAUUUAUGAAAUUUAUGAAAUUUCAACUGGAUGUAAUCAAAUCAUAUUGCAAGUAUAGUCAUGGUUUCAAAAUUCCCCCAAGCUAAGAGGGGUUUAGUUCCUCAUACUCGCAACAAAGAUUAUUAAACUUAAACAUUGAAAAAAAGAAGAAAGAUUACACCUAAAAACGUUCCAGCAACUCUAACUUGAAUGGCAAGCACGUCCAAGGGCUCUCCUUCUUCUUUGCUACAGCACAAGGUAUGGUUGAUGAUUUUUUGUGGUGAAUUGUGGUGGUGGAUAAGUGAUGGGUGAUGAGAGUGUAUGGGUGCGGCUGGAUGUGUGUAUUGGAGAAUGGAUGGGAAGAAUGAUGUCUUUUUUGUGUGGCAAAGGGAAGUAUUUAAGGUUUUAGGAAAUCAAAACCCUAACUUAUUUAGGUUAACAAAAAUUAAGUCAAAACUACUAGAAAAAAGGAAAACAAAAUCAGAAAUCAAAGGAAAGAAUAAAGUGAUAUGCAGCAAGGCUUUUUAGUUAAAAAAGGAAUGUGAUUUGGUGCAGGAAAUAGGAAAGAAAGGUUUUCCCUUGCACGGCAAGGAAGAGAAAAGGGACAAGAGAGGUGCAGCAAGUAAUGUUAGAUGUCUAGAAGUUCUUAUUUAGUGUUUUAAUAUGAUUUGGAGUCUUCUUUGUUGCUGGAACUUAGGGACUUAUAGGAUUAGAAAAGGUUAAAACCAAAGUAUGAAACCUUGGCUUAACAUUCCUUCUUCUUGUAGGAAUCCUUGUGUAAGUAGGAAUCCUCAUUCUUCUAGGAAUCCUUCUUCAAUUAGGAAUCCUUGUAUCUUUAGGUCUUCAAUUUCAUCCAUCUCCCUUGCUCCAAGCAUGUGAUAUUCAUUCCAAGCCCAAAACUGAUGCAAAAGGCACCAAAAUGCACUUUCUUGCCACUUUAGCCCUUUAAACCUCCAAACACACGAAAAUGGCUUGAAAUACUAAAUUAACUAAGAAAUAACAACAUAAAUGCACAAGAACAAGCUAACUAAGUCGCAUAAAUAUGCUCCUAUCACUGAGCACCAGGAGUCUCAAGAAGAGAUUAUCAAUAUCCCAUGAACUCUUAAGGUAGCUAGUAUGUGGAUCCCGCCAAGCAAAGCCUUCUCGGGCAGAGAAAAAUAGAUCCAGCAAAAAAUAAAAAGAAUAACUAGCCUCUGGAUAUCUCCUUGGAGACUAUAUUUUGAUGGUUCUUGCACUUAAAAUGAUGCGAGGGCUGGGAUUGUCAUCACUGAUCCCAUGGGUACUCACCAUUGAUAUUCAUUCCUUCUGGAUUAUCAAGAGAUUACCAACAAUCAGGCAGAGUAUGAGGCAUUGAUAAUUGGCCUGGGGAUUUUAAUAGAGUUAGGGGCAACUGAAGUUAAGAUGUUUGGUGAUUCAGAAUUGGUGAUCAAUCAGUUAAAUAGAGAAUACAAGUGCAGACACAUCACCAUGGCAGGUUACUAUUUGGCAUCCACAAAACUAUUGCGCUAUUAGGGCAUUGAAAUAUCAACCAACCAUAUUCCCAGAGCAUCAAACACGAUUGCCAAUGAGAUGGCACAAUUAGUUUCUGGAGCACAGAUCCAAGAAAAGAAGUUCGAAAGGGAUAUAGAAGUUAACAAGAGACAUAUCCCAUCUAUCUUUGAAAGGGGAUUCAGCCUAGAUGUGAUGACUGAAGAAAUAGAGAUAGAGGAUUGGAGGACACCUAUUGUUCAGUAUUUGAAAGAUUCAUCCUUCCCCACGAGUAAGAAAAAUACACAACAAGCAACUAAGUAUGUUUUGUGGAAUGGAAAUCUAUUAAGAAAGACUCAGAUGGACUUUUGCUUAAAUGUUUAGGCUAGGAAGAAUCAUUGAGGGUAAUGGCCGAAGUACAUGAAGGAAUAUGUGAGGCACAUAAGGCUGAAACUAAGAUGAGAUGGUUGCUUAGAAGAUAUGGCUAUUUCUAGCCCAAGAUAGAAAAAGACUGCAAGGCUUAUGCCCAAGGGUACGAAGAAUGUCAAAGGCAUGGACCUCACCAACAUAUGCCCUUAAUACCCUUGAACCCCGUGGUCAAACCUUGGCCCUUUAAAGGAUGGGAAAUGGACUUCAUCGAGCAAAUUCACCUAGCCUCUAGGAAGGGACACACAUUCAUAAUUGUGGCAACUGAUUACUUCACCAAGUAGGUAGAAGCUUCAGCUGUGAAGACUAUCAUUUCAACCACAGUCAAGAAAUUCAUUGAAACCAAGAUCCUACAUAGACUUGGGGUGCUCGAAACAAUUGUCACAGACCACAAGCCAUCUUUUAUUUCAAAAGAAGUAGAGGAAUUUGCAAGUAAGUUCAAAAUAAAGAUGAUUCAGUCUAGUCCUUACUACCCCCAGUCAAAUGGUCAAGCAAAAGCCAGCAACAAGAUCUUGGUGAACAUUAUUAAAAGAAUGGUGGCCGAGAGUCCAGAAAAGUGGCAUGAGAAACAAGGAAAAACAUUGUGGGCUUAUAGAACUUUCAAGAGGGCAACAACUGGAACUACUCCUUAUGCUCUAACCUUCGGGCAAGAUGUUGUACUCCCUAUGGAGAUUAAUGUGAGUUCUGUCAGGAUUCAAAACCAAUUCGGGAUACACAGUGAAGAAUACAUUCAGGCUAUGUUUCAAGGAGUUGAAGAUCUAGAUACAGCCCGAAUUAGAGCUCUAGAUAAAAUUCAAGAAGGGAAAAAAGUUGUUGCCCAAGCAUACAACAAGAAAGUAAAAUUAAAGACCUUCAAGGAAGGAGAGUUAGUUUGGAAAGCAAUUAUGCCUUUGGGAGCUCAAGUUAAAGGAUUUGGGAAAUGGAGCCUGACUUGGGAGGGUCAUUUCAUUAUCAACCAAGUACUGGACAAAUGAGGAUAUUACUUGGUAGAUGUGGAAGGAAGCUUACAGAAGCAUCCAAUCAACGCUAACUUUUUUAAGAAAUAUCACCCAACCUUGUAGGAUGUUAAGGAUUACUACAUUGAAGAAGUAUAAGCAUUGCAAGAAAUCUAAAGUUAGCUUAUGUGCUCAUCAUAGUUGAGUUUCAACAAGGAAAUGCAAGCCAAAGUGAAUUAAAGAAGUCAUUUUCAUUUCAUUGAAUGAUGAAGUUACAUAAGAAUCAGCUCAAUAAUUUUAUAUCCUUGAAUAGAGUAACUAUCCUAGAAUCCUGGUUGUCUAAAGAUCAUUUGAUAGUUGCUCUUCUAACCUCUCACUUUGAGAAGACACCAUUGUGAUCCUUGCCUCCAUAACAGAGCCUUUUUCCACAACUCUUACCAAAGUCUUUAACGUUGAUCCUAAAACCAACAAGGUCGUGGUAGUUGAUCUCGAAGCAUACACCCAUGAUGAUGAAGUGAUCAAGAAAGCAGAAGCUGUAGAUAUCAGUGUAAGAGAAUAUAGCUUUAUAGCCACAAGUAGAAUCUACCGGUGCGAUUAAAGUUGCUCGGUUACUCCUCAAUGCCAUAGAAGCCCUAAAACAAAAGCUAGAAGUAGUGCACCUUUCCAAGGAUAUUAUAAAAUUUGAUUUCUCCUUAGGCAUGUUGUUUUCAACAGCAAUUGGGACCUGAAAAGUCCAUGUAGGUCAUAAGGAGUGCACUCCUUCCUCCUCGAAUAAAAGUUCAGUGUGCAUGCCUGCUCGAGGGCGAUGAAGGCUAUUAAGUAAGCGGCACAUGGUGGAAAUCCCCUUACCACUCUCGCAGAGAGAUUGGAUUCAAGCAACUUUGGGUGCUAUUGAGGACUUUGAGAGGAAGAUAGAAGGAAAAGUUGGAAUUAAGGGGGUAAGAAUUGAAAAACUGAGAAGGCAAGAGCGUACUGGAAUUUCUGGGAGUUCGAAGGCUUAAAAUGGUUAAGUUUCUUUGCCAAAGGGGUUAAGGAAGAAUUAUAUAGUGAGAGGUUACUUAACGAUGAAGUUCGUGGGUUAGCGCAAGGGUUUUUGUUAACCAAUGGCCGCUUUAAUUGGUGCAAAUCCCGAGAGAAUGCGUGCGACGGUUAUUUAAUCAUUAUUAGCGCCUGGGAUUGCAGCCUCAACAAUGAUUAAAGGGGGCACUAUUUGGGUUAAUAUUUGAACAUUGGGCUGCAAGUGUAUGGAAGCCCAAAGAUGCCAAUUCGAAAAGAGAUUUGCCCAAAGCCUAAGCAUCAAGCCCAGAGACAAAUUGGCGCCUUCCCAUUAAUGCAUAGGUCAUGUGCCUUUGAUUUAAAUGUCAAAUGAUGGGGACUAACUCACAAUCAGCCAAAAAGUACUUUUCGGUGGCAAUACAAGUAAAAAGAUGAUGACUCACUACCCUCUAAGUGUUUUCGGGCAAGAGCAAAGUCACUGCAAUCAGGCUAAUUCACCUAUAAAAGGAAGAAGAGGCCCCAGAGACAAGGACACUCAACCAAUCAAACAAACAAACAUACAAACUCUGCUCUCAAGCCAAAUUUGCAUCUAAAAGCUGUAAUCAGCCCAAAUCUCAAUCCUUUUCAGGAUAUCUCCCUCACAAAAUCUAUCUUUUGUCUUGAUUAGAAGCUAUGCUAUUACCCCUAGUGGCGUAUCAUCGAUUCCCUUAUGUAAACUGGUUUACAAUCCAUCCCUUUCUAGCAUAGAAACCUCUGUAAACUCAAGGAGAAGUGACUGCAAGAGGUUUAACCUUGCCAGACAAGGUGAAAUCUUGCCCAAAGCUCUUUGUUUGUUUUCUAAAUUUGUAGAUCUAUUACUUAAUGCAUUCUACAAUUUGUAUUCAAGUCAUAUCCGCCUAUUUUCCUACUUUAAAAGUCUUAUUUGUAUCUGGAUUUGGUCAAUUUAAUAGAUAUGCUUUCAUGUAAAACCAAUCAAGAACCAAACAAAUAACUUAAGGGAUUUGGACUCCCCUCAUUCAAAUAUACAAGACUAUGAACUGAAAGUCCUUGGUCACAAGGCAAGAAAAAGAACUUAAUGUGGACUUACCCAUCCACGACAAUCCUUUGAUAACAAGAAGUCCGAGAAACUUGGGGCGGAAGUAAUAUACUAAACAAAAUCUUGUUCUACAUCUGCUAUACUGAGAUAGCAAUGGCACGCCUAGCACUUAGUUAGUUUUGAUUGGGAGCCUCAAGGCCUACACCUAAGGCCCUACAAAGGCACCUUUCAAAACUAACUAUGUCUUUUUAUUGUAACACAUCAACAGGCAAGAGCCCGACUACACAUCUAAAAGGCCAAUCCCUUGGGGAGCUGUGCUGAAUGCCAAUGAGCCAUCUUUGGAGAAAUCUUCGCCCGAACAAUUUGGCAAAUAAAUUUUCAAAACUUUUGGACAAUAUUCAAUGUUCGAUUUGAAAUUUUUAGAAAAUUAAUUAGUGUGUGUGCAUUGACUAAAUCAUUUUGUAAAUUUAUGUCAAACAUGCAUCUCAUCUGCAUGUUCAUGUCGAUUAGGAUAGUGCGAAUUUUAGUUUGUUUCUUGCAGUCUUCUGCAUAAAUUUAGUUUCUGUCAACGGUUACAUGGCUUAUUGGUUUCAAUCCCAGACUCAAGUAUGUUUGGCAAUUCUUGAUUUUAUUGAAUGAGUUUCCUUUUAUGUUAGCACUAAACAUGUUUGAUUAUCAUGAAAAACAGCUGCACGCCAUUUAGAUGUUAAUUUAAAGCAUGAUUUAAAAAUUCAUAUGGCUACUCAAUACUACGGUCUAGUGGUAUUCCUCUUCACUUGAAAGUGAGAGGUCUUAGGUUCGAAUCUCAUGGAUGGCGAAUUUGAUACCAAAUUAGGCUACUCAUUGUGUGGCUUUGCCAAACUCUCCAUUCCCUUAGGAUGCGUUUGUUGCGCCGGACUGUCUCGGACUGAACUAGCUGCCGGGACUAAACUAGACUGGCUUAGACUGGACUAAGCUGGACUAACUUAGUGAAGCGUUUGGUGUAAUGUCGGACUAAGAAGCAGGAUAAGAAAAACAGUACUGUUCACCAGAUUUGUGUUUGCUUAGACUAGGACUACAAAUUUUUGCCAUUGUGUAAUAGAGUAAUGCUACAAAUCUCAUGAUAUGGGUUAAUUGGAGCAUAUUUUUGCCAUGUAUAUUAUGAAUCUUAAAAAAAUUGACAAUUGUUUUGUUUCUAUUACCUGCUAAUAGAAUUGGGUUUAAUUUGCAAAUGUAGCUUGGUUUAAACUCUAUCACCCAACAGAAGAAAAAUAAUAGUGCCCAAUACAUGCAACUUCAACAAAUACAAGUACAUAAGAAGAUCUCCAUAAUUUAGAAAAUCCUAGUUAACAUUAGUUAACAUUAGCCAAAAUAGAUCUCCAUAAUUUACAAAAUGGCUAGUUAACAUAAGCCAAAAUACUAGUGCAAAGCUAAGUUAUAAGCCAUAACAUAAGAUUGUAUGAUUAAUAAAAUACAUCCAUGUUAACAUUAGCCAAAAUCCUCAUCCGCUUGCGUUGUCGCUUAAAAGCCUUUGGACGAACACUUUCUUGAGUUCCGGUUUGAUUGCCCUGAACACUCCCACAUUUUUUGGUUUAUCCAAAAUAAGAGACAAUGCAUCAAUUUGAUCCAUAGGAGAGAGACCCAUUGCUUCAAGUUCAUUAGCUAUGUCAGUAUGAUCUGCAGUACCUUGAACUAAAGCUUCAGUUACCAUUUGCAUCCUCUUCCCACUUUCAACAUAAAAAUCUUUCAGUCCACUGAUAAUUGCCUCGGUUCCAUCACUUGAACUUCCCACAGCUCUUUUCCUCUUUCUUUGGCUAUUUUCCGAUGGGGUGCUUUGUUGGAUUUGUUGGUUCAUUGAAGAAACAAAAUUUUUACCUCCAAUAUCACUUUCACCAACAUGAUCAUGACUUUGUUCCUCCACCAUUUGAGCAGGGGUUUCGGCUACAUUACCCGUAGCCCGAUUUUUUCCAAAUAUAUAUGCAAAUCUAUCAAACAGUGGAAAAGGUUUGCUUCUCCAUCCAUCGGCUUCUUUAUUUCUCUAAGAUUAUAUCAACAUAGCAAAACUAAAAUUUAGCAUGCGUAACAAAUAUAGUAGUAAGAAUAUAACUAAUGUAUAAAUAAAAUAGGAUAUGAACCUGCACAUAAGUUUGCCAUGCGUCAUCACUGUCAACUUCAACGCACUUUUUGACAUCAUUCCAUGCAAAUCCACUUGUGUUUAUCAUGUCAACGACCAUACUAUAUGUUUUUUUCCAUUUCUUCAACUUGGACUCAAUAUGUGGAUUUGCCUUUAUAUUUGAAUGAGGACAUAAAACAUUGACAGCUUUUGCUAUUUCAACCAAAGUACCUUGUUUGAAAGCACCGGUGUCACACCGUUGCUUCCAAGCAACAAAAUCCUCAAGAACUCCUAGUAAUACUUCUUCCUCAAAUGCUUCCCAUUUACGCCUUCUUCCUUUUGGCUCUUGAGUAGCAUUCAAAAUAUUUUCGUUAUCCAUACCUAAACAAAAAAUAUUUUAAUGAAGGAAAAUGCCAUACAAAUAAUCAAUUUGCAUAAUAUCCAAUCAACUUGCAUAAUAUCCAAUUAAUUUGCAUACCAUCUAAUCAUUGUGCUAAUAUCUAACAAAUGCAUGAUAAAAAAGGAAUACUAAAAUAAAAUGUUAUCAUUAACACAUAUAGCUAGUUCGGUUGCUGGUUCCUAAUUGCUCUCCACUCAUUAUACAUUUCCUGAGCUAUGUCAUUCCUCAUUACAGUCCACUGGUCAGAUAUUUGAACACUACCAACAUAUUCACCUUCUUCUGUAUUUUGUCCAUCUUCUAUUAUUGGCAAAUUCUCCAUUGGAUCUACAGACAUCUCUUGCCUAAUAAGAUUGUGUAGUAGGCAACAAGCGGUAAUUAUUCGACCUUGUGUCCUUAUCGGAUAGAAAGAUGGACUCCUCAGUAUCGACCACCUUCCUUUUAGCAAGCCAAAACAGCGUUCAAUUACAUUCCUUGCCUUAGAAUGCUUCAUGUUAAAAUAUUCUUCCUUAUUAGAAGGUGUUCGUCCCUCCCAUUCAGAUAAAUGAUAAGGUAUUCCUCUAUAGGGUGCAAGGAAUCCUUCACCAUUUGUAUAACCACCAUCUACAAGGUAAUAAUAACCUAAUGAAAAAAAAAACAGACCUUAUUAGUGUUUUGUAGUUGACAAACAGAACUAAACCUAACUUACAAAAUUGAGACUAAGUAAUAGUCUUACCCGCUGGUACCUUAAAACCAUUAGGCCUAGUAAUUGCAUCAUGUAGCACUCUAGAGUCUGAUGCGGAACCCUCCCACCCCGGAAACACAUAUAUGAACUGCAUAUCUCCUAAACACACACCUAACACAUUAGUUACAACUCGACCCUUUCUUGUUCGGUAUCUUGGUUUGUCAAUUUCAGGUACAUGCACAUCAAUGUGUGUUCCAUCCAAUGCUCCCAAGCAAUUCUUAAAAAAAAAAAAAAAGUUUUUGUUAAUUUAUACAAAGGGAAUGAAGAGUUAAAGAUUAGGGAAAAUGAAAAAAAAAUUCUCAUCAUACCUUAAAACAUCGCCACCUAGGAUCUGUAGAAUCAAUAGGCACAGGCUGAGGGACUUUUAGUAGGAUACCUUGUAAUCGCAAAAUUCCUUGCAAUACGCUAUUGAAAUACCUACUUAUAGUCUCUCCCGACCUAUAAAAUCUACCGCCAACACUACGAUUCUUAGUAUGAUGUGCUAAUAUUUGUAAAGUCAUACACACCUGCUCCUCUACAGACACCAAACCAUCAGUUUUUACCCUCCCAUCUUGACGAAGUAAGUCACAUAAUAUGCCAAAAGUCCUUCUAUCCAUUCUCAAUUCGUUGACACAUUCAGUAUCAGUAUUCCCUAUUAUACCAUUCAGAUAACACAAACUAAUAUCUCGUCAAAUAAGUGAACGGUUAGUCAAUGUGGGUCGUUCAACAUGUCUCUGUUUGCCACGUAGCAUCAUCAACACAAGAAUCGUACAAAUGCAAAUUGUCUCCAAAUAAGACAUCUCUAACAAUAAGAUCAAUAAAAGCUUCAUUCGAUCCAUAUCUAUCCAAACAAAAAAAAAACAAAAAACAAAUUAACUAGAUCAUUAUAUAUGUAAUAUUUACUGUUAUUAAGGGUGAUGGAAAUGAAGUGAUUAUGAUACGAAAUGAACUAGAUCAAAGUAACUAGCGAAGUCACAAUCCGAGGCAUCAAAUAUACAGGUGGCGUUGAAAAAAAAAAAGUUAUCAUUAACCCGAGGCAACAAAUAUACAGGUGGCGUUGAAAAAAAAAAGUUAUCAUUAACCCGAGGCAUCAUAUUCAAAAUGUUCUACUCUUAUACAUCUAUAAACAUGUGUCUAAGAACACUAGUAUGAGGAUUGCUAUCAUUGCUAGGCAUUGCAUGUGAAGAGGGAAAUUAAAGGACACCUGUAAUGCAGUAGCCUUAGCCUUAGCCUUCCGUUUAUGCUCUUCUUCUCUGCAACCAACAACCACAAAAAAUUGCAAUUCAGCAUCAACCCCACACAAUACAAAACAUUUACAUUGUAAUAUCAUGGUUAUAAACCAAGUACACACACACACACACUGCAUACAUACAUACACACACUGCAUACACUGCAUACACACACACACACACACAUUGCAUACAUACAUACACACACACACACAUACACUGCAUACACACACACACACUGCAUACACACUGCAUACAUACAUACACACACUGCAUACACUGCAUACACACACACACACACUGCACACACACUGCAUACAUACUGCAUACACACUGCAUACACACUGCACACACACACAUUGCACACACACACACUGCAUACAUACUGCAUACAUACUGCAUACACACUGCACACACACACACACUGCACACACACACUGCAUACACACACUGCAUACAUACUGCAUACACACACACUGCACACACAUUGCACACUGCAUACACUGCAUACACACACUGCAUACAUACUGCAUACACACACACUGCACACACACUGCAUACACACACACACACAUUGCAUACAUACACACACACACACACACACACUGCACACACACACACUGCAUACAUACUGCAUACACACUGCACACAUACACACACUGCACACACACACUGCACACAUACACACACUGCACACACACACUGCAUACACUGCAUACAUACUGCAUACACACACACUGCAUACACACACACACACACACACUGCAUACAUACACACACACACACACUGCAUACAUACAUACACACACUGCAUACACACACACACACACUGCAUACAUACAUACACACACACACACACACACUGCAUACACACUGCAUACAUACAUACAUACACACACUGCAUACAUACAUACACACACUGCAUACACACACACACACACUGUAUACAUACAUACACACACACACACUGCAUACACACAUACACACACUGCAUACACUGCAUACACACACACACACACUGCACACACACUGCAUACAUACUGCAUACACACUGCAUACACACUGCACACACACACUGCAUACAUACUACAUACAUACCGCAUACAUACUGCACACACACACUGCACACACACAAUGCACACACACACACUGCAUACACACUGCAUACACUGCAUACACACACUGCAUACAUACUGCAUACACACACACUGCACACACACUGCAUACACACACACACACACACACAGAGUACACAAACACACACACACCCCCCCCCCCACGUUAAUGAGUACACAAACACACACACACACACACACA